rnacentral:lncRNA from 1 species
GAGAAUGUUCGCUACUGGCUAUGAAUGUUUUCAUGAAGCACCAGAAGACAGCGUUUUAUUUGGUGGGGGUGAAGUUUUAGUACAGGAAUUGCUCGGUUUGAAAUAUUUAGAGGUAUUGGAGUUGACCUUGGGAAGUUAUCAGGCUCUCCAAAUCUUUUUGAGCUCAAAUAAGUUAAAAAGUUGUAUUCGAUCUCUUUUCCUCCAGUUGGCCGGAGAUACAAAGUCGAUUAUUGAUGCUGCGGCUUUCGCAGAUCUAAACCACCUCAAUGAAUUAUAUAUUUAUGAAGGUAUUGAGUUGGAAGAAUUGAAGAUUGAUUAUACAGAGAUAGUACGAAAAAGGCGGGAACCUUUUGUUUUCCGCAGCCUUCACCGUGUUACCAUAUUUAGUUGCGGUAAAUUGAAAGAUGUGACAUUCCUCGUUUUUGCUCCAAACCUCAAGUCUCUUGAGCUAUUGCAAUGCGAUGCUAUGGAAGAAAUAAUCAGCGUCGGAGAAAUUGCUGAGACUCCUGAGAUGAUGGGACACAUAAGCCCUUUUGAAAAUCUCCAAAGUCUUCAUUUAUCGUAUUUACCAAUUUUGAGGAGCAUCUACUGGAAGCCAUUGCCUUUCACUCAUCUCAAAAAAAUGGAGGUACGUAGAUGCGAUCAGCUUAGAAGGCUUCCGCUCGAUUCCAACAGUGCAACAGAGCGUAAUGUUGUUAUUCGUGGAUACACACUCUGGUGGAACCGACUUCAAUGGGAGGAUGAAGCCACUCAAAUUGCUUUUCGUUCCUGUUUCCAACCUCGUUCCUGAGCAGUGGUCGCAAAAUUUGAUUUCUGGUGAGUGCGUUUGUCUUUUAAAAAGAAGAAUUUAAAAGAAAUUUAUUCUUGUCGUUUUCUUCACUGUUUUUAUUUGAUUUCUGGUUAGUUUCUUUCUCUCUCUCUCUCUCUUUGUCUUCUGCAAAUCACAAUUAAAUGUUGAAUUAAUGGAAUUGAUGCUCUGGUUUUUUACUUUUUGUUGUCAAAUUUUGCCCUGUUCUAUCUUCUUAGCGAUUUAAUUUCCUGUCAAAAGACGAGCGAGAAGAACAUAUAUAUGACUUAAACCAAUUGAUACUUUAUUUAUGUGCAUUGUAUGUAAUAAAUAUUAAGUAUACUUUAUUUUUGCCCUGUUCUCUGUUUUUAUUUCAGUCUCUCUCUCUCUUUCCUGUCUUCUGCAAAAUAUAAUCAAUUAUUUUCAAAAUAUCAUUGAUGAUUUUUCUGCUCUAAUGCUAUGUAAAUAGUAUGUUAAGUAAAACAUAAUCAAUUAUUUGUGUUUUAUCUCUAAUUAGAACAUCAAUCAGUUCAGUACCUCACAAAUAAUUCGCAAUAUCUACAAAAUACUAUAAUGGCUACAAAACAAAUCCUGCUUGCAAAUUGUCAAGGAUACCUAUCCGUUCGCUUGACAAGUCAUUUGAAUAAAUAUUGUUCACAUUCCUUACUCUAUCAAUUAUCCAAAGCACCAUCAAUGGUCCUCAACUUUAGUUUGAAUAGUAUACAUGCCAUCACCAUUACCAAGAAUCAAGCAUGGAAGAGUCAUUCUAUAGAGUUAAUCGAAGCAAGGAAUGAUGUAUCAGAAAAUAUUUGGUGGAGAAUUCAGCACAAACAUAUUUUGGAUGAUCAGAAUCAAUAAAACCUGGUGGUUGCGCCAUAUAAACAUCUUCGGAAAGCUGACCUUGAAGAAAGGCGUUAUUGAUAUCCAAUUGACGAAGAGGCCAGCCAUGACUAACAUCAAUACUAAGAACAAGCCGUACUGUGGUGGACUUAACAACUGGACUGAAAGUGUCAUAAUAGUCCACACCAGGCCAUUGAUUGAACCCUUUGGCAACAAGAUGAGCUUUAAACCUGUCAACAGAACCGUUGGAAUGUCUUUUAAUACAAAAAUCCAUUUGCAGCCAACAAUAUUGGAAGGGAUGGGAGGUGGAACAAGCUUCCAUGUCCCGUUACGAACAAGAGCAUCAUACUCUUCUGACAUAGCUGGACGCCAGUGAAGAUUUUUGAUAGCUUGCGUCACAGUUGUAGGUUCACAAUCAGAAGAAGGGCUAAAAUGAGCACGGAGGUUAAGUUUUUGUAACGGCUUGUGAAUCUUAUUUUUAGCUCGGGUAGUCAUAUCAUGAUGACUUGUGGGGCAAUGAUCUAGUGGAGUUUAGGAAGAUGAUUGAACAGGAAGUGAAGAAGUGCUUUGUGUAGAGGUAGAAGUAGGUUGGGAGGAUUGCUGCGGAGAUGUUACCGGUAGAGAAGAAGGAGCAGUACACGGUGGCAACUCCAGAGGGCCCACAAUAGAUGGAGUAGGUGCCGACAAUGGAGUACUAGGAAAUGAAACAGGAAGAAUUGGUGGAACACUUGCGUAAUUAGGAGUGGUAGAUGAGCUUGUAAUGAUUUGUAUGGAAAAACAAACUCUACAAAUUUAACGUGACGUGAAAUAAAAAUUCAACCCGAUUGCAUAUUUAAGAACAUCUCAAAUGAAUUGCUUACUGCUAUCAUCAUCAUUAUUGUCUAUAUAAUAAUGGAUCUUUAUUAUAUAUAUGUUUCCACUAAAAUAUAUUUAAUUAUUCUUUAUUUUUCUAUUGUUGCGUGUAAGAUUUAUUUGAGUUCUAAGUUAUAUCAAUACAAAUGUUAUCUUAUCCAUAAAAAGUUAGAUCCAACAAUUAUGAAAAUUACUAUAGAGUUGCUUUCAAUUAUUUUUUUAAAAUACCAGGAGUAAAUAAUAAUUAGUUCAAAUGGUGGAGACUAAAAUGCGUUCACCUUUAUUUUUUAUCUGUUAUUUACUUUUGUCAUUACAUUAAUGCACAUGCUAUACAUUUGAGACAUUCCAUUAAUUGCCAAUUAUGUAUGUGAGAUAGUAAUUUAAAUUAAAAAAUAAAAGUGAAAGUUAAUCCUAUGCAAUGUGAAUAAAUUUCUUUCCUUUUUCCUUUACUCUUUUUAUUUGACAAUAAAGUUUCCAUCUAUCAUCUAUCAUCUAUGUACACAAAAUUUCUGCAACAAGUACAAAACAUAAAAAUAUAUGAAUAUUAAGGGAAACACGCAGAAGUUCAUCAUUUCAAUGUUCAGUAUUACCAAUUUUGGCAUUAAGCUUGUACGAAUAUAUUCUACUUCGAAAGCAAAAUAUUAGACUCGUGAUUUUAAUUCAUUCAUUAUCUCUCAUUUUAAUCCCAAAAUAUUCAAGAGUAUCCAAGUUACCAUAAGACUUCAGAGGCUCGAGCCUUAGCCAGAGAUGGUUAAUUGAUAGACUAUGUGCCUGGGUCGAGCACUGGAAGCCUGCAAUGCAGACUGAUUGAUUUAUCAGUUUAACGUGUGCCAGGAAUGAAGAACUGGAAUAUCACCGUCAAGCAAGCACCCUGUGGAGCAAUACCAAAGAAUGCACAAUCUGGCUUUGCUAGGUGACCCUGGAGGCUUUUUGAAAAGUGCUUCAUGCUCACUUGCACAGAUUGAGCAUCCCCUCUGGAUAUUGCCCUCUCUGAUCGAGUCUGAGCACUCAAAUUUCGGUCCUCAGAUGGAGCUACAGCUUUCUCUCCAAUAACCAACAAUUUUCUAAACUCAGCACCUAGUGUGAUCAGAGUUGUUGAUAUUUGCAAAUGGAGAUCCCCAUAUUUGCAAAUGGAGACAUUUAACAAAUCACCAACAUGCUUCAUCCGGUCCACGAAAUUCUGCAACUGAUUCAAAUCUGGAACCUGAACCAGAGUCGGAGGUAUAUCUUGAGCCAUAUCUAAAGCAGUUUGAAGUUCAAGACCUUGAGCCCUUGACAAUGGUUUUGAAAUUGGAACAUCUUGGAUUACUGCAGACUUGUACCCCUUGGUUUCAAAGGUAAGGAAAGGCAUUGCUUGAGUACAAUUUGGAGGCAGCUUCUUCACCAAUUUUAUUUGGAGGCAAUUGGCAGCGGAUCCAGCUGCACCAAUUUCAGAGCAACUACUGACACUACUUCGAACAGCACACUGACGAAGUGAUAUGUCUACGGCAAAGGCAAUGCAGUCCUCAUUUUGGCUUGAGAUGCAGUAAUCAUCGAAGAGAGUUUCCUUGUGAAACUGGGCAACACAUUGAAUCCCUUCGCCACUGAGAAGGUUGUGGAGGAAGUAAGCUGUCUCUCUAGUGAGGAAGAGGUGGCAUACCUUCCCCAUUUUGUCUAGGGCAGGUAGGAAUCUUUUUUCUAAGAGAUUUACUUCAUUCUCUGUGAGAAAUGCUUUGAACUUCAUCCCUCUGUCUCUAUCCUCACUUAUCAGGAAAUAAGUUGAAAGCACUAUGAAGAGAGAGAGAGAGAGAGAGAGAAUUAAGAUAUAUAGACAAGAAAAUAAUUAGACGUUGAUCUUACAAACUAAUACUUCAAGCAGUAUCCUAGAAAGCUAAAAACUGCAAGAUGGCUUGAAAUUUGAAAAGAGCACAUGGUUUUCCUCCUUAACUUGAGAAAAUGUUUAAUAUAGUGCACCUUACAGAAGCAUUUAAGCAAUUAGAACUUUGCACAAAAACAUCAAGAAGACUAAACAAAUCAGAUGCAGUGUAUUUGUCCAAGCACAAAUUGCAUUUUGUCCUCAACUUUAAUAUUUAUUGAUGAGAAUCAAUACAGGUCCCUCAUUUGUUAUAGAAAGCUUUCUUGUAGUCUCACCAGUUAAUUCACAGGUCUAUAAUCAUCUUGCAAAGUUAAGGGCAUUUCUUUCGAUCUAAAGUCUUUGCAUCACCACCUCAUCACACGCCAAGCCAAUAUUCCAUUUACCUCUACAACAAAAAGUUUUUAAGUAAAUAAUCCUAAUGCACGCAGCCGAAUAAAAUGCAGUAAGAAUAUUCAACUUAAAAAUCUGAAAGCCAACUUGGUGAAUUGCCUCCUUAGGUGAAGUUCCAUGCUUUACUAUAGUUGACAGAACUCAGCAAAAGCUUCCAUACAACAGAUUUUGAAAAUGAUGAUGCCAAUAGAUACUCAUUCAAUCCAUUGAAACUCCAAAGGUUCAUUGUUCAUAGAAGUUUACAGAGUUUUGGUCAUCAAAUAGCUCAGACCUAAUCCCAAACAAAAAACGAGUGAAAAUUAGAUCACGAGCAGCUAAUUGUAAAUUCUAACUUAACUCUUCAUCUCCUUUGUAAACAAGAAACAAAAUGGAGACACGCAAAAUGAAUAUGGAGAAAAUUUGAACUCAAAUGAAAUGAGGGCACGAAAGCAAACAAAUGGCAUGCACAAAAAAACCAAGCCUCGAUAAAAAACUAAUUAACCAUUAAGAAAAAAAUUGGUCAGAGAAUGAACUCCAAAUUCAGGAGUCAAGCAAGAAGCUUUCAUUAUUUCAGAAGCUCCUGUACAAAUUAAUAAGUUAUGCUCUUUGGAAGCAAACCUAAAUUCCAAGAGAAACAGAACCCAAAAAAUUUGCAAUUAUACGCAAAGGAAGUGAAGCACAGGAUUCUAUCACACAUAGGAAUUGUAUAACAAGAGAUCGAUAUAUCGAAUUAGAAAACUCAAUUCGAAUUUGUGUCAAAAAUCAAAAUUAGAAGAUUUCACAUUUCGAGAGGAACAAGCAACAGAUGAAGUUCAAAAUUUCAGCCAUAACAUGCUAAAAAUGCUACACUUAACGGUUCAUUUUCAUGGAUUUUCUCGGGAAACAAACAGAAAAUUACGGUUUAGAGAGUUGACUGACCUUUUGGCUUUUGAAAUUGACCAGAUCGCGCGCCAAAUUGGAAGAGGGAAAGUGAAAGCGCGAGUUUUAAUAUGGGUAUUAGAUAAGGAAAUUUUAUUAGGUUGCGAGGGUAAAAAAGGAAAGAGAUAUCAUUAUUUUAUUAUCGAUAAUUAUUAAAUUUUUUUCCAAAAAAAAGAACAAGCAAGGAUUUUUUAUUGUCAUCACUAAGUUAAAAAAAAUUGUUUCAAAAUUACUUGAGUCAUAUCCAAUGGACCAACAAAGUAAUCGUUUUUAUUUUUAUUGAUUUUUGCAGGAAAUUAAUAACUUAAAAAUACUGAAAGCUACUGUAAAAAUUUUUAUUAUCAACCUCAUAAUUUUUUUUUUUUGGGGAAGAGAAUUCAAACUUUUUUUUUAUGAAUAUCGCUGUUUCGUUUGAGUUGGAUGUGAAUUCAAAUCCAAAUAUUCUUUGUUUUUCAAUUUUGAACUCAAUUUCUUUUUCUCAAGAAUGUUAUGCAGAAAUAAUUUUUACUAAAUCUUUUUUGAUGAAUUGUUUAAAUUAAACAAUUGGAAUAAGAAUUGUAACGAUUUAUCAUAAGCGUGCUAAUAUGAUAACUUGUUUUACGAAGGAUUAAUUAAUCAAUUAAUAUUAAAUUAUAUAUUAGUCAAUUAGAUAUGUGUUACAUUUAUCAUGUUUUGUAGGUGAUAGUACAUCAUUUCUAAAAGAAUAUAGUACGUUAAAAUAUUAUUUUAAUGAAGAAAAUUUUAUUAUUUUAUUAUUAGGUGACACAAUAAUAAAUGGAUUUCUGUAAGAAUUGAGAUUCUUGAUAUAAUUAUUACAUAAGGAGAAGUUUAGUUGGUUCAAUUUUGACGUGAUAAGAAGACAACACAGCACAGAAAACCCAAAUUGCCACUUCCACUAAUAAAAGAUACCUGUUUGAAAAGUAAUUAUAAACUAUCUUCUUUGUGUUAUUUCUCAAAACUUUUGUGGCACAAAUGUUAUUUCCAUUGACAACAGUACGAAAUACCACCCCUUUCACUUGAGCAGGAGCAAAGCAAAGGUAUGAUGAGCUAUCUCUGUAUAAUUGAAACGCCAUUACUAAACGAUUCUUGAUGAUGGGAGCCACCGUGCCAGCUUUGUCGCUGAUUUGCAUGAUUUAUUAGUUGUCCAGAUGGCGGAUUUUGUACUGUUACCUUCGUUUCAUUCUUCAGAGCCAUGUACUGUUCUAGGAUACCAGAGAAACCAAGGUGGCAUUGAAGUUGCCCUGGUGGUUAGUUUUCCGAUCAUUUUUUUAUUCAAUUAUUUAUGUUUUUAGAAAAAUGUAGGAAAUAUGUAGAAAUGUUGACAGCUAUGAUUUUGAAACUUUUGCCUAAAAUUGUUAUCAUUACUUGUUGUUUCUUAUUUAAAGAGAAAUUCUAGAAACAUGAAAUGAUUAUUCUACGCUUGUUUUAAUAUUGUGCUAUGAAGAUUACGAAGGUUUGAUUAUAUGUCACUAUCAAUUGCCUUAAUCGUUUGUCGUAAAUCAAUUAAGCAUUUUGAUGCGAAUGAUUCCCUAUUAAAAAAUUCAAGUCAGAGCUGAAUUGCAAAGUAGUUAGUCGUGCUUGCAAUUCAAAUUAAGUAUUGUAUUUUCUCCCUGAUUUGGUUGAUUCAACUAUGUGCAUUUGCUUAUGAACGUUGCAGUAUAGAAAUCGAAAUAUCUUGUCUUUUGCUAAGCCCAGAAGCAAAUUCUUUGUAUUCUACUCAUCAGUUUUCUUCAUUCUCUUUGUUGAAAUUUUAUCUAAACAGCGGUUUCUUCGAAUUUAUGCCUUCGCUUACUCUUUUAAAUUUUAUCCAAACAACGGUUUUGAAAUUGUUUUCACUACAAUACCUUAGUCUUUCAGAUGCUCCCGUCACUGAGUUGCCAGAAGAGCUAAAAGCCUUGGUAAAUCUUAAGUGUUUGAACCGGAGUACACAAAUUAUCUCUCUACAUUUCCAAAGCAAUUGAUUUGUUACUUUUCGAUGCUACAUGUUCCGCGAAUAUUCAGUUGUGGUUAUCUUGUUCAGAUACCAGAAAAUAGCGUUAUAUUUAGUGGUAAUGAAUUCUUGGUUUGGGAGUUGCUUAGUUUAAAACGUUUAAAUGUAUUAAGCAUCAUCUUGAAAAGUUUUUCUGCUGUCCAAAAACUUAUGAGCUUCCAAAAGUUUCAAAGCUGUACACAAUGCAUGGAGCUUGUAGACUGUGAUGAUCCAAAGUCAUUUGCCGUGGCAGAGUUGAAGCAUCUUGAAAAACUAGGUUUUUCAAGUUGUGGAAAUUUGGAAGAGUUAAAGUUCUGCUGUGUCGAAGUUGCAAAGGCUCGAGAAUGUUUUCGUUUGAACAGCCCUCACUGAGUUAAGAUGAAGGCUUGUCAUAAAUUGUGGGAAGCGACAGGUUAUUCAAAUAGAAAAAUUUAUGGAGAUGGAUGUUAAUCUUAAGGUUAUUCAAUUAGAAAAAUUUGAAUAAAAUUUAUGGUAAGUGCUUUUCCAUUUAUUGCAUAUUUAUAUCUAAUUUUUAUUUUCCUUUAUUGUUAAAUUUUGGUCUCUAUUUGUUGUUGUAUGGUGGCAUUCUUGUACAAUUAUUAGCUUUUCAUUUCUCUUCUCACAUUAACUGCCCUUCUGAUCAUGUAGGAUUUGCUGAUGCAAAGAGUCAUAAUUUGGGAUACAAAUGUAAGAAUUAGACAGAUGACAUGUUGUUUUGAAGCUCUCAAAGAAGGACUAAUUAUGUCAUUGAAAGCCUCCAAUUUUGUGAUUGGUUUCUUUUUAUUUUAUUUGUUGUUUUCUCUAUUUUCAGAUCACUUAAUUGUUAGUUGUUGUAAUGUAAUGUUUUAGUAUAGCAAAUUAUAUUCGGCCAAGACAGUGAUAGGAGGGCACAUUGUGCAUGCACACUAGUGGAUUUGGCAUGCCAAAUCCAAUUAGGAUGGAUAACACUUUAUAAGCAUUAGGCUUCUCUCAUACCUGAGUAAUAUAGAAUAUGUUUAUAAGUUGUGAAUCACCCUUUACAAGUGUUAGGCUUCUGCUAUACUCAGUGAUGUGAAAUAUAUUUAUAAGCACUAAACUUCUCCCAUACACUUUAUGUUAAUAAUAAUAAUAAUAAUAAUAAUAAUAAUAAUAAAAUAAUAAUAAAUAAACCCAUUUUAACAGACUCUUUUUUCUUUUUCUAUAUGAACAAAUGCAUUCUUCAAAGCAACUGUGGGGAGAAGAAGUGAGUAGAGAAGAACUGAGCCCCUGUCAUUCCCCUAAAACCUCACCAAAACCUCUCUUGUAAGCUUCUCGGAUUUUCUUUCUAUAUUUCUUAGGAACUCAUUUUUUAUUGAAUCACUUAUUUUGCAUGCUGCAUUUUUUGGUUGUCGUAUUUGUGUAUUAUCUUAUCUGGAAUGCUGUUAUGAUUGAUGGAACAAGUAAUCGAUUUUUGGUCUAAUGGAAGUUGAUUUAUUUAUUUAUUGUUGUUUUUAUUUGAAAUUAUGUACAAUUGUAUUUCAUUCAUUUCUCUCUCUUUUGCUUUUUUCCCCCCAUAUAUUUGUUAUGUAUAAUUGCGUUUCAUUUAAUAUUGAUCAUACUGUAGGUAACCAUGUGAUUGUAGAUGGGGAUUUCGAGUUUGUUGAAUAUUCAUGUAAGUGAAGUAACCGUCACAAUACUAGUGAAAUUGGGAGCUUUAUUCAUGAGUUUGUGGUUUUGAAAAGUACCACAGUUCAACUGGUGAAGGCUCCGUUUUGGGAUUCUUCUUUUUCUAGGCUGCAAUUAGGAUAUGUACAUGAUAGACAAUCUUUUGUUGGUUUAGCAUAUCUUCGCUGAUUUUGUCUUUUAUUCCCCAAUUUUAUAAUUACACACCAUGAAUGUUGGGUGAUUGUAUAGAAAAUUUGUGUUAUAACAAAAACAUUGUGAAGGAGUUUCCGUGCUAAUAGUUAGUGGCUUCUGUUUUAUUGGCAUUGAUUGGGUAGAUUACGUGUUACAGUGAUUCAAUUUGUGUUCCAAACUUUGCUUUAAUUUUCUGUUUUCCCCAACUAUUUAUGUCAAAUUUAAAUCCAGAAGCAUGUGCUGAUUUUUUCUUUUUGUAUUAAUCUGUGAAGUUUAUUUGGAAUGGAAGUAACUGGGUCGGGUCUAAUGGAUUAAAUUAUGACAUUGAGGGGAAGGCACUAAAAGGGUUUGCUUGACACAUUUGGUUCUGUGUUUACUCUGCAAGAAAUAACUUUUGCUUAUUGCAAUGCAGGGGGAAAUCCCGAUUUGGCUGGUGAAUUUCUCUGCAACAAACAGGCAAACACCUCAACAUCUUCUGUCCAUACUUCUGCUGGGGAGGCAAGGGGUAAAGAGUCUUCAAAAUCAUCAAAUAGUUACAUCUCUGAGAAUUCAUUUUAUGGAAAUGGAAAAUCUAGAGUUUCUAAUACAAAAUGGCAUCUGGUAUCAGGACGUACCGUUUCAAGUUUUCUUGGUAAAGAUUAUGUUAAACCUGCACAGCCAGCUAAUGGCACUUUUCUGGCAUCAAAGCCAUUGAAGUUGGAUCCAAGGGAGUUUCGCAUUUCUGCACUUUCAGAGAAGAAACUAAACCGACAAUCAAAGGAUGACCAUUUGCAGAAGGAUAUGGAAGAUUUUCUUUUUAAAUUGCUAGGAGAAGGGUUCCAGCUGUACAGGGAUGUGAUUCAGGAGGUUCAUGGUAACGUCUUAAAUAUAUUGAUGCCAAUUUAAUACAUAUUGUCCUUUUCAAUGUUCUUUCUUUCUUUCUCCUCUUUUUAUUAUUCUUCUUCUUCUUUUUUCUUUUCAUGUGCAUGUGAUCACUAAUUUGGUAUUAUUCUUGACUUGCAGAUAGUUGUGGAUAUGAAAUGCAAAAGGUAAGGGCUAUAUCUUCUUGAUGGAGGCCUCUGAUUUUUUAAAUCGCAUUUUCCUUUGUGAUUGAUAUAUCAUACCAAAGUCAAGUCUUAAAUACUGCUGUCAUAUGUUAAGGUUCAACUUCCAUUUUGAUUAACGUCGAUUUGCUACUGCUUCCAAAAGUGAGAAUGAGAUACUUUGGUUAAUUUCAGUAGUUGAACUCAAUGGAGUACUUUAUUUAGAUCUUCAUGGUUCAAAGGCCUGAAAAAACUUGCCGGUAUUUGCAAAAUGACAUCUGUGCUUUUAUUUAGACUUAUUAUUAAAGACAACAUUUUAUUUCAGCCAAAAAUGUUUGUUUCAAUUAAAGACUUGAACCAUUUUCAUUUAACCUGAUUGUGAUGCUUUACAUUAUGCAUGUUCCUCUCAAUCAAUAAAAGUUGAGGUCAUGAUUUUAUAUUUCUAUUUUGUAACUUGAAAUAAUUGGUCUGCCUGUUUCUGUUGCUUGAUAACAUGAAUUUUUCCUUCUGAAGUUAAUUUGAUCAAUAAAGUAAUUCUUCGGAGAGGAUAUGCCCAUUCUAUAGUCAUUUUCUUAGCUAACAUGUUUUUUCUUCACUCUUCAAAGCAUGUCUAAACUAAUUGAUCGCUCAGCGGAGACUUUGGGUGAGAAGACAAAAUUUCUUGGUAAAUCCUCUGAAAAGGUAUGCAUAAUUCCCGAGUAUUAAAUAAUCAUUGGUCAUAAUUUUUGUACACGACUCUUGUUUUGGAGAUCGUUAAAAGUGGUUGAUGAUCUAUUUUGUAAUAUCAUAGAGGGAUCAUGAAUUCCUUUUCUUUUCUGUGGCUAGGCAACACUUUCGAGCCAAGCUAAGGAAAUCUAUUUUAGGUAAUGUGAAAACUAGUUGUAGGAUGUAAUAGUUUAUUAUGCCCUGACAAUAACUUUUUGUAUAAUUGUCAGUUUAAUGAAUACAAGAGGAACUCUGUUGGCAAGUUCAUCCAUGAUAGAUGCUAAAAUUAUUUAUGCAUACCAGUUGCCUUAACUAAUUUUUCUCAACACUGGUAUUGAACAGGAAAAUGAAUAUGCAAUUUGUAUAUUGUGCCAUUGUGGAGAAUUUGGAUAUUCUUAUUUAAGUAACAAGGAGAGUAUUUGCCUCAUCUUUAAACAAUGAAUCUUUGAGAAAUGAGGAGUGGGUGAUUGACAGUGUCUUCAUGUAAAUGUUCAUUUAUUUGUAUUUUGAACUAUUAUGAGAAUCUUUGUAUGCCAAAUUAGUAAUACAAAUGUUCAGAUGAUUUUUCCUGUUGAUCAUGCGUGUGUAUCUGCACACAACCAUUGUGUACCACUUUAUUCUGAUGCACAAAUAUCUGUAGUUUAGAAGAAAAGAAAUAAUAAUCAUAUAUUAUUGCUUGGUUCAUGAUUAUUAAAUGAUUAUGGCUUUAGAAAAUCCACAAAUCCUUUGUGUUCAUAUAUGAAUGUGCGAAGUUCGCUAUAUCUUAGAUUACCUUCUUCCAAGAUAACAAGUUCAUAUAUUUUUUUUAAUCCUUUUUCAUCACAGUUGAAUUUCAAGUGUAAGUUUUGUUAUUAAUAGCUGGUUUCCUGUUAUUAUGAUUUCAUAAACAAUGAGAGGAUAUGUGCUCUACUUUUGGAUGGCCUCCACAUAAAAGAAAAUUGCAACAAUUGAAUUCUUCUGGAGGGUAUGGUAUUUAAUUUAUUUUCUCAGCUUGUUGUAAGACUAAUAUAUUUCCUUCAGUACGCACGGCAUGGUGGGAAGGGUUUUUAUUGAAAGAAUUAUGAUAUUUCUUAGACUUUGUUUUGGAAGGGGGUGGAGGGAUUUCUCAUCCAUGUAUGGUUACUUGAUUAGCUUUUGACUGUACUGUCUCCGUCGUGCAAAGGAAAAUCCAAAUACUAACGAAGGGGAAUUGCUUAGGCACCCAAAGGACAGAAAUGAAUUACGGAAGGAGGUUUUUGCUGCUUUAUUUAGUGCUGCUGAGAAAUCUGAUGAAUUUCCUGAAAUUACGGUGAAGACGGAGUGGAGGUCCAACGCAUUAGGAAAGGUGGUGAGUGAACCGCCAGAGGAAUUAGUACCAGAAUACAAGGCUAAUGUGGUGCACUGGCAGCAAGAUGACCAGACCUGUAUGUGCUCUUAUAUUAACUAUAUUGGCUGGAUUUGUGAGUGUGUUCAUUUUUGUGUGUAUACUCACUUUUGUAUUUAUGCAUAUUCACGUGUGUAGGAUUCUCGAUUUCUGCCACUUACUGGAGAACUAGUGGAAAGCUUUAUACUGAUAUAUGUGCUAUAUAACUAAUGGAAACUACAAUAUGAAUAUUUUCUCUCACCUGGAGAGCAGUGUAACUAAUAUAAUUUGUGGCUCUGGAAUACUGAAGAUUCUGCAAUAACUAAUGGAAAAUAUGAUAUGAAUAUUUUUUCUCACCUGGAGAACUUUGUAACAGAUACAUUUUGUGCUGGAAUGUCUAAAGAAUGCUUCAGUUUAUAUCAAAUAUCUUUUAGUUAGAAAAGAUAAAAUUCUCUGAAUCUGAAAGACUGAAACAUUUUGCAUAUUUCGUGAAAGGCAAGUAUCUGUAGAUACUAGCUCAUGCAUUGAGGUAAUAUCAAUGUUAAAGAAAAACAGCAAUAAUUUAUUAUACAGAAUUAGGUUCACUUGCUUUAAAUGCUGGUCUGAUCAACCAUAUCAACCUGUAAUGGUCCUGCAGAAAUAUAUAUACGGGGAGAAACUAGCUAAUUUUCCUUUCACUUAUGGGUUUGGUCUUUUUUUCCCCAAUUUUUCAGCUUUCCUUCUCCUGAAGUAUGUUAAUAAUUGCAGAUAAUGGCGAAGAGGACUGCUUCCAGGCUACCGGCAAAAACUUUGUGAAAGCUUUGGAGUUAAACAGGGAAUUCACUUACUGCUAAGGACAAUUGGUGGCGAGCUAUUUCAUUCAUUUUAUGUCCAUACAUCUAUUUAAUUAUUAAAGAUAAUGUACGCAUUUGUAAAUUUCAGAUUGUGUGUCUCUGAAAAUAACAAUAUUUAAAAUGUCUCUUAAAUUAUUAUAAAUUUUAAUUUACUCUCGAUUUAAAAUGGAACAUGUUGGUGAAAUAUUUUUUCUUCUUAAUAAAAUUGAAAUAAAUUAUGUUAGCAGUAGUUUGAAAUAUUUUAAAGAUGAUUAUUUUAUAAGGGAGUAAUAUGAAAUGAAAUUUACUUUUCAUGCGUGAAAUGUUGAAAAAGGACAAAGCAAGUGUCCCUGCUUUUAUUUUAUUUCAAAGUGGAGUCAUCUCACAUACUUUAGCUCUAUCAUUAGGAGCCGGCUAAGUUACGUUAAACGUAAUUUACGCCAGGCACAGCAAUAAUGACAAGUCCCAUGACUAGUAUUGUUGCUGUGUCUGACGUAAGUUACGUUUAACGUAACUUAGCCAAAGCCCUAUCAUUAAUAUAUAUUUAAAUUUAACACAUGCAUGUGGGUUACUUUUCCGUAAGUUCCUUAAUAUAUAUUUAACACAAAUCAUGGAAGAGAUGGGAGUAUAUCAAGAUGAUCAAAGCAUGAAACAAAAAUAUUUAAGAAGUAAAACACUGAAAAUGGAGAAGAGAUGCAAGCAAAAGAUAUUCUAAAGAAAAGCAAUCUAUCCCCUUUCGAGGGCAAACUUAUCAGGUUUAAGAAAAGUACAUGCUUUGGAUUGGUAGUUGCAGCCUUGCAGGAUAAUUGUUUUUGCCACUAUAUUAGUUGGAGGAGUUGAACCCAGUGAAGAAUGUUAUGGAAGAGCAAAUGAUAUUUCUGAUAGACUCUAUUUGAUUAUGUAGCCUGAAUAGAUGUCUUGUUGAAAGAUAUAUCAGUGCAUUAGUUCAUCCUUGUCUGUCAAUGUGUUUUUAAUGGUUUUUCCAAUUGUUUUUUUUUUUUUUGAAACUGAUUAAGCAUCAGGUUACUGCAUUACACAGAUAUAUAUACAACUGCUAUGACAGCAGGUCAUUACACUGAUAUUUACAAUCAGAUAUAUAUACAUGGGACUUAUAUUAUUACAUUUUUAUUCUAUGAAGUACAUGCCCAUCCCAAAUACCCCUCACGGAGGAGGGAUGUCUCUACUCCACUCGCAUUUCGCAAGGGAGAAAGACGUUUAUAGAAAUCUCCACACAAUUAUGUUUAAUUGGAGGAGGUUGAGUCCGUGGGGACUCGAACCAUUGCCCUCAAAGUCAUGCUUAACUUUGAGGGCAAUGGUCCACCACUGGGCUACAAGCCCAAGUGGCGGUUUUUCCAAUUGUUUAUUGCUAUAGAUUGAUUGUAAAUUGAUGUGAACUUAAUGUUGAAAUAUUUUCUCUUUAGUGGAAUGAAAGUUAAACAUUCAAGAUUAGAUUAUUCAAGGUCCACAUAGUAUGUGUUCCGUUGUGUUGUCUGUAAUUUUGCAUUUAAAUAAAUUUGAGUGCUGCCGUUUCGCUCCCACAAUCUCUCGCCUUUUUUUAAUUUUAAAAAUUAAAAUAUUAAUAAAAAACAAUAAAGAAAAUCGAAUCCUUUAUGUCAUUCCAUCUUUACAACUCUCUCUCACAAACUCCAUCUAACAGACUUCUCUCUUACUAUCUCGGUCGAACAAGACCAGUGACAAUGAUGACACGACCGCCGACGAUGAGAUGGUCAUCGCUAAAGAAUCGGGCCGUGUAUUUUACAAUUUCUUGGUUUGUGACAACAAUGGAAAACUCCUGAAAAUUUUGAAUUUGUAGUCGAGCAAAGGAAGAAGCAAGUUAUCUUCAAAGCAUUUUCCAGUAAUAGCUGAUGAAAUUUAAUACUUCAAGCUGGCCCUUUGCUGUCACAACUAGAUGCAUUUGCACUGUCAUUACAAUUUAUGGAAAUUAAAGUAAUUAAUGGUUCUAAUUAAUAGCUUCCCAAAAAACCAAUCUGCCCUUGUGAGAACCAAAGCAUUAAUUUCUUGUAAGAGCUGCAGAAGGCCAGAGAAUUUCAGAUCGUGAAAAGGAGUGUGUGAGUGAGAGAGAGAUCGUGAAAUAGUGAGAGACAAUGAGAGAGAGAGCCGCUCGACUGAGAUGGUGAGAGAGUUGCAAAAAUGGAGUAAGGAGCAGAUAAGAUUAUGUUUUCUUUAUUAUUUUUUAUUAAUAUUUUAAUUUUUUUAAUUAAAAAAGGGCGAGAGAUUUUGGGAGUGAAACGGCAGCAUGUUCCAAUAAAUUUUUACCAAAGUUUCUCUCGUGUUUCUCUCACCUUUCUAGAUACCAAGCAUUUUCCAAUAAAUUUUUACUAAAAACUUAGCAAGCCCUUGAAACUUUGGUCAAAAUUAUUGUUAUUAUUACUUUUAGAGGAAAAACUUUUAUUAAAACCUCAUUAACACAAUUCUUAAUUAAAAUUAUAAGUUUGUGUUGGUGUAAGGAUUUGCAGGAGCAAUUACUGCCUAGCCAAGUGUCAAAAGCACAAAAUAAAUCAAGAGAAAGUAGACAUGAAUUAGGAUCCAAUGAAAUUUAAAUCCCGGAGAAAAGAAAUAAUCAUGCAGAUUAUCAAGAUUUCAAUAAGGGAUAUUGAUAUCCUAUUUUGAUUAAUAAUAUCCUUUUACUGUGUUAACUCAAAAAAUAUGUAUAUUCUAAUAUUUUACAAUAAAUAGAAAUCUAAUAUUAAAAUAAAUGUGAUAUAUAUAUAUAUAUAUUAAAUAAUUUAAAUAUAAAAAAUAUUUUAAUGUUUUACAAUCUACUACACAUAUUUUAUUAAGUUAAUAUAAUUUUUCAAAUAAAUAGGGACAUAAUAUUAAAAUAAAUUUAUAAAAAUUUAAAUUAUUUUGAAUUUAAAAUAAUUUUAAUAUUAUUAAUAUGUUAGAUAUGUUUGAUUAAUUAUAAAAAUUAUUUACGCAAAUUUUUUUAAUAUUUUCAGUAGAUAUAAAUAUAUUACUUACAUUUUGAUUAUUUAACUAUUAUUAUUCUACAAUUAUUUAUAUAAUGUUUGCACUUAUUAGAAUAUAUUUAAAGUCAAAUCUUUUGCACUUCUACCUAGCUAGAAUUAUUGGACGCAGAGAAAUAAGCAUAUAUGCUUUAUAACUUUAGAAAUCGAAUUAUCUAUACAAAUUGAUUUUAGCUGGAAAAAAAGUGAGCUGAAUGAUAUAGGCGAUUAGUGUGGUAAUAUUUCAUAGAGUUAGACUAUUGAAUUUGGCACCCCUCCAAUCUUCUCAUGAUUACCUUUUUGAGUUAUUAAUACACUUCUAAUUUUUCGUUUAAUUUUUUUUAUUGUUAUACUCAAAGUAGUAUUGUGAUAUUUUAUAUUUCUUUUGCAAUCUUAUUAUUAUUUUACACAAAAUUAAAAAGUUUUCUAGGUGAUGAACUUUUGAGUUUUGAACAUUAAUCAUUGGCUUAAAUUUCAUAUAUUUUACAUUAUAAUUUGAAAUUAAGUACGAAAAUAUUUAAUAAAUUAUGAAAAGAUUAACAGAUUAUUCUAAAUUGAUACAACUUAUUUUAGUUAAAUAAAAAGUAACAGGUAAAAAAAAAAAGGAUUGGUUAUGAAAUUUGUUGGAAAAAAAUCUGUGUGUGUUUAAUUUUUAUUUGUCCUUAAUUGUAAUUUAUUUGAAGUGAGGUUUUAUAAGGAUAAUGAAGGGGUGCCAUAGUUUCACUCUAUUUCAUAUGGAGAGAGAAGUAAAAGGUACACCUGAGGUUAAUGGAAAGGACUUCGAAAGUUUCUUUUGAUUAUAAUACUGUUUGUUCUAAUUAACUUAAAAAAUUUUACUUUAAUAUUUUAUAAUAAAUUAAAUUUUAAUCUUAAAAUAAGUAUAAUCAUAUAUUUUAAAAUAAUCUUAAAAUAAAUACAAUCAUAUAUUUUAAAAUAAUCUUAAAAUAAAUACAAUCAUAUAUUUUAAAAUAAUCUUAAAAUAAAUACAAUCAUAUAUUUUAAAAUAAUCUUUAUAUUUAAAAUUUAUUUAUUUGUACAUAUUUUAUAAUAAAUAUAACACAUACUAUUAAAAUAAUAUAUAAAAAAUUAAAGUAUUUUGAAUAUUAUAUAAAAUAACUUUAAGAUUCUUAAUAUGUAAGAUAUAUUUUAUUAAUUUAAAAUUCUAUUUAAAAUUUUAUUAAUUUAAAAUUCUAUUUAACCCAAAGAUUUAUUUAAGAUAAAUUAAUAAUCAUAUUUUUUAAAUCAUUUCAAAUAUUAAAAAAUAUUUUGAUAUUACUAGUCUAUUAAAUAGAUUAAAUAUUUUUAUUAUUUUGUACUAAUCAAAAGUUACAGCUCGAAUGAUAUUAUGAGAACAGAAUUUUUAUGUCUUUAUUAAAAAUUUGGGUUUGUAUAAUUAUUUUUUCAAAUGUUAGGGGCAUAGCUGUCUUUUUACUUUUAUAUAUGUGAACCGCGGUGGUGAAAAAGUGUGAUUUAAUAUUAGUUAUUUAAAUAAUAUCUGAAUUAAAGAUGUACAGAGAAGAAAUUUCGGUGGGCAUUUUAGUCUUUUAACGAUUAUCAUGAUUAGGGAUUAGGUCCUGCUCUUGAAACGUUGGUCAGAAAAGUUCUAAAAUGCGUACAUUAUCUUUACUUUAAAAAAGUUAUUUUAUUUUAUUACAAAUUAAUGCCGACAAGAAAAAGCAAGAUCUUAAANNNNNNNNNNNNNNNNNNNNNNNNNNNNNNNNNNNNNNNNNNNNNNNNNNNNNNNNNNNNNNNNNNNNNNNNNNNNNNNNNNNNNNNNNNNNNNNNNNNNAUAAAGAUGAAGAAAAGGGCAAAAAAAUAUUAAUGAUUAACGAAAUCUCUAUCCAAAUUGAUUUUAGCAGGAAAAAAGUGAGCUAAAUGAUGUAGACGAUUAGUGGUAAUAUUUCAUAGAGUUAGACUAUUGGCACCCUUCCAAUCUUCUCACGAAUCCUCUUUUUGAGUUAUAUUUAUUUUAUUUUUAAAAUAUCUUUUUUCUCUUUUACUACACUUCUAAUUUUUCAUUUAAUUUUUUUAUUGUUAAACUCAAAGUAGUAUUGUGAUAUUUUUAAUUUCUUUUGCAAUCUUAUUAUUACUCUGCAUAUAAAUUAAAAAGUUUUUUAGGUGAUGAAUUUUUGAAUGUUAAUCAUUAGCUUAAAUUUCACAUAUUUUACAUUACAAUUUGAAAUUUAAUAUGAAAAUAUUUAAUCAAUAAGAAUUAUGAAAAGAUUAAUAAAUUAUUCUAAAUUUAUACAACUUAUUUUAGUUAGAUCAGAAGUAGCAGGUUAACAAAAGAAAGGAUUGGUUAUGAAAUUUGUUGGAAAAAAAUCUAUGUGUGUUUAAUUUUUAUUCGUUGUUAACUCUAAUUAAGUAGGUUAAAUAUUUUUGUUAUUUUUUACUUAUCAAAAAAUUUAAGAUCAAUAUUUUUAGUUACCAUUCGAAGGAUAUUAUGACAAAAACAGAAUUUUCACUUCUUUGUUAAAAAUUUGGGGGUUUGUGUAACUAUUUUUUCAAAUGUUAGGGGCAUAUCUGUCUUUUUACUCUAUAUAUAUGAACCAUGGUGGUGAAAAAGCGUGAUUUAAUGUUAUUUAUUUAAAUAAUAUCUCAAUUAAAAAUGUAAGGAGAAGAAAUUUCGGUGGGCAUUUUAGUCUUUUAACGAUUAUCAUGGUUAGGCCCUGGUCUUGAAACGUUGGUCAGAAAAGUUCUAAAAUGCGUUCAUUUGUCUUUACGCCAACAAUAAAAAGCAAGAUCUUAGUGUCCCACAAAAGCAAAUCGUAAUAUUCCGCAAUGGAGUUAGAUCCGCAAAAGCAAACAAAUUCUUUUAUUAAACUACAAAUUAAAGUGGAAUCAUUUACUAAACAACAAAUUAAAUUUGAAAUAUUUAAAUAGUCGUGCGUUAGACGAUUAGAGACUCUUAUUAAAGGCAAGUACAAAGUAGUGAAGAAUCGAAUAUUUCUAUUGUCUAGUCUUUUUUUAAAAAAAAUUUUCUUUUAUUAUUUUUCAGAAUAUGUUUUGGUGAUUACUAUUGGGUUAUUAUUCAGAGUUAUUGUUAUCUUCCGGGGCAGUUUCUGUUCAUCGAAUUCGUUAAUAAAAUUUUAAAACUCUUAUUGAAAGAAUGUUUUUCCGUUAUCUUUUUUAUAAUCUAAUUUUAAGUGUAAGAAGUAGUCAUUUUAGAAUUUGGGUCUUGAAUCGAAUUUCAAUGCAUGAAUUAAUAUUUAAAAAAAAUUUACUACAUGCAGUUUAGGUUACAAACUAUUUUUUGCAAAGUUGACUAUGAAAUUGGAGAAAUUAAGUAAUUUAUAAUGUUUGCAAAGAAAGAGACCAACAUACUUCCAAUUACACUAUAUCUCAAUUAUCAUAAUGUUAAGAUUAAACUAACUUAAAAUAAAAUUUAUUUAAAAAGUUUAUCAAACGCAGUCUAAUUUUAUUAACUUGAAGAGAUAAUAGUUAUAGAAAUUAUUAUUCUAACUUAAUUAGUAAAAGUGGUAUAAAGGUUAAGUGUGCACUAAAUCUAUUUAAAUUUUUUUCCAGUAUAACUAACAGAGGUCAUUACUAGAAUUAUAUUACUAGUCUAUUAGAUAGAAAAAAUUAUUUAUAUUGUUUUAUAUUUAUUAAAAAAAUUUAAAGUCAAUCUUUUUAAUUACUAUUUAAAGGAUAUUAUAAUUAAAAAAAUUUUAAUGUCUUCAUUAAAAAUUUAAAAUUUUAUAUGACCGUUAUCUAAAUAUUUAAAGUGUAACUGUCAUUUUCUCAUAUAUAUAUAUAAUUUCAUCAACCCCUUAUACUUUAUGUUAUUUAUAUUUUAUUCAUGAAUAUUAUAAAUUUUUUGAAAUAUAAAAUUUCGUUUAACCCUUUAUACUCAAUUUUAUUUUAUUAAAACCCUAGAGUAUGAAUUCGUCCCUAUAAUAUUAAAUUCUCAAAAUAACUUCCAUUUAAUUAAAAAAUAUAAUUAUUAUUAAAUGAAUUAUAAUUAUUAUUAUUAUGUUAUUAUAAUCAUAAAAAGCGAGAUCAUAUUCCACAAAAGCAUAAGUGACAAAACAACCAACUGGAUUCUUUUAUUAAUCAACAAAUUGUAUAGUCUUUUUCAAAUUGUUAUAAAUUGGUGGCCCCUACAAUCCUCAAUAAUUGUACCGAAAUUCACAAGUUGGUGGGCCCUACAAUUCUGUUCCGAUAAUUUAACUGUGCAAGUGCUCAUUCACAAUCUUCCAGGUCAUGCUCUUAACAAUUGUUUUUUCUUUUCUGCACGCCCUUUCAUGCUCUUAAUAAUUGAAGAGCAUACUUUUCAAAUGUGAAGCCGCAUCUAAUGUCGCUAAUUUAAUUUGGGAUUAAAUUACGGGACUAUUAUAUUGCAGUGUGCACUAAUUUUUAUGUUUAUCUAAACUCUUCAAAUUUAAAACAUAUUAUGGCAUAAAUAAGAAUGUAACAAUAACAAAAGAGUAAGAAAGUGUAGAGAAAAUCUUGCAGAAAUAUAAAUAAUAUUUAUUUUUAAAAUAAUAUUAAUAUUUAAAAUAAUUUUUAAUAUUUUAUGGUCCAUUAGAUAUAUUUUAUUAUAUUAAAAUAAAUUUUAUAAUAAAUAAAAACAUACUAUUAAAAUGAAUAUAUAUAGAAAAUUUAGAGUAUUUUAAGUAUUAUAUAAAAUAAUUUUAAUAAAAUAUGUGAGAUAUUCAUAUUUUAUUAAUUUAAGAUACCAUUUAACCUAAAGAUUUAUUUAUGAUAAAUUAAUAAUUAUAUUUUUGAAAUUACUUCAAAUAUUAAAAAAAUUAAUAUUACUAAUAUAUUAGAUAGAUUAAAUUAUAUAUAUUAUUUUUACUUAUUAAAAAAAUUUUAAAAUUAUUUUUAAUUACUAUUCAAAAAACGUAUUCAAAAAACAUAAUGAUAAAAAAAUCUUAACAUCUUUAUUAAAAAAUUAAAAACUUAUAUGAUAAAUUCUCUAAAUAUUUACGGUAUAUGUGAACCACGGUGGAUAAGCUUUAUUUAAUAUUAUUGAUUUAAAUAAUAUGUCAAUUAAAAAUGUACAGAGAAGAAAUUUCGGUGGGUAUUUUAGUCUUUUAAGCAAUUAUCAUGAUCAGAUCAGCCUUUAGCCUUCAAACGUCGGUCAGAAAAGUUUUAAAAUUAAUGCUAAAUUGUUUUUCACUUUUAACGUUGGUGGCCUUGAAAUUGCUUGUAUUUUAUUAAAAAUUAAUGCUAACAAGAAAAAGCUAGGUCAUAUUCCACAAAAUCAAAAGUGACAAAACAACCAGCUGGUUUCUUUUACUAAACUACAAAUUAAAAUAAAUUUUUUCGAUAAAUUACAAAUUAAAGUGGAUUCUUUUGAAUACAAAUGGGACAGACGAUUAGGCUCUUUUUAUUAGAGGCAAGUAAAAACUAGUCAAGAAUCGAACAGUCUUUUUCCAAUUCUUGUUUUAUUAUUUUUCAAAACUAGUUUUUGGUAAUUACAACCGGGUCAUUAAUCAUUAUUCAGAGUUAUCUUCCGGGGCAGUUUCUGUUCAUCGAAUUCGUUAAUAAAAUGUUAAAACUCUUAUUGAAAGAAUGUUUUUCCGUUAUCUUUUUUAUAAUCUAAUUUUAAGUGUAAGAAGUAGUCAUUUUAGAAUUUGGGUCUUGAAUCGAAUUUCAAUGCAUGAAUUAAUAUUUAAAAAAAAUUUACUACAUGCAGUUUAGGUUACAAACUAUUUUUUGCAAAGUUGACUAUGAAAUUGGAGAAAUUAAGUAAUUUAUAAUGUUUGCAAAGAAAGAGACCAACAUACUUCCAAUUACACUAUAUCUCAAUUAUCAUAAUGUUAAGAUUAAACUAACUUAAAAUAAAAUUUAUUUAAAAAGUUUAUCAAACGCAGUCUAAUUUUAUUAACUUGAAGAGAUAAUAGUUAUAGAAAUUAUUAUUCUAACUUAAUUAGUAAAAGUGGUAUAAAGGUUAAGUGUGCACUAAAUCUAUUUAAAUUUUUUUCCAGUAUAACUAACAGAGGUCAUUACUAGAAUUAUAUUACUAGUCUAUUAGAUAGAAAAAAUUAUUUAUAUUGUUUUAUAUUUAUUAAAAAAAUUUAAAGUCAAUCUUUUUAAUUACUAUUAAAGGAUAUUAUAAUUAAAAAAANNNNNNNNNNNNNNNNNNNNNNNNNNNNNNNNNNNNNNNNNNNNNNNNNNNNNNNNNNNNNNNNNNNNNNNNNNNNNNNNNNNNNNNNNNNNNNNNNNNNNNNNNNNNNNNNNNNNNNNNNNNNNNNNNNNNNNNNNNNNNNNNNNNNNNNNNNNNNNNNNNNNNNNNNNNNNNNNNNNNNNNNNNNNNNNNNNNNNNNNNNNNNNNNNNNNNNNNNNNNNNNNNNNNNNNNNNNNNNNNNNNNNNNNNNNNNNNNNNNNNNNNNNNNNNNNNNNNNNNNNNNNNNNNNNNNNNNNNNNNNNNNNNNNNNNNNNNNNNNNNNNNNNNNNNNNNNNNNNNNNNNNNNNNNNNNNNNNNNNNNNNNNNNNNNNNNNNNNNNNNNNNNNNNNNNNNNNNNNNNNNNNNNNNNNNNNNNNNNNNNNNNNNNNNNNNNNNNNNNNNNNNNNNNAUUGUGGGCACUCUUGUUCGUGCAUGUUUGCUAGAAGAGAUGGAAGAUGAUAAAGUAAAAAUGCAUGACGUUGUUCGUGAUAUGGCUUUAUGGAUAGCUUGUGAAAUUGAGAAGGAGAAGAGAAACUUUUUGGUUUGUGCAGGUGCUCGAUUAGAAGAGGCACCGGGUGUUAAAGAAUGGGAAAAUGUGAGAAGAUUGUCAUUGAUGCAAAACCAAAUUGAAACUGUGUCAGAGAUUCCCGCAUGCCCUCAUCUCCAUACUCUAUUUCUUGCCUCUAAUAGGAAUUUCAGGAUGAUCACGGAUGGCUUCUUUCAAUUUAUGCCUUCUCUCAAAGUUUUGAAGAUGUCACGCUGUGGGCAAUUCGAAGGUUUUCAAUUACCUGUUGGGAUGUCAGAGUUGGGUUCAUCACUAGAACUUCUUGAUAUUUCACAUACCACCAUAAGAGAGUUACCCGAAGAGUUAAAGUUGCUGGUAAAUCUGAAAUGUUUGAAUUUGAGGUGGACAGGUGCGUUAAUUAGAAUUCCACGGGGACUAAUAUCAAAAUUUUCAAGGUUACGUGUGUUGAGAAUGUUGGGUACUGGCGGGUUCAUUUUUUAUGAAGCACCAGAAGACAGCGUUUUAUUUGGUGGGGGUGAAGUUUUGAUACAGGAAUUGCUCGGUUUGAAAUAUUUAGAGGUAUUGGAGUUGACCUUGGGAAGUUAUCAUGCUCUCCAAAUUCUUUUGAGCUCAAAUAAGUUAAAAAGUUGUAUUCGAUCUCUUUACCUCUAUUUGACCGGAGAUAAAAAGUCGAUUAUUGAUGCUACGGCUUUCACAGACCUAAACCACCUCAAUGAAUUAUGGAUUGAUAAUGGAAUUGAGUUGGAAGAAUUGAAGAUUGAUUAUACGGAGAUAGUACGAAAAAGGCGGGAACCUUUUGUUUUCCACAGCCUUCACCUUGUUACGAUAUAUAGUUGCCAUAAAUUGAAAGAUUCGACAUUCCUCGCUUUUGCUCCAAACCUCAAGUCUCUUUCGCUAUUCAAAUGCCGUGCUAUGGAAGAAAUAAUCAGCGUCGGAAAAAUUGCUGAGAAUCCUGAGAUGAUGGGACAUAUAAGCCCUUUUGAAAAUCUCAAAAGUCUUGAUCUAUCAUAUUUGCCGGAGUUGAAGAGCAUUUUCUGGAAGCCAUUGCCUUUCACUCAUCUCAAAGAAAUGGGGGUAAGAGCAUGUGAUCAGCUUAGAAAGCUUCCACUCGAUUCCAACAGUGCAAAAGAGCGUAAAUUUGUAAUUCGUGGAGAAGAAGACUGGUGGAACCGACUUCAAUGGGAGGAUGAAGCCACUCAAAUUGCUUUUCGUUCCUGUUUCCAACCUGAUUCCUGAGCGGUGGUCGCAAAAUUUGAUUUCUGGUGAGUGCGUUUGUCUUUUAAAAGAAGAAUUUAAAAGAAAUUUAUUCUUGACGUUUUCUUCACUGUUUUUAUUUCAGUCUCUCUCUCUCUCUUUUUGUCUUCUGCUAAUCACAAUUAAAUGUUGAAUUAAUGGAAUUAAUGCUUCAUAAAUUUGCCGGCACUGCCAUUACUUUUUUUUUUUUUAAUACAAAUUGAUACUUUAUUUAUAUCUUCUUAGCGAUUUAAUUUCCUGUCAAUUGACGAACGAGAAGAACAUAUGACUUGAACCAAUGCUCGCAUAAACUUGCUGUAAAAAGAUAUAAUCUCACUGAAAUGCACACGCCUAGAAUGAAUAGAAUUAAAACAGGGAAAAUAUUAAGUAUAUUAGCCCUCUUUACCGAAAAUCAAAUGACAAUAAAUUUUUUGAAGUUUUGAUUUUCUAUGGUCAAUUCCACCUUUUGCAAUUUCUUCUGUUCUAACAAAAACCAAUUUCUUUGUUCAAGUAUUUUCGUUUGGGUAUUAAUAAUUCUCCACCGAAAGAGUGAACUCUUGCUCAAGGGAUCUCUAAUCAAUAGCCGGAAGGGCGCCGAGACCUGAUCGGACCUAGGCCCAAGUUUGGUCUUAAAGCCUGGGCUUGAGCCUGGCAAUUAAAUUAAAACAGUAAUUGAUUUCUUGAAUGAAUUGUCGUGUAAUUGAUUUAUGGGGGAUGACACAUCAACAUACUUGAAAAUACACUAAUCUCAGCAUCAUCCGUUAAUAACUUUUAGAUUUAUGGGCAAUCAAUAGUUAAAUUAGUUGUCAUUAAUACUAAAUAAUUUUUACUUUUUUUGUCUCUUCUAGAGGAUCUUCUAGAAAAAUGCAUCCACAAUUAAAUUUAAUACUUUACAUAAUAAAGAAAGCAUAAAUGUUAAAUUUAAGAAACUGCAUUGUAUUUCAGCUGAAGUUGACUUUAAUAUUUAGGGUAGAAAAAAAUUAAAUCCUUAAUGUGUUUAAUUUCUAUCACUUGUGUCAUUAAAAUUUUCUAGUCACCCUAACCAAUUACAUCUCAACCCACUUUUUUUUGGAUGAUUUUAUUUUUACACUAUUAUUUUCAACAUUUUUUUUUCCUUUUAACACCAACAUUAGUGUAUGUUACGUAACAUAAUCCAUAUUUGGAUAAUUUGAAAUUUGUUUGUGUUUUAUCUCAAAAUAGAGCUUCAAUCAAUUUGUACCUCAUAAAUUCACAAUAUCUGGCAUAUUGUCAAAUGUGCUUAUCCUUUUGCUUGACAUGUCAUUUUAAAAUUGUCAUUCAAUGUCAAAAAAUCACAUCAACUAAUGGCCGACUACUUUAAUUUGAAAGCAUGCGUGCGAUCGCCAAUAAUUAUAACUUAAUUGUUAUAUUGAAAUUUUUUUCUUUAUAAUUUAAGUUUAAUACUGCUACAUGUGUGGCACAUAAGUUGGAAAAUAUAACAUAAAAUUUGAAAAAUGUGUAGUUUUCGUUCCUUUUUUUUCUAAAAAAAUGGGAAAAAAGAAUGUAAUUUUGUUUAAAUUACUGUUGUCAUAACAAUUAUUAUUUUAUUGAUUAAUUGGCAGAGAAUCGUAAUGGUUUCGCAUGGUUGUUAAAACAUUGGAAAGUCCACUACAUCAUCGGUUAAUAACUUUCAGAUUUAUGGUUAAUUAAUAGCUGAGAUUUAUUAUCAUUAAUGCUAAAUAUUUUUUCUCUCUCCUGGAGGAUCAUCCACAGGCAGGUGCUUCCUGACGAUGACAAAAUUUUGGGCAGGCAGGUGCUUCCUGACUUUCACACGGUAAUUCUCAAAUUCUGAUUUCACCAUAUUUUAAUUACUGAUUAGCAUAUAUUCAAGUGCUCUCCAUUAUAAUGGAAGCCGCCGCCUCACUCGUAAUUCCAAACUUUAUCUUUUUUUCCUUUUUUAAAUUAAUGCAAGUAGCCGCUGUCCUUUCUAUUAAUUAAUUAAUUCGGCCGCCCACAUUUCUUUUCCUAAUGUCUUCUACUGUCGAGUUUAUUUUAUUUUCUCUUUAUUAUUAAAAUAUACUUAUAAUAAUAAAAAAAUAAAAAUUAACAUAUCAAAAUAUAAUUUAACAGAAAAUUAAGAUAAAAAAUUAAAAAUAAAUAAAUUAUGAGCAUAUCAAUCAAUAAAUGAAAAAUAAUAAUUUUUAUUUUUAUUAAAUAUAAAUUUUUCAGUAUUAAUCAAUUAUCUGAAUAAAUAAAAUCAUUUAAAAAUAAAUAAAUAAAUUAUUCUUAAAAAAAAAAAAAAAACUUUUUAUAACACUCACUAUGCUGGUUGUAGGGUUGACGCUUUGGGUACUGAAGCUAGUAACUUCUACAAGUAGUCUUAAGUUGACUGGCAACAACUAUAUUGGCAUUUAGAAAUAAUGUACUGCAACCAUAUUGGCAUGUUCAAAUGUUCUUAUUAUUGUAUUGGUGUGUCAAUAUUAUCUCUAACGGUUUUAUAAAUAAAAAAAUAAUCUAAAUUUAUAAUUUAACAUAAAAUAAAAUAAUUGGUAGAAAAACAAUUAUGGUUCAUUUACUUAUCAGUAAUCAGAAUAGACUGAAAUCGAAAUGAGUUGUAUUACUGUUGAUGUGUUUAUGUUGUACUCGAAUCGAAAUGAAUUAUUUUAAAUUACUAAAAUAUCCUUGGUCUGUUAUUCUAAUUAUUAUUAUUAUUUAAUAUUUAUUAUAAUAUUUUUCAUAUCAUUAAAAAAAAAUAAUAAUGAUGAUAAUAUUCUCAUUAUUGUUUGUUACAUUAUUAUUAUUCAAAAAAAUUAUUGUUAAUAACAAUAAUUACUUUAUUUCAAUAAUAAUAAUGAUAAAAUUAAUAAUAAUAAACAUGACAACAACAAUAAUUAUUUAUUAUGCCAAAAAAUAACAAUAAUAAUAAGAAUAAUAAUCAUCAUCAUUUUUUUGCCAAAGAAGCAUUAUCAUCAUCAUUUCAAAAAAAAAAUCAUCAUCAUCAUCAUCAUUUUUGUAGUGGCUACCUAUCGGCUGCUGCUUUCAUGUGAGAUUGACUUGCGACGCUUCAACGGCUAUUAUUUCUGACAAUGUCAGGUGUUGCUAUUUCAAUUUAGGAAGAAGUUGUUUCGGUGUGCUAGCGAUGGGAGAUGUUGUGGCUGCGAUUCGGGGAGCUACUAGUUUAUUGCACUAAUAACGGCAGGUGCUGUUGCUUGAUGCGAGGUCCAUGGCCAGUUGUCAGCAGUUCGACUUUGGUAUGGGUGCUGCUGGUUCGAUUUUAGGUGUUGUCCAAUUUCAUUUUCAGGAUUUUAAUUUUAUUUUUCUUUUAUAUUUUCAUUAAUUAAUCAGGGUAAAAUUGGAUUUUAGAAUUUAGAAUGAAGGUAAUUUUGUUAAUAAUGGAAAUGAGAUUCUGAUUGUCGAGAAUGAGCUUACACAAACAACUAUAAAUUAAGUGAAAACAAAACACUUUUUCUCUUUGUGUGAUUAAAACAUGAUAUGUACCAUAAAUAAAUAAGUAAAAAAUAAAUCAACACAAUCUAAAACAGUAAACAAAUUACAAGAGGCACAGAUUUUUAUGUGAAACACCGAAAAUGGAAAAAACCACAGCAUCUUAGUUUGAUAUAAUCUUCUACUAUAUUAAUGGGAUUAUAGCACAAAUUCUUUCCUAUAUAACACUAGAGAUUAACAACAUCAAGAAUCUCAAUAAUCUUGACUUACAAUACAGCCUAAUAUUUGUCUCUCUAAUAAGUAGAUAUCUAAAAUAACAGUCUCUAAUAAGUAUGUAUCUAAAAUAAUAGUCAACAAGAGGAUAAAACAAAAAUUAAGAUUAGUAGGAUGUGUAUAAGGUGAUGCUAUCAAUUUAUCUUCUAAAUUUGAGAAAAAUAGUUAAAUUCACUUUUUCGAUUGUCCGACCAAAAAUGGAAACCCUUGCCCCAAAACCAAAGGAAUCACCAUUAUGUUUUUCUCUCUCUCUCUCUCUAUCUCGUUCUUUUCUUCUUCUUUUCUUAAUGUUAGCCAUCACUUGCUUUUAUUCUUUAUAGCAUUCAAAAAGCUACUUUUAAUGGUAAAUUUCAUUUAAGUCUGCAACUUAGUGAUAAUUGCACACCAAACAAUCCUUACAUAGUGUUUUGGGCCCUCAAAUGAGAUGAAUACAACAAAUCUCCCCCUUUAAAUCAUGUGGGGGGCACCGCAAGCCCGCUAUUUGCAUAUAGCUUUUCAGCUUCUCCUUGAAUAAUGACUUUGUCAUCAUACAUAAUCCAUUCUUCGUUGUGUAAAUCUUCUCAAGCUGUAACUGUUCCUUCUCAAGCUGUAAUUAUUCCUUCUCAAGCACGUCUCGUAUCUAAUGAUACCUUACAUCAAUAUGCUUAGAUUUCGAAUAGUAUAACAGCACUCUGACUAUCGUAGUACAUAACAUAGCUGUCUUGUUUUACACCCAGCUCUUGUAGGAAAUUCUUCGUCCACAAUAUUUUUUUGCAACCUUCAAUAAUUGUAAUAUCAUUUGCUUUAGUGGUAGAAAAGGCAACUUAUUACUAAAGUUUAGAUUGCGAUGAGACUGUUCCCCCUGCAAAAGUGAGCAAACAUCCUAGUAGGAAUUUUUCGGAAUCAACAGCUCCUGCCAUAUCUACACACUUGUAACACAGGUUUGUCACCACCAAAAUAUAAACAUGCUCUGGAAAUGCAUCUAAGAUAUCUGAGAAUUUUUCACUGUUGUCCAGUGCUCUUUACCGAGGUUGAAGAGAAACCACUGACUACACUAACUGUAUAGGCAAUAUUUGGUCUUGUACAAAUUAUGGCGUACAAUAAACUGCCAACUGCUGAAGCAUAAGGAACUCCUCUCAUGGAGAAAUGGGUUUUACUCUUGAGAUUUUUGGGACCAUGAAGAAUAAAGAUGUAAUUUCUUAUACUGCCAUUGUUUCGGGAUAUAUAAAUAGAGAACAAGUCGAUAUAGCUCGACAGUGUUUUGAUCAGAUGCCAGAACGAGAUUAUGUCUUAUGGACUACCAUGAUUGAUGGGUACCUUCGAGUGAAUAGGUUCAGAGAGGCUUUGACACUUUUUCAGGAGAUACAAACUUCAAAUAUAAUGGGAGACGAGUUUACCAUUGUUAGCAUUCUUACAGCUCGUGCGAAUCUGGGGGCACUAGAACUGGGAGAAUGGAUAAAGACUUAUAUUGACAAAAACAAAGUCAAGAAUGAUAUAUUUGCGGGGAAUGCUUUGAUAGACAUGUACUGUAAAUGUACUGUAAAUGCGGAGAUGUUGAGAAAGCUCAAAAGGUAUUCAGGAAGAUGCUUUGAAAGGUCAAAUUCACAUGGACGACCAUGAUUGUUGGCCUUGCCAUCAGUGGAAAUGGUGAUAAAGCUCUUGAUAUGUUUUCCCAAAUGCUCAGGGCUUCGAUCAAACCAGAUGAGGUAGCUUAUGUUGGUGUUCUGUCUGCCCGUACUCACAAUGGUAACGAAACUUUUGUGAUAAAUAGUUGCAACUUAAGGUGAGAACUGGAGGAAGGGAAAUAGAUUGAAGUUGUUCAAUCAUCAGUAGUUGCUACUUGGUUUUAAGUUGUUCAAUCAUCGGUCGUCUCUAUUUGGUUUUCUCCAAUAUCUCAUCUUCAAUUUUGACUCAGAUUGUAUCUUACCACUAGUAAUUACAUAGACUUGCUGCCAAAGGUAAGAAUGGGAAUAAAUUAAAUAGAUUAUGUCGAAAACGAAAUAAAUUUACUAUUGUUCUGUUCAUUCUAUUUGUUUCCUACAAAAUAUUUCUCCUGCCUAAAAUUUUUUGAAUCAGUAAGUUUUUACCUUAUGGAUGAAUUGUGUUGAGAGUAAUUCCAUUUCUCAGUCUCUUUAUGUUUCAAUGAAGACGUAAAACUUGUGUUCUAGUGCACCAACGUUUAUGCUUCUUACAAUUUGACUUUAAUUUACUUUGUAAAAUUUUUGUCAAAAAGUACUAAAAAGUAGUGCACCAAACACCAACUUUAUUACAGAGAGGACUUUAGUUAAAUUUUAAGAAAACACUCAAAAGAAAGAGUUGUAAAUUAUUAUAAAAAUAUUUCACAUAAAUAAAAGCCAUCCCAUGCUGCAAAGAUCUUGCUAUAAUCACCAAAAACUAUCGGGAGCUUUUAGGGUUUCCAUAAAAAUGCCAUUUCGUUCCAUGUAUAUGAUUCUAUAGUCUCACUGGCAAGUAAACCACAGCCCAACAGCACUGACUGUCCAUGAUGAUUCACCCCAAUGAACGAAACCAGCGUUGCAUCAUAUCUUUCUGUCAAGCAUGUAAUAUCAAUUGAUUUGAGCUAUUAACAUCAUUUCCAAAUACUCCAUUGGCAUCUACAUUACCAUUUCCCUCGGCAUCAAUGAUAAGAGUUCGAAACAGUCUAAUCUUUUGAACUUCUUCAGCACCAUCUAAGAGCAAUGUUCUUUUGGUUCCAAUACCCAUGUGCUUAUGAUAUUUGUAAAAUAAUUAUUUGUAAAAUAAUUAGUUCAAUUUUGACAUAAUACGGAAUAAACACAACCUGCCAAUCUAAGUUACUAUCUUUUCCCGUCAUCAGGUACCUGUUUGAAAAAUAAUUAUAUACAAUUUUAUUUGCGUCGUCCCUCUAAAAAUUUGGGACUCAAAUGUUAUUUCUAAUUGCUAAAAGUACGAAAUUGCCCCCUUUCUCUUCAGCUAAAGGAGUGCAAAGUCAUCUGUAUAAUUGAAUCUGCAUCAUCAGUUUCUAUUGCUGGCUGGUGUUACUGCAUGCUUACAGUUGCUUGACAAAGUGAGCCAGUUUUUUGUUUAUUAAUUUUUUUUCUUGUCGAGACAGUCACAAAGUAUUACUUGUUCUAUUUGAGAAUGAUGUGAAUCAAUUUUUCAAUUAUGCAUUCUGUGGUAAUUAUUGUGAAUUUAGUUUCAUUUGUCUUGUCUCCUGCAAAUUUUGAAGAAAAUGCAGACAUACAAAUUUACAAUAUGUAUUUGCGUUAGUAUAAAAACAAUUGUUAGAUGAUUAAAGCGAUUUAUUUUUUUUUUUACAGCAUUUGAUUGUAUUAGUUAAAAUCAUUUUUUAAGGAUAAAAAUAAAUAGAAAAUUAUUCUCAUGUAGUGUGGAAAUCUUUUCUAAUUUCUUGUUGACUUGUACAUUUAUUUCAGAAUUUCCAUUCAUUAAUUCUACUGUUUUAAUCUUUGACUUAGCUACCGUAGUUGACUUUUUAUAUCAAAGGCUUAAACAGCAUGCAUUUUUGAAUUGACUGAGAAUAAUUUGGUGGACAAAUUACUAGUAAAGGACUUCAAAUGGUUGAAUUGACUGUGGGUUUUUCAUGCCCAAGUCACUCGUCACGUCGUUUCAUCGAAACAAAGUGCCCGGUGCAAAUGGUGUGAUGUAAAACACCUUUUUAAAUUGUCAUUUUUUUUCCUUUGCUUUUGCUUUAAUUUUCUAAAUGCUCAACGCCAUAAAUCCAUGUAUUCUUAAUUUUCGUUUGCUGUAUUGAUUCCCAACCCUCUAUGUCACAAGGUUUUGAAUGCCAGUAAUUAAGUUAAAUUAAACAUAUUUUAAGUCCUACUUUAAAUUAUUGAAAAAUGUAUUAUGGUUGAACUGAAUUUUAACUAAAAAAUAUAUACAAAAUAAAAGAUUAAUCAUAUCUUUUUAUGAGGAAGGUCAGUCAUCAUUCUGACCACAGACACUUAAAAUUAAUUGAGUGGAAUAUUGCAAAAUAUAUAUAAACCAUGCCAAAACUAGAUGUUUGAGUAAUGAAAACGAGAAUUCAUAUGACUCAGAAAUAUGGUCGCUUUCCUUUUUCUGAAAGGCAAAAAAAAAGGGGGAACCAAAAAGGACCAAAAUGAACAAAAAUGGAAGGCGAAGGUAAGCAGACAUGUUAUAUGUUUUACCUAAGAUGCCAAAUGCAACUCCCCAUUGAUGGUGAUCGAACAUUAUGGCCAUUUUCUUAGUAAACAAAAAAUGAAUUUUGAACACUCAACAACGAAACUUGAGCAGAAGAUCAAGCAAGGGCCUCGAUCUCAAAGAAGAUACUAUGAAACCCUACUUAAUGGUUAAAUAACUUUCAUUCAGCUUUGGACCCUAUUUCGUGAUACGGAAAGACAAACCUUUCUUGGCCGGCAGUGUCCCAGAUCUGGGCUUUGAUGAUCUAGAGGUUGAUGGUGACAGUUCUGGUUUGGAACUCGACGCCAAUGGUUUAUUUCGAUUCAAAGCAAAACUCAUUCUUGGUGAAUCUCGAAAGAAUCUGAGACUUGCCCACGGCCGAGUCACCGAUCACCACUACCUUGAAUACAUAGUCUAUUUUGUCAGGAAUCAUAUUCUCUCGUUGUUGAUGACGAUGAUCGGUGCCAUCACCACUCAUUUCUUCGUUCAUUCAUUCUAUGUCCAUUGAUCUUUUUGAAUUAUUGAAGACAAGUGGCUCACCGCUUUUAGUAUUGGUAAAAUUCAGAUAAUCUCUAUUCCGAAAUAAUAAUAUUAAAAAUAUCUCUUAAAUCAUUAUAAACUUCAAAUCUAUUUUAAUUUUAUUUAAAAGAUAAAAGAAAAAUAAGUUAUGUUGGUGAUUUUUUAUUAUCUUUUUAAUAAAAAUAGAAUAAAUUGAUGUUUAUAAUUAUUUAAAGUAUUUUAAAGAUUGCUAUUUUAUGAGAGAAUAAUAUUUCAUUUUUUUUUUCGUGUGAAAGACCGAAAAAGGACAAAGCAAGUUUCCCUAAUUUUUAUUUUAUGUGAAAUUGGUCAUCUCAUAUACUUUACCCUUCAACACUCUAAUUUUUUUGGUUAUAAUUUUAUUAUUUUUUCUCUUUUACACAUGCAUGUGAAUUACUUUUCUUUAAGCUCCUGAAUAUUUAAGACAAAUCAUGGAAGAGAUGAGAGUAUAACAAGAUGAUCAAAAUAUGUAACAAAAAAAUUUUAGAAGUGAAAAAUAUGUUAGAGUCGAAGUAAAACUCUGAGGUGAUGUUUGAUUUGAAGAAAAUGGAGGAGAGAAAAAGAGUGGAAUGGAGAGGAAAAGAGAGAAAAGGAGAGGAGAGGAGAGGAGAGUGAACUUUUUUUCUAAUGUUUGGUUUGUCACAUAAAUAUACAAAGAAAGGAAAUCUCCAAUUUUUUAUUUAGACAAUUUUAACCUUAAUAAGUAUUAAGCUUUCAAUAUUUAUCAUGUGUAUAAUUUAAAAAAAGUAAAUGGUAGAAAGCGGUUUCUGAUUCCGGCCACAUCGCCGGCAAUGGAAGGUACUUAUCAGAACAUCAAGAACCGGCCAUCAUUCCCUAGCCAUCACUGCUGUAGGAACACUGCUAAAAAGCUGCCGAUUGAACCGCGAAAAGUCGUGGAAAUCGUUGCCUCAAAUCGGUGAGUUUCGCCUUUUUCUGGUCAUGCCGUCGCCUUGGCUUUGUCCAUCAACGCUGCCACUUCCAUUUCAACCAUCCAUAGCCACUAUUAACCGCCAAAUCGCCGCCGAUCAGCGGGAUCUGUGGAAGUUAAAAAGUUUCUAAAAUUUUUUAAUUGGAUUUGAACAACAUACAACCAUUUUUUGAUCUCAAUAACGACAUAGUAAUGUUGAUCGUUGGUCGGCAAGUCGAAUGGUAGUGGCGGUGAGUAACACGCGCCAAUGACAUCGGCGGCGGCGGCGGCACUAUCCGGCUACUGUUAAAAUUAAUAUUUUAUAUUUGUAGAUUAAAUAAAUUUAUUUUAUUAAACUUUUUAAAUCAUUAUUUAAAUUUAAUUAAUUUAAAAUUAUCUAUGAUGUUGAAUUGAUAAAAUAAAUUUAUAAAUAAUAAUUAUGUGAUUACAUUAAAUAAGUUAAAAAGUUGAAGGGUUAUUUUUGGAAGAUUUAGUUUCCAACACAAAGGGAAUUUGAAUUCUUCACUUCUUAGUGUGGAAUUCAAAUUCUAUAUUGUAAUGGAUAUUAAAUUCCAAUAGAAAUUAAAUUCUUAUAAGUUAUGUCAAACCAAACAACGGAAAUAAAAAAAAAGAAUUUAAAUUACUUUCCUUUCCUCCACCCUCUCCUUCCAACCAAAUACAUCCUGAAAAUAGAGAUAUUGAUUAAUUUAGAAGAGAUGCAAGCAAAAGAUAUUCCACAAAAAAAAAAAAGCAAUAUGUCCCUUUGGAGGGCAAACUUGUCAGUUUUAAAAAAGUACAUGCUUUGGAUUGAUAGUUGUAGGAUAUUUGUUUUGUCACUAUGUGUUAGUUGGAGAAGUCAAGCCUUGUGAAGAAUGUUAUGAAAGAGCAAAGGAUAUUCCUGAUAGCUGAUAGAGCUCUAUUUGAUUAUGUAUCCAAUGAAUGGAUGUGUUGUUGGAAGAUAUUUGAGUGCAUUAGUUCAUAUGUGUCUAUCAAUGUGAUUUUAAUGAUUUUUCCACUUGUUUGUUGUAAAAGAUUAUUGUAAAUUGAAAUGAACUUGAUGUUGUAAUAUUUUCUCCUUAGUAGAAUUUCACCUAGUAUGUAUUUAGUUGUGUUGUCUAUAAUUUUGCAUUCGAAUAAGUUUCACCUAAAAUAUUAGCAUGAGUAGUGGCCCUUGAAACUUUGGUCAAAAUUAUUGUUAUUAUUUCCGACUAGAUGUAAAUUUUUUAUUAAAUCUCGCUAACACAAUUCUUAAUUAAAAGUAUAGGUUAGUGUUGGUGCAAGACUUGCCACACCAAAUUCUGCCUAACUGUCAAAAGUGCAAAAUAAAUGAAGAGAAAGCACAAAUACACGACUUGAAUAAGGAUACAACGAAACUUAAAUUCAAGAGAAAAUGAUAGCUAUAUCUCAAGAUUUGAAAAAACGGUCAUGUAGAUUUUUAAGAUUUCAAUAAGCGACUGAGAUUCAAAUAAUAUCCUUUAAUUCUAUUAACAAAAAACAAAGACUCAAAUAUUUUAUGAUAAAUAAAAAUAUAAUAUUAAAAUAUAUGUGAUAAUAUACACAUUUUAAAUACUUUCAAUCCAAAAAAAUAGUUAUGUUUUACAAUCUAUUAGACAUAUUUUAUUAAAUUAAUAUAAAUUUUCUAUAAAAUAAGAAUAUAAUAUUAAAAUAAAUUCACAAAAAUUUAAAGAAUUUUGAAUGUAAAAUAAUUUUAAUAUAUCAAUACGUGAGUUUUUUUAUUAAUAUAAAAUUUAUUUAACUUUAAGAUUUUUUAAAAUCUUUACAAUAAGUAUAACUAUAUUAUUUACAUUUAAAAAUAUUUAAAUAUUAUUAACCUACAAUUAUAUUUGCAUUUGUUAGAAAUUUUUUAAGUCAAAUAUUUUGCACUUCUAUAUUAUUAGAAUUAUUGCACAAAAAGAAAGAAACAUACACCUUUAGAAAUUGUUUUCUUUUAAAAUAGAGAUGAUGAUUAGUAUAAGGAUGAAAAAAAGGAUAAAGAAUAUUAAUGAUUAACGAAAUCUCUAUACAAAUUGAUUUUAGUAGGAAAAGAGUGAGAUGAAUGAUUUCUUUUACAGUUAGAAACAUAGAUGAUGAUUAUUAUAACGAAGAAAAAAAGAUAAAGAAUAUUAAUUAUUAAUGGAAUCUCUAUACAAAUUGAUUUUAGUAGGAAAAAAAUGAUUAAAUGAUUUAGAGUGCGUUUGGAAUUGAGAUUGGGCAGCCAUAGAUUUUAAGUUACAACACUGAAGUGUUUAGUAAAUACUAGUUGCUGCAGAUUGAAAGUUAUGUUGAUAUGAUUUUUCACAUGUAUCAUAGAAAAUAUAUUACAUCUUUAAUAUUUUUUAAAAAUUUAUAUUUGCUAUAUAUUAUUAAUUUUUUUUUAUAGUUAUAACUUUUUUUCCACAACAGUUGUAGCUUAAAAGUCACAGCACCUCAAUCUCAAACAAAUCCUUAGACAUUCAUAGUGUGUUUAUUUUUUGGAUUGGUGAAUCAAAAUUAUUGACAACGCUAACUUCAUCUUCACUGUUCGCAAUCCAACAGCAGCAAUUGUCGCCAAUAAUGAUAUCUCCAAUGAUGAUGACAAUUAUUAUUAUUAUUUUUAUUAUUAUUAUUAUUAUUAUUAUUAUUAUUAUUAAUUAAUUAAUUAAUUAAUUAAUUAAUUAAUUAAUAUAUUAAUGUUGAUAUUAUUAUUAUUAAGAUUAACAAUAAUUAUUAGUAAUACAAUUUUUUGAAUAAAAAUAAUCACAAUAAUUAAAAUACAAAUUAAUAAUUAUGACAAUAAUUAAUUAAUGUCUUUUUAGUAAUUUGUAAUAAUCUAACUCAUUUUGGUUCUGAUUAUUACAGCUUAAGUAAACAAAUUAUUAUGAUUCCUAUUCUCCUUUCCCAUUUUAACUCACUUUGAUUCCAGUCUAUUCCGAUUUCUAUUUAAUAAAUGCACCAUUAGUGCUAAAGUAAUAUUUCAUACAUAGAAAAAUAAAAACUACGCCUAAGGUUAAGGGAAAAGACUUCAAAAUUCUCUUUUGAUCAUAAUACAUUUUGUCCUAAUUAACUUAAAGAUUUUGAAUCUAAUAUUUUAUAAUAAAUAAAAAUAUAUUCCUAAAAUAAAUAUAAUAUCAAUAUUUAAAAUAUGUUUUAAUAUUUUACAAUCUAUCAUACACAUUUUAUUAUAUUAAAGUAGAUUUAUAAUAAAUAUAUAAAAAUUUAGAAUAUUUAGAAUAUUAUAUAAAAUAAUUUUAAUAUAAUGCGUGAUAUAUAUUUUAUUAAUUUAAAAUGUCAUUUUACCUAAAAAAUAUGAUAAAUUAAUAAUUACAUAUUUGAAGUUAUUUCAAAUAUUAAAAAAAUUUAAUAUUAUUAAUCUUUUAGAUAGAUUAAAUUAUUUUUUAUAAGAGAGAUUAAAUUAUUUUAAAAUGCCUUAAUUGUUUUUACUUUUAACGUUACGGGCCUUUCUUUUAUUUUAUUGCAAAUUAAUGCUAACUAGAAAAACAAAAACAAAAGUGACAAACACAACCAGCUGGAAUCUUUUAUAAAACUACAAAUUAAAAUGGAUUUUUUUUUUUUGUUGAUAAAUUACACAUGAAAGUGGAUUCUUUUGAAUAUAAGUGGGGUAGGCUCUUUUAUUUUUUUUUUAAUACCGUAUAACAGGACUGUAGACUCUUUUAUUAAGCACAAAUAUAGAGUUGUCGAGACAAUUAGGGUCUUUUAUUAAACUACAAAUUGUAUAGUCUUUUUUAAAUUGUUCAGAUAUUUAUAAAUUGGUGGCCCCUACAAUCCUCAAUAAUUGUACCGAUAUUCACAAGCUGGUGGCCCCUACAAUCCUUAAUAAUUGUUUUUUUUUUUUUCUGCAUUCCCUUUCAUGCUCUUAAUAAUUAAAGAGCAUACUUUUCAAAUGUGGAGCCGCGGCUAAUGUCGCUAAUUUAAUUUGGGAUUAAAUUAGGGGACUAUUAUAUUGCAGUGUGCACUAAUUUUUAUGUUUAUCUAAACUCCUUAAAUUUAAGAUAUAUUAUGGCAUAAAUAAGAAUAUAACAAUAGCAAAAGAGUUAGAAAGUGUAGAGAAGAUCUUGCAGAAAUAUAAAUAAUAUUUAUUUUAAAAUAAUAUCAAUAUUUAAAAUAAUUUUUAUUAUUUUAUGAUCCAUUAGAUAUAUUUUAUUAUAUUAAAGUAAAUUUUAUAAUAAAUAAAAACAUACUAUUAAAAUGAAUAUAUAGAAAAUUUAGAGUAUUUUAAGUAUUAUAUAAAAUAAUUUUAAUAAAAUAUGUGAGAUAUUCAUAUUUUAUUAAUUUAAAAUACCAUUUAACCUAAAGAUUUAUUUAUGAUAAAUUAAUAAUUAUAUUUUUGAAAUUACUUCAAAUAUUAAAAAAAUUAAUAUUACUAAUCUAUUAGAUAGAUUAAAUUAUAUAUAUUAUUUUCUAUUUAUUAAAAAAUUUCAAAUUAUUUUUAAUUACUAUUCAAAAAAUAUGAUGAUAAAAAAAUCUUAACAUCUUUAUUAAAAAAUUAAAAACUUACAUGAUCAAUUCUCUAAAUAUUUAGGGUAUAUGUGAACCACGGUGGACAGAGGUCAUUACUAAAAUUUCUCUUCCACAGGCAAUUACAGCAGCUCCAGUUUAUCAAACUCAACCAAUUUUCUUUCUUAACAAAAUUCCAAAGAUGUGUAGCUUUUUUCAGAUCACAUGCGAUGGUGCUUUUUUCAAUCGUUGCUUGGAUUGCUUUCUUGGAAAAGCAGCAUACAUACGUAACCUCCAAGAUAAUCUUGAUGCCUUGGACACUGAACUGGGAAGACUAAUCGCAGCAAAGAACGAUGUGAUGAUUAGGGUUGUCAAUGCUGAACGGCAAUAAAUGAGAAGGCUGGACGGAGUGCAAGUGUGGGUUUCGAGUGUGGAUGCUGUUAAAACUGGAGCCGAUGAACUUAUCACAGACGGCUCUGAAGAAAUUGGCAAAUUAUGUGUUGGAGGCUACUGUUCCAAGAACUGCAGGUCAAGCUACAAAUUCGGAAAACAAGUGGCUAGAAAGCUACGAGAUGUGGAGACUUUAAUCGCCGAAGGAGUUUUUGAGGCGGUGGCUACUGAGGUGGUGCCUGAGAGAGCUCCAGAGCCUGUAGCAGAUGAAAGACCUACCGAGCGAAAAGUAGUAGGCUUGCAAUCACAACUUGAACAAGUCUGGACGUGUCUUGUGGAAGAAUCAGCGGGAAUCAUUGGCCUAUACGGUAUGGGCGGUGUUGGUAAAACCACACUAUUGACCCAUAUCAACAAUAAAUUUCUCGAGAGUCCAACCAACUUUGAUUGUGUGAUUUGGGUAGUAGUUUCAAAAGACCUGCGACUUGAAAAACUUCAAGAAGAUAUUGGGAAAAAGAUAGGUUUGGUUGGUGAUUCAUGGAAGAGUAGAAGUGCAGAGGAGAAAGCUCUCGACAUCUUCCGGAGUCUAAGAGGGAAGAGAAUUGUAUUGUUGUUAGAUGAUAUAUGGGAGCGGGUUGAUUUAACAAAAGUGGGCGUUCCACUUCCUGGACCACAAAAUACUACCUCAAAAGUCGUAUUCACAACNNNNNNNNNNNNNNNNNNNNNNNNNNNNNNNNNNNNNNNNNNNNNNNNNNNNNNNNNNNNNNNNNNNNNNNNNNNNNNNNNNNNNNNNNNNNNNNNNNNNNNNNNNNNNNNNNNNNNNNNNNNNNNNNNNNNNNNNNNNNNNNNNNNNNNNNNNNNNNNNNNNNNNNNNNNNNNNNNNNNNNNNNNNNNNNNNNNNNNNNNNNNNNNNNNNNNNNNNNNNNNNNNNNNNNNNNNNNNNNNNNNNNNNNNNNNNNNNNNNNNNNNNNNNNNNNNNNNNNNNNNNNNNNNNNNNNNNNNNNNNNNNNNNNNNNNNNNNNNNNNNNNNNNNNNNNNNNNNNNNNNNNNNNNNNNNNNNNNNNNNNNNNNNNNNNNNNNNNNNNNNNNNNNNNNNNNNNNNNNNNNNNNNNNNNNNNNNNNNNNNNNNNNNNNNNNNNNNNNNNNNNNNNNNNNNNNNNNNNNNNNNNCAGGAAGUCCUAGUGCGUGCUAUCAGAAAAGAUGCUGGGAACUGUUUCGCGAAAAUGUUGGGGAAGAAACUCUUGAGAGUGAUCAUGAGAUCGUUGAGCUAGCCCAAACUGUGGCCAAAGAGUGUGGUGGUUUGCCACUCGCACUUAUUACUAUUGGUCGAGCUAUGGCCUACAGAAAGAAAGCGGAGCAGUGGAGACGUGCAAUUGAAGAGUUAAGAAGAUCAGCUUCAGAGUUUGCAGGUUUGGGAAAAGAGGUGUAUCCUCUUUUAAAGUUUAGCUAUGAUAGUUUGCAGAAUGAUACAAUUAGAUCUUGUUUCUUGUAUUGUUGUUUAUAUUCUGAAGAUUAUGGCAUUCUUAAAUGGGACUUGAUUGAUUGUUGGAUUGGUGAGGGAUUUUUGGGGGAAUCUGACAGGUUUGGUGCAGAAAACCAAGGAUAUGACAUUUUGGACACUCUUGUUCGUGCAUGUUUAUUAGAAGAGGUGGAAGAAGAUGAAGUAAAAAUGCAUGACGUUAUUCGUGAUAUGGCUAUAUGGAUAACCAGUGAAAUUGAGAAGGAGAAGAGAAACUUUUUGGUUUGUGCAGGUGCUGGAUUAGAAGAGGCACCGGAUGUUAAAGAAUGGGAAAAUGUGAGAAGAUUGUCAUUGAUGCAAAACCAAAUUGAAACUCUGUUUGGGGUUCCCACAUGCCCUCAUCUCAUCACUUUAUUUAUUGACUUUAAUAGGGAGUUGAAGACUAUCGCGGAUGGCUUCUUCCGAUGUGUGCCUUCUCUCAAAGUUUUGAAGAUGUCAAACUGUGGAAAGCCUUAGAAAGGUUUGGAAUUACCUUUGGGGAUGUCAAAGUUGGGUUCACUACAACUUCUUGAUAUUUCACACACCUGCAUACAAGAAUUACCACAAGAAUUAAAGUUGUUGGUAAAUCUGAAAUGUUUGAAUUUGAGGCGGACAAUUUGGUUAAAUAAAAUUUCAUGGCAACUAAUAUCAAAAUUUUCAAGGUUACGUGUGUUGAGAAUGUUCGCUACUGGCUGGUUCAGUUUUCAUGAAGCACCAGAAGACAGCGUUUUAUUUGGUGGGGGUGAAGUUUUGAUACAGGAAUUGCUCGGUUUGAAAUAUUUAGAGGUAUUGGAGUUGACCUUGGGAAGUUAUCAUGCUCUCCAAAUUCUUUUGAGCUCAAAUAAGUUAAAAAGUUGUAUUCGAUCUCUUUUCCUACAGUUGUUCAGAGAUACAACGUCGAUUAUUGAUGCUACGGCUUUCGCAGAUCUAAACCACCUCAAUCAAUUAUGUAUUAGUAACGGUUCUGAGUUGGAAGAAUUGAAGAUUGAUUAUACGGAGAUAGUACGAAAAAGGCGGGAACCUUUUGUUUUCCGCAGCCUUCAACGUGUUACCAUAGAGGAGUGCCAUAAAUUGAAAGAUUUGACAUUCCUCGUUUUUGCUCCAAACCUCAAGUCUCUUUCGCUAUACGAUUGCGGUGCUAUGGAAGAAAUAAUCAGCGUCGGAAAAUUUGCUGAGACUCCUGAGAUGAUGGGACAUAUAAGCCCUUUUGAAAAUCUCCAAAUGCUUUAUUUAAUGGCAUUGCCGGAGUUGAAGAGCGUCUACUGGAAGCCAUUGCCUUUCACUCAUCUGAAAGAAAUGGAGGUACUUGGGUGUGAUCAGCUUAAAAAGCUUCCACUCGAUUCCAACAGUGCAAAAGAGCGUAAAUUUGUAAUUCUUGGAGACACACAGUGGUGGAACCGUCUUCAAUGGGAGGAUGAAGCCACUCAAAUUGCUUUUCGUUCCUAUUUCCAAACCUGAUUCCUGAGCGGUGGUCGCAAAAUUUGAUUUCUGGUGAGUGCGUUUGUCUUUUAAAAGAAGAAUUUAAAAGAAAUUUAUUCUUGUCGUUUUCUUCUCUGUUUUUAUUUCAGUUUGUUUCUCUCUCUCUCUUUUUGUCUUCUGCAAAUCACAAUUAAAUGUUGAAUUAAUGGAAUUAAUGCUUCAUAAAUUUGCCGGCACUGCCAGUACUUUUUUUUUUUUUUAAUACGAAUUGAUGCUUUAUUUAUUUCUUCUUAGCGAUUUAAUUUCCUGUCAAAAGACGAGCGAGAAGAACAUAUGACUUAAACCAAUUGAUACUUUAUUUAUGUGCAUUGUAUGUAAUAAAAUUUUCUCUGUUUUUUUCAAAUUGAGGCUUUAUUUAUAUUUUCUUCGUGAAGAGUGAUUUAAUUUCCUGCCAAAAGACAAACGAGAAGAACAUUAGAGUCAAACUAAUGCUCACAUAAAUUUCCCGUAAGAAUAUAUAUAUAAUUAGACUGGAAUGCACACCUCUAGAUUGAACAGAAUUAAAGCUGAGAAAAUAUUGAGUAUAGUAGCCCUCUUUACAGAAAAUGACGCGAAAGUUAAUUUAGAAAGAUAUAUUCUUGAUUAAUCCAUUUUCUGAAGUUUUUUAUUUUGUAUGGUCAAUUAUACCUUCAUACUAAAAAAAAAAAAAAAAAAGAGAAAAUAUGUAAUCCAUGAAUGGUUAAUUUUGUUUGUUUGUUUUUUUUUCUUAAAUAUCAUUCUUUUUCGGCCACCCAAGGACAUUUUCACAAAUACCUUUUGUGUGCAGAAGUCUUCCAAACCAUCAAUGGAAAAAUAAAAAAUAAAAAAAACACGGUCCAGUAUACCUCAAAAUAUCAUUGAUGACUUUUCUGGUCUAAUGCUAUGUAAAUAGUAUGUUAAGUAAAACAUAAUCAGUUCAGUACCUCACAAAUAAUUCGCAAUAUCUACAAAAUACUAUAAUGGCUACAAAACAAAUCCUGCUUGCAAAUUGUCAAGGAUACCUAUCCGUUCGCUUGACAAGUCAUUUGAAUAAAUAUUGUUCACAUUCCUUACUCUGUCAAUUAUCCAAAGCACCAUCAACUUUAGUUUGAAUAGUAUACAUGCCAUCACCGUUACCAAGAAUCAAGCAUGGAAGGGUCAUUCUAUAGAGUGCAGAACAUGACUCUAUGCGGUAGUCAAUUUGACACACGACGAACACCAUAUGCUGCAUAACAUACAAAUUAAUUUCCCAUAUGUGAUGCAAUUUUCUCCUCAACAUAUGCGCAAUUCUUUCCAUUCCGGCAUUUACACUCAAAUUUUCCUUCCUUUCUCUUUGUGGUUGAAUCUUACACCACAACUCAUGUGAUGCAAUCUCCUCUCGCUGCCUAAAUUGCACUCUCAGCAAAGCAGCAUAUGUAAGCAAGCUUGAAGAUAAUCUUGCUGCUCUGCAGAAGAACGGCAAAAGUUAAUCGAAGCAAGGAAUGAUGUAUCAGAAAAUAUUUGGUGGAGAAUUCAGCACAAACAUAUUUCGGAUGAUCAGAAUCAAUAAAACCUGGUGGUUGUGCCAUAUAAACAUCUUUGGAAAGCUGACCUUGAAGAAAGGCGUUAUUGAUAUCCAAUUGAUGAAGAGGCCAGCCAUGACUAACAUCAAUACUAAGAACAAGCCGUACUGUGGUGGACUUAACAACUGGACUGAAAGUGUCAUAAUAGUCCACACCAGGCCAUUGAUUGAACCCUUUGGCAACAAGAUGAGCUUUAAACCUGUCAACAGAACCGUUGGAAUGUCUUUUAAUACAAAAAUCCAUUUGCAGCCAACAAUAUUGGAAGGGAUGGGAGGUGGAACAAGCUUCCAUGUCCCGUUACGAACAAGAGCAUCAUACUCUUCUGACAUAGCUGGACGCCAGUGAAGAUUUUUGAUAGCUUGCGUCACAGUUGUAGGUUCACAAUCAGAAGAAGGGCUAAAAUGAGCACGGAGGUUAAGUUUUUGUAACGGCUUGUGAAUCUUAUUUUUAGCUCGGGUAGUCAUAUCAUGAUGACUUGUGGGGCAAUGAUCUAGUGGAGUUUAGGAAGAUGAUUGAACAGGAAGUGAAGAAGUGCUUUGUGUAGAGGUAGAAGUAGGUUGGGAGGAUUGCUGCGGAGAUGUUACCGGUAGAGAAGAAGGAGCAGUACACGGUGGCAACUCCAGAGGGCCCACAAUAGAUGGAGUAGGUGCCGACAAUGGAGUACUAGGAAAUGAAACAGGAAGAAUUGGUGGAACACUUGCAUAAUUAGGAGUGGUAGAUGAGCUUGUAAUGAUUUGCAUGGAAAAACAAACUCUACAAAUUUAACGUGACGUGAAAUAAAAAUUUGAAAGGUGGAUGGGUCAAAACAUAAAUAAGCACUUUGAGAUAAAGGAAUAUCCUAGAAAAACACAAGGCUUAGAGGGUGGUUCGAGUUUAUGUGAUGAAACACAAACAUUCAAAAAAUUUUAAGUUUAUAUUAAUUAGGAGUGGUACCAAAAAUUAAUUAGCUAUGGGGUUGUUGGAUGUGUUUUGGAUAUUUACAGUUAAGUUUGAGUAUCUCAACUUAAAAUUUGUAGUUUUCACUUGAAAAAAUUCAGUUAAAUUUUGCAAUGCAGACUGAUUGAUUUAUCAGUUUAACGUGUGCCAGGAAUGAAGAACUGGAAUAUCACCGUCAAGCAAGCACCCUGUGGAGCAAUACCAAAGAAUGCACAAUCUGGCUUUGCUAGGUAACACUGGAGGCUUUUUGAAAAGUGCUUCACGCUCACUUGCACAGAUUGAGCAUCCCCUCUGGAUAUUGCCCUCUCUGAUCGAGUCUGAGCACUCAAAUUUUGGUCCUCAGAGGGAGCUACAGUUUUCUCUCCACUAACCAACAAUAUUCUAAACUCAGCACCUAGUGUGAUCAGAGUUGUUGAUAUUUGCAAAUGGAGAUCCCCAUAUUUGCAAAUGGAGACAUUUAACAAAUCACCAACAUGCUUCAUCCGGUCCACGAAAUUCUGCAACUGAUGCAAAUCUGGAACCUGAACCAGAGUCGGAGGUAUAUCUUGAGCCAUAUCUAAAGCAGUUUGAAGUUCAAGACCUUGAGCCCUUGACAAUGGUUUUGAAAUUGGAACAUCUUGGAUUACUGCAGACUUGUACCCCUUGGUUUCAAAGGUAAGGAAAGGCAUUGCUUGAGUACAAUUUGGAGGCAGCUUCUUCACCAAUUUUAUUUGGAGGCGAUUGGCAGCGGAUCCAGCUGCACCAAUUUCAGAGCAACUACUGACACUACUUCGAACAGCACACUGAAGAAGUGAUAUGUCUACGGCGAAGGCAAUGCAGUCCUCAUUUUGGCUUGAGACACAGUAAUCAUCGAAGAGAGUUUCCUUGUGAAACUGGGCAACACAUUGAAUCCCUUCGGCACUGAGAAGGUUGUGGAGGAAGUAAGCUUUCUCUCUAGUAAGGAAGAGGUGGCAUACAUUCCCCAUUUUGUCUAGGGCAGGUAGGAAUCUUUUUUCUAAGAGAUUUACUUCAUUCUCUGUGAGAAAUGCUUUGAACUUCAUCCCUCUGUCUCUAUCCUCACUUAUCAGUAAAAUAGUUGAAAGCGCUACAAGGAGAGAAAAGAAGAGUAUUAAGAUAUAUAUAUUAUAUAGACAAGAAAAACAUUAGAUGUCGAUCUUACAAGCUAAUACUUCAAACAAUAUCCUAGAAAGCUAAAAACUGCAAGAUGGCUUGAAAUUUGAAAAGAGCACGUGCUUUUCCUCCUUAACUUGAGAAAAUGUUUAAUAUAGUGCACCUUACAGAAGCAUUUAAGCAAUUAGAACUUUGCACAAAAACAUCAAGAAGACUAAACAAGUCAGAUGCAGUGUAUUUGUCCAAGCACAAAUUGCAUUUUGUCCUCAACUUUAAUAUUUAUUGAUGAGAAUCAAUACAGGUCCCUCAUUUGUUAUAGAAAGCUUUCUUGUAGUCUCACCAGUUAAUAUGGAUAUUAGAUAAGGAAACUUUAUUAGGUUGCGAGGGUAAAAAAGGAAAGAGAUAUCAUUAUUUUAUUAUCGAUAAUUAUUAAAUUUUUUUCCAAAAAAAAGAACAAGCAAGGAUAUUUUAUUGUCAAUUGCAACCUUUAAUUUUUUUAAAUGCUAUUAGAAACACAAGAUAACAAAAAUGUAGUGAGAUGGGAUCUCCUGCAUGCCACUCUGGUUUAGAACACAAAGAAUGUGUCUGCAUAAAUAUCCUCUGAAAUUGAACAACCCACAAACACAAAGCACCUCCAAGUCGGAGGCAUUGUACAAAACAUCAAAAGCCCUUGAAUCCUUCUCGUUGCCACCAACCUCGAAUUCUUCCUUCACUAUGUAUGUUAUAGGUCCAUCAGAACUAAUAUGUUUUGUGCUAUAGUAAGAGUACAUAGCCUCCACCUCCAUCUGAAACUUCCUUAACAUUUCAUUUGUGUACAGUUUUGAGAGUUGAAAUUCAUAGUAACAUCUUGGUUUCCGGAUACAACUUGAAUUUCUUGAAUCCAUAUCUGCCAAGGCUACCAGUUGAUAAUUCGCCUGCAGUGCUUGAUCAUACUUGUCUAAGAAUUCUUUCAAAGGAGUAUUCUUAUCAAGAUAUCCUUCAAAGUAUGAAGUAGAAACCUCAUUCUGCAGGAACGAAAACACUCCUGAUAAAAAAGCUUCCUUCAAAUAAAUAGGAGCCCACCUUUUAUGAUCUUCAUAUAAAGUUUGAAUCCAUCCGUGAUCCUUUAUUCCAUGACAUUGAAUCAUGUCUUCCCAAGCUGCUUCAAAUUUCUCAGGCCUGAGAGAGUGAUAAAUUGCUCUAUGUAAUGCAGCUUUAAUAGCUUCAUAUUCAAACAAUCCUUGGAGUUUCUCUGGAAUUUUUUUGCAUGAUGCAUGACAAUGAAAAGAAAUGAUAAGCUCUUGGGAAAACAUCACCAACAGCAAUUUGCAAGAUUCUACAUUGGUCAGUGAUGAUUGUUUGUGGAGAGCGCCCUAACAUACAUGUAAGCCACGCCGUAAACAACCAUGUAUAUGAUUCUAUGGUCUCACUGGCAAGUAAACCACAACCCAACAACACUGAUUGUCCAUGAUGAUUCACCCCAAUGAAUGAAACCAGUGGUACAUCAUAUCUUUCAGUCAGGCACGUAGUAUCAAUUAAGACCACAUCACCAAAGUACCUAUAUGCAACUCUUGACCUGGUAUCAGUCCAGAAUAGGUUUUUCAAGCAUCCCUUUUCAUUUAGAUCCACUACAUUAAAAAAGUUUGGAUCUGUCAACUGCAAAUGACAAAAGAAACUCUGGACAGCUUGUGCAUCUCCUGGUUUAAGCUUCAAUUGAUUUGAGCUAUUAACAUUAUUUCCAAAUACUCCAUUAACAUCUACCAUUUCCCUUGGUAUCAAUGAUAAGAGUUCGAAACAGUUUAAUUUUUUGAACUUCUUCAGCACUAUCUAAAUGCAAUGUUCUUUUGGUUCCAAUACCUAUGUGCUUAUGUGACUUGUAAAACUUUCCGCUUCUUGGGCUUAACAAGUGGUUAUGCUCAAGCUCGACUUCAAUGAUUCUCCACCUUUUGGUUUCCAUCAACCUAAACUUUAUCAUUGCUGGACAGCCAGUUCUUGUUUCUGGUCUUGGGCGGUUUGCCUCGCUUUUCUUCUUGAAGCCUGCACUACUACAGCUCAGCUUUCCUCUAUACUUUUCUCUACUCUUUCGGUACCAUGGAUUGCUAACUCUAACACCAAAACCCUGUUCCUUGGCAUAGCAAUUGUAAAAGUAAUAUACAUCAUCAUACAUCUCAAACUCCAUUCCAACAGUAGGAGGCAAGGGAUUUUGGAUUAUCCCAGUUUGUCCAACAUAUUCAGUCAUCGCACAAUCUCCUACAACCUCAAAAUCAUCAGUGUCAUCAUCACCUACUGGUUCGGUGUUGAGAGAAACUUCAUCCAUCUACAAUGGAUGUUCAAUGAAGUGAGCUUUAAGGAGAAAAAGCAAAAUCUGUUCAAGGAAUGAUAAUAUAAUCAUACAGUUACUUUCACAAAGCUUCAUAUUUCAUCACUGCUUUACCAACAUGCAACUGCCAGAGAACAAACAGACAUGUCAUAGACGCUUGAAUUAAGUAUUGGUACAAAUGAGCACACAUCAUGUGGGACAAAAUUUCAGUCACUAAACCCAAUACCACUUUUUACAUCAUACCAAGGAACAGAUUAAACCCGACACCUUCUUUUAAACCAUACCAAGGAACAGAUUAAAUCAUCAAUGAAAAAUUAAUCACAUAAUAACUUAACCAGACAAAUGAAGAGCCUGAAACAGCACAAAACUUGAAUCUGAUUAUGAUAAUUGUUGAGUCCUUGUAUCUACAGCUUUCCUUCAAUGAUAAGACAAUGAACAUAAACGAGACACAAAAAAAUUAUUUUAAACUGACAGCCCAUGAUAUAAAUCAAACAAAAUCAACUCCUUUUUUUACACAUUACAUCUCAUAUUCAUUUACAUUGAAACACAAAAAGGAAGCAGGAGUGGGAAAAAAACAACAGCAGAGGAACUUAUUUCCAUAAGGUUUACGAAAUAAGGAAUCUAUUAAAACCCAAAACUUGAGGUCACCACUAAGAAUUUGGUUCUCAUUAUUUUUUUCUUCAUUUUUCACCAAUUGAUGAACUUAAAAUACAAUCAUAAAUGAUAAAACCCCAUCUCCAUCUUUUUGAACUAGAGCUAAAGCAAAGCAUUUUAAGAUGUUUCAUCAUUUUUUUUUUUAAAAAAAACUCAAUAGUACAAUGUUUUUCAAUGCUAAAUGCACAAUUCAAUCUUCUCCUAAUUUACUCUAAUAAUCUCUUAAUUAAGGAAGAUUAAGCUUCAGUUGUAAGCUAAAACAAAUUUCUUAAAUCAAGCCCCAAUGCUUUAUGCUAUUCAACAAGGGCUCAUAAAUGAUAAAACUACUUCUAUAAAGAUACCCAUUUUCUAAAUUAAUUUCACAAACUGAAAUCAAACUCCUGAAACGUAACGAGCAUUAAUAUAAUCAAGCCCGAACAAGAAUUGAAAAAUGAUACAUAAACUCGUUUACACAUUUCGACAGACACUUUGCAAUCAAUGAGCAAAAAAUUAAUGGAGAAGAUAAAAUUCAAACGAAACAUGCCUUACAUUGAUAAAUUAGAAGGGCAAAAGAAAUUUUAGUACGAUAUGCGAUCAGGGUCUUGCCACGGUGAUGUUAUUUGUGAAGUUCGAGCGACUCAGCAGCCUUCGAGGUUGAAAAUUUGAUUGACCAAAAGCUUCCCGUUCGUUGAUUCUCUAAUAGUAGAAACGAGACUGGCAGUAUACACAAGAAGUUCGCCGAUUUUAAAUUCCGUUGUUUGAGAUGGAAAAUUUUUUGAAAAAAUUAAUGUGUUCGAUGAAAAUCAAAAUCUCAAAAACCUCUUGUUUUUCAUUUUUUUGGAAAAAACCAUUGAGAUCCUUACUAUUUUUUCUUAUAUCAUCUUCCUUAAUAAUUUGCAAAGUCUAUCGCAUAGCACCCAUGUAUGAUGUAUGCUGCGUUGUAAUUUACAAAAUUGCACAUGAAUAAAUCCAGCUAAAAUUUGUUAAAAGAAAAUAAUAAUAACAUGUUAAAACUUUAAAAUUUGAUUAUUCGAAGAAAUUUUAAUUUAGUUAAGUAGGUGACAUGAUAAUAAAUAGAUACGUAUAAUGUCCGAGAUUUUUUAUAAGAUUAAUAAAUAUGAUAAAUUUGGAUUAGUUCAAUUUUGACAUAAUUCAUAAUAAACACAGCUUGCUAAUCUAAAUUGCCACCGUUACUCAUCAUCAGGUACCUGUUUGAAAAAUAAUUACAAACAAUUUUAUUUGUGUUGUUUCUCUAAAAGUUUGAGACACAAAUGUUAUUUCAAAUUGAUAAAAGUACGAAAAUUCCCCCUUGCUCUUCAACUAAAAAUGAAACAUGCAAAUAUACACACUAAUUUAGAUGUGUGAAUAACAAAUAUGGAACGACACAUGCAAAGUCAUCUGUAUAAUUGAAACGCCAUGCACUAGUAGUAGGUAAGAGAAACCAAGGUUGAAGUUGCUCCAAUGGUUACUGUUAAUUUAUUUUUAUUUAUGAUUUUUUUUGUAAAAUGUAAGAAAUAUGUAGAAAUGUUGCCAGCAAUGAUUUUGGAACUUUGCAUAAAAUUUUUAUCAUUAUUGUUUUUGGUAUUAAGAAAUCCGAGGCGGUGAUUAGACGUAUGUUGCAACAAUUAAGAAAUUUCUUAUUGGAGAUAAUUUGGUAGGUUUGCAGCAAUUAGAGAAUAAUUUUCCUGCCAGUUAAUCAAUCAAUAAUAAAUUUCAAAUUGCAGAAAAUAAAAUAAUACAGCCUCACUUAGAAUCAUCUUUUCUAUCUCUUUCAAUUGUGGCAAUCAUUUGCAACAAAUAAAUCAAUUUGAUGCACAUCAUUUCCCCAAUUCAAAGUUCAAGUCACUGCUCAAUUACAGAGUAGUUAGUGGACAUGCAUGCAUGUUUAAUUAAGUACUGCAUUGUAGUAUCGAAAAUCAUAACAUCUCACCAAUAUCAGAUUAUUAACCAUGGAAAUCAUAUCACAAUAUCAUAUAGAAUUCACAAAUCUGAAAAUCAUCACCAAACAAGUACCCAGAGAAAUAAUCUCGUCAUAUCCAGACCUCAACGGACGGGCAAUGACGUACUAUUUGGGUAACGUCACACCCUGGAGCUACACGGAUAAAUAGGAAAAUACCAUCUCAUAUCUCAUCAUAUUUGUGCAUGCAUAAUCUAGUCCCCAAGGGACAAAAGCGCCCAAGCACACGGCCCAAAGCCUCUAUGUGUACUCAGACGGGCCCCAAAGGCCUGUAUCUCAUAUGUAUCAUAUGUAUCAUUUGUAUCUCAAUAUCUGUUUGUAUCUCAUUUCCGUAUAUCUAUAAUCAUCAUACCGCAUGCAUAUGCCCCCAAAAGACAAAAGCGCCCAAACACAUGGCCCAAAGCCUUUAUAUGUGUUUAGACGGGUCCCAAAAGCCUCUUAUCUCAUCUUAUCUGUAUCACUGUAUCUGGAGAGAAGGGUACUGUCUAAUGAUUUAAAAAACAAUCAUUAUACUCAUAUUUACAUACCUCUUAAUCAUAUUUGAAAUCAUAUCACAUUUGAAUCCACUUUUCUAAUCUUUAAAAUAUUAUCAUGCUUUAUUCAAAGUCGAUACGCAAAAUCAAUAACCAAACAUUUUAAAUCAAAUUAUUAACCAUGGAAAUCAUAUCACAAUAUCAUAUAGAAUUCACAAAUCUGAAAAUCAUCACCAAAUAAGUACCCAAAGAAAUAAUCUCGUCAUAUCCGGACCUCAACGGACGGGCAAUGACGUACUAUCUGGGUAACGUCACACCUUGGAGCUACACGGAUAAAUAGAGAAAUACCAUCUCAUAUCUCAUCAUAUCUGUGCAUGCAUAAUCUAGUCCCCAAGGGACAAAAGCGCCCAAGCACACAGCCCAAAGCCUCUAUGUGUACUCAGACGGGCUCCAAAGGCCUGUAUCUCAUAUGUAUCAUAUGUAUCAUUUGUAUCUCAAUAUCUGUCUGUAUCUCAUAUCCGUAUAUCUAUAAUCAUCAUACCGCAUGCAUAUGCCCCCAAAAGACAAAAGCGCCCAAACACAUGGCCCAAAGCCUUUAUAUGUGUUCAGACGGACCCCAAAAGCCUCUCAUCUCAUCUUAUCUGUAUCACUGUAUCUGGAGGGAAGGGUACUGUCUAAUGAUUUAAAAAAUAAUCAUUAUACUCAUAUUUACAUACCUCUUAUCAUAUUUGAAAUCAUAUCACAUUUGAAUCCACUUUUCUAAUCUUUAAAAUAUUAUCAUGCUUUAUUCAAAGUCGAUACGCAAAAUCAAUAACCAAACAUUUUAAUAAAAUACCAAUGCAUAAAUAAAAUUCAUUUCGAGAAAUCAUUAAAUCAGAACAUUUAAAAUACUUAUUUCGCAAACAUGCUUUACUAUCAUCGCUAACUAUGAAAAUAAGUUUUGUAUAUUCCACUUUCAGUGAUGGUGUUCACGGUCGGUUAUCGUCCAUAUCUGCAGACCGAUUCUCGCUCGCGAAUCCUCCUAAAUCAAGGAAACGACAUAAUUAUUUUUUGUAAAUCGGAAUUAUGACUAAAUUUUAUGCAAUAAACUCAAAACGAACAUCUAUUCAUAAUUGACAACUCCUAUAUCCAUAAAAUUACUAAAAUAUCCUUGAGUCCGUAGAUCAUUAACAUGCUCCGAAAUCGUAAAUCACUGAAUUACCCUCGGAAUCGUAAUUACACCCGAUCCUCAAUUAUAGGAAUUACUAACAGAUCCACAGGCUUAGAAAUUACAAAAUUGCCCUCGUAGUGUGAAAUUACCAAAAGCCGGAAGUUGGUCAACAAUGGCUAGGAAGCUCAAAUCGUAAAGUUCCAAUCACGCUGAGUUCAAUGGUACCGGCGGUGAGCUCCAACGCGCGACAACGAUGCCAGAAUCUAGCUCGGCAGCCGUGAAUUCCACCAAUCGACCGGCGGCACAACAGUGACUCUCGGUGCCUAUGGAUGGUCGAAAAUGGAAGAGGGAGCCGUGGGGAACAAAAUCCAACCGGUGGUGUCACCAAAACCGGUGAAAAUCCCGGCGGAGCAAAGUGAAACAGUCGCGGGUUUCAUGCUUCGAUCGCCGGUGUUCCGAUUGGUUUUUGGCGAGGAGGAUGGCAAGGGAACGACAGCCGGCUUCUAAGCUUCAGAUUGGUACCAAGCUCGGCCGAAACGAUGGCCGGAAAUGGGAGAUAUGACCGGGUCAAGGUCGCGGGUUCCGGGUCGGGUUUUUUGGUCUGUAGUUGGGUCGGUUUGGUAGCUUCUCUCUCACUCUCUGUUACACGUGCAUAUGUUUCCUCUGUUUCCAGCUUAUUCUUUUGCUUUUACUAACUUCUUAACCGCCUCAUACUUAUUCAUUUUUAAUUCACAUAUGUUACAAUAAUUCCCGAGUAUUAAAUAACCAGUGGUCAUAAUUUUUGUACAAGAUUCUUUUUUUUUUUUGGAGAUCGUUAAAAGUGGUUGACGAUCCAUUUCGUAAUAUCAUAGAGGGAUCAUCAAUUCCUUUUCUUUUCUGUGGCUAGGCAACACUUUUUGGCCAAAGUAAGGAAAUCUAUUUUAGGUAAUGUAAAAACCAGUUGUAGGAUGUAAUAGUUUAUUAUGCACUGACAAUAACUUUUUGUAUAAUUGUCAGUUUAAUGAAUGCAAGAGGAACUCUGUUGGCAAAUUCAUCCAAGAUAGAUGCUAAAAUUAUUUAUGCAUGCCAGUUGCCUUAACUAAGUUUUCUCAGCACUGGUUUUGAACAGGAAAAUGAAUAUGCAAUUUGUAUAUUGUGCCAUAGUGGAGAAUUUGGAUAUUCUUAUUUAAGUAACAAGGAGAUUAUUUGCCUCAUCUUUAAACAAUGAAUCUUUGAGAGAUGAGGAGUGGGUGAUUGGAUGUGUCUUCAUGUAAUUGUUCAUUUAUUUGUAUUUUGAACUGUUAUGAAAAUCUUUAUAUGCCAAAUUAGUAAUACAAGUAUUCAGAUGAUUUUUCCUAUUGAUCAUGCAUUUGUAUCUGCCCACAACCAUUGUAUAUCACUUUAUUCUGAUGCGCAAGCAUCUGUAAUUUAGAAGAAAAGAAAUAAUAAUCAUAUUUUAUUGCUUGGUUCAUGAUUAUUAACGAUUAUGGCUUUAAAAAUCUACAAAUUUCUUGUGUUCAUGUAUGAAUGUGCCAAGUUUGCUGUAUCUUAGAUUACCUUCUUCCAAGGUAACAAGUUCAUAUAUAUAUAUUUUUUAAAUCAUUUUCCAUUACAGUUGAAUUUCAAGUGUUAGUUUUGUUAUUAGUACCUGGUUUCCUGUUAUAAGGAUCUAAUAAACAGUGUACGGAUAUGUGCUCUACUUUUGGAGGGCUUCCACGUGAAAGAAAAUUACAACAAUUGAAUUCUUCCGGAGGAUAUGGUAAUUAAUUUAUUUUCUCAACUUCUUGUAAGACUAAUAUAUUUCCUUCAGUAGGCACAGCAUGGUGGGAAGGGUUUUUAUUGAAAGAAUUCUGAUAUUUCUUAGACUUUGUUUUGGAAGGGGGUGGAGGAAUUUCUCAUCCAUAUAUGGUUACUUGAUUAGCUUUUGACUGUAUUGUCUCUGUCGUGCAAAGGAAAAUCUAAAUACUAACGAUGGGGAAUUGCUUAGGCACCCAAAAGGCAGAAAUGAAUUACAGAAGGAAGUUUUUGCUGCUUUAUUUAGUGCUGCUGAGAAAUCUGAUGAAUUUCCUGAAAUUACGGUGAAGACCGAGUGGAGGUCCAAAGCAUUAGGAAAGGUGGUGAGUGAACUGCCGGAGGAAUUUGUACCAAAAUACAAGGCUAAUGUGGUGCACUUGCAGCAAGAUAACCAGACCGGUAUGUGCUCUUAUAUUAACUAUAUUGACUGGAUUUGUGAGUGUGUGCAUUUUUUUGUGUAUACUCACUUUUGUAUUUAUGCAUAUUAACAUGUGUAGGAUUCUUGAUUUCUGCCACUUACUGGAGAACUAGUGGAAAGCUUUAUAUUGAUAUAUCUGCAAUAACUAAUGGAAACUAUGAUAUGAAUAUUUUCUCUCACCUGGGGAGCUGUGUAACAGAUAUACUUUGUGGCUCUGGAAUGCUGAAGAUUCUGCAAUAACUAAUGGAAAAUAUGAUAUGAAUAUUUUGUCUCACCUGGAGAACUUUGUUACAGAUACCCUUUGUGGCUCUGGAAUGUCUAAAGAAUGCUUUAGUUAGAUCAAAUAUCUUUUAGUUAGAAAAGAUAAAAUUCUCUGAGUCUGAAAGACUGAAACAUUUUGCAUAUUUUGUGAAAGGGAAAUAUCUGUUGAUACUAGCUCAUGCAUUGAGGUAAUAUCGAUGUUAAAGAAAAACAGCAAUGAUUUAUGAUAUAGAAUUGGGUUCACUUGCUUCAAAUGCUGGUCUGAUCAACCAUAUCAACCUGUAAUGAUUCUGCAGAAAUAUAUAUACAUGGAGAAAGUAGCUAAAUUUUUCUUUCAUUUAUGGGUUCGGUCUUUUUUCCCCUUAUUUUUCAGCUUUCCUUCUCCUGAAGUAUGUUAACAAUUGCAGAUAAUGAUGAAGACGACAGCUUCCGGGCUCUCCUUAGAGCCGUGAUGGAAUAUAGGGGCACAAUGAAGGAAUAUUGUAAAGCUGUAGGUACUUUUUCUCCUUUCAUUUAUGUUUUCUCACACAUUUUGUAUAUGCCCUGAACAUGCACCUUUGUAUGUAUCAAUUGACUUUUAAAUUUUAAAAGCCAUAAAGUAAGAAUACGGUUCCUUGUCAGGCUACUGAUGACAUUCGCUCAGGGGGAUCAUGUUCGAGCAGGAAAAUUUCUAGAACAGGUAAGGUUUCCAUCUACAGCCAUCCAUUGACAGCAGAUACAUUUUCAUUCAGCAGACUCUGUUAGCAUUCAAGAUGCUGGCAGAUUCACUUGAUUCUUAUUAGCUUGUUUAGUGGCAAAGCCUAUAACCUGUAUUUCAAAGCCAAGUUGUGCUAUUGAUUAUGUUAACUUUUUUGUUAACAUAAAAUGAUAUGGAGGAAAUAAUCAGUGUUGGAAAAUUAGGUGAAAAGAUGAUGUCAAAUCUUGAACCUCUUACGAAACUCUAAGUUCUUUACUUGAAGAGGCUACGAAAUUUGAACAGCGUCUACUCGAAGGCCUUGCCAUUCCCUGAUGCAUGCAGAAUUUUUGUAUUUAAAUGCCCAGAGCUUAAGAAGCUGCCACUGGAUCUUGAAGGGGCAGACCAAGGUAAAAAUCUUAUCAAGGGAAAGGAAGAUUGGUGGAAACAACUUAAUGGGAGGAUCAAGUAACUCAGAAUGCAUUGCUUCCAUUUUUUAAAUUGACUGACAAGUGAUUGAACGGGGCAUCAUCAACAUCAUCAACAGGGAUGGAGAGAUACCGGAGCAGAUCAGCAGGGUUUGAAUAUGACCUUUGGCGGUUGCUUUUUUUUUGUGAUUUUUUUUUCAUUUUUUCCUUCCUGUCAUUUUAUCAUUUCUUUCUCUGUUUCUAUUGCGGGUGUUACUGCAUGCUUACUGUUGCUUGACAAAGUUUGCUAGCUUUUUGUUUGCAGUGUUGCUAUACACUCCGAGUCAAGCCUCGAAAAUUUAUUAAACGAAGCCGUUUCGACAGUAACAAUUCUUUUCUUUUCCCUUUGCAUGUCUCUUUCAUCUGCUGUUUCUCUAUCACUUUUCAUUUUUGAUUUCCUUGCUUCUCAGCUGCCCCUAAAUUGUUAUUCUAGCAAUAUACUUUCUCAUCUUUGAAUUUUCAUCCUUGAGUACUCCCACAGCCGUAAUUUCAUCAUCAUAGACUUCACUUGGAAUGCUGUAUUUUUUCGAUUCUUGAGCUACUUCAAUUACAUCUUAGUAUAGGAUCCUCAUCUUCCUUUAUUUCUUCAUCUUAUGAGGUAAUAAAUGGAUUUCACAACUCAUCUACUUUUAAGCAAUUACAUAUUAUACCUUGAAUGAUUCAACUGUUCUGACAGUUAAAGAUUUUAUGCUCAACCUGCAGUGCUACGAACAUUGUCCAUGAAAGAUGAGUUUCAGCAUAUAAAAUGAAAUAUAGAUGUUUAAUCUAAAAUAACCCUUCACUGCCAGAAACCUAGGUCACAAAAUUCACAGAUAAUGAUAAAGAGCUAAAAAAUUUGAAAAACUCUACAGAUCACACAUCAAGCAAGAUAUCAUGUUUUUUUCCCUCAUUCAGUGGUGAUUGAUUCGCUUUUUGAUGAUGGAUAUGGUAUAAAAGUGUUGACCCAAUUUCAAGCAAACACAAAUAGAAACACAAACACAAUCGGGACUAGAGUUGUGGGCGAUUAUCUUAGGUGUACAAGUGAAACGGUGGUGGCUGUCGAUGGUGGUAGUGGGGUGGUUGGGUAUGCGUGAUGGCUAGAUUUUAGGACAAUAAUGAUUGGAGUUGACCUCAAUCAACGAAGGAAAGUGACAACAAUUUUGACAUCAAACGGUGCAUUUUUUAGCUUAGUAAAAUGGAGCCGUUUCGAUUUUGGGGUUUAAUCCGGGGUUUGACUCGGUGCAAGUAUCAUUUUCCUUUUGUUUAUUAAAUUUUUUUAUGGUCACAAAGUAUCACUCGUUCUAUUUGAGAGUCAUGUGAAUCAAUUUUUCAAAUUUUCAAUUUUAAAUUUUGUGGUCAAUGUGAAUUCAAUUUCAUUUGUCUCCUGCAAUUAUGAAAAAAUUAAAUAGUCAUAAUAUGGAAAAAUACACCGGUAAAAACUUUGUAAAAGCUUCGGAGUGAUACGGGGAAUUCACUUACUACUAAGGACAAUUGGUGGCAAGCUAUUCCAUUCAUUUUAUGUCCAUCCAUCUAUUUAGUUAUUGAAGAUAAGUGGUCCAUUUGUAAAUUUCAGAUUGUCUCUCUCUCCCUCUUGAAAUAACAAUAUUUAAUAUAUCUCAUAAAUUAUUAUAAAUUUUAAUUUACUCUCGAUUUAAAAUGGAGCAUGUCGAUAAAUUUUUUUUCUUCUUAAUAAAAUUGACGUAAGUUGUGUUUACAGUAGUUUGAAGUUUGAAAUAUUUUAAAGAUUAUUAUUCUAUAAGGGAGUAAUAUGAAAUGAUAUUUACUUUUCAUGUGUGAAAUGAAAAAGGACGAAGCAAGUGUCCCUGCUUUUAUUUUAUUUCAAGGAGGAGUCAUCUCACAUACUUUAGCUCUUAACAUUACAUUUUUUCUGGUUACAUUUUUUAUUUAUUUAUUUUUUUUUUUUUACACAUGCGUGUGGGUUGCUUUUCUGUAAGCUCCUUAAUAUAUAUUUAAGACAAAUCAUGGAAGAGAUGGGAUUAUAUCAAGAUGAUCAAAGAAUGUUAAAAAAGAAAAAAGAAAAAAAAAAGAAGUAAGACACUGAAAAUGGAGAAGAGAUGGAAGCAAAAGAUAUUCCAAAACAAAGCAAUCUAUCCCCUUUCGAGGGCAGACUUAUCAGGUUUAAAAAAGUACACGCUUUGGAUUGGUAGUUGCAAUCAAGGGAAAAUAAAUAGGAUCCAAUGAAAUUUAAAUCUCGGAGAAAAUAAAUAAUCAUGCAGAUUUUCAAGAUUUUAAUAAGGGAUACUAAUAUCUUAUUUUGAUUAAUAAUAUCCUUUCAUUGUGUUAACUCAAAAAAUAUAUAUUUUAAUGUUUUGCAAUAAACAGAAACGUACUAUUAAAAUGAAUAUAUAAAGAAUUUAGAAAAUUUUGAAUGUUAUAUAAAAUAAUUUUAAGAUAAUGCGUGAGAUAUAUUUUAUUAAUUUAAAAUGUUAUUUUACCUAAAAAAUAUGAUAAAUUAAUAAUUACAUAUUUGAAGUUAUUUUAAAUAUUAAAAAAAUUUAAUAUUAUUAAUCUUUUAGAUAGAUUAAAUUAUUUUUUAUAAGAGAUAGAUUAAAUUAUUUUAAAAUACGUUAAUUGUUUUUACUUUUAACGUUACCGGCCUUUCUUUUAUUUUAUUGCAAAUUAAUGCUAACAAGAAAAAGCUAGAUCAUAUUCCACAAAAGCAAAAGUGACAAACACAACCAGCUGGAAUCUUUUAAUUACUAUUCAAUAAUUCGAGACGAUUAGGGUCUUUUAUUAAACUACAAAUUGUAUAGUCUUUUUAAAAUUGUUAUAAAUUGGUGGCACCUACAAUCCUCAAUAAUUGUACCGAUAUUCACAAGUUGGUGGCCCCUACAAUUCUGUUCGGAUAAUUUAACUGUGCAAGUGCUCAUUCACAAUAAUUGUUUUGUUUUUUUUUUCUGCAUUCCCUUUCAUGCUCUUAAUAAUUGAAGAGCAUACUUUUCAUUUUCAAAUGUGGAGCCGCAGCUAAUGUCGCUAAUUUAAUUUGGGAUUAAAUUAGGGGACCAUUAUAUUGCAGUGUGCACUAAUUUUUGUGUUUAUCUAAACUCCUUAAAUUUAAGACAUAUUAUGGCAUAAAUAAGAAUAUAACAAUAGCAAAAGAGUUAAAAAGUGUAGAGAAGAUCUUGCAGAAAUAUAAAUAAUAUCUAUUUUAAAAUAAUAUCAAUAUUUAAAAUAAUUUUUAAUAUUUUAUGAUUCAUUAGAUAUAUUUUAUUAUAUUAAAGUAAAUUUUAUAAUAAAUAAAAACAUACUAUUAAAAUGAAUAUAUAGAAAAUUUAGAGUAUUUUAAGUAUUAUAUAAAAUAAUUUUAAUAAAAUAUGUGAGAUAUUCAUAUUUUAUUAAUUUAAAAUACCAUUUAACCUAAAGAUUUAUUUAUGAUAAAUUAAUAAUUAUAUUUUUGAAGUUACUUCAAAUAUUAAAAAUAUUAAUAUUACUAAUCUAUUAGAUAGAUUAAAUUAUAUAUAUUAUUUUCUAUUUAUUAAAAAAUUUAAAAUUAUUUUUAAUUACUAUUCAAAAAAUAUAAUGAUAAAAAAGAAUCUUAACAUCUUUAUUAAAAAUUUAAAAAUUUACAUGAUCAAUUCUCUAAAUAUUUAGGGUUAUAUGUGAACAACGGUGGAGAAGCUUUAUUUAAUAUUAUUGAUUUAAAUAAUAUGUCAAUUAAAAAUGUACAGAGAAGGAAAUUUCGGUGGGUAUUUUAGUCUUUUCAGCAAUUAUCAUGAUCAGAUCAGCCUUUAGCCUUGAAUCGUCGGUCAGAAAAGUUUUAAAAUUAACGCUAACAAGAAAAAGCUAGGUCAUAUUCCACAAAAGCAAAACUGACAAAACAACCAGCUGGUUUCUUUUACUAAACUACAAAUUAAAAGUGGAUUCUUUUGAAUGCAAGUGGGACAGACGAUUAGGCUCUUUUUAUUAAAGGCAAGUAAAAACUAGUCGAAUAGUCUUUUUCAAAUUGUUGUUUUAUUAUUUUUCCUUCAAAAGUUAGUGUGGCUCAUGUUUGCAGGUGCGAAUGUGGGUCCCGAAUCAUUACUAAAAUUUCUAUUCCACAGCCCACCGCAGCUUCAGUUAAUCAAACUCAAAUCAAUUUUCUUUCUUAACAAAAUAUUCCAAAGAUGUGUAGCAUUUUUCAGAUCACAUGCGAUGGUGCUCUUUUCAAUCGUUGCUUGGAUUGCUUUCUUGGAAAAGCAGCAUACAUACGUAACCUCCAAGAUAAUGUUGAUACCUUGGGCACUGAAUUGGGAAAUCUGAUCGCUAGAAAGAACGAUCUGAUGAGGAGGGUUGUCGAUGCUGAACGGCAACAAAUGAGAAGGCUGGACGGAGUGCAAGUGUGGGUUUCGAGGGUGGAUUCUGUUAAAACUGAAGCUGAUCAAUUUAUAAGAGACGGCUCUCGAGAAAUUGAAAAAUUAUGUGUUGGAGGCUACUGUUCCAAGAAUUGCAUGUCAAGCUACAAGUUCGGGAAAAAAGUGGCUAAAAAGCUACGGGAUGUGCGGACUUUAAUCAGUGAAGGAGUUUUUGAGGUGGUGGCUGACAGAGCUCCAGAGUCUGUAGCAGAUGAAAGACCUACUGAGCGAACAGUAGUAGGCUUGCAAUCACAACUUGAACAAGUCUGGAGAUGUCUUGUAGAAGAAUCAGCGGGAAUCAUUGGCCUAUAUGGUAUGGGCGGUGUUGGUAAAACUACACUACUGACCCAUAUCAACAAUAAAUUUCUCGAGAGUCCAACCAACUUUGAUUGUGCGAUUUGGGUUGUAGUUUCAAAAGACCUGCGACUCGAAAAAAUUCAAGAAGAUAUUGGGAAAAAGAUAGGUUUGGUUGGUGAUUCAUGGAAGAGUAAAAGUGUAGAGGAGAAAGCUGUCGACAUCUUCCGGAGUUUAAGAGAGAAGAGAUUUGUAUUGUUGUUAGAUGAUAUAUGGGAGCGGGUUGAUUUAACAAAGGUGGGCAUUCCACUUCCCGGACCAAAAAAUACUACCUCAAAAGUCGUAUUCACAACCCGUUUCAUCGAUGUUUGUGGUAGCAUGGAAGUUGACAGGAAGUUUCAAGUAGCAUGCUUAUCAGAAAAGGAUGCUUGGGAACUGUUUCGAGAAAAAGUUGGGGAGGAAACUCUUCAGAGUCAUCAUGAUAUCGAUGAGCUAGCCCAAAUUGUGGUCAAAGAGUGUGGUGGUUUGCCACUCGCACUUAUUACUAUUGGUCGAGCUAUGGCCUACAGAAAGAAAGCGGAGCAGUGGAGACGUGCAAUUGAAGAGUUAAGGAGAUCAGCUUCAGAGUUUGCAGGUUUGGGAAAAGAGGUUUAUCCUCUUUUAAAAUUCAGCUAUGAUAGUUUGCAGAAUGAUACGGUUAGAUCUUGUUUCUUGUACUGUUGUUUAUAUCCUGAAGAUUAUGGCAUUCUUAAAUGGGACUUGAUUGAUUGUUGGUUUGGCGAGGGAUUUUUUGGGGAAUCUGACAGGUCUGGUGCAGAAAACCAAGGAUAUGACAUUUUGGACACUCUUGUUCGUGCGUGUUUAUUAGAAGAGGUGGAAGAUGAUGAAGUAAAAAUGCAUGACGUUAUUCGUGAUAUGGCUAUAUGGAUAACUUGUGAAAUUGAGAAGGAGAAGAGAAACUUUUUGGUUCGUGCAGGUGCUGGAUUAAAAGAUGCACCGGGUGUUAAAGGAUGGGAAAAUGUGAGAAGAUUGUCAUUGAUGCAAAACCAAAUUGAAACUCUGGCAGAGGUUCCCACAUGCCCUCAUCUCCAUACUCUAUUUCUUGACUUUAAUAGGGGGUUGGAUAUGAUCGCGGAUGGCUUCUUUCAAUUUAUGCCUUCUCUCAAAGUUUUGAAGAUGUCAAACUGUUCGAAUUUGAAAUUACCUGUUGGGAUGUCAGAGUUGGGUUCAUCACUAGAACUUCUUGAUAUUUCAGAAAACAGCACAAGAGAGUUACCGGAAGAGUUAAAGAAGUUGGUAAAUCUGAAAUGUUUGAAUUUGAGGUGGACAGAGCAUUUAAAUAAAAUUCCACGGCAACUAAUAUCAAAUUCUUCAAGGUUACGUGUGUUGAGAAUGUUCGCUACUGGCCGGUUCAAUUUUCAUGAAGCACCAGAAGACAGCGUUUUAUUUGGUGGGGGUGAAGUUUUGAUACAGGAAUUGCUCGGUUUGAAAUAUUUAGAGGUAUUGGAGUUGACCUUGGGAAGUUAUCAUGCUCUCCAAAUUCUUUUGAGCUCAAAUAAGUUAAAAAGUUGUAUUCGAUCUCUUUACCUCGAGUUGACCGGAGAUACAACGUCAAUUAUUGAUGCUACGGCUUUCGCAGAUCUAAACCACCUCAAUGAAUUACGGAUUGAUAAUGGUAUUGAGUUGGAAGAGUUGAAGAUUGAUUAUACGGAGAUAGUACGAAAAAGGCGGGAACCUUUUGUUUUCCGCAGCCUUCAACGUGUUACCAUAGCGGAGUGCCAUAAAUUGAAAGAUGUGACAUUCCUCGUUUUUGCUCCAAACCUCAAGUCUCUUCGGCUAUUCUAUUGCGGUGCUAUGGAAGAAAUAAUCAGCGUCGGAAAAUUUGCUGAGACUCCUGAGAUGAUGGGACAUAUAAGCCCUUUUGAAAAUCUCCAAAUGCUUGAUUUACAAGGUUUGCCACAUUUGAAGAGCAUCUUCUGGAAGCCAUUGCCUUUCACUCAUCUGAAAGAAAUGGAGGUACUUAGGUGCGAUCGGCUUGAAAAGCUUCCACUCGAUUCCAACAGUGCAAAGGAGCGCAAAUUUGUUAUUCGUGGAGAAGAAGACUGGUGGAACCGACUUCAAUGGGAGGAUGAAGCCACUCAAAUUGCUUUUCGUUCCUGUUUUAAAAGUGAUGCUUUAUUUAUAUCUUAUUCGUGAAAAGUGAUUUAAUUUCCUGCCAAAAGACGAACGAGAAGAACAAUAGAGUCAAACUAAUGCUCACAUAAAUUUCCCGUAAGAAUAUAUAAUUAGAUUGGAAUGCACACCUCUAGAUUGAACAGAAUUAAAGCUGAGAAAAUAUUGAGUAUAGUAGCCCUCUUUACAGAAAAUGACGUGAAAGUUAAUUUAGAAAGAUAUAUUCUUGAUUAAUCCAUUUUCUGAAGUUUUUAUUUUGUAUGGUCAAUUAUACCUUCAUACUAAAAAUUUCUGAAGUUAUAAAUUAGUGCAACUUGACAAUUUUUACUGAUGAUAUCUUCUAUUUUUCCCUUUUUUUUUUUUUCACUUUCAUAGACUGGCAGCGGAUCCUGCGGCACCAAUUUGAGAGAAUAUACUGACACUACUUCGAACAGCAAGCAGAAGAAGUAAUAUGUCUACGGCAAAGGCAAUGGAGUCCUCAUUUUGGCUCGAGAUGCAGUAAUCAUCGAAGAGAGUUUCCUUGUGAAACUGGGCAACACAUUGAAUCCCUUCACCACUGAGAAGGUUGUGGAGGAAGUAAGCUUUCUCUCCAGUGAGGAAGAGGUGGCAUAUACCUUCCCCAUUUUGUUGAGGGCAGGUAGGAAUCUUUUUUCUAAGAGAUUUACUUCGUUCUCUGUAAGAAAUGCUUUGAACUUCAUCCCUCUGUCUCUAUCCUCACUUAUCAGGAAAUAAGUUGAAAGCACUAUGAAGAGAGAGAGAGAGAGAGAGAGAGAGAGAGAGAGAGAGAAUUAAGAUAUAUAGACAAGAAAAAUAUUUGACGUUGAUCUUACAAACUAAUACUUCAAGCAGUAUCCUAGAAAGCUAAAAACUGCAAGAUGGCUUGAAAUUUGAAAAGAGCACAUGCUUUUCCUCCUUAACUUGAGAAAAUGUUUAAUAUAGUGCACCUUACAGAAGCAUUUAAGCAAUUAGAACUUUGCACAAAAACAUCAAGAAGACUAAACAAGUCAGAUGCAGUGUAUUUGUCCAAGCACAAAUUGCAUUUUUUCCUCAACUUUAAUAUUUAUUGAUGAGAAUCAAUACAGGUCCCUCAUUUGUUAUAGAAAGCUUUCUUUCUUGUAGUCUCACCAGUUAAUUCAGAGGUCUAUAAUCAUCUUGCAAAGUUAAGGGCAUUUCUUUUGAUCUAAAGUCUUUGCAUCACCACCUCAUCACACGCCAAGCCAAUAUUCCAUUUACCUCUACAACAAAAAGUUUUAAUUAAACAAUCCUAAUGCACGCAGCCAAAUAAAAUGCAGUAAGAAUAUUCAACUUAAAAAUCUGAAAGCCAACUUGGUGAAUUGCCUCCUUAGGUGAAGUUCCAUGCUUUACUAUAGUUGACAGAACUCAGCAAAAGCUUCCAUACAACAGAUUUUGAAAAUGAUGAUGCCAACAGAUACUCAUUCAAUGCAUUGAAACUCCAAAGGUUCAUUGUUCAUAGAAGUUUACAGAGUUUUGGUCAUCAAAUAGCUCAGACCUAAUCCCAAACAAAAAAUGAGUGAAAAUUAGAUCACGAGCAGCUAAUUGUAAAUUCUAACUUAACUCUUCAUCUCCUUUGUAAACAAGAAACAAAAUGGAGACACGCAAAAUGAAUAUGGAGAAAAUUUGAACUCAAAUGAAAUGAGGGCAUGAAAGCAAACAAAUGGCAUGCACCAAAAAACCAAGCCUCAAUCAAAAACUAAUUAACCAUUAAGAAAAAAAUUGGUCAGAGAAUGAACUCCAAAUUCAGGAGUCAAGCAAGAAGCUUUCAUUAUUAUCAAAGUCAAUUAUCUUUGUUAGUAUGCGAGUGUGACGACUAUAGGUUGUUCUUUUUCUAAUGUCAUAUGAUUCCAAUUUUAGGUACAGGGCAUCUCUCUCUCUCUCUCUCAUCGCUAAGUGGAUAUUUUUCUCUUUUGUCAUAUACUUUAGUUAUUCUUCAAUUUACUAACUAAAAUGAAGGCCGCUUUAUUAAGAAGUUAUAUCCAGUUAUAUAAUUUGUUGUAUUUAAUAUAUGUUUGGGCUCAUAAUUUUUUUUAAAAAUAUAUAUUUCAUUCUCCAUAAUUUUUUCCCAUCAUAGCUACGAAACGUCUUAGUUUCGACUAAAAUCCUAAAAUUGGUCCUUAAUUGAAUAUGCAUUGCAAUUUGCAAAUGUAAUAUUGUGAAUGGGACACUGGAGAUACCAAAAUGGUCAAAUGCGAAAUAAGUUAGGAUUGUACGAUGUAGUUUGUAUUCAUAUUCAAUGCCUUUUUUUUCAAAAAACAAAUUGAAAUGCCAUUACUAAACGAUUCUUGAUGAUGGGAGCCACCGUGCCAGCUUUGUCGCUGAUUUGGUAUUAUUCUUAACUUGCAGAUAGUUGUGGAUAUGAUAUGCAAAAAGGUAAGGACUAUAUCUUCUUGAUGGAGGCCUCUGAUUUUUUCCCUUCUAUGUAAUUUAGUAAAUCGCAUUUUCCCUUGUGAUUGAUAUAUCAUACCAAAGUCAAGUCUUAAAUACUGCUGUCAUAUGUUAAGGUUCAACUUCCAUUUUGAUUAACGUCCAUUUGCUGCUGCUUCCAAAAGUGAGAAUGAGAUACUUUGGUUAAUUUCAGUAGUUGAACCCAAUAGAGUACUUUAUUUAGAUCUUCAUGGUUCAAAGGCCUGAAAAAACUUGCCGGUAUUUGCAAAAUGACAUUCUGUGCUUUUAUUUAGGCUUAUUAUUUAAGUGAUAAAAACUCCCGUAACCUGCUGUCAAGAAAAUUUCAGAUUGUUAAAAGACAACAUUUUGUUUCAGCCAAAAAUGUUUGUUUCGAUUAAAGACUUGAACCAUUUUCAUUUAACCUUGAUUGUGAUGCUUUACAUUAUGCAUGUUCCUCUCAAUCAAUAAAAGUUGAGGUCAUGAUUUUAUAUUUCUAUUUUGUAACUUGAAAUAAUUGGUCUGCCUGUUUCUGUAGCUUGAUAACAUGAAUUUUUCCUUCUGAAGUUAAUUUGAUCAAUAAAGUAAUUCUUCGGAGAUGAUAUGCCCAUUCUAUAGUCAUUUUCUUAGGUAACAUGUUUUUUCUUCACUCUUCAGAGCAUGUCUAAACUAAUUGAUCGCUCAGCGGAGACUUUGGGUGAGAAGACAAAAUUUCUUGGUAAAUCCUCUAAAAAGGUAUGCAUAAUUCCCGAGUAUUAAAUAAUCAUUGGUCAUAAUUUUUGUACACAACUCUUUUUUUGGAGAUCGUUAAAAGUGGUUGAUGAUCUAUUUUGUAAUAUCAUAGAGGGAUCAUGAAUUCCUGUUCUUUUCUGUGGCUAGGCAACACUUUCGGGCCAAGCUAAGGAAAUCUAUUUUAGGUAAUGUGAAAACCAGUUGUAGGAUGUAAUAGUUUAUUAUGCCCUGACAAUAACUUUUUGUAUAAUUGUCAGUUUAAUGAAUACAAGAGGAACUCUGUUGGCAAAUUCAUCCAUGAUAGAUGCUAAAAGUAUUUAUGCAUACCAGUUGCCUUAACUAAUUUUUCUCAACACUGGUAUUGAACAGGAAAAUGAAUAUGCAAUUUGUAUAUUGUGCCAUUGUGGAGAAUUUGGAUAUUCUUAUUUAAGUAACAAGGAGAGUAUUUGCCUCAUCUUUAAACAAUGAAUCUUUGAGAAAUGAGGAGUGGGUGAUUGGCAGUGUCUUCAUGUAAAUGUUCAUUUAUUUGUAUUUUGAACUAUUAUGAGAAUCUUUGUAUGCCAAAUUAGUAAUACAAAUGUUCAGAUGAUUUUUCCUGUUGAUCAUGCGUGUGUAUCUGCACACAACCAUUGUGUCCCACUUUAUUCUGAUGCACAAAUAUCUGUAGUUUAGAAGAAAAGAAAUAAUAAUCAUAUAUUAUUGCUUGGUUCAUGAUUAUUAAACGAUUAUGGCUUUAGAAAAUCCACAAAUCCUUUGUGUUCAUAUAUGAAUGUGCGAAGUUUGCUAUCUCUUAGAUUACCUUCUUCCAAGAUAACAAGUUCAUAUAUUUUUUUUAAUCCUUUUUCAUCACAGUUGAAUUUCAAGUGUAAGUUUUGUUAUUAAUAGCUGGUUUCCUGUUAUUAUGAUUUCAUAAACAGUGAGAGGAUAUGUGCUCUACUUUUGGAGGGCCUCCACAUGAAAGAAAAUUGCAACAAUUGAAUUCUUCCGGAGGGUAUGGUAUUUAAUUUAUUUUCUCAGCUUGUUGUAAGACUAAUAUAUUUCCUUCAGUACCCAAAAGGACAGAAAUGAAUUACGGAAGGAAGUUUUUGCUGCUUUAUUUAGUGCUGCUGAGAAAUCUGAUGGAUUUCCUGAAAUUACGGUGAAGACGGAGUGGAGGUCCAACGCAUUAGGAAAGGUGGUGAGUGAACCGCCGGAGGAAUUAGUACCAGAAUACAAGGCUAAUGUGGUGCACUUGCAGCAAGAUGACCAGACCUGUAUGUGCUCUUAUAUUAACUAUAUUGGUUGGAUUUGUGAGUGUGUACAUUUUUGUGUGUAUACUCACAUUUGUAUUUAUGCAUAUUAACGUGUGUAGGAUUCUUGAUUUCUGCCACUUACUGGAGAACUAGUGGAAAGCUUUAUACUGAUAUAUGUGCUAUAACUAAUGGAAACUACAAUAUGAAUAUUUUCUCUCACCUGGAGAACUGUGUAACAGAUAUAAUUUGUGGCUCUGGAAUACUGAAGAUUCUGCAAUAACUAAUGGAAAAUAUGAUAUGAAUAUUUUUUCUCACCUGGAGAACUUUGUAACAGAUACAUUUUGUGGCUCUGGAAUGUCUAAAGAAUGCUUCAGUUUAGAUCAAAUAUCUUUUAGUUAGAAAAGAUAAAAUUCUCUGAAUCUGAAAGACUGAAACAUUUUGCAUAUUUUGUGAAAGGGAAGUAUCUGUAGAUACUAGCUCAUGCAUUGAGGUAAUAUCAAUGUUAAAGAAAAACAGCAAUAAUUUAUUAUACAGAAUUAGGUUCACUUGCUUUAAAUGCUGGUCUGAUCAACCAUAACAACCUGUAAUGGUCCUGCAGAAAUAUAUAUACGGGGAGAAACUAGCUAAAUUUUCCUUUCACUUAUGGGUUUGGUCUUUUUUUCCCCUAUUUUUCAGCUUUCCUUCUCCUGAAGUAUGUUAACAAUUGCAGAUAAUGACGAAGAGGACCGCUUCCAGGCUCUUUGUAGAGCUGUGAUGGAAUAUAGGGGCACAAUGAAAGAAUAUUGUAAGGUUGUAUGUACUUUCUCUCUUGUCAUUUAUGUUUUCUCACACAUUUUGUUUAUGCCCUGAACAUGCAGCUUUGUAUGUGUCAAUUGCCUUUUACGUUUUAAAAGCCAUAAAGUAAGAAUACAGUUCCUUGUCAGGCUAUUGAUGCGUUCGCUCAGAAGGGUCAUGUUCAAGCAGGAAAACUUCUAGAACAGGUAAGGUUUCCAUCUACAGCCAUCCAUUGACAGCAGAUAUAUUUUCAUUAAGCAGACACUGUUAGCAUUCAAGAUGCUGGCAGAUUCACUUGAUUCUUAUUAGUUUGUUUAGUGGCAAGGCAUAUAACCUGUAUUUCAAAGCCAAGUUGUGCUAUUGAUUAUGUUAACUUUAUUGUUAACAUAAAGUGAUAUGGAGGACAUAAUCAAUGUAGGAAAAUUAGGUGAAGAGAUGAUGUCAAAUCUUGAACCUCUUACAAAGCUCCAAGUUCUUUACUUGAAGAAGCUGCCAAAUUUGAAGAGCGUCUACUGGAAGGCAUUUCCAUUCCCAGAUGUAUGCAGAAUUUUUGUAUUAAUGCCCAGUUCUUAAGAACCUGCCACUGGAUUUUCAAGGGGUGGGCCAAGGUAAAAUUCUUAUCAAGGGAAAGGAAGAUUGGUGGAAAGAACUUCAAUGGGAGGAUCAAGCAACUCAGAAUGCAUUGCUUCCAUUUUUCAAAUCAACUGACAAGUGAUUGAAGGGGGCAUCAUCAACAUCAUCAACAGAGAUGGAGAGAUUCUGGAGCAGAUCAGCAGGGUUUGUAUAUGAUCUUUGGUGGUUGCUUUCUUUUGUGAUUUUUUUUUUCUUCCUGUCAUUUUAUCAUUUCUUUGUCUCUUUUUUUAUUGCUGAUGUUAGUGUAUGCUUACUGUUGCUUGACAAAGUUCGCUUGCUUCUUGUUUAUUAAAUUUUUUAUCGUCACAAAAUAUUACUUGUUCUAUUUGAGAGUGAUGUGAAUCAAUUUUCAAUUAUAUAUUUUGUGGUCAAUGUGAAUUCAAUUUCAUUUGUCUCCUGCAAUUAUGAGAAAACUGCAGAGUCAUAAUAUGGAAAAGUACACCAGCAAAAACUUUGUAAAAGCUUCGGAGUGAAACAGGGAAUUCACUUACUACUAAGAACAAUUGAUGGCGAGUUAUUCCAUUCAUUUUAUGUCCAUCUAUCUAUUUAAUUAUUAAAGAUAAAUGGUCCAUUUAUAAAUUUCAGAUUGUCUCUCUCUGAAAAUAACAAUAUUUAAAAUAUCUCUUAAAUUAUUAUAAAUUUUAAUACACUCUCGAUUUAAAAUGGAACAUGCUGAUGAAAUUGUUUUCUUCUUAAUAAAAUUGAAAUAAAUUGUGUUUGCAGUAGUUUGAAAUAUUUUAAAGAUUAUUAUUUUAUAAGGGAGUAAUAUGAAAUGAAAUUUACUUUUCAUGCGUGAAAUGUUGAAAAAGGACAAAGCAAGUGUCCCUGCUUUUAUUUUUAUUUUAAAGUGGAGUCAUCUCACAUACUUUAGCUCUAUCAUUACAAUUUUUCAGGUUACAUUUUUAUUAUUUAUUUAUUUUCUUUUUUACACAUGCAUGUGGGUUACUUUUCCGUAAGCUCCUCAAUAUAUAUUGAACCCAGCGAAGAAUGUUAUGGAAGAGCAAAUUAAUGAUAUUUCUGAUAGAGUCUAUUUGAUUAUGUAGCCUGAAUGGAUGUCUUGUUGAAAGAUAUCUCAGUGCAUUAGUUCAUCCUUGUCUGUCAAUGUGUUUUUAAUGGUUUUUCCAAUUGUUUAUUAUUAUAGAUUGAUUGUAAAUUGAUAUGAAAAUUUGAUAUGAAUUUAAUGUUGAAAUGUUUUCUCUUUAGUGGAAUGAAUUUAAAAGUGCAAAAGAUUAUUGCACACAGAGAAAUAAACAUAUAUGCUUUAUAACUUUAGCAAUCGAUUCUUUUACAGCUGGAAACAGAGAUGAUGAUUAUCAUAAGGAUGAAGAAAAGUAGUGCGUUAGACGAUUAGACUCUCUUAUUAAAGGCAAGUAUAAAGUAGUGAAGAAUCCAAUAUCUCUAUUGUCUAGUCUUUUGUUUAAUUCUUCUUUUAUUAUUUUUCAGAAUAAUUUUUGGUGAUUACAAUCGGGUUAUUAUUCAGAGUUAUUGUUAUCUUCUGGGGCAGUUUCUGUUCAUCGAAUUCAUUAAUUAAAAUUUUAGAACUCUUAUCAGAAGAAUAUUUUUCGGUUAUCUUUUUUAUGUUCUAAUUCCAAUUGUAAGAAGUAGCCAUUUUAGAAUUUGGGUCUUGAAUCGAAUUUCAAUGCAUGAAUUAAUAUUAAAAAAAAAAAAUUCACUACUCGCAGUUUAGGUUACAAAUUACUUUUUGGAAAGUUGACUUUGGAAUGUUUGCAAAGAAAGAGACUAACAUAUUUCCAAUUACACUAAAUCUCUAUUAUGAUAAUGUUAAGACUAAAUUAAUUUAAAUAAUUUUUAUUUGAAAAUUAUAUCAAACGCAGUCUAAUUUUAUUAAUUUUAAGAAAUAAUAAUUAUAAAAAUUAUUGUUCUGACUUAAUUAAUACAAGUGAUAUAAAAGUUAAGUGUGCACUAAAUCUGUUUUAAUUUUUUCCAGUAUAACUAACAGAGGUCAUUACUAGAAUUAUAUUACUAGUCUAUUAGAUAGAAAAAAUUACUUAUAUUGUUUUAUAUUUAUUAAAAAAUUUAAAGCCAAUUUUUUUAAUUACUAUUUAAAGAAUAUUAUAAUUUGAAAAAUUUUAAUAUCUUUAUUAAAAAUUUAGAAAUUUACAGUCCUCUAAAUAUUUAAGGCGUAACUGUCAUUUUCUCAAGAAGCUUUAUUUAAUAUUAUUGAUUUAAAUAAUAUCUUAUUAAAAAUGUACUGAGGAGAAAUUUUGGUGGGUAUUUUAGUCUUUUCAGCAAUCAUCAUGAUUAACCUUUGGUUGGCCUUGAAACGUCGGUCAGAAAAGUUUUAAAAUGCUUAAUUGUUUUUCACUGUUAACGUUAGUGGCCUUGAAAUUGCUUAUAUUUUAUUAAAAAUUAAUGCUAACAAGAAAAAACUAGAUCGUAUUCCACCCCCAAAGCAAAAGUGAUAAAACAACCGGCUGUAUUCUUUUAUUAAACUACAAAUUAAAAUGGAUUUCUUUAAUUAAAGUGGAUAUCAUUUAAUUAAUGUUUGAACAUUAAAGUUCUGAUAUAUAACCACUAUGCCGACCACCUAAUUGCUGCUAUUUAAUUUCGUUCCAGUUCUCUCUCUCUCUCUUUUUCUUUUUUUUUUGGGCCAAGCAAUAAAUAGUAAAAAUUCAAUAAAAGCAAUAUUAAUGCUGCAAGUGAGUCAUGUUAUUUAUUGUCAAUUAGGAAAUGUGAACCUAAUUUGAUUGCAUCCCUUUAAUCAUUUAAUAAUUAUGUAAGCACCAUCCCUUUAAUUAUUUAAUAACUAGAAAAUAGAACACUGCGUUUCACGCGGCUUUGAAAAAAGAAUUUAGUAUUAUCUUUUUUUCUUACUUUACACUUGAUGAAACUGAUAAAAAAUAUGAAUUGAUUUUUUUUAAAGAUGAGGCAGCCUUAUAAAAAAUAAAAAAAGCUAUUAGCCAGCAAUACAAAUAAAGAAGGAAUGCAAGAUAAAGAAUAAAAUGAGAGAAUAUAUUAUAGAGUGAUCUUAUUCAUUCUAAUUGUGUGUGUACAAAACAAAAAGAUGAGCUCUCCUUUUAUAACUACAUAAUUACUUCAUGAAAUUAAUGAAAAAUUAUGAAUCAUAAUUUCUUGUGAGAUAGUGGGAGUUAUUGGGAAGCUAAAAGUUGCUAAUGGGAGAUAGUGGGGAGACUAAGAGAUAUAUAUUAUGAACAUCUACAUUUAUUUUAAUAAAUUCAUAACACUCCCCCUUAAAUGUUCAUUACAAAGAAUAUGCCUCAUUAAAAUCUUUACAUAAUUGUUAUUGUGUAAUAACAAUCAAAUUAAUUAUAAGAAGAUGAAAAGCCAAAUCUAACAGAAAAUUUCUCUAUUUAUUAGAUAAUAGAGAAUAUAGCAAGAUGAGAAAUGGUAAUGCCACAUCAUCUCCUCACGUCCCAACUUUAUAUAUAUAUAUAUAGAUAAUAUAUAUUAUUCCUGUCCUACAUUCACAUAUUUAAUUGUCCUUUUGAAAAUAUUCAUGAGUUAGGCCAAGUAAAGUCAAAGAAAUUGGGAAAAAGGAACAAAAGGACAAACCUAAAUUAAUUGAACCUAAUUCAUGAAAAUGCACACUUUUGUGUUGCGGACGGCGGACCCUAAAGCUUCGUUGUUUGCAGCUGCAAUUAAUUCUUUUCCUUCAAAAGUUAGAGGCUCGUGUUUACAGUGGGUCCCGAAUCGGACGUACCUAAUAAAUCUUUUAAAAAAAUUUGCCGUAUAAAGGACAGAGGUCAUUACUGAAAUUUCUCUUCCACGGGCAAUUACAGCAGCUUCAGUUAAUCAAACUCAAAUCAAUUUUCUUUCUUAACAAAAUAUUCCAAAGAUGUGUAGCAUUUUUCAGAUCACAUGCGAUGGUGCUUUUUUCAAUCGUUGCUUGGAUUGCUUUCUUGGAAAAGCAGCAUACAUACGUAACCUCCAAGAUAAUCUUGUAGCCUUGGACACUGAAUUGGGAAAUCUGAUCGCUAAAAAGAACGAUGUGAUGAGGAGGGUUGUCGAUGCUGAACGGCAACAAAUGAGAAGGCUGGACGGAGUGCAAGUGUGGGUUUCGAGGCUCGAUGCUGUUAAAACUGAAGCCGAUGAACUUAUCACAGACGGCUCUCGAGAAAUUGAAAAAUUAUGUGUUGGAGGCUACUGUUCCAAGAACUGCAGGUCAAGCUACAAAUUCGGAAAACAAGUGGCAAGAAAGCUACGAGAUGUGGAGACUUUAAUCGCCGAGGGAGUUUUUGAGUCGGUGGCUGAGAGAGCUCCGGAACCUGUGGCAGAUAAAAGACCCACUGAGCCAACAAUAGUAGGCUUGCAAUCACAGCUUGAACAAGUUUGGAGAUGUCUUCUUGUAGAAGAAUCAGCGGGAAUCAUUGGCCUAUAUGGUAUGGGCGGUGUUGGUAAAACCACACUGUUGACCCAUAUCAACAAUAAAUUUCUUGAGAGUCCCACCAACUUUGAUUGUGUGAUUUGGGUCGUAGUUUCAAAAGACCUGCGACUUGAAAAAAUUCAAGAAGAUAUUGGGAAGAAGAUAGGUCUGUUUGAUGGUUCGUGGAAGAAUAAAAGUGUUGAGGAGAAAGCCGUAGACAUCUUGCGGAGAUUAGGAGAGAAGAGGUUUGUAUUGUUGUUAGAUGAUUUAUGGGAGCGGGUUGAUUUAACAGAAGUGGGCGUUCCACUUCCCAGCCCACAAAAAUACUACAUCAAAGUCGUAUUCACGACCCGUUUCAUUGAUGUGUGUGGUAGCAUGGAAAGUCACAGGAAGUUUAAAGUGGCAUGCUUAUCAGAAGAGGAUGCUUGGGAGCUGUUUCGAGGAAAAGUAAGGCAAGAAACUCUUGAGAGUCAUCAUGAUAUCGUUGAGCUAGCCCAAACUGUGGCCAGAGAGUGUGGCGGUUUGCCACUCGCGCUUAAAACUAUAGGUCGAUCUAUGGCCUACAGAAAGACAGCUAAGGAGUGGAGACAUGCAAUUGAAAUGUUAAGGAGAUCAGCUUCAGAGUUUGCAGGUUUGGGAGAAAAGGUGUAUCGUCUUUUAAAGUUUAGCUAUGAUAGUUUGCAGAAUGAUACGAUUAGAUCUUGUUUCUUAUAUUGUUGUUUGUAUCCUGAAGAUUAUGGCAUUCUUAAAUGGGAUUUGAUUGAUUGUUGGAUUGGUGAGGGAUUCUUAGAGGAAUCUGACAGGUUUAGUGCAGAAAACCAAGGAUACUACAUUGUGGGCACUCUUGUUCAUGCAUGUUUAUUAGAAGAGGUGGAAGAUGAUAAAGUAAAAAUGCAUGACGUUGUUCGUGAUAUGGCUAUAUGGAUAACCGGUGAAAUUGAGAAGGAGAAGCGAAACUUUUUGGUUUGUGCAGGUGCUGGAUUAAAAGAGGCACCGGAUGUUGAAGUAUGGGAAAAUGUGAGAAGAUUGUCAUUGAUGCAAAACCAAAUUGAAACUCUGUCAGAGGUUCCCACAUGCCCUCAUCUUCUCACUUUAUUUCUUGACUUUAAUAGGGAGUUGAAGACUAUUGCGGAUGGCUUCUUCCGAUGUAUGCCUUCUCUCAAAGUUUUGAAGAUGUCAAACUCUGGAAAGCCUUGGAAAGGUUUGGAAUUAAAUUUGGGGAUGCCAAAGUUGGGUUCACUACAGCUUCUUGAUAUUUCACACACCUGCAUACAAGAUUUACCGCAAGAAUUAAAGUUGUUGGUAAAUCUGAAAUGUUUGAAUUUGAGGCGGACAAUUUGGUUAAAUAAAAUUUCAUGGCAACUAAUAUCAAAUUUUUCAAGGUUACGUGUGUUGAGAAUGUUCGCUACUGGCUGGUUCAAUUUUCAUGAAGCACCAGAAGACAGCGUUUUAUUUGGUGGGGGUGAAGUUUUGAUACAGGAAUUGCUCGGUUUGAAAUAUUUAGAGGUAUUGGAGUUGACCUUGGGAAGUUAUCAUGCUCUCCAAAUUCUUUUCAGCUCAAAUAAGCUAAAAAGUUGUAUUCGAUCUCUUUACCUCCAGUUGACCGGAGAUACAGCGUUAAUUAUUGAUGCUACGGCUUUCGCAGAUCUAAAACACCUCAAUGAAUUACGCAUUGAGUCGGCUACAAAGCUGAAAGAAUUGACGGCUGAUUAUACAGAGAUAGUUCGAAAAAGGCGGGAACCUUUUGUUUUCCGCAGCCUUCACCAUGUUACUAUACAAAGCUGCCAGAAGUUGAAAGAUUCGACAUUCCUCGUUUUUGCUCCAAACCUCAAGUCUCUUUCGAUAGUCAAAUGCAAUGCUAUGGAAGAAAUAAUCAGCGUCGGAAAAUUUGCUGAGACUCCUGAGAUGAUGGGACAUAUAAGUCCUUUUGAAAAUCUCCAAAUGAUUGAUUUACUAGGUUUGCCACAUUUGAAGAGCAUCUUCUGGAAGCCAUUGCCUUUCACUCAUCUGAAAGAAAUAUCUGUGCGUUAUUGCCCUAAUCUUAAAAAGCUUCCACUCGAUUCCAACAGUGCAAAGGAGCGUAAAUUUGUUAUUCGUGGAGAAGAAGACUGGUGGAACCCACUUCAAUGGGAGGAUGAAGCCACUCAAAUUGCUUUUCGUUCCUGUUUCCAACCCUUGUUCCUGAACAGUGGUCGCAAAAUUUGAUUUCUGGUGAGUGCGUUUGUCUUUUAAAAAGAAUAAUUUAAAAGAAAUUUAUUCUUGUCGGUUUCUUCACUGUUUUUAUUUCAGUUUCUCUCUCUCUCUCUCUCUCUCUCUCUUUUUGUCUUCUGCAAAUCACAAUUACAUUUUUAUUCUUGUCGUUUUCUUCACUGUUUUUAUUUCAGUUUCUCUCUCUCUCUCUCUCUCUCUUUUUGUCUUCUGCAAAUCACAAUCAAAUGUUGAAUUAAUGGAAUUAAUGCUUCAUAAAUUUGCCGGCACUGCCAUUACUUUUUUUUGGGGGAUCGAAUUGAUACUUUAUUUAUAUCUUCUUAGCGAUUUAAUUUCCUGUCAAAAGACGAACGAGAAGAACAUAUGACUUAAACCAAUGCUCGCAUAAACUUGCUGUAAAAAGAUAUAAUCUCACUGAAAUGCACACGCCUAGAAUGAAUAGAAUUAAAACAGGGAAAAUAUUAAGUAUAUUAGCCCUCUUUACUGAAAAUCAAAUGACAGUAAAUUUUUUGAAGUUUUGAUUUUCUAUGGUCAAUUCCACCUUUUGCAAUUUCUUCUGUUCUAACAAAAACCAAUUUCUUUGUUCAAGUAUUUUCGUUUGGAUAUUAAUAAUUCUCCACCGAAAGAGUGAACUCUUGCUCAAAGGGAUCUCUAAUAAUACAUAACAUGAUUAUUUUCGUUUGAAUAAUUGAUUUCUUGAUUGAAUUGUCGUGUAAUUGAUUUAUGGGGGAUGACACAUCAACAUACUUGAAAAUACACUAAUCUCAGCAUCAUCGGUUAAUAACUUUUAGAUUUAUGGGUAAUCAAUAGUUAAGAUUAGUUGUCAUUAAUACUAAAUAAUUUUUACUUUUUUUGUCUCUUCUAGAGGAUCUUCUAGAAAAAUGCAUCCACAAUUAAAUUUAAUACUUUACAUAAUAAACAAAGCCUAAAUGUUAAAUUUAAGAAACUGCAUUGUAUUUCAGUUGAAGUUGACUUUAAUAUUUAGGGUAGAAAAACAAUUAAUUUUAUUUUUUGAAAUGUCCAUAUUCAGAGCACAUUUCAAAAAGACUCAAUAAUUUCUCAUAAAUUUCAAUUAAAAAUAUUCAAUUUGUUGUUUCAGUUCUUUUAUUUUUUAUUUUUUCCGACAUGAAAGCGACUUAAUGUUACUAAAUUGGGUGGUCUUUGGAUUUUCAUGACCCAAUAAUUGGAACAAAACAAUUUUCUCAAGCGCUCUCCCGCAACAUUUUAUAAUUGAAGCCGCUGCCCCGCCCGUGGUUUCAAACUUUUUUCUUUCUCCUUGUUUAAAUUAAUGGGAGCAGCCUCCGUCCUUGACUAGUUGACUGCUUGUCUUCUUUUUUUUAUUAAUUAAUUAAUUCAGCCGCCCCCCUUUCUUGUCCCAAUAUCUUCUACUUUCGGUUUCCUUUUAUUAUCUCUUUAUUUUUAAAAAAUGCUUAUAAUAAUAAUAAAAUAUAAAAUAUAAAAAUAAAAAUAUAAUUUAUCAGAAAAUUAAGAUAAAGAAAUAUUAUAAGCACAUCAAUCAACAAGUGAAAAAAAAACAAUUUUAAUUUACAUUAAAUAUAAACUUUCAGUGUUAAUCAACUUUUCUAAAUAACUAAAUUAAAAAAUUAAUUGAUUUAAUUGUGGUGUAAUUGAUUUGUAGGGGAUGAAUCAGCAGCAUCAUCGGUUAACGCUUUCAGAUUUAUAGUUAAUCAAUAGUUGAGAGUUGUUAUCACUAACGCCGUGUAUUUUUUAAUGUUUUUUCUCUCUCCUACAGCAUCUUCUAGGAAAGUGCAUCCGUUGCUAAAAUUUAGUAUCGUAAAUAAUAAACCAAGAAUAAAUAUUAAAUCUAAGAAACUGUAUUGCAUUUAAUAUUUAAGGGAGAAAAAUAAUUAUAGUGUCUUUAUUAAUCAGUAAAAAAAAAAAUUAGAAUCAUAAUAAAUUGUAUUGUUAUUGAUGUAUUUAUUUUAUUUUAUACUCAAAAUAAAUUAUUUUAAAUUAUUAAAAUAAUUUAAAAUUAGUAUUUUAUUUUAUACUCAAAAUAAAUAAUUUAAAAUUUUCAUUUCUUGUUUAUUUCGCAAGUUGUUAUUGCCUAAUGCUAUGUCAACUCGAACAUUAGCAUUUUUUUUUUUGGUCCUCUUUUAACGCAAAAUUAGUGUAGGUUAAGUAACAUAAUCAAUAUUAGGACAAUUUGAAAUCCCUAUGGGUGCGUUUGGUACACUGUAUUGUAUUAUACUGUAUUGCAUUAUUUUAAUGCUGAUGUAUUGUAUUAUGUUGUAUUGCAUUAGCACUGUAUUAUAACAAUGCUAUACAAUAUUUGGUGUUACAUUGUACUGUAUUAGAUUUUAAUUAUAUUAUAUUUAGUGUUACAAUUGUUGUAACAUAAACACGACCAAAAUAAAUUGUACUAAAUAAUCUAAGUAAGAGUUCUGUAGUAUAUGUAAUAAUACUAUUUAUAUUAUUAUUAUUAAUAAUUCUAAAUUAAUAUUAUUUAAUUUUAUUCAUAUUUAAAUAUGUAUUAUUAGUUUAUUAAAUUAUUUAAAAUAAUUAAUUUAUAUAUAUUAAUUAUUGUAACUUAAUUAAAUAAUGUAAUGCUAUAUUAUAUUUUUAUAUACUAUUUAAGUAUUUAUUAUUAAUUAUAUUUAAUUAUAAAUUUAUUAAUAAAUUAUAAUAUAAAAAUAAAAAAUAAAAAUUAAUAUUGUAUAAUAUUAUAUUAAAUUAAAGUUUUAUUUUUAUUACUAUUAUUAUAAAGUAAAAAAAAAAAAAAGGGAAGCUACUGACUUUUGAAACACAAAAGUCAGUAAUACAACCUAAUCACGAGGGGGGGCGCGGGUUUUGAUAAUGCGGCAAAAGCUGCAUUGUAAUGCUGCUCAAUGCAAUCCAUUUGAUCACCAAACACAGGUAUAUUUUAACUAAUGCUGGGCCCACAAAAUAAUACAAUGCAAUUCCGCAUGCCAAACAUACCCUAUGGGUGCGUUUGGUACACUGUAUUGUAUUAUACUGUAUUGUAUUAUUUUAAUGCUGGUGUAUUGUAUUAUGCUGUAUUGCGUUAGCAUUGUAUUAUAAUAAUGUUGUACAAUGUUUGGUGUUACACUGUACUGUAUUAAUUUUUAAUUAAACUAUAUUUGGUGUUAUAUUGUAUUGUAUUAAUUUUUAUAAUUAAUUAAAUUAAAUAAUUAAAAAAUAAUAUUUAUUAAUACUUAGAAAAAUAAUAAAUAUAGAAAUCUUAAUUGUAGAAAUUUAACAAAUUUUUUAGUAAAUAUUAAAAAUUAAUGAUUAAAUUUCUAAAAUUUGUAUUAUAAUUAUGAUAAAAUAAAUUUAUAAAAUUUAAUAUUAUAUGUAAAUAAUAAAUUUAGAUUAUAAUUAAUAUUAUAAUUGUUAAUAUAAAUUAAUAAAUUAUUAUUCAAUAAUAUUCAAUUAUAUUUUAAUUUACAAUAUAUUAUUAUUUUUACAUUUUAAUAUAUUAAUAAAUUUAUAAUUUAACAUAAAUAAUUAUAAAUUUAAAUAAUAUUAAUUUUAAAAUUAAUAUUAAUGUAAAUAAUAUUAUAAUAUUAAUAUAUUAUUUUUAUAUGAAUCAUUAAUAAAUAAAAUAAUAUUAUCAUAUAAUUUAUUUUUAUAUUUUAUUCAUUAUAUUAAUAUUUAAUAAUAAAAUAAUUUAUUUUUAUAAUAUUUUAAUAAAAUAAAUUUGCCUCAAUUGAGGCAUUAACUGUUGCCUCAAUUGAGGCAAAAAGCUUCCGCAUCCCUCGGGUUUGCGUAAUGCGGCCCCAUGCCUCAUUAUGCUGCAUUAUAAUGCAGCAUAAUGAGGUGUCAAAUUUUGCCAAACAUGUUCUUGGUAAUAAACUAAUGUGAAUAGUAGUAUAAUACCACAUAAUCUCAUGCACCAAACACGCCCUAUGUGUAUUAUUCACGGUAUCUAUGAGGGCUUAUCCUUUUGCUAGAACAAACUCUAGCAAAUUGUCAAAUGUGCUUAUCCUUUCCCUUGACGACUCAUUUUAAAAUUGUCACUCAUUUUAAAAUUGUCUUUCAAUGCACAAACACAGACAUAACCGCCGACAUCGAGCACCAAGUUUGGAAUUUAAUUGAUAAGCAUACAUUUGAUAAAUUAAUGAAAAGUUUGGAGAGUAGUUUUGAUCACCCUUGAUUAGGACGGUAUUACAAAAAAGAUCAAAAAGAAAACAUCGUCUCUCUUCACAAAAAUAAAUAUUUUCCGUUAGAAUUUAAUACAAUAAUAUUUUUUUUGAUUAAAAUUUAAUUAAAUACACAAAUAAAUUAUAUAUUUUUUAAAAAAAUUUACACCCAGUCACAAGGCUGGCUAUUAAACUUAAAGGGUGGAAGCUUCGGAGACUAAAGUUGGUAACUUCUCCAAGUGGUCUUAAGUUGACCGGAACUACCCAGACUUUAUGUUUGGUAGCCUAGACCUGAUCGGACCUAGGCCCAAGUUUGGUCUUAAAGUCCACAAUUAAAUUAAAAAAAAAUUAUUUGAUUUGUAAUUGAUUUAUGGGGAAUGAAUCCGCAGCCCUAAAAUUACACCAAUCUUGACAUAAUGACAUCAUCGGUUAAAAACGUUCAGAUUUAUGGUUAAUCAAUGGUUUGAGAUUUGUUAUCAUUAAUGCUAGAUAUUUUUUAACAUUUUUUUCUAUCUCUCUUCUCCUGAAGGAUUUUCUAGGAAAAUGCAUCCACAACAAAAAUUUUAAAUUGUAAACAAUAAACAGAGUAUAAACGUUAAAUCUAAGGAACAUCGCUGCAUUUCAGCUGAAGCGAACUUUAAUAUUUUACGGAGAAAAAUAAUUAAGUCUUUAAUGUGAUUUAUUGAUUAAUAUAUAUGACUAAUUUUUUAAAAGAAGAUGAAGGAUGAAGCUUAAAAAUAUAAAUUAUAGAAUUAAUUUAUCUCUUCAAUAAAUCUAAAGUUUAUUUUUUUUAUUACAUGCUUCUAUUUUAUUUUUAUUCCAUGUUAAUGAAUGGAGAUUUAAAUCCAUUUUGGAUUUAUAAAGAUGUUUAGAUAUUUAAAUCCACGUGUGAUUCCAAACUUGAACCUUUUUUUUUUUUUUUUCUAAUUAAUGCAAACAGCCGCCUCUUUGACUGCUUUUCUUCUUUGUUUAUUAAUUAAUUAAUUCAGCUGCCCACCUUUCUUUUCCUAAUGUUUUCUACUCCCAAAUUUUUUUAAGGACAAGGCUACGUUGCAGACGCUGUACCUAACAGCUGCACCUUCGCCAGCUUAAAAAAGGGUGCAUUUGGUAAGCAACUUUUCUUUCGUGUGCAUAUGUGUCCUGCCACCAUUGGGUGUGUACGUAACAGAUAAUGUACCGUAACAAGCUCCUAUUUUUAAAUUUGUUUAUAAUGAUAAAAUAUAAAAAUUAAGAUUAAAAUGUAAUGUAAUGUAAAAUUAAAGGUGGAAGAGUAUUAAAAUAAGGCUAAACCUAUGUUACGUUUAACGUAACAUACAUUUAAAUAUAUAAAAUAUCAAUGGAAACCCUCAAAUUUUAUGGAAACUAUAUUAAUAAAAUUAAAAGAAAUAUUUUUAAAUCUGAAAGAAGAAAUAAAAGAUAUAAAGCAAGAGAUAGGAAAACUAAAAAUAGAAAUAUCUGUAAAAGAAAAAGGAAAAGAAAAAUUAGAAAUAAAAGAAACAACUCCAACUGAAUCGAAUUCAGACUAAUGGAAGAUGUAUUAGAAACUUUAACUGAAAAAUUCAGUGACAUAAAUCUUAGUGAUUUAGAAGACUUUGAAAAAGAAUAUUAGAUAAAAAUGAAUACUGCUGGAGGACCAGAAAUGAAACCUAAUGUAGCAUAACCAAGUCAUAGAUAUGGUAUAAAUAAAAUGAAAAAUAAACCUUUUUACGAGUAUAUACCUCCUAUUAAAAAUACUCCUUGGAAAAAAGAAUACAAACCAAAUCAAGAUACAUUAACCCCAAUAAAUAAUGCUGGAACAUUUUUAAAUCUAGAUUGUAAGAUAGACAUUCGAAAGGCGUUAGCAGAAUGGGUGUUACAAAUGAAAUUAUUUUUUAUAUUUAACGGGUCAAAGGAUGACUAGAAUGUAGAGACUGAAGAAGAAAAAAUAGAUAUAUUUGUUGAAAUCUUAAUAGCCAGUUUUUCAGGAAAUGUGUUUAAUUGGUGGAGAGGAUUAAGCGAUGAUACACAAAACUUAAUAAAAGAUUCAACCAAAUAGCAUUUAGAAAAAAUAAAGCCUUAGGAAUGGAAAGGAUAACUGAAUACAUAGCUAGUGAAUUUUUAGGAGAAGAUUGGCUAGAAAAAUCGGGCAUAUAUGAAAAUUUAAAAAUUUAUGAUAAAAAGAUCUUAGUGUUUUUAUUAAAAAAUUAAAAUUUACAUGACUAUUUCUUUAAAUAUUUAGGGCAUAUAUGAACCACGGAGGAGAAAAGCUUUAUUUAAUAUUUUAGAAUAGUUUUUGAUCAGUACAAUUGGGUCCUUAUUCAGAAUUAUUGUUCUCUUCCGCAACAGUUUUUGUUUAUCAAAGUCGUCAAUUAAAAUUUUAGAAUUCUUAUCAGAAGAAGUAGUCGUUUUAGAAGUUGGGUCUUGGAUCAAAUUUCUACGAGUGCAUGAAUUAACAAUAAAAAAAUUUCAUUACACACGGUUUAAGCUACAAACUACUAUUUGCACAGUUGACUAUAAAACUUACCUCCAAUUACACUAAACCUCUCUAUUUGGUAACGUUGAGACUAAAUUAAUUUUAUUAGCAUGAAAAGAUGAUAGAAAUAUAAUUAUAAAUAUUAUUGUUGUUAAUCAAUUAGUACAUGUGAUAUAAAGGUUAAAUGUGCACUAUAUUUAAUAAUUAAUUAGUGGAGCAUGUUAAACAAAAUGUUAAUGUAUAUUUAUAUAGUGUUAGGAAUAUGCAAAGUCAAGUCCUCAAUUUGCAUUAUCCUGUAUAGAAUAUUACUCUAAAAAUGUUUUACUAUAAUUGGCUUAGAACAUUUGUAAAGAAAAAUAAUAAUAAAAUAAUAAAUAACAUACACCGUCACAUAGCACCUAGACAAUGAUAGAAAAUUAUUAAAGAGAGUGCAAACAAUUAAUUAGAGAUUUUUAUGAUGACUUUUAAUAUUCAUGAUAAUAACAAAUAAAUACAUGUAUCACUUUUUUAAAAUAUUAAAUUUGACUGCUCCAUUAAUAAAUUAUUAUUGUAAUUCAGACUCUAUCUAUAUAUCCUUGCACUAAGAAUAAUUAAGGUAACGUUUGUUUUUUAACUUAAUGACUUAAAGUGACUUAACUUAAUUAAUUAAGUUAAUUAGAGGUGUUUGUUUUAUAACUUAAUGAGACUUUUUAGAUAAUUUUGACUUAAUAAAAUAAGCUAAUUUUUUUUGGCUUUUUACUUAAUGGAGAAAUCUGAAUUAAGUCAAUUACUUGCUAAUGUCAAAAAUAUCCUUGUUUUAUAAUUUAUUUUUCAUGUCUAUCCCAAAACUCGCCCGUAGAUAUUUACCCCACAUAAAAAUAUCCCUGUUUUUUUCUUUCUUAUAUUAUAUACGAUAAAAUUUGAAAUUUAUAGUAUUUUAUAUAUUAAAAUUCUAAAAUAAUUAUGUAUUCACUUGAAUAUAGUUUUACUUAUAAAUGUUAAAAUAUGAUGGUAUUUAAUAUAUUAUUUAUUUGACAUUCAAAUUUAAUAAGGAUACAAAUGUAAAAGUACAUAUUUUCAGCUUUUUAAAUUGAAAAAAAAUAACUUAAUAUUUAUUUUCUGAGAUUCAGACGAAAAAAUAAACAUAUUAUUCAGAUUCAUACAUUCAGAUCUAUUCAGAAUUCAAACUAAUUCAAGUCUAUUCAAAUUUUAGACAAAAAAAUAAACGCCACCUAAGUCAUAAUAAAAAUUUUCGUAACUACAUCUCGUUUCUUCCUCAUAAUAAUAAUUAGAUUGGUUCGAAUAUUAUAACUAUAUAGAUUUAGUGUAUAGCCACAUCCAAUUUAAAUAUUGACCCAAUUGGGAUGGUCCCCAAAAAAAAAGAUUCGUUAAAGGAUAAUUCUAAUUAUUUUUACUUCUCAAACGUUAGUGGGACGUUUCUAUUAGCGCACUCGUAAGCCAAGUUGUCAAAUAUUUAUACUAAACUACAAUUGCUAACAAGAAAAAUCAAGAUCGUGUUAAGCAAGUGGGUCCCGAAUAGGACGUGCAAAUCUCUCGUAAGUCAAGUUGUCAAAUGUUUAUAUAAAACUAACAAUUACUGACAAGAAAAAUCAAGAUCGUAUUAAAAAUGGGUCCCGAAUAGGAUUAUCUUUUUAAGAAUAUUAUUAUUUUAUUAUUAAAAUUUUAUUAAUAUAACAGUAUUAAAAUUUAUUAAAAAAUAUAUUUUAUUAUUAAAAUUUUAUACCGUUAUCAAUUUAUUAUUAUUUUAUUAAAAAAAUUAAUAUUUAACAAAAAUUGAGAUAAAAAUUAAUUUUUGUUCUCUGUCUUUAUUUAUUUAUUUAUUUUUUUGGGUCUUCUGCAAAUCACAAUCAAAUGUUGAAUUAUAAAUUUGCCGGCAUUGCUUUUUUUUUUUUUUUUGGGCCGGGGGGUGGUGUUGAAUUGAUGCUCUGGGUUUUUGACUUUUGUUGUCAAAUUUUACUCUGUUUUUCCCAAAUUGAUGCUANNNNNNNNNNNNNNNNNNNNNNNNNNNNNNNNNNNNNNNNNNNNNNNNNNNNNNNNNNNNNNNNNNNNNNNNNNNNNNNNNNNNNNNNNNNNNNNNNNNNNNNNNNNNNNNNNNNNNNNNNNNNNNNNNNNNNNNNNNNNNNNNNNNNNNNNNNNNNNNNNNNNNNNNNNNNNNNNNNNNNNNNNNNNNNNNNNNNNNNNNNNNNNNNNNNNNNNNNNNNNNNNNNNNNNNNNNNNNNNNNNNNNNNNNNNNNNNNNNNNNNNNNNNNNNNNNNNNNNNNNNNNNNNNNNNNNNNNNNNNNNNNNNNNNNNNNNNNNNNNNNNNNNNNNNNNNNNNNNNNNNNNNNNNNNNNNNNNNNNNNNNNNNNNNNNNNNNNNNNNNNNNNNNNNNNNNNNNNNNNNNNNNNNNNNNNNNNNNNNNNNNNNNNNNNNNNNNNNNNNNNNNNNNNNNNNNNNNNNNNNNNNNNNNNNNNNNNNNNNNNNNNNNNNNNNNNNNNNNNNNNNNNNNNNNNNNNNNNNNNNNNNNNNNNNNNNNNNNNNNNNNNNNNNNNNNNNNNNNNNNNNNNNNNNNNNNNNNNNNNNNNNNNNNNNNNNNNNNNNNNNNNNNNNNNNNNNNNNNNNNNNNNNNNNNNNNNNNNNNNNNNNNNNNNNNNNNNNNNNNNNNNNNNNNNNNNNNNNNNNNNNNNNNNNNNNNNNNNNNNNNNNNNNNNNNNNNNNNNNNNNNNNNNNNNNNNNNNNNNNNNNNNNNNNNNNNNNNNNNNNNNNNNNNNNNNNNNNNNNNNNNNNNNNNNNNNNNNNNNNNNNNNNNNNNNNNNNNNNNNNNNNNNNNNNNNNNNNNNNNNNNNNNNNNNNNNNNNNNNNNNNNNNNNNNNNNNNNNNNNNNNNNNNNNNNNNNNNNNNNNNNNNNNNNNNNNNNNNNNNNNNNNNNNNNNNNNNNNNNNNNNNNNNNNNNNNNNNNNNNNNNNNNNNNNNNNNNNNNNNNNNNNNNNNNNNNNNNNNNNNNNNNNNNNNNNNNNNNNNNNNNNNNNNNNNNNNNNNNNNNNNNNNNNNNNNNNNNNNNNNNNNNNNNNNNNNNNNNNNNNNNNNNNNNNNNNNNNNNNNNNNNNNNNNNNNNNNNNNNNNNNNNNNNNNNNNNNNNNNNNNNNNNNNNNNNNNNNNNNNNNNNNNNNNNNNNNNNNNNNNNNNNNNNNNNNNNNNNNNNNNNNNNNNNNNNNNNNNNNNNNNNNNNNNNNNNNNNNNNNNNNNNNNNNNNNNNNNNNNNNNNNNNNNNNNNNNNNNNNNNNNNNNNNNNGAAGGGUCUCUAAUCAAUAGCUGGAAGCAAUUGAGAAGGCGGUUGCUACAGUGAAUUCAAAUGUAAAAUGUUUGCUAUUCUUCGAUUUGGUUAAUGAUUUCGUAUGAAUAUUGUUGUUCCGUUGAGUUGCAUGCGAAUUCAAAUGCAAAAUAUUCUUCGAUUUUCAAUUUUGAAAUCAAAUUUUUUUUUCCUUCUCAAGCAUGUUAUGCAGAAACGAUUGUCAUGUUAUGCAGAAACGAUUUUUACUAAAUCAUUUUUAACAAACUAUUGAAAUUAAACCACUGGAAUAAGAAUUGUAAGGAUUUAUCGUAAGCUUACUAAUACGAUAAUUCUGAAACUAUCACCUUUUUUUUUUUAUUUGUUGCAGGGAAACCCAAAUUUUGUAUUUUGUCAAUUUCAUCUGAUAUGGAAUUUAUUUCCUCCCUAAAGAUUUAUCAAACUGCUUCUCUUCCCUGCUUCAAUAUCUUUAUGCAAUUACGAUCUCAUAGGAAAAGAGAGUUUGGGUUGUAUAUCUUAUAGUAUUUAUUUAUUUUUUGUUAAAAGAAAUUUAUUUUAAAAUAGUUUAUAGCAACAGUUUUUAUUUAACAAUAAUGAGGAAGGAUUAUUAUAGGUUCAAAUAGUUGUUAGAACAUUAUAAAAAAGUCCAUUUACUAUCAAAUGUUUUAAAUUGGUGCAACGUGAUAAUUGUCUCAUAUAAUUUUUUAAGGGUAAAAACUCGUUUCAUUCCCAUAUUUUAAGAUUAUUACUCAUUUAGUCUUUAUAUUUUUAAAAAUGUUUCAAAACAUUCAUACCCUUAAAUUAUUAACAUCUCUGCUGUUACUUUUUAUUUUUUUUUGACUUGUUUUUACAAUAUUGCCCUCUUACAAUAAUGUUUCUUUUUAUAAAAUUAAUAAAAAGAAAAAAAAUUAAAUUAUCAAUUUAACCCCAAAAAUAAAAUAAAAAUAAAAAGAAUAAAUAUUAAUUUUUGUGAAAGUUUACAUGUGUCCAAAAUAAAUUUUAUUGUAAAAAUAAUUAAAUUGCCUUUUUUUUGGACAUUAGUAAUAAAAAAAUUAAUAUAUUAAUUCCUCAGCAGUGUGUUACAAAAAAGUAAAAUAUAUUAAUUUUGUUUUUAUUUUAGACAAUGAGAUAGAGAAAAGUACAAGAUAAAGGAAAGGACUUCAAAACUCACUGUUCAUCAUAAUGCCCUUUGCCUUUAAAAAAAAAUCAUUCUAAUAUUUUAUAACACAUAAAAUAUAAUCCUAAGAUAAAUAUAAUAAUACAUAUUUUAAACUAAUCUCGAUAUUUAAAAUAUGUUUUAAUAUUUUAUAAUCUAUCAGACAUAUUUUAUUAUAUUAAUGUAAAAUUUAUAAUAAAUACAAACAUAUUAUUAAAAUAAAUAUAUAAAAAAUAUUUAUUUUUUAUAUGUUUACACUGAGGACUCUCUUUAAUUCAUUUAUUUUCUCUCUCUCCAAACAGGUACUGUCUUCAGUUAGCAAUGCUAUGAUAGUAAUCCAAUUCUCUUCUCCCCCACCUGAGCGAGAUUUGAAUUUGAAUCCCUUGUUUUUCACCCACUCUGUUUUUUUUCACGCAAGAUUUGACAAUUUGAGUUAAAAAAUAUGGUCCAAAACUUGAACACGUAUCUUUUAAUUGUAAUAAAAGUUCUUUAAGCUUUGGAGAUGGCAUAUAUAUGGCUGGAAGUGUCCUUUUCUUUGACCUAGAGGCAGCACCAAGCUAUCCAGCAUCAUCAUUUUUCAAGUGGGUCUUAAAUGCCUAGAAACGUUGGUGUUUCUUGAUUUAAAGAUGACACAUGCUAUAAGUGUGAAUGGUUUGGCUAAGCCUAAAUUUAAAGUCUACUCAAGUCGCAUUCAGGAUCAUGGAAAUUGGAAAGGGAGAGAUGAUAGCAAGAUUUAUAAUAAACAAUUAACUUGGGUCCUCAGUGUACAAAGCAAAUGCCACGCAAGCGAUAGCCGGCCCAGCCCAGAAAACCCAGUGGCGAUCCCAGAGAUGGCCUCCUCUAACGAGUGCUGGGCCCAAAAAUCUUUGCGGGUUGAGCCCAGCUCCGGCAUAGCCCUUUUGAGCAGUAACAGUUGUCGAGACAAAAACCAGAAGACCCAACACUGUUCCAAUGACAAUGCAUACGGUAAACUCUGCCAAGAGCCUUGGCUUGUCUGGAGUCAAAAGCCAUCCACACAGAAGCAAAAAGGAACACAAACGAGCAAAUUAUCUCAAGCCAAAGGGCCUGCCUAGUCCCCAAGCCGAUCUCAACAGGCCCAUCUGGCCCAGGUACGACAACAUUCAGGGUGCAGCCUCCAAGUUGUCAAAUAUUUAUAUUAAACUACAAUUGCUGACUAGAAAAAUCAAGAUCGUAUUACAAGUGGGUCCCGAAUUGGACGUGCCUAAAUCUUUUUAUAAUUUUCCCAGUGUAGCGGACAGAGGUCAUUACUAAAUUUCUCUUCCACACGCCACAGCAGCUUCGGUUAAUCAAACUCAAUCAAUUUUCUUGGCUUCUCCGCUUAUCAAUAUUACAAGGUAUGGGUAGCAUUUUUCAAAUCACAUGCGAUGGUACUAUUUUCAAUCGUUGCUUAGAUUGCUUUCUUGGAAAAGCAGCAUACAUAAGUAACCUCCAAGAUAAUCUUGUUGCCUUGGAGACUGAACUAAGGAAACUAAUCGCAGCAAAGAACGAUGUGAUGACGGCGGUUGUCAAUGCUGAACGGCAACAAAUGAGAAGGCUGGACCAAGUGCAAGUGUGGGUUUCGAGGGCGGAUGCUGUUAAAAAUGAAGCUGAUGAACUUAUCAGAGGCGGCUCUCAAGAAAUUGAAAAAUUAUGUCUUAGAGGGUUCUGUUCCAGGAACUGCACGUCAAGCUACAAGUUCGGAAAACAAGUGGCUAAAAAGCUACGAGCUGUGGAGACUUUAAUCGCCGAAGGAGUUUUUGAGGCGGUGGCUGCCGAGGUGGUGCCUGAGAGAGCUCCAGAGCCUGUAGCAGAUGAAAGACCUACCGAGCGAACAGUAGUAGGCUUGCAAUCACAACUUGAACAAGUCUGGAGAUGUCUUGCAGAAGAAUCAGCGGGAAUCAUUGGCCUAUAUGGUAUGGGCGGUGUUGGUAAAACUACACUAUUGACCUAUAUCAACAAUAAAUUUCUCGAGAGUCCAACCAACUUUGAUUGUGUGAUUUGGGUAGUAGUUUCAAAAGACCUGCGACUUGAAAAACUUCAAGAAAAUAUUGGGAAAAAGAUAGGUUUGGUUGAUGAUUCAUGGAAGAGUAAAAGUGUAGAGGAGAAAGCUCUCGACAUCUUCCGGAGUUUAAGAGAGAAGAGAAUUGUAUUGCUGUUAGAUGAUAUAUGGGAGCGGGUUGAUUUAACAAAAGUGGGCGUUCCACUUCCAGGACCACAAAAUACUACCUCAAAAGUCGUAUUCACAACCCGUUUGAUCGAUGUUUGUGGUAGCAUGGAAGCUGACAGGAAGUUCAAAGUAGCAUGCUUAUCAGAAAAGGAUGCUUGGGAACUGUUUCGAAAAAAAGUUGGGGAAGAAACUCUUGGAAGUCAUCAUGAUAUCGUUGAGCUAGCCCAAACUGUGGCCAAAGAGUGUGGUGGUUUGCCACUCGCACUUAUUACUAUCGGUCGAGCUAUGGCCUACAAAAAGACAGCCGAAGAGUGGAGACACGCAGUUGAAGUUCUAAGAAGAUCAGCUUCGGAAUUUGCAGGUUUGGGAAAAGAGGUGUAUCCUCUUUUAAAGUUUAGCUAUGAUAGUUUGCAGAAUAAGACGAUUAGAUCUUGUUUCUUAUAUUGUUGUUUAUAUCCUGAAGAUUAUGGCAUUCUUAAAUGGGACUUGAUUGACUGUUGGAUUGGUGAGGGAUUCUUAGAGGAAUCUGACAGGUUUGGUGCAGAAAACCAAGGAUACUACAUUGUGGGCACUCUUGUUCAUGCGUGUUUACUAGAAGAGAUAGAAGAUGAUAAAGUAAAAAUGCAUGACGUUGUUCGUGAUAUGGCUCUAUGGAUAGCUUGUGAAAUUGAGAAGGAGAAGAGAAACUUUUUGGUUUGUGCAGGUGCGGGACUAAAGGAGGCACCUGAUGUUAAAAGAUGGGAAAAUGUGAGAAGAUUGUCAUUGAUGCAAAACCAAAUUGAAACUUUGUCAGAGGUUCCUGCAUGCCCUCAUCUCCAUACUCUAUUUCUUGCCUCUAAUAAUAGUUUGCAGAGGAUCACCGAUGGCUUCUUCCAAUUUAUGCCUUCUCUCAAAGUUUUCAAGAUGUCAAACUGCGGGAAUUUAAUUUUGGAAUUACCUUUUGGGAUGUCAAAGUUGGGUUCAUUGGAACUUCUCGAUAUUUCACAUACCUACAUACAAGAGUUACCACAAGAGUUAAAGUUGUUGGUAAAUCUGAAAUGUUUGAAUUUGAGGUGGACAAGCGAGUUAAAUAAAAUUCCACGGCAGCUAAUAUCAAAUUCUUCAAGGUUACGUGUGUUGAGAAUGUUGGGUACUGGCUGGUUCAAUUUUCAUGAAGCAUCAGAAGACAGCGUUUUAUUUGGCGGGGGUGAAGUUUUAGUACGGGAAUUGCUCGGUUUGAAAUAUUUAGAGGUAUUGGAGUUGACCUUGCGAAGUUAUCAUGCUCUCCAAAUUGUUUUGAGCUCAAAUAAGUUAAAAAGUUGUAUUCGAUCUCUUUACCUCCAGUUGACCGGAGAUAGAAAGUCGAUUAUUGAUGCUACGGCUUUCGCAGAUCUAAACCACCUCAAUGAAUGAUUGAUUUUUAAAGGUUUUGAGUUGGAAGAAUUGAAGAUUGAUUAUACAGAGAUAGUACGAAAAAGGCGGGAACCUUUUGUUUUCCGCAGCCUUCACCGUGUUACCAUAGAUUCGUGCCUUAAAUUGAAAGAUUUGACAUUCCUCGUUUUUGCUCCAAACCUCAAGUCUCUUUCGCUAUUCAAUUGCCGUGCUAUGGAAGAAAUAAUCAGCGUUGGAAAAUUUGCUGAGGUUCCUGAGAUGAUGGGACAUAUAAGCCCUUUUGAAAAUCUCCGAAGUCUUCGUUUGUCACAUUUGCCAAAUUUGAAGAGCAUCUACUGGAAGCCAUUGCCUUUCACUCAUCUGAAAGAAAUGGUGGUACAUGGGUGUGAUCAGCUUAAAAAGCUUCCACUCGAUUCCAACAGUGCAAAAGAGCGUAAAUUUGUUAUUCGUGGACAAGCAGACUGGUGGGACCGACUUCAAUGGGAGGAUGAAGCCACUCAAAUUGCUUUUAGUUCCUGUUUCCAACCUUAACUUGAUUUCUGGUUAGUGCUGUUUCCUUAACUUUUACAUAUAUUCUCGUCGUUUGCUUCGUGCAAAAUACUAGGUCUUUUGUUCUCUGUUUUUAUUUCGCCCAUUUUUUUUUUUUUUUUUUGUCUUCUGCAAAUGACAGACAAAUGUUGAACUAAAAGGAAUUAAUGCUUUAUAACUUUGCCGGCAUUGCUUUUUUCUUUUUCUUUUUUGAUUUUUUGGGGCGAGGGGGGAUCGAAUAGAUGCUCUGGUUUUUGACUUUUUGUUGUCAAAUUUUACUCUGUUUUUUUCAAAUUGAUGCUUGAAUAUUUGAAUCAAAUUAAUGCUCACGUAAAUUUGUUCAGUUGCCGUAAAAGGAUAUAAUUACACUGAAAUACACAAACUCUAGAAUGAAUAGAAUUAAACAGAGAAAAUCUUGAGUAUAUUAGCCGUCUUCACAUAAAAUCAUAUGAAAAUUAAAUUUUGAAGUUUUUAUUUUCUAUUUUUAAUCAUACCCUUUAUAAUUUCUUCUGUUCUAACUACAAUAAAAUUUUUGGUUCAAGGAUUUUUAUGAGGGGUAUUAAUAAUAGUCCACCAAAAGAGUGAACAGUUGGAUGCUGCCCUAAGGGUCUCUAAUCAAUAGCUGGAAGCAAUUGAGAAGGCGGUCGUUACUGUGUACAAAGCCAUGCAGUAUUUGCUAUUCAUCUUAGUAAUUAUGAAGCUUUGGUAAAAUUUUCAAACAAAGUUGACAUGUUAUUUUGAGAUUUGGUUCAUGAUUUUGUAUGAAUAUCGUUGUUCCAUUGAGUUGUAUAUGAAUUCAAAUGUAAAAUAUUCUUUGGUUUUCAAUUUUGAAUUCAAUUUCUUUUCUUAAGCAUGUUGUGCAGAAAUGAUUUCUACUAAAUCAUUUUUGAUAAACUACUUAAAUUAAACAACUGCAAUAAGAACUGUUAAGGAUUUAUCGUAAGCAGACUAAUAUGAUAAUUCUGAAACUAUCAUUUUUUUUUUCAAUUUGUUGCAGGGAAAGCCAAAUUUUGUAUUUUUCAGUUUUAUCUGAUAUGGAAUUUAUUUCCUCUACACUAGCUACCUAAAGAUUUAUCAAAUUGCUUCUCUUCCCUGCUUCAAAUUAAUAUCUUUAUGCAACUACAAUCUCAUAGGAAAAGACAGUUUGGGUUGUAUUUAUUAUAGUUUUUUUUUUCGUUAAGAGCAAUUUAUUUUAAAAUCGUUUAGUAGUAACAGUUUUUAUUGAAUAAUAAUGGGGUAGGAUUAUUAUAGGUUCAACUAGUUGUUAGAACAUUAUAAAAAGUCCAUUUACUAUCAAAUGCUUUAAAUUGGUGCAACAUGAUAAUUGUCCCACAUAAUUUUUAAUAAUAUAUAUGGCCCAUAAAUUUAAUAUGAAUAAAUGAGUUUCGAUAGUUAAAUUUGAUACGAUUAUUAAAUAAGUUAUAUCCAUGUCAAUUCGACUUAAAAUCUGGUAAAUUUAGAUUUAGAGUUUAUAACAUGAUAACUUGUUUUAUGACAUGAUUUACUAAUCAAUUAAUAUUAAAUUAUAUUUUAGCCAAUCAGAUAUGUGGUACAUUUGUCAAAUUUUAAAAAUUAUUUAUUUAUAUAUGAAAUAAAUUUGACUAGACUGUGUGUAGGUAAUAGUGCAUAAUUUCUAAAAAAAUGUAAUAAUAACACGUUAAAAUGUUAUUUUUAUGAAGAAAAAUUGAAAUUUUAUUAAAUAGGCGACACAAUAAUAAAUGGGUUGAGAUUAUUUACAUUUUAAGAAUUACUCUGAACAUUAUUUUAUUUUAUAAAUUUUAUAUUACAAAAACACCCAUAGUUUAAUUUACCAUUAAGAACAAUUUUGUGCGAUUAAAUAAAAUACAUUACUCUUUACCCUUUCACUACAUCGACAUAAAUCCUAAUUGUUAUGUUUCUAAUUUCUUUGAUAUGCUUAUUGAAGUCCACAUUAUAAUCAAUUUUAAACUAUUAUACCACUUAAAUACAUUUUAGAAUGAGAAGUUUGGUUUUCUUCAUGGGCUGCCUUGCUGAUGCUGUUAUUGAAACUAUCGAACUUAAUAAUUUUAUGGCCAAAAUGAUAUAUGUUGAACCAGCUUUUACAUCGAAUUCUACCACCAUAAAAAAUCGUACUUGUAACAUCUCAAGGUUCCAAUUUAUCAAAAGUUAAUCAUUCAUAUUUGUUAGUUCCUAACAGUCACAAGAGCGUACAAGCCAAUUUUUGUAGCUCCUUUUUCUGCAGUAGAUUCAAGUAUAUUAUUAUCAAGCAUUUUUGUUACACCCUUAAUUCCUUAUCAUCAUCCCUUCAUUCAGAGCAACUAAACAGAGGUCAAUGUCAUUAUGUUAGAGUUACGAGGAAGAGUACUGCCAAAAAAGUUCUUUGUAUGGGAUUUAAUUUUCUGGGUUUGUAGUGAUGAACAAAUUGAGGGUUGUUUUGGUAUUUUCAAGAGUGUAUUGAGUGAAAAUUAUUUUUAAAAAAUUUAACAAAUGAGUGUAAUGAGUAAAAAAGUGUUUAAAGUAUUUUUUAGAGUACAAAUAGCUCCACCUUAAUAAAUGAGUUCUUGUAAAAAUUGAGAUUAUUGAUAUAAUUAUUAAAUAGGUUGGAUUGAAGUUAGUUUAAUUUUGACAAGAUAAUAAGACGACGCGACACAAAUACAACCAACCAGUCAACCCAAAUUGCAACCUUUUACUAAUAAAAGAUACCUGUUUGAAAAGUAAUUAUAAGCUAUCUUCUUUGUGUUAUUUCUCUAAAAAUUUGCGGCACAAAUAUUAUUUCCAUGGAGAAAAGUACGAAAUACCCGCUUUCACUUCAGCAGAAGCAAAGCAAAGCUAUGAGCCAUCUCUGUAUAAUUGAAACGCCAUUGCUAAACGGUUCUUGAUGAUGGGUGCCACCGUGCCAGCGUUGUCGCUGAUUUGCAUGAUUUAUUAGUUGUUCAGAUGGCGGAUUUUGUACUGUCACUUUCAUUUCAUUCUUGAGAGCCACGUACAAUACUAGGUGGCAUUGAAGUUGCCCCAGUGGUUAGUUUUCUGAUUUUUUUUAAUUCAAAUUUUUAUGUUUUAGAAAAAUGUAAGAAAUAUGUAGAAAUGUUGACAGCUACAAUUUUGAAACUUUGCCUAAAAUUAUUAUCGUUGCUUAUUGUUUCUUAGCUAAAGAGAAAUCCUAGAAACAUGAAAUUAUUAUUCUAUGCUUGUUUUAAUAUUAUACAUUAGCAGGUUAAUUAAAAAUUAGACGUGAAUACAACAAGAGAUAAGUGGAGAGAAUUUGGUAGUCGACCGCAUUUAGAAUUUAAUUUUUCUUUUAGCUGCCGAUCAUUAAAUUUUAUAUUUCAGAAAAUUAUACCUAGAAUAUUUCAAGGAUAUACUACGAAGAUUAUGAAGGUUUGAUUACAUGUCACUAUCAAUUGCCUCAAUCAUUUGUAGUAAAUUAAUUAAUCAUUUUGCUGCAAAUGAUUUCCUAUUAAAAAAUUCAAGUCAGAGCUGAAUUGCACAGUAGUUAGUCGUGCUUGCAAUUCAAAUCAAGUAUUGUAUUUUCUGCCUGAUUUGGUUGAUUCAACUAUGUGCAUUUGCAUAAUGGAGAUGCUUAUGAACGUUGUAGUAUAGAAAUCGAAACGUCUUGUCUUUUGCUAAGCCCAGAAGCAAAGUUCUUUGUAUUAUACUCAUCAGUUUUCUUCGUUCUCUUCGUUGAAAUUUUAUCCAAACAGCGGUUUCUUCGAAUUUUUGCCCUCUCUUACAUUUUUAAAUCUAUCAAAGAACGGUUACCUGAGAAGAUUGCCAUCAGGUAUUUCGAAAUUGAUUUCACUACAAUACCUUAAUCUAUCAGAUUUUAAUCUAUCAGAUGCUCCCGUCACUCAGUUGCCAAAAGUGACAAAAGCCUUAGUAAAUUUUUAGAGUAAAAACUCAUUUAUUCCUUAUAUUUUAAGAUUAGUAUCUAUUUAGUCCUUAUAUUUUGAAAAAUACCUUGAAACAUCACUGCCAUUAAAGUAUUGAUACCCUUACCGUUACUUUUUAUUUAUUUUGGCUUAUUUUUACAAUAUUACCCUUUAAUAAUAAUUUUUUUGUUUAGACAUUAAUAAAAAUAAAAUAAUUAAAUUACCAAUUUAAUCCUAAAAAAUAAAAAUAAAAAUUUAUAUUAAUUUUUAAUUGUAAAAAAUUGUAUGCAAACUACCAAAUGUGCAAACGGUGCUUGCAAAAAAAUUAAUAUAAAUUUUUUAUUUUUAGGGUUAAAUUAGUAAUUUAAUUAUUUUAUUUUUAUUAAUGUCCAAAAAAUUAGUAAUUUAAUUAUUUUCUUUUUAUUAAUGUCCAAAAAUUAUUAUAAAAGGGUAAUAUUAUAAAAGUAAGCUAAAAGAAAUGAAAAGUAACGGUAGGGGUAUCAAUACUUUAACGGUAGGGAUGUUUCGAGGUAUUUUUAAAAAUAUAAAGAGUAAAUGGACACUAAUAUUAAAAUACAGGGACUAAAUAAGUUUUUAUCCUAAAUCUUUAAGUGUUUGAAUUGGAGUACAUAAAUUAUCUCUCUACAAUUCAAAAACAACAGAUUUGUUACUUUUCAACGCUACAGGUUCCGCGAAUAUUCAGUUGUGGUUAUCUUGUUGAAACACCAGAAAAUAGCGUUCUAUUUGGUGGUAAUGAAUUCUUGGUUGGGGAGUUACUUAGUUUAAAACAUUUAAAUGUAUUAAGCAUCGCCUUAAAAGGUUUUUCUACCGUCCAAAAAUUUAUGAGCUCCCAAAAGUUUCAAAGUUGUACAAAAUGUUUGGAGCUUAUAGACAGUGAUGAUUCAAAGUCGUUUGCCAUGGCAGAGUUGAAGCAUCUUGAAAAACUAGGUAUUUCAAAUUGUGGAAAUUUGGAAGAGUUUAAGUUCUGCUGUGUCGAAGUUGGAAAAACUUGAGAAGAUUUUUGUUUGAACAGCCUUCACCAAGUUAAGAGAAAGGCUUGUCAUAAAUUGAGGGAAGUGACAUGGCUUGUGUUUGUACCAAAUCUUAAGGUUAUUCAGAUAGAAAAAUGUAUGGAGAUGGAGGUUGUUGGGAAAGAGACUACCACAAGCAGCUAAAAAUUAAGCGAAUACAAAAUUCUUUCUCUCUUUGUGUGAUUAAAAUAGGAUGUGCACCACAAACAAAUAAGCAGAAAAAUAAACCAAUAAAUGCAAAGCAAAAACCAACCACAAGAGACACCGAUUUUUAAGUAGAAAAUUUAAAUUGGGAAAAAUCACAGGAUAGUAGUCUGAUAUAAACUUCUACUAUAUUAAUGAGAUUACAACACAAAUUCUUCUCCAGAUAAUACUAGAUGCUAACAAUAUUAAAAUUCUCAACAAUCUUAGUUUAUAAUAAUAGAUCUAAAAUCUAUUUCUUCAAUAAGUGAGUAUCUCAAAUAAUAGCUACUGAGAGAAUAAAAUACAGAUCAACACCAGUAGAAAUAUAGAGGGCAAUGUCAGGAACUUACCCUCCAAAUUUAGGACUAAUCAGAGCUAAAAUAACCUUUUGAUUGUUGAAUCAAAGAUUGAAAACCAAAAAAAAAAAAAAUAUCUCUUUCUCUCGCAGUGUCUUCUCACUUUCGCAAAAUGUCUACAGCUCUCGCGAUUCUUUACUUAUUUCCUUAGUUAAUUUCAUCCAAGUCCAAAAUUUUACAAUAAUUACACAUCAAGCAAAUUAUUUUGGACUUUGAACUUUUUGGUCCACUGAAGUGAAAUGGACCUUACAAAUCUCCCCCUCCAUCUCAUCUAAGGGGCACCACCAAGCCCGCUCUCUACUUACAGCUUUCCAGCUUCUCCUUGGGUAAUGACUUUAUCAUCAUAUCUGAUGCAUUCUUCGUUGUGUGAAUUUCUCCAAGCUGCAACUGUUUCUACUCAAGCACGUCUUGUAUCCAAUGAUACUUCAUAUCAAUAUGCUUCGAUUUCAAAUGAUAUGUUGAAUUCUUUGCCAAGUGGAUGACACUUUAACUGUCACAGUACACAACAUAACUAUCUUGAUUAACACCUAGUUCUUGUAGAAAAUUCUUCAUCCACAAGGUUUCUUUGUAACUUUCAGUGAUUGUAAUAUACUCUACUUCUGUAGUAGACAAAGCAACACACUACUAAAGUCUAGACUGCCAUGAAACUGCUCCUCCUACAUAGGUGAGCAAAUAUCUUGAUAGAGACUUUCUAGAAUCAACAUCUCCUGCCAUAUAUGCAUCCGUAUCUACUUGUAAUAUAGGUUUGUCACCACCAAAACAUAAACAUGCCUUGGAAGUGCCUCUGAGAUAUAUGACAAUCUACUUUACUGCUGUCCAGUGUUUUUUACCCAGAUUAGAGGAAAACCAGUUGACUACCAACUGUUGAAGCGUACCUCAAACUACCAACUGUUGAAGCAUAAAAAACUCUUUUUAUCUCUUGCUUCUCUUUCUCACUUAUGGGACAAUGCUUGAAACUAAGCUUGAAAUGACCUGCAAGUGGAAAAUAAACAUAUUUUGCUUUGUCCAUAUUAUAUCUUUUAAGAACUUUUUCAACAUAUGCUUCCUGAGAUAACCAUAAAUUCCCAGUUUUUCUGUCACGAGAAAUCUUCAUGCCAAGAAUUUGUUUCGCCGAUCCCAAGUCCUUCAUUACAAAAGACUUGCUAAGCUCUCUCUUCAAAUUGUCAAUCUUACUAGUAUCCUUGCCAACAAUCAACAUGUCAUCCACAAAAAGUAAAAGAAUAAUAAAAUCAUUAUCACUAAACUUUUUCACAAACAUACAAUGAUCACACAUUGUCUUGCAAAAGCCAUGAUUCUCCAUAAAAGAAUCAAACUUCUUAUACCACUGUCUUGGUGCAUGUUUCAGCCCAUAUAAAGUUUUUUUCAAUUUGUACACAAGUUCUUCUUUACCUUUGACACUGAACUCUUCAGGUUGUUAUAUGUAUAUUUCCUCCUUUAAGUCAUCGUGUAAGAAAGCAGUCUUUACAUUGAAUUGUUCAAUUUCCAAAUCCAAGCUAGCUACUAAUCCCAGAGGUGCUUGCUCAAUUGGUUCUGCUGGACCAUUAUUAUUAUCCUCUCCAGCUCCCCUAUGAUCAUCAUGAACAACAUGUGGAGAAACCGAAGUUGGAAUAAUAAGAAUCUCUGGAGAUGGCUGAGACUUAUCAUUUUUUUUUCAUCACCAACUAUCUAAUUUUUAAGAAACACAACAUCUCUAAUUCUGAUUACUUUUCUUGUCACUGGAUCCCAUAAUCUGUACCCAAAUUCUUCAUGUCCAUAGCUUAAGAAAAUACAUUUCUUGGCUUUAUCAUCAAGUUUUGAUCUCUCAUCUUUAGGGAUAUGAACAUACACUCUGCACUUAAACACCCUCAAGUGUUUAUAAGAAACAUCUUUCCCAAUCCAAACUCUUUUAGGUACAUCGUCAUCUAAUGGAGCUUAAGGAGAAAGAUUAAUCAAAUCAACUACAGUACGCAUAGCCUCCGCUCAGAAGGAUUUAUAAAGCUUGGCAUCAGAAAACAUACAUCUGACUAUCUUUUCAAUUGUUCUGUUCAUUAUUUCUGCAACACCACUCUGCUGAGGGGAUUUUGGUACAGUUUUCUUAAGUUUGAUUCCAUGAGAUCUGCAAUACUGCUCAAAUGGUCCUCUGUACCCACCAUCAUUUUCUGCCCUGACACAUUUCAAUUUUUUUCUUGUCCCUCUCUCAACAUAAGCACGAAAGAAUUUAAACAUAGUAAGCACGAAAGAAUUUAAACAUAUCAAGCACUUAAUCUUUAGAUUUUAAAGCAAAAGUCCAUACUUUUCUAGAACAAUCAUUAAUAAAAGUCAUAAAAUAAAGUGCACCUCCUAUUGAUCUAUUUUGCAUCAUGCAAAUAUCAAUGUGAAUCAAAUCAAGGAUUUGUGACUUUCUAGAUGGAGAAAAGCUUUUAAAAGUUACUUUAUGUGCCUUUCCAGCUAAACACUAAACACAAGUCUUGAGGGACGUACCUACAAAGCUUGGUAGAAAUCCUUUUUUGGCAAGAGUUCCUAACCCUUUCUCACCAAUGUGACCAAGCCUUUUAUGCCAUGUCUCAAUGUCAGAAUUGUUUACAGCCAUAUUCAUAUAUUCUUUCUUGAUUUUGGCUUCUAUUACGUAGAGGGUGUUCAUUUUCUUUCCUUUAGCCAACACUAGAGAGCCUUUGGUGAGCUUUCAUUUUCCUUCACCAAAUUAGUUAGUAUAACUAUCAUCAUCAAUUUUUCUUGUGGAGAUCAAAUUAAGACGAAUAUCUAGUACAUGCAAGCUUUUUUGUGGAGAUCAAAUUAAGGCGAAUAUCUAGUACAUGUCUGACAUCUUUAAGGAGUAGCUUAUAGCCAACACUGGUUUGAAGCAAAUAUCUCCUAUGCCCACAAUCUUGGAUGCCCCCUCAUUUCCCAUCCGAACAUGGUCAUAAUUACCAUUAACAUAGGAUGUGAAGUAAUCAUGAUGUGCAGUUGUUGUGCAAAUUUUAAUGUACUCGCAAGCGCACGAAUCUAUUGUAGUAUAGAUCAAUGGUGACGAGUGUCGAUCCCACGAGGAGGUGGAUUUUAAUUGUGUAUAGAAUUAAUUUUGCAAAUGGUUGAUUGGAUUUGUGGUGGAAAUGAUUUGGAAUAUGCUAAAACUUAAAUUAAAAUGGCGAGAAUAAAUUCUAAAAUUGGAAUUGAAAUUGCGAGAAUAAAGUUGAAGAGAAUUCUAUUGAAAUGACGUACUUGGGUAUCUGGAUCCGUAUCAACAUGCAUCAUGGGCUAAAUAAUGCGUAUUAAUGCCAAUUAAAUCAUGAGGGGGGAAUCCACACCUCAUGAACCACGCUCUAAUCAAUAUGGUGCUAAGGGCUUAUCGUGCCAAAUAAUAAUAACCUUGUACUAGAGAGCCGGUGUAACCAAGGCGGUACUAGACAAGAUUAGUAUUAUUUGUCGACGAGAAGUCAAAACAUCCACAAAAACUAGAGGGGAAGAGAAAAUAAAUUUACCAAAUAAAGCCCAUGACACAUGUUGAGACUUCACCUUCAACCCAAGCUUAAAAGAAAAUUAGCUACUCAUAAUUGAACUAAGGGCAAAAUGGGAAUUUAUUAAAAUACGAAGAAAAUACAAGAUAGAGAGGGAAUUACAGAAAAUGGAUCCCAAAAAUGGAUUCAGAGAUAUCAAAUUAGGGGGGGAGGCCCCCUUUUUAUAGAUACAUGGAGUAAAUCAUGGCAAUCGGAUUAAAAACAGUUUGGACGCUCAGGAUUGCGCCACGUCAUCAGUCAACAGUCCACGGUUUGACCACGCGGAUGAACAGUAAUACGGUUUGACCCAUAUGAACAGUACGCGGUUUGACCCGGAUGAACAGUAACGCGGUUUGGUUGAAAAUAAUCCUGUGUGAUGCAUGCACCGUACGCGAGAUUUUUUGUCCACUGAUAUGCUGCCACGUCACCAUCAACAGUACAUAAGAAUUUUAGUCCAACAGGAUCGUGACACCUCAUCAGUCAAUGCCACAUCAUCGAUCCGUCUAUGUGAGCAGUGCCGUGAACAGUAACAUAUACAGUACCGUAUACGUGAAUAGUACCGUACAUGUGAAUAGUGCUAUUUUUCCUUUUAUGCUCCUCCUAAGGUUUUCGACCGUCCUGAGUUCAAAAGUGAUGUCCGUUUUACCGUCUGAUCUCUCCUUUAUUGUGAAAUCACUAUAAUACCACUAAAAUACAUAAAAUACUUAAUUAAAAUAAAACACAUGUAAUUAAAUCACAAGAAGGUUAAAUACAUAAAAGUAAGGGUUGUUAGUAAGACUUGAAAUGUAAAAUGAUGGUUUUCUCCUUUAUAAAUAUGCAUUUUCUAACACUCAACAGCAGUAACCACGAUGUGCAGUAACAUCAAACGAAGCACCCGAAUCAAUCACCCAAUUACUGGUAUGGCAAGUAAGAUUUAUAGAGCUAUCAUUAUAAGCAAUGCCCAUAUCACCAUUAAUUACGGCUGUAACAUUCUCUUUGUCAUUUUUCUGACCAUCGCCUUUUUCUUUCGCAUGUUCUCUUUUCCACAAUUUACACUACCUUUUUACAUGGCCCAUUUUCUGACAAUGAAAGCACUUAGCUUCUCCUAUGGGACUUAGAUCUUCCUCCAGGGUUAUCAUUAUUCUGAUGACGGAAAUUUCUGCUUCGACUUCUCCCCCGUCUUUUUUGGUUUUCUGAAACAAGUGUAGCUGACUCAGAGGGAACUACUUCAGCAUUCUUUCUUCGAGAUUCUUCAUUCCGCAGUCUAUCUGUAACCAUAUCCAAGUUUAAUUUACCAUUCGGUGCCGAAUUAUUCACUGACACCACUAAUGUCUCCCAACUAUCAGGUAAAGAACUAAGCAACAACAAUGCUUGUAACUCGUCAUCUAGAAUAAUCUUCAUAGUAGUCAACUGAUCAACCAAACCCUGAAACUCACUAGUGUGUUCAGUAAUACUGUGGCCUUUUUUAUAUUUCAAGUUAACAAGCCUUUUCAUUAGAUUGACUUUAUUUUGUGCUGUUGGCUGCUCAUAAAUUAUUUCUAAUUUUCUCCAAAGAACAUCAGCCUUGGAUUCCUUCGCGACAUGAUGGUACACACUCUGAUCAAUCCAUGACCUAAUAGUGCCCACGGCUUUCUGGUUCAAUUGAGCCCAUUUCUUAUCAUCUAUAUCAACAAGUUUAACUUCAUCACCUUCAAUAGGUUCAUGUAAGUCUUUCAUGUAGAGCAAAUCUUUCAUUCUAGACUUCCAAAUAUCAUAAUUCCACGACUCAAUUUAAUCAUGAACGCCAAAGACUCCUCUAUUUCAACCACAUAAGUAAUAAAAACACACAACCUGGCUCUGAUACCACUCUAUUGGGAAAACGACUACCACAAACAGCUACAAAUUAAGCGAAAAUAAAAUUCUUUUCCUCUUUGUGUGAUUAAAAUAGGAUGUGCACCAUAAACAAAUAAGCAGAAAAAUUAAUCAAUAAAUUCAAAGCAAAAAUCAACCACAAGAGACACCGAUUUUAACGUGGAAAAUUCAAAUCGGGAAAAACCAUGGGACAAUAGUCCGAUAUAAAUUUCCACUAUAUUAAUGGGAUUACAGUACAAAUUCUUCUCCAGAUAACACUAGAGGUUAACAACAUCAAGAUUUUCAACAAUCUUGGCUUACAAUAAUAGAUCUAAAAUCUAUUUCUUCAAUAAGUGAGUAUCUCCAAUAACAGCUAAUGAGAGAAUAAAAUAUAGAUCAACACGAGUAGAAAUGUAAAGGGCGAUGUCAGGAACUUAUCCUCCAAAUUUGGGAGAAAUCAAAGCUAAAAUUAUUUUUCGAUCGUUGAAUCAAAGAUUGAAAACCCAAAGAAAAAAAAUAUCUUUUUCUCUCGCAACGUCUUCUCACUUGCGCGAAAUGGCUACAUCUCUCGCGAUUAUUCACUUAUUUCCUUUAUAUUUUUUUUGGUUAAUUUCAUCCAAGUCUAAAAUUUUACAAUAAUUACACAUCAAGCAAAUUAUUUUGGACUUUGGGCUUUUGGUCCACUGAAGUGAGAUGGACCCUACAGAAGCAAUAAUCAGUGCAAGAAAAUUAAGUGAAGUUCCAGAGAUGAUGGCAGAUCUAAACCCUUUUGUAAAACUCCAAUAUCUUGGCCUCCGAAUUCUACCAAAAUUAAAAAAGCGUCUAUUGGAAUGUGUUGCCCUCUCCACAUGUCAGGGAAAUUUUUGUAUCUGAAUGCCCAAUUCUCAUUAGAGGAGAGGAACACUGGUGGAAUAAGUUGCAAUGGGAGGAUGAAGCAACCUAUAAUGCUUUUCUUCCUUGUUUUGGAUCCAUUUGAUGGGCAUCAACAUGGAUUAAUAUUUUGCAGCGAACCAAUUUGAAUAAAACUUACGGUAAGUGCUUUUCCAUUUAUUGCAUAUUUAUAUCUAAUUUUUGUUUUCCUUUAUGGUUAAAUUUUGCCCUGUAUAUGUUGUUGUACGGUGACAUUCUUGAAUCAAUUAUUAAUUUUUUUAAUUCUCGUCUCACAACCACCCUUUUGAUCAUGAGGAUAUGCCGAUAUCAAAGAGUCAUAAUUUGGGAUACAAAUGUAAGAAUUAGGCAGAUGACAUGUUGUUUCAAAGCUUUCGAAGAAGGACUAAAUAUGUCAUUGAAAGCCUCCAAUUUUGCGACUGAUUUUUUUUUAAUUUGUUAUUUUUAUAGGUGGCAAAAAUACCCGUCUGAUUUGGACUCGGCUGAUUUGGGCCGGGUACGGAGUAUGAAGCCGGGUUGGUCCUGGGCAUCACUUGAAACUCGGAACCUGGAUUUUAUUAAAAAAUAUUAUAAAUAUAUAUUAUUUUAAAUAUCUAUAUUUAUUAGACUCAUCUAUUACAUAUAUCUAAUUUCAUUGAAAUAAAUUUAAAAAUUAUAAAAUUACCAAUAUAUAUAUAUAUAUAUAAUAUUAAAAAAGUAUAAAAUCUGAGUCCUCAGAUUAAAACCCAGUUCAAGUGUCUAAAAAAUACAUGUGGACCGAGUUUGAACAUUGCGAUACCCAGACCCAAACUUGGGUUUUGCCAACCCUAGUCUUUUAAAUUGCUUGAUUGUAAUGUUUUAGUAUAGAAAAAUGAUAGCCAAGACAACAAUAAGAGGGCACAUUGUGCAUGCACAAUAGUGGAUAAUUUCGGCAUUCCAAAUCCAAUUAGGGUGGAUAACCUUUUAUUAGUAUUAACCUUCUCUCGUAUUCAAGUAAUGUAAAAUAUGCUUAGAAGCUGUGGAUCCCCCUUUAUAAGUGUUGGGCUUAUGCCAAACUCGAUUGAUGUGGGAUGCCUUUAUAGGCAUCAAGUUUUCUCCCAUACACUUUAUGUUAAAAAUAAUAAUGAUAAAAUAAAUCCAUUUUAAAAUAGACUUCUUUUUCUUUUCUAUAUAAACAAACUCAUUCUUCAAAUCAGUUGUGGGUGGAAGGAGUGAGUAGAGAAGAACUGGGCCCCUUUCGUUCCUCUAAAAACCUCACCAAACCUCUCUUGUAAGCUUCUCAGUGUCCCUCUCAAUAUUUCUUAUGAUCUCGUUUUUUAUUGAAUCACUUCUUUUGUGUGCUGCAUUUUUGUGUGUCGUAUUUGGGUUUAUCUUAUCUGGAAUCCUGUUAUGAUUGAUGGAACAAGUAAUCGAUUUUUGGUUUAUUUGGAAUGGAAUUAUGGUUUAUUUGGAAUGGAAUUAUCUGGGUGUAACGGAUUAAAUUAUGACAUUGGGGAGAAGGCACUAAGGGGUUUGCUUGACACAUUUGGUUCUGUGUUUACUCUGAAAGAAAUAGCUUUUGCUUAUCGUAAUGCAAGGCGAAAUCCCGAUUUGGGUGGUGAAUUUCUCUAUCCCAAUUGGGCUGGUGAAUUUCUCUGUGACAAAUAGGCAAACAGCUCAACCUCUUUUAUCUAUCUUCUACUAGUGAGGCAAGGGAUAAAAAGUCUUCAAAAUCAUCAAAUAGUAACAUCUUCGAGAAUUCAUUUUAUGCAAAUGGAAAAUCUAGACCUUCUAAGACAAAAUGGCGUCCAGUAUCAAGAGGUACCGUUUCAAGUUUUCUUGGUAAAAAUUAUGUAAACUUGCACAGCCAGCUAAUGGCACUUUUCUAGUUUUCUGGCAUCAAAGCCAUUGAAGUCGUAUCCAAAGGAGUUUCCCAUGUCUGCACUUUGUGGAGAAGGAACUAAACAAAAACAAUCAAAGGAUGACCAUUUGCAGAAGGAUGUGGAAGAUUUUCUGUUUAAAUUGCUAGGAGAAGUGUUCCAGCUGAAUAGGGAUGUGAUUCGGGAAGUUCCAGUAAUGUCUUAAAUAUGUUGAUGCCAAUUUAAUAUAUAUUGUCAUUUUCAAUGUUCUUUCUUUCUUUCUUUAUCUUCUUUUCUUCUACUUCUUCUUCUUUUUCUUUUCGUGUGCAUGUGAUCACUAAUUUGUUAUUAUACUUAACUUGCAGGUAGUUGUGGAUAUGAUAUGCAAAAGGUAAGGACUAUAUCUUCCUGAUAGAGGCCUCUGCUUUUUCCCUUUUAUGUAAUUUAGUAAAUCUCAUCUCCCUUUGUGAUUGUUAUAUCAUAUCAAAGUCAAGUCUUAAAUACUGCUGUCAUAUGUUAAGGUUCAACUUGCAUUUUGACUAACAUCCAUUUGUUGUCGCUUCCAAAAGUGAGAAUGAGAUACUUCGGUUAAUUUCAGUAGUUGAACCCAAUCGAGUACUUUAUCUAGAUCUUCAUGGUUCAAAGGCCUGAAACUUGCCCGUGAUUGUAAAAUGAUAUUAUGUGCUUUUAAUGCAAUAGGGGGAACAAGGUGUCAAAGGAAUUAGCAGAUUCUAUGGCAGAUUCUAUGCCUGUACAACUGUAACAAUUAUCCUUAUGAUUGUAAAUCUUAUAUGUUUUCCUUAUUUAGGAUAUACUAGCUGUAGGCUAUUUUAGAUAGUUAUGUAUAUGAUAGUUUAGCUAUGUUUAGGGCUAAACAUAAGCUUGUAUUCAUAGUAUAUAAAGGGAAUUCUCUUCUAAGAGAAAGCAUAACUUUUGCUCAAAAUUCUCUGAGUUUAUCAUGGUAUCAGAGCCUCAGUUCUGAAUUCUCUUCUUCCUAGUUCAUUCCCUUGUUCUUAGUUAUUCUUUUUUUUAUCAAGUUAUCUCAGCCUCAUGUCUUCAGACAAGUAUGAUGCUUUUUUGAUCCGUUUUAAUGGCACAAACUACUCAGCCUGGGCAUUUCAUUUCGAGAUAUUUGUCAAAGGCAAAGAUCUAUGGGGACAAGUUGAUGGCAGGAAACCUGCCCCUGAUAAAGAGAUAGACCAGGAUGGGUACGCCAAGUGGGAAGUCAAGGAUGCUCAAAUCAUGGCAUGGAUUCUAGGAUCUGUGGAAUCCAACUUCAUCUUGAAUCUUCGACCCUUCAAGACUGCAGCAGGAAUGUGGAAUCAUCUAAAGAAACUCUACAGUCACACCAACACUGCUCGUUGAUUUCAGCUUGAACAUGAGCUAGCCAAUCUCCAACAAGGCAGUCUCUCUAUUUCUGAUUUUUAUUCUAUCUUUAUGAUUAUUUGGGCUGAAUAUACUGAUAUAAUCUAUGCUACCUUACCUCCGAAGGUCUUAGUUUUGUUCAAUCUGUACAUGAAACUACUAAGAGAGAUCAAUUUAUGAUAAAACUGAUAUAUGAAUUUGAAAGCACUAGGUCCAAUCUUAUGAAUUGAGAAUCUGUCCCUUCCUUGGAUACAUGCCUCAAUGACUUAUUUCAUGAGGAGCAACGACUUCUUACUCAAAAUACCAUGAAACAAAAAAAAUCUACUUCUGUUCCUAUGGCUUAUGCAGCUCAAGGCAAGCCAAAAGGUAAGGACAUCAGUAUAGUUCAAUGUUUUUGUUGCAAAGGAUUUGGACAUUACGCUUCAAAUUGUUCAAAAAAAUUAUGCAACUAUUGCAAAAAAGAUGGACAUAUCAUUAAGGAAUGCCUUACUCGACCCCCCAAGAAAUCUGAAACAACAUAUGCUACCUCAGUUGGUUCUUCUAGUGAUGGUAGUUCUGUGGAUACAGCACAUUUGACCCAAAGUGCUCCUGUUCCUGUUCAAUCUGUGACCCCAUAAAUGAUUCAACAAAUGAUCAUUAUUGUAUUCUCCUCAUUAGGACUCUCAGGUAAAUCACCCACUAGAUCUCCUUGGUACUUUGAUUCUGGGGCUUCCCAUCACAUGACAAACAAUGCUAAAUUCUUCACCAAUGUAAGUAAAUACCUUAGAAAUCUAAAAAUUCAUACAGCUGAUGGCAACUCUUUACCUAUCACAGCCACUAGUGAUGUUUCUUUUUCUAUAACCAAUGUCUUUGUCUCUCCUGGUCUUCCUACUAAUCUUGUUUCAAUCGGUCAGUUAGUUGACAAUAAUUGUAAAGUAGAAUUCUCUAAAUCUAGUUGUGUUGUGCAGGAUCAGCAGUCAGGGAAGAUGAUUGCCAGGGGGCCUAAAAUAUGACGUCUUUUCCCUCUCCAAUUUGCUAAGUCUCCAUGUUUCUCUUUGCCUAUCAUCACUUGCAAUUUUACUAAGGUUAAUUAUCGAGCAUGGCAUAAACGUCUAGGACACCUAAACUCUAAUGUAUUUUAUGCUUUGCUAAAUUCUGGUUUACUUGGGAAUAAAAGAUCACCAUCCCUUAGUGUUGUUCAAUUUGAUUGCAAUUCUUGCAAGCUUGGAAAAAGUAAAAUUCUGCCAUUUCCCACUCACACACCGAAUGUUGUCCAGCCUUUUGAUUUGAUACAUAGUGAUGUGUGGGGUAUGGCGCCUGUUACAUCUCAUGCUAAUUACAAGUACUUUGUCACUUUUAUUGAUGACUAUAGUCGCUUCACAUGGAUUUAUUUUCUACAUUCUAAAGAUGAAGUGUUCUCUGUUUUCAAGCUUUUUCAUGCAUAUAUUCAGACCCAAUUUUCUACUAAUAUCAAAAUUCUUUGCUUUGAUAAUGGGGGUGAGUAUAUGUCUCAUUUAUUUUAAGAAUUUUUGCACACCAAUGGUAUAAUUUCUCAAAGAUCUUGUCCUUCAACCCCUCAACAAAAUGGGGUGGCUGAAAGAAAGAACUAUCACCUUCUCGAUGUUGUCUUCAUUUGUACCCUCUCGUUUUUGGUGUGAAGCUUUCUCCACUGUUGUCUAUCUCAUCAACAGAUUGUCCUCUCAUUCCUUGAACCAUGUCUCCCAUUUCUUUCAGUUAUUUGGCCAUACACUAAGUUACUCUCAUCUCCAUACCUUCAGUUGUGUGUGCUAUGUUCAUCUUCCUCCAUAUGAGCGUACAAAACUCACAGCCCAAGCUGUGAAAUGUGCUUUUCUAGGAUAUUUUAUGCACUAAAAAUGUUUUCUUUGUUAUGAUCCAAAUUUGCAUCAUAUAAGGGUUUCUCGAAAUGUGAUUUUCUUUGAAAAUCAGUAUUUCUUUUCCGCAUACCACGACGAUUCUUCGCCUUCAUUUUCUGUUUUGCCAAAGUUUACUAACCCUUCUGCAGAUUCUGCACCUUCUAAACCUAUCAUAGUCUAUCAGCGACGCAAGAAUUUAGUACCUCUCGGGCCCCCUCCAGCAACUUCCCUGAAUGUUGAUCCAGUUCCAGCAACUGCACCUGAACCUUUCAGACAUAGUACUCGGGUUCGUAGACCACCAGAUAGGUAUGGUUUCACCUCUCCAUUAUUUUUGACAGCCACUUUGUCUUCUAUUCUUAUUCCUUCAUCAUAUAAACAGGCAAUAGAGCAUGAAUUUUGGUGAAAAUCUAUUGAAUCAGAACUUCUUGCACUUGAAGAAAACCAAACUUGGGAUAUUGUUUCAUGUCCUCCAUCCGUGAAACCCCUUAGUAGUAAGCUAGUGUUUUCUAUCAAGCUGCGUUUUAAUGAAUCCAUAGAUCGUUACAAGGCUCGGUUGGUGGUUCUUGGCAACAAGCAAGAAUAUGGCCUAGACUACGAUGAGACCUUCGCGCCGGUAGCCAAAAUGACCACUGUUCGAACAAUAUUAGCCCUUGCUGCAUCACAAUCAUGUUCUUUACAUUAAAUGGAUGUAAAGAACGCUUUCCUACAUAGUGAUCUCAAGGAGGAAAUUUACAUGAAACUUCCCCACGGUAUGACUACUUCCUCUCCUAAUGAUGUUUGCAAACUAAAAUGUUCGUUGUAUGGGUUGAAGCAAGCACCGCGAGUAUGGUUUGAGAAGUUUCGAUCAACUCUUUUCAGUUUUUCAUUCACUCAAAGUCAGUAUGACUCCUCCUUUUUUUUUUCCAACAGACAUCUAAGGGCAUCAUUGUUCUCCUUAUUUAUGUGGAUGACAUCGUUAUCACUGGUUCUGAUAUGGAGGCAAUUUCUAAACUUCAGAAUUUGUUGCACUCUAUUUUUCACAUGAAAGACCUCGGUCAACUCACCUAUUUUUUGGGGUUAGAGGUGCAUUAUCUGCCUCAAGGUAUCUUCUUGAAUCAACACAAGUAUAUUCAGGAUUUAAUUUAAUUAGCUGGACUUAUGGACAAAAAUUCUGUUGACACCCCAGUGGAACUUAAUGUGAAAUAUCGACAAGACGAAAGGGAACUACUUCAAGAUCCUACUUAUCUAUCUAACUAUCACCCGCCCAGACAUCUCUUAUGCUGUCCACACCGUUAGCAAGUUCAUGCAAGCCCUUCGACAUCUCCACGUAUCCACAGUCCGCCGCAUCAUUAGAUAUAUUCUUGGCACUCUUAACUGCAGUUUAUUCUUCCCUACUGGUUCUUCACUCCAACUACAAGCCUACAAUGACGCAGAUUGGGCUAGCUGCCCGGACACGAGAAAAUCUACUUUGGGAUGGUGCAUGUUUCUUGGUGAUGCCCUUAGCUCUUGGAAAUGCAAAAAGCAAGACUCAGUCUCCAAAUAAUCCACUGAGGCAGAAUACCGCGCCAUGUCUGUAGCCUGCUCCAAGAUCAUUUGGUCGCGUGGUCUCUUAACAGAGCUUGGUUUCUCACAACAUCAACCUACUCCCCUACAUGCUGACAACACAAGUGCCAUCCAAAUUGUAGCCAACCCUGUCUACCAUGAGCGCAUGAAACACAUAGAGGUUGACUGCCACUCUAUUCGAGAGGCCUAUGACCACCAAGUUAUCACCCUCCUGCAUAUCUCCACUACUCUACUGAUUACGAAUAUCUUCACCAAAUCCAUGACAUGUCAGCGACAUAACGUUCUUGUUAGCAAAUUGAUGCUUGUAGAUUUACCAGCAUCAAUUUGAGGGGGGAUGUCAAAGGAAUUAGUAGAUCUUAUGGCAAAUUCUAUGCCUGUACAGCUGUAACAAUUAUCUUUAUGGUUGUAAAUCUUAUAUUUUUUCCUUAUUUAAGAUAUACUAGCUGUAGGCUAUUUUAGAUAGUUAUGUAUAUGGUAGUUUAGCCAUGUUUAUGGCUAAACAUAAGCUCGUAUUCAUAGUAUAUAAAGGGAAUUCUCCUCCAAGAGAAAGCAUAUGAAAGAAACUUAGUUCUAUAUUGUUUGGUAGGCUAGAAAAUGAAAGAAAAUAAAAGAAAAGCUUUGCAAAGAAAACUGUUAGAUCCUUUUAUUAUACCAAACUUACAGUUUAAUGACUAAAAAUUGAUAUUUAUAUUGAGCUACAAACUCUUCACACACACACACGAGAUUGUUGCAACACAUAACCAAUUGCUGUAUAACUAACUUGACACAUCAGCUCAACCAGCUAACUAACUUUGACAGGUCAGCUUAAUGAUUUGAUCUGAUACAACCAGCUACACAGCAACAUCAUGCUCUGCUCCAGCUUCAUCUAAUUCACUAACAACUUUUGCUCAAAAUUCUCUUAGUUUAUCACAGGGAAGUAUAGCUUUGGAAAAGGCCGGAUCAAUAACUAUGGAGAGAUUUAUAAGUGAUAAAAAUUCCCGUAACCCGCUGUCAAGAAAAUUUCACAUAGUUAAAGACGCCAUUUUGUUUCAGCCAAAAAUGUUUGUUUAAUCUGCCAAAAAUGUUUGUUUCGAUUAAAGACUUGAACCGUUUUCAUUUAACCUGAUUGUGAUGCUUUAUGUUAUGUAUGUUCCUCUCAAUCAAGAAAAGUUGAGGUUCAUGAUUUUAUAUUUCUAUCUUGUAACUUGCAAUAAUAACUGGUCUUCUUGUUUUUGUAGCUUGAUAACAUGAAUUUUCCUUCUCAAGUUAAUUUGAUCAAUAAAGUAAUUCUUCAAAGAAAAUAUGCCCAUUCUAUAAUCAUUUUCUUAGCUAAUAUGUUUUUUUUUUGUUUACUCUUCAGAGUGUGUCGAAACUAAUUGAUUGCUCGGCAGAGACUUUGGGUGACAAGUCAAAAUUUCAUGGUAAAUCCUCUGAAAAGGUAUGCAUAAUUCCUGAAUAUUAAAUAACCAAUGGUCAUAGUUUUUGUACACGACUCUUUUUGUGGAGAUCGUUAAAAGUGGUUGAUGAUCCAUUUGUAAUUUCAUAGAGGGAUCAUCAAUUCCUUUUCUUUUCUGUGGCUAGGCAUCACUUUCGUGCCAAAGUAAGGAAAUCUAUUUUAGGUAAUGUAAAAAACAAUGGUAGGAUGUAAUAGCUUAUUAUGCACUGACAAUAACUUUUUGUAUAAUUGUCAGUUUAAGGAAUACAAGAGGAACUCUGUUGACAAAUUCAUCCAAGAUAGAUGCUAAAAUUAUUUAUGCAUGCCAGUUGCCUUAACUAAUUUUUCUUAACACUUGUAUUGAACAGGAAAUGAGUAUGCAAUUUGUGUACGUGCCAUUGUGGAGAAUUUGGAUAUUCUUAUUUAAGUAAGAAGAAGAGUAUUUGCCUCAUCUUUAAACAAUGAAUCUUUGAGAAAUGAGGAGUGGGUGAUUGGAAGUGUCUUCAUGUAAAUGUUCAUUUACUUGUAUUUUGAACUAUUAUGAGAAUCUUUUAUAUGCCAAAUUAGUAAUACAAAUGUUCAGAUGAUUUUUCCUGUUGAUCACGCGUUUGUGUCUGCAGACAACCAUUGUAUAUCACUUUAUUCUGAUGUGCAAUUAUGUAUAGAUUAGAAGAAAAGAAAUAAUAGUCUUAUAUUAUUGUUUGGUUCAUGAUUAUUAAACGAUUAUGGCUUCAAAAAAUCUACAAAUUCCUUCUGUUCAUAUAUGAAUGUGCCAAGUUUGCUAUAUCUUAGAUUGCCUUCUUCCAAGAUAACAAGUUCAUAUGUUUUUUAAUCCUCUUCAAUCACAGUUGAAUUUUAAGUGUUAAGAUUUGUUAUUAAUACCUGGUUCCCUGUUAUUAUGAUUUUUAUUAUGAUUUCAUAAACAGUGUACGGACAUGUGCUCUACUUUUAAAGGGCCUCCACGUGAAAGAAAAUUGCAACAAUUGAAUUCUUCCGGAGGGUAUGGCAUUUAAUUUAUUUUCUCAACUUCUUGUAAGACUAAUAUAUUUCCUUCAGUAGGCAGGGCAUGUUGGGAAGGGCUUUUAUUGAAAGAAUUCUGAUAUUUCUUAGACUUUGUUUUGGAAGGGAGGUGGAGGGAUUUCUCAUCCAUAUAUGGUUACUUGAUUAGCUUUUGACUGUAUUGCCUCAGUCGUGCAAAGGAAGAUCCAAAUACUAAUGAAUGAGAAUUGGUUAGAGACCCAAAAGACAGAAAUGAACUACAGAAGGAAGUUUUUGCUGCUUUAUUUAGUGUUCCUGAGAACUCUGAUGAAGAUGGAGUGGAGGUCCAAAGCAUUAAGAAAGGUGGUGAGUGAACCGCCAGAGGAAUUGGUACCAGAAUACAAAGCUAAUGUGGUGCAUUUGCAGCAAGAUAACCAGACUAGUAUGUGCUCUUGUAUUAACUAUAUUGACUGGAUUUGUGAGCAUGUUCAUUUUUGUGUGUAUAAUCACUUUUGUAUUUAUGCAUAUUAAUGUUAGUAGGAUUCUUGAUUUCCUCCACUUACUGGAGAACUAGUGGAAAGCUUUAUAGUGAAAUAUCUGCAAUAACUAAUGGAAACCAUGAUUUGAAUAUUUUCUCUCACCUGGAGAGCUUUGUAACAGAUGUACUUUGUGGCUAUGGAAUACUAGAGAUUCUGCAAUAACUAAUGGAAACUCUGAUAUGAAUAUUUUCUCUCACCUGCAGAACUUUGUAACAGAUACACUUUGUGGCUCUGGAAUGUCUAAAGAUUUUGUCUGCUUCAGUUAGAUCAAAUAUCUUUUAGUUACCUACAUUAUGGAAAAGAUAGAGUUCUCUGAAUCUGAAAGACUGAAACAUUUUGCAUAUUUCGUGAAAGGAAAAUAUCUGUAGAUACUAGUUCAUGCAUUGAGGUAACAUCAAUGUUAAAGAAAAACAGCAAUAACUUAUUAUAUAGAAUUAGGUUCACUUGCUUUAAAUGCUGGUCUGGUCAACCAUAUGAACCUGUAAGUGUAUCUGCAGAAAUAUAUAUGGGGGGACAAACUAGCUAAAUUUUCCUCUCAUUUCUGGCUUUGGUCAUUUUUUCCCCUUAUUUUUCAGCUUUCCUUCUCCUGAAGUAUGUUAACAAUUGCAGAUAAUGACGAAGAGGACAGCUUGCAGGCUCUUCGUGGAGCUGUGAUGGAAUAUAGGGGCACAAUGAAAGAACAUUUUAAAGCUGUAGGUUCUUUUUCUCCUGUCAUUUAUAUUUGCUCACACAUUUUUCAUAUGCUCCAAGCAUGCAAGUUUGUAUGUGUCUUUGCCUUUUAAGUUUUAAAAACCAUAAGGUAAGAAUACAGUUCCUCGUCAGGUUAUUGAUGCAUUCACUCCGGAGGAUCAUGUUCGAGCAGGAAAACUUCUAGAACAGGCAAGGUUUUCCAUCUACAGCCAUCUAUUGACAACAGAUACAUUUUCAUUCAGCAGACACUGUUAGCAUUCAAGAUGCUGGCAGAUUCACUUGAUUCUUAUUAGUUUGUUUAGUGGUAAAGCAUAUAACCUGUUUUUCAAAGCCAAGUUGUGCUAUUGAUUAUGUUAACUUUAUUGUUCACAUAAAGUGAUAUGGAGGAAAUAAUCAUUGUAGGAAAAUUAGGUGAAGAGGUGAUGUCAAAUCUUGAACCUGUUACAAAACUCCAAGUUCUUUACUUGAAGAAGCUACCAAAUUUGAACAGGGUCCACUGGAAGGCCUUGCCAUUCCCUGAUGCCUGCAGAAUUUUUGUAUUUAAAUGCCCAGAGCUUAAGAAGCUGCCACCGGAUCUUGAAAGGGCAGGCCAAGGUAAAAUUCUUAUCAAGGGAAAGGAAGAUUGGUGGAAACAACUUCAAUCGGAGGAUCAAGUAACUCAGAAUGCAUUGCUUCUAUUUUUAAAAUCAACUGACAAGUGAUUGAAGGGGGCAUCAUCAACAUCAUCAACAUGGAUGGAGAGAUUCAGGAGCAGAUCCGCAGGGUUUAUUACGACCUGUGGUGGUUGCUUUUUUGUGACUUGUUCCCUUUCAUUUUUUCACUUCCUGUCAUAUUAUCAUUUCUUUGUCUCUGUUUCUAUUGCUGAUGUUGCUGCAUGCUUGCAGCCCUUGACAAAGUUAGCAAUGCAAUAUAGAUUUUGAAAUUAAAUUUUGUAUGUUCGGGACAGUCACAAAGUACUACUUGUUCUAUAUGGGGGUGAUGUGAAUCAACUUUUCAAUUAUAUAUUCUGUGGUAAUUGUGAAUUCAAUUUCAUUUGUCUCCUGCAAAUUAUGAAGAAAGUGCAGAGUUAGAAUAUCGAAAAGUUCACUGGCAAAUACUUUGUAAAAGCUUCGGAGUGAAACAGGGAAUGCACUUGCAACUAAGGACAAAUUGGUGGCCAGCUAAUGCAUUCAUUUUAUGUACAUUCAUCUUUUUAAUUAUUGAAGAUAAGUGGUUCGUUGCUUUUGUUGUAGAAAAAAUUCAGACGACCUCAAUUGUGAGAUGAAAAUAUUUAAAAUAUCUCUUAAAUUAUUAUAAACUUUAAUUUAUCUUAAUUUUAUUUAAAAGAUAAAAGAAAAAUGUGGUAUAUGGGUAAAAAUUUUUUUAUCUUGUUAAUAAAAUGAAAUAAAUUAAAAUUUACAAUAAUUUAAAGUAUUUUAAAAUUAUUAUUUCAUAAGAGAUUAAUAUGAAAUUAAUCCUUUUUACUUUUUGAAUGUGAAAGGACAAGAAAAGAGAAAGCUAGUGUCACUGCUUUUUAUUUUAUUUGAAAUCGGAGUUAUCCCAUAUACUUUACUACUUUAGCUCUAACAUUACAAUGUUUUUAGGCUACACUUUUAUUUUUCUUUUUCCCCCUUUUUUUAUACAUGCAUGUGGAUUACUUUUCUCUAAGCUCCUUAAUAUUUAAGACAAAUCAUAAAAGCAAUUGAAGCAUAACAAGAUGAUCAAAACAUUUAACCGAAAAAAAAAGAAAUAAAACAUUGAAAAUGGAGAUGUUGAUUAAUUUAGAAGAGAUGCAAGCAAAAAAUAUUCCCAAAAAAAAAAAAAAAAAAAGCAACGUUAGUUCAUCCAUGUCUGUCAAUGCGUUUUUUAUGGUUUUUUUUUUCCAGUUGUUUGUUGUAAUAGAUUAAUUGUAAAUUGAUAUAAACUUGAUGUUGUAAUAUGUUCGCUUUUGUGGAAAUAAAUUUCAAUAUUCAAGAUUAUUCAAGUCUUAUCUAGUAUGUGUUCGGUUGUGUUGUCGAUAAUUUUACAUUCUAAUAAGUUUUCACCUAAAAUAUUAGCAUGAGUAGUAGUCCUUAAACCUUUGGUCAAAAUUAUUGUUAUUGUUUCUUUUAGAGGAAAUUUUUUUAUUAAAGCCUCGUUAACACUAUUCCUUAUUAAGAUUAUAAGUUAGUGUCGGUGCAGGAUUUGCAGCGACAAAUCUUGUCUAGCCACGUGUCAAAAUACAAAUAAAUCAAGGGAAAGCACAUGACAUGGAUUAGGAUCCAAUAAAAUUUAAAUCCCAAGGAAAAGGACAACUGUAUCCUAAAGUUUCAAUAAGAGAUACUGGGAUAUCUUUUGACUAAUGUUAUUUUUUGGCUUUAUUAAUAAAAAGAUCCAAUAGUUUAUAACAAAUAAAAAUAUAGUAUUAAGCUAAAUGUGAUAAUUUACACAUUUUACAUAAUUUCAAUAAAAAUUUUUUUAAUGUUUUACAAUCUAUCAGACAUAUUUUAUUAAAUUAAUAAGAAUUUUCUUAUAAAUAGCAACAUAAUAUUAAAAUAAAUUUAUAAAAAUUUAAAUGUAAAAUAAUUUUAGUAUAAUUAAUACGCGGGAUAUAUUUUGUAAAUUAUAAAAUUACUUAACCCAAUGAUUUUUAAAAAUCUUUAAAAUAAAUAAAAAUAAAUUAUUCACAUUUUGAUGUAAAUAUUUAAAACAUUUUUAUACAUUAGUCCACAAUUAUUUAUGUUAUAUUUGUAUUUAUUAGAAAUUUUGAAAGUCAAAUGUUUUUUACCUCUAUGUUAUUAGAAUUAUUGCACACAGAGAAAGAGCCAUAUAUGCUUUAUAACUUUAAAAUCGAUUUGUUUUAUAGCUGGGAAUAGAGAUGAUCAUUAUUAUAAGGAUUUUUUAAAAAAAGAUAAAGAAUAUUAAUGAUUAGCGAAAUCUCUAUGGAAAUUGAAUUUAGUAAGAAAAAAUUGAGCUGAUUUUAGUGGUAUAGUAAUAUUUUAUAUAGAGAAAAGUAAAAGCUGCACCCAAGGUUAAGGGAAAUGGUCAAAAUUCUUUUUUAAUCAUAAUACCCUUUUUCCUAGAUAAUUUAAAAAUUUUACUCUAAUAGUUUAUAAUAAAUAAAAACAUAUAAUCCUAAAAUAAAUAAAAUGAUAUAUAUUUUAAAAUAAUCUCAAUAUUUAAAAUAUAUUUUAACAUUUUAUAAUCUAUUAGAUAUAUUUUAUUAUAUUAAAGUAAAUUUUAUAAUAAAUACAAAACAUACUAUUAAAAUAGAUAUAAAAAUUUUAAAGUAUUUUGAAUAUUAUAUAAAAUAACUUUAAUAUUGUUAAUGCAUGAGAUGCAUUUUAUUAAUUAAAAAUUCUAUGUAACCCAAAGAUUUAUUUAUAAUAAAUUAAUAAUCAUAUUUUUGAAAUUAUUUUAAAUAUUAAAAAAUAUUUUAAUAUUACUAACUAUUAGAUAGACUAAACUAUUUAUUUUAUUUUCUAUUUAUUAUAAAAUUUCAAAGUUAAUCUUUUUAACUACUAUUCAAAAGAUGUUAUGAUAAAAACAGAAUUUUUGUGUUUUUAUUGAAAAUUUGGAGUUUACAUCUAUUUUUUCAAAUAUUCAGGGUGUAACUGUUUUUUCCCUUUUAUAUAUACGAACGGUGGUGAGAAAGUUUGAUUUAACGUUAUUUAUUUAAAUAAAAUCUCAGUUAAAAAUGUACAGAGAAGAAAUUUCGGUUGGUAUUUUAGUCUUGGUAAUCUCUAUAUUAUAUGCAUAUAAGAUACAUCAUUCUCACAUGAAUAGUAUAUGUGUGAGAUCCAUAUAUUAUUCAUGUGAGGGAGAUGUAUCUUAAUAAGAUAGAGGGAUCCGUUAGUCUUUUACCAAUCAUCACGAUUAGGCCUUGGCCUUGAAACAUUAAUUGUUUCACUUUUAGCGCUAGUGGCGUUGAAAGUUGUCAAGAAAAAGCAAGACCAUAUUCCACAAAAGCAAAAGUAACGUAGGCUCUUUUAUUAAAGGCAAAGUAUAAAGUAGUCAAGAAUCGAAUAUCCUGUCGUCUACUCUUUUUUAAAUUCUUCUUUUAUUAUCGUUUAGAAUAGUUUUUGGUAAUUACAAUCAUUAUUCAGAGUUAUUGUUAUCUUCCGGGGCAGUCUCUGUUCAUCGAAGUCGUUACCUUUUUUUUAAUGGAUCAGUUCCAGUGGUAAGCAGUAAUUUUCUUAGAACUCGGAUCUUUAAUUCGAGUUUCUGUGUGAAUUAAUAAUAAAAAAUUUUCAUUACACGCAAUUUAAGCUACGAAUUACUUUUUGCAAAGUUGAAUAUGGAAUUGGAGAAAUUAAGUAAUUUAGAAUGUUGGUAAAAAUUGACGAACAUAUCUCCAAUUACAGUAAAACCUCUCUACAGUCAUAACAUUAUAACAAAAUUAAUUUUAUUACUAUGUUGAGGUAAUAUAGGUUUAGUUACAAAAUUAUUGUUUUAAUAUGGUUAGUGUCAAGUGAUAUAAAGGUUAAGUAUGCAGUACAUUAAUAAUUAAAUAAUGAAGUGUCAAAUCUAAUGUAUAUAUAUUAAUGAUAUAGAUAGACAUAGUUUUAAAAAACUAAUUAAUGUAUAUUUAUGUAGUGUUAUGAAUAUGGAAAGUCAAGCCUACACUUUACAUUAUCCUUAAUUUUUUCUCUCAGUUAAAUUCUACAAAUAUUGUACAAUGGUUGGGCAAGAACUCUAAAUUAAGAAUAAAUUAUUGUCACAAAUAAUUUUAGAAAAUAUUUUAUUUCGUCUUAAACCUUUAAUAUAAAUAAACAUAUAUAUAUAUAUAUAUAUAUAUAUAUAUAUAUAUAUGUGUGUGUGUGUGUGUGUGUGUGUGUGUGUGUGUGUGUGUGUGUGUGUGUGUGUGCAUAUUUUGCAACGUAUAGAUAAUUGUUAGUAUAUGGAGACAAGUCUUUUAAGGUAGGACCUAGGAAAAUUUAUAACUUACUACACUGUGGAGUUUUUAUUCCUUUUUAUAAUUGGCUCAUAUUGAUACAUUCUUACACAAAAUAUUACCAUUGACAUAUUUUACUACAAUUAGUUUAGAACAUUUGUUAGGAAAAAAAAGAAAAGAAAAGAAAACAUCCCUUGGAUGUAGCUCUCCUGACUAUUUAAAUCUUUUAAGGAAAAAAAGAAAAAAGAAAAACUGGCACAUUCAAAUCUUGAAGCAAUUACAUUAAAAUCUCUCCAUAAUGAUAGGAAUAAUCUCCAUUUAGUAAUAAAAAAUUUUGUUCGCAAUUUAGGCAGAGUUAUAAAUAAGAAUAAAAUCCUCAUUGUAAUAAGUUAUAUUUAUUAUGGAUCCCAUCCUAAGGAAUUCGUCUCUAUAUAGUAAUAAUUAUUUGCAUAUUAUAAAUAUAUAUGUUGCAUUAGAUUAAAUGAACUUGUCUCCACAUACUACUUAGACAACGAGAGAAAAUUAUUAAAGAGAACACAAAUAUUUAGAUAUUUUUAAGAUUACUUUGCAUAUUUAUAACAAUAAUACAUUGAUAUAUGUAUUAGUUUUUUGAUAUAUUAGAUUUAACAUGCUCUAUUAAUAAAUUAUUAAUACGAUGCAUAUUCAUCUCUAUAUCCUUGCAAUAAAAGUAACUAAGUUAUAACAAUAAUUAUUAAUAAAUUAUUAAUACGUUGCGUACUUCAUCUCUAUAUCCUUACAAUAAAAAUAACUAAGUUAUAAUGAUAAUUUUUGUAACUACAUACUUAUUAGGUUUUAACUACUUCAUAAUAAUAAAUUAGUUUCGUCCUAAUAUUAUAAUUAUGUAGAGUUGUAGUGUAUAGACACACCCAAUUUAAAUAGUAUAUCAAAUAAAAUUGUCCCCACGAAAAAGAAAAAAGGGGUAAAGGAUUCUCAUUUCUUCAAACAUUAGGAUCACGUUUGUACAAGUGCGAUGCCUUUCUUUUGAAGGCAACGUCAGUGGGUACCCAAUAGGACGUGUGUAAAUCUUUCCAAAAUUUCUCUGGUAUAACGGACAGAGAUCAUUACUUUUCUCUUCCAUAUACCACAGCAGCUUCAGUUAAUCAGACUCAAUCAAUUUUCUUGGUUUCUUCGCUUAUCAAAAUUCCAAAAUAUGGGUAGCAUAUUUCAAAUCACAUGCGAUGGUGCUUUUUUCAAUCGUUGCUUGGAUUGCUUUCUUGGAAAAGUAGCAAACACAAGUAAGCUCCAAGAUAACCUUGUUGCCUUGGAGACUGAAUUGGGAAAACUAAUCGCAGCAAAGAACGAUGUGAUGAUGAGGGUUGUCAAUGCUGAACGGCAACACCUGAGAACGCUGGACCAAGUGCAAGUGUGGCUUUCGAGGGUGGAAGCUGUUGAAACUGAAGCUGAUGAAUUGAAAAGACACGGCUCUCAAGAAAUUGACAAAUUAUGUGUUGGAGGCUACUGUUCCAAGAACUGCGCGUCAAGCUACAAGUUCGGGAAACAAGUGGCUAAAAAGCUACGGGAUGUGCAGACUUUAAUCGACGAAGGAGUUUUUGCGGCGGUGGCUACCGAGGUGGUGCCUGAGAGAGCUCCAGAACCUGUAGCAGAUGAAAGACCCACUGAGCCAACAAUAGUAGGCUUGCAAUCACAACUUGAACAAGUUUGGAGAUGUCUUGUAGAAGAAUCAGUGGGAAUCAUUGGCCUAUAUGGUAUGGGCGGUGUUGGUAAAACUACACUAUUGACCCAUAUCAACAAUAAAUUUCUUGAGAGUCCAACCAGUUUUGAUUGUGUGAUUUGGGCCGUAGUUUCAAAGGACUUGCGACUCGAAAAAAUUCAAGAAGAUAUUGGGAAAAAGAUCGGUUUGGUUGAUGAUUCAUGGAAGAGUAAAAGUGUAGAGGAGAAAGCUCUCGACAUCUUCCGGAGUUUAAGAGAGAAGAGAAUUGUAUUGCUGUUAGAUGAUAUAUGGGAGCGGGUUGAUUUAACAAAAGUGGGCAUUCCACUUUCCGGACCAAAAAAUACUACAUCAAAAGUCGUAUUCACAACCCGUUUCGUCGAUGUUUGUGGUAGCAUGGAAGCUGACAAGAAGUUCCAGGUGGCAUGCUUAUCAGAAGAGCAUGCUUGGGAACUGUUUCGAAAAAAAGUUGGGGAAGAAACUCUUGAGAGUGAUCAUGAUAUCGUUGAGCUAGCCCAAACUGUGGCCAAAGAGUGUGGUGGUUUGCCACUCGCACUUAUUACUAUUGGUCGAGCUAUGGCCUUCAAAAAGACAGCCGAGGAGUGGAGUCAUGCAAUUGAUGUGCUAAGAACAUCAGCUUCUGAGUUUGCAGGUUUGGGAGAAAAGGUUUAUCGUCUUUUAAAGUUUAGCUAUGAUAGUUUGCAGAAUGAGACGAUUAGAUCUUGUUUCUUAUAUUGUUGUUUAUAUCCCGAGGAUUAUAGCAUUCUUAAAUGGGACUUGAUUGAUUGUUGGAUUGGUGAGGGAUUCUUAGAGGAAUCUGACAGGUUCAGUGCAGAAAACCAAGGAUACUACAUUGUGGGCACUCUUGUUCAUGCAUGUUUAUUGGAAGAGUUAGAAGAUGAUAAAGUAAAAAUGCAUGACGUUGUUCGUGAUAUGGCUCGAUGGAUAGCUUGUGAAAUUGAGAAGGAGAAGAGAAAAUUUUUGGUUUGUGCAGGUGCUGGAGUAGGAGCGGUGUCAGAUGUUGAAGGAUGGGAAAAUGUGGGAAGAUUGUCAUUGAUGCAAAACCAAAUUGAAAUUCUGUCAGAGGUUCCCACAUGCCCUCAUCUCCUCACUUUAUUUCUUGACUUUAAUUAUAAAUUGGAGAUGAUCACCGAUGGCUUCUUCCAAUGUAUGCCUUCUCUCAAAGUUUUGAAGAUGUCAAACUGUGGGCAUGUCAAAGUUUUGAAAUUACCUUUUGGGAUGUCAAAGCUGGGUUCACUACAACUUCUUGAUAUUUCACAUACCGGCAUAAGAGAGUUACCAGAAGAGUUAAAGUUGUUGGUAAAUCUGAAAUGUUUGAAUUUGAGGUGGACACAUAUGUUAAAUAAAAUUCCACGGCAGCUAAUAUCAAAUUCUUCAUGGUUACGUGUGUUGAGAAUGUUCGCUAUUGGCUUUGAAAAUUCUAAAGAACCAUCAGAAGACAGCGUUUUAAUUGGUGGGGGUGAAGUUUUAGUACAUGAAUUGCUCGGUUUGAAAUAUUUAGAGGUAUUGGAGUUGACCUUGCGAAGUUAUGAUGCUCUCCAAUUUUUUUUGAGCUCAAAUAAGUUAAAAAGUUGUAUUCGAUCUCUUUUCCUCAAUAAGCUGGGAGAUACAAAGUCGAUUCAUGCUACGGCUUUCGCAGAUCUAAAGCAUCUCAAUGAACUAUGCAUUCGUUCGGCAGUGGAGUUGGAAGAAUUGAAGGUUGAUUAUACAGAGAUUGCGCCAAAAAGGUCGGAACCUUUUGUUUUCCGCAGCCUUCACCGUGUUACUAUGGAGCGGUGCCAUAAAUUGAAAGAUUUGACAUUCCUCGUUUUUGCUCCAAGCCUCAAGUCUCUUUCGCUAUACGGUUGCAAUGCUAUAGAAGAAAUAAUCAGCGUUGGAAAAUUUGCUGAGACUCCUGAGGUGAUGGGACAUAUAAGCCCUUUUGGAAAUCUCCAAACGCUUUAUUUAACUGAUUUGCCAGAGUUGAAAAGCAUCUACUGGAAGCCAUUGCCUUUCACUCAUCUCAAAGAAAUGACGGUACAUGGGUGUAAUCAGCUUAAAAAGCUUCCAUUCGAUUCCAACAGUGCAACAGAGCGUAAAUUUGUUAUUCGUGGAUACACACUCUGGUGGAACCGUCUUCAAUGGGAGGAUGAAGCCACUCAAAUUGCUUUUCGUUCCUGUUUCCAAUCUCAUGAAAUAUAAAUUCCUGAGCGGUGGUUGCAAAAUUUGAUUUCUAGUGAGUGCUUUUUUCUUAAACUCUUACAUAUAUUCUCGUCGUUUGCUUCGUGCAACGGACUAGGUUUUUAUUUCAGAUUCGUUUUUUGUCUCCUGCAAAUCACAAUUAAAUGUUGAAUUAUAUGGAGUCAAUGCUUUAUAAAAUUUUCAAGGCACUGCCAUUUCCUUUUUCUUUUUCUUUUUUUUUUUGGGUCGAAUUGAUGCUCUGGCUUUUUACUUUUUGUUGUCACAUUUUGCUCUGUUUUUUCAAGUUGAUGCUUGAAUAGUUGAAUUCAAUUGAUGCUCACAUAAAUUUGUUUAGUUGCCGCAAAAGGAUAUAAUUAGACUGAAGUACACACUUCUAGAAUGAAUACAAAAUGUUAAGUAUACUAGCCCUCUUUACAGAAAAUCAAAUGAAAAUCAAUUUUUUGGGGCUUUGAUUUUCUAUGGUCUAUUAUAUACUCUUUUUAAUAUCUUCUGUUCUAACUAUAACCAAAUCCUUUGUUCAAGGAUUUUUAUUUGGGGUAUUGAUAACUGUCCACCAAAAGAGUGAACACUUGGAUGCUGCUCAAGGAUCUCUAAUCAAUAGCUGGAAGCAACUGAGAAGGCGGUCGCUACUGUUUACAAAGCGAUGCAGUAUUUGCCAUUCAUCUUAAUAAUUAUGAAGCUUUGGUAAAAUUUUCAAACAAAGUUGAACACAUGUUGUUUUGAGAUUUGGUUCAUGAUUUUGGAUGAAUAUCGUUGUUCCGUUUGAGUUGGAUGUGAAUUCAAAAUCUAUAUAUUCUUUGGUUUUCAAUUCUGAACUCAAUUUCUUUUUCUCAAGCAUGUUAUGCAGAAAUGAUUUUUUACUAAAUCAUUUUUGAUGAAUUGUUUAAAUUAAACAAUUGGAAUAAGAAUUGAAAAGGUUUAUCAUAAGCAUGCUAAUAUGAUAAGUUGUUUUAUGAACGAUUAAUUAAUUAAUCAAUUAAUAUUAAAUUAUCUAUUAGUCAAUUAGAUAUGCGUUACAUGUCAUGUUUAAAAAUUAUUUAUUUAUAUUUCAAACAAAUUUGACUGGAUGUUGUGUAGGUAAUACUACAUAAUUUCAAAACAAAAAAAGUAAUAAAAACACGUUAAAUUUUGUUUUUAUGAAGAAAAAUUUAAAAUUUUAUUAAAUAGGUGAAAAUAAUAAAUGGAUUCGUGUAUGGUUUGAGAUUCUUGACAUAAUUAUGAAAUAAGCCGGAUUCGACUUAGUUCAAUUUUGACGCGAUAAGAAGACGACACCACACAAACACACGAUAAGAACCGUUACCUGAGAAGAUUGCCAUCAGGAAUUUUGAAAUUGAUUUCACUACAAUACCUUAAUCUUUCAGAUACUACCAUCACUGAGCUGCCAGAAGAGCUAAAAGCCUUGGUAAAUCUUAAGUGUUUGAACUGUACACAAAUUAUCUCUCUACAAUUCAAAAACAACUAAUUUGUUACUUUUUCAAUGCUACAUGUUCUGCGAAUAUUGAGUUGUGGUUAUCUUGUUGAAAUAUCAGACAAUAGAGUUCUAUUUGGUGGUAGUGAAUUGUUGGUUGGGGAGUUGCCUAGUUUAAAACGUUUAAAUGUAUUAAGCAUCACCUUACAAGGUUUUUCUGCUGUCCAAAAACUUAUGAGCUCUCAAAAGUUUCAAAGCUGUACAAAAUGUUUGGAGCUUAUAGACUGUGAUGAUUCAAAGUCUUUUGCCUUGGCAGAGUUGAAGCAUCUCGAAAAACUAGUUUUUUGAAUUGUGGAAGAGUUUAAGUUCUGCUUUGUUGAAGUUGGAAAAGCUCAAGAAUGUUUUCGUUUGAACAGUUUUCACCGAGUUAAUAUAAAGGCUUGUCAUAAAUUGAGGGACGUGACAUGGCUUGUAUUUGCUCCAAAUCUUACAGUUAUUCAAAUAGAAAAAUGUAUGCAGAUGGAAGUAAUAGUCAGUGCAAGGAAAUUGGGUGAAGUUCCAGAGAUGAUGGCAGAUCUAAACCCUUUUGCAAAUAUCUUUGCCAGCGAGUUCUACCAAAAUUAAAAAGCGUCUAUUGGAAUGAGUCACCCUUUCCACAUGUCAGGGAAAUUAUUGUAUCUGAAUGCCCAAUUCUCAAGAAGCUUUCACUCGGUUUUAACAAUGCAAAGGAAUCUAAAAUUGUCAUUAGGGGAGAGGAACACUGGUGGAGUGAGCUGCAAAGGGAGGAUGAAGCGACCGUUAAUGCUUUUCUUCCUUGUUUCGGUUCCAUUUGAUAGGCAUCAACAUGGAUUUAUAUUUUGCGGUGGACAACUUGUGGUAAGUGCUUUUCCAUUUAUUACAUGUUUAUAUCUAACUUUUGUUUUCCUUUAUGGUUAAAUUUUACUGUAUAUAUGUUGUUAUACGGUGACAUUCUCGCAUCAAUUAUUAGCUUUUUAAUUCUCUUCUGGCAUUAAUUGCCCUUCUGAUCAUGUAGGAUAUGCCGAUGUCAAAGAGUAGUAAAUUGGGAUACAAAUGUAAGAAUUAGCCAGAUGACAUGUUGUUUUGAAGCUCUCUCGAAGGACUAGUUAUGUCAUUCAAAGCAUCCAAUUUCGCUACUUUUUUUUUCAUUUGUUGCUUUUUAUAUUUCUAGAUAGCUUGAUAUUCGGCCAAGACAUCGAUAGGAGGGCACAUUGUGCAUGCACACUAGUGGAUGAUUUGGGCAUGCCGAAUCCAAUUAGCGUGGAUGACCCUUUAUAAGCAUCAGGCUUCUCUCAUACCAGAGCAAUGUAGAAUAUGUUUAUAAACUGUGGAUUACCCUUUAUAAGUUUAGACUUCUUCUAUACUCGAGCGAUGUGGAAUACCUGUAUAAGCAUUAAGCUUCUCUCAUACACUUUAUGUUAAAAAUAAUAAUAAUAAUAAUAAAAUAAAUCCAUUUUAAAAUAGGCUCUUUUUUUCUUUUUUUAUAUAAACAAAAUGCAUUCUUCAAAUCAAUAGUGGGUGGAAGAAGUGAGUAGAGAAGGACUAGGCCCCUUCAUUCCGCCUAAAACCUCACCGAAACCUCUCUUGUGAACUUCUCAGAUUCUCUCUCAAUAUUUCUUAUGAUCUCGUUUUUGAUAGAAUCACUUCUAUUGCAUGCUGCAUUUUGUGCGUCGUUUUUGGGUAAUAUCUUAUCUGGAAUGCUGUUAUGAUCAAUAGAACAAGUAAUCAAUUUUUGGUUUGACGGAAGUCGAUUUAUUUAUUUACUAUUGUUUUUUAUUUGAAAUUUUGACAGUUGUGUUUCAUUCAUUUCUUUCCUUCUUUUUUUAUUUUAUAUUUAUUAUGUAUAAUUGUGUUUCAUUUGAUAUUGAUCAUACUGUAGAUAACUAUGUGAUUGUAGCUGGGGAUUUUAAGUUUUGUGAAUUCAAGAAACUGUCAAAAUGCUAGUGAAAUUGGGACCUUUAUUCAUAAGCUUGUGGUUUUCAAAAGUAGCCGGGUUCAACUGAUGAAGUUCCUUUUUGGGAUUCUUUUUUUUCUAGGCUGCAAUUCGGAUAUGUACCUGAUAGACAAUCUUUUGUGAGUUUAGCAUAUCUUCUCCGAUUUUGUCUUUUAUUCCCCAACUUUACAGCUACACACCAUGAAUGCUGGGUGAUUGUACAGAAAAUUUGUGUUAGAACAAAAGCAUUGUGAAGGAGUUUCUGUGCUAUAAGUUAUUGGCUUCAGCUUUAUUGGCAUUAAUUGGGUAGAUUAUGUGUUACAGUGAUUCAAUUUGUGAUCCACACUUUAAUUUUCUCUUUUCCCCAAUUAUUUAUGUCAAAUUCAAAUCCAGAAGCAUGCGCUGAUUUUUUUUUUUUUUUGUGAUAAUCUGUGAAGUUUAUUUGGAAAGGACGUAUCUGGGUUUAAUGGAUUAAAUUAUGACAUUGAGGGAAAGGCACUAAAGGUUUUGCUUGACACAUUUGGUCUGUGUUUACUCUGCAAUAAAUAGCUUCGCUUAUCAGAAAUCCCUAUUUGGCUGGUGAAUUUCUCUGUGACAGACAGGCAAACACCUAAACCGCUUCUAUCCAUUUUUCUGCUGGUGAGGUAAGGGGUAAAAAGUCUUCAAAAUCAUCAAAUAGUAACAUCUCUGAGAAUUGGUUUUAGAAAAAUGGAAAAUCUAGACCUACUAGGACAAAAUGGCGUCCGGUAUCAGGAGGUACCGUUUCAAGUUUUCUUGGUAAAGAAUAUAUUAAACCUGCGCAACCAGCUAAUGGCACUUUUCUGGCAUCAAAGCCAUUGAAGUUGGAUCUAAAGGAGUUUUCCCAUGCCUGCAUUGUGCAGAGAAGAAACUAAACAAAAACAAUCAAAGAAUGACCAUUUGCAGAAGGAUACGGAAGAUUUUCUAUUUAAAUUGUUAGGAGAAGGGUCCCAGCUGAACAGGGAUGUGAUUCAGGAGGUUCUCGGUAAUGUCUUAAAUAUACUGAUGCCAAUUUAAUACAUAUUGUCCUUUUCAAUGUUCUUUCUUUCUUUCUUUUUUUUUUCCUUCUUCUUCUUUUUCUUUUCGUGUGCAUGUGAUCACUGAUUUGGUAUUAUGCUUAAGUUGCAGAUAGCUGUGGAUUUGAUAUGCAAAAGGUAAGGACUAUAUCUUCCUGAUGUAGGCCUCUGCUUUUUCCCCUUCUAUGUAAUUUAGUAAUUCACAUCUUCCUUUGUGAUUGUUAUAUCAUAUCGAAGUCAAGUCUUAAAUACUGCUGUCAUAUGUGAAGGUUCAACUUGCAUUUUGAUUAAGAUCCAUUUGCUGCUGCUUCCAAAAGUGAGAAUGAGAUACUUUGGUUAAUUUCAGUGGUUGAACCCAAUAGAGAACUUUAUUUAGAUCUUCAUGGUUCAAAGGCCUGAAAAAACUUGCCCGUAAUUGUAAAAUGACAUUCUGUGCUUUUUAUGCAAUAGGGAACAGGGAAGUAGAGCUUUGGAAAAGCCUGGAUUGAUAACUAUGGAGAGACUUAUUAUUUAAGUGAUGAAAAAUUCCCAUCGCCCGCAGUCAAGAAAAUUUCAGAUAGUUAAAGACUCCAUUUUGCUUCAGCCAAAAAUGUUUGUUUCAAUUAAAGACUUGAACCAUUUUCAUUGAACCUGAUUGUGAUCCUUUACGUUAUGCAUGUUCCUCUCAAUCAAGAAAAGUUGAGGUCAUGAUUCUAUAUUUCUAUAUUGUAACUUGAAAUAAUAAUUGGUCUACUUGUUUCUGUAUCUUGAUAAUAUGAAUUUUCCUUCUCAAGUUAAUUUGUUCAAUAAAGUAAUUCUUCAAAGAAAAUAUGCCCAUUCUAUAAUCAUUUUCUUAGCUCAGAUGUUUUUUCUUCACUCUUCAGAGCAUGUCAAAACUAAUUGAUCGCUUGGCAGAUACUUUGGGUAAGAAGACAAAAUUUCUUGGUAAAUCCUCGGAAAAGGUAUGCAUAAUUCCCGAGUAUUAAAUAACCAAUAGUCAUAAUUUUUGUACAUGACUCUUUUUUCUCUUUUUUGUGGAGAUCAUUAAAAUUGGUUGAUGAUCCAUUUUGUAACAUCAUAGAGGGAUCAUCAAUUCCUUCUCUUUUCUGUGGCUAGGCAACACUUUCAGGCCAAAGUAAGAAAAUCUAUUUUAGGUAAUGUGAAAACCAACGGUAGGAUGUAAUAGUUUAUUAUGCACUGACAAUAACUUUUUGUAUGGUUGGCAGUUUAAUGAAUACAAGAGGAACUUUGUUGACAAAUUCAUCCAAGAUAGAUGCUAAAAUUAUUUAUGCAUGCCAGUUGCCUUAACUAAUUUUUCUUAACACUUGUAUUGAACAGGAAAAUGAAUAAGCAAUCUGUAUAUUGUGCCAUUGUGGAGUAUUUGGAUAUUCUGAUUUAAAUAACAAGGAGAAUACUUGCCUCAUCUUUAAAUGAGGAGUGGGGGAUUGGAAGUGUCUUCAUGUAAAUGUUCAUUUAUUUGUAUUUUGAACUAUUAUGAGAAUCUUAUAUGCCAAAUCAGUAAUACAAAUCUUCAGAUGAUUUUUGCUGUUGAUCAUGGGUUUGUGUCUGCACACAACCAUUGUAUAUCACUUUAUUCUGAUGUGCAGGUAUGUGUAGCUUAGAAGAAAUGGAAUAAUAAUCAUCUAUUAUUGCUUGGUUCAUGAUUAUUAAACGAUUAUGGCUUUAAAAAGUCUACAAAUUCCUUCUGUUCAUAUAUGAAUGUGCCAAGUUUGCUAUAUCUUAGAUUAUCUUCUUCCAAGAUAACAAGUUCAUAUUCUUUUUAAUCUUUUUCCCUCACAGUUGACUUUUAGGUGUUAAGAUUUGUUAUUAGUCCCCUGUUAUUAUGAUUUCAUAAACAGUGUACGGAUAUGUGCUCUAACUUUGGAGGACCUCCACAUGAAAGAAAAUUGCAACAAUUGAAUUCUUCCGGAGGGUAUGGUCUUUAAUUUAUUUUCUCAACUUCUCGUAAGAUUAAUAUAUUUCAUUCAGUAGGCACAGCAUGGGGGGAAGGGUUUUUAUUGAAAGAAUUCUGAUAUUUCUUAGACUUUGUUUUGGAAGGGGGGUGGAGGGAUUUCUCAUCCAUGUAUGGUUACUUGAUUAGCUUUUGACUGUAUUUCCUCAGUCAUGUAAAGGAAGAUCCAAAUACCAACGAAGGAAUAUUGCCUAGACACCCGAAAGACAGAAAUGAGCUACAGAAGCAAGUUUUACUACUUUAUUUAGUGCUCCUGAGAAAUCUGAUGGAGACCGAAUGGAGGUCCAAAGCAUUGGAAAAGGUAGUGAGUGAACCGCCGGAGGAGUUGGCACCAGAAUGCAAGGCUAAUGUGGUGCACUUGCAGCAAGAUAACCAAACCGGUAUGUGCUCUUAUAUUAACUAGACUGACUGGAUUUGUGAGUGUGUGCAUUUUUUUGUGUAUACUCUUGUAUUUAUGCAUAUUAAUGUGUGUAGGAAUUUCUGCCACUUACUGGAGAACUAGUGGAAAGCUUUAUAUCGAUAUAUCUGCAAUAACUAAUUGGAAACUAUGAUAUUAAUAUUUUCUCUCACCUGAGGAACUGUGUAACAGAUAUACUUUGUGGCUCUGGAGUACUAGAAAUUCUGCAAUAACUAAUGGAAACUAUGAUAUGAAUAUUUUAUCUCAACUGGAGAACUUUGUAACUUGUAGCUCUGGAAUGUCUAAGGAAUUUUGUCUGCUUCAGUUAGAUCAAAUAUCUUUUAGUUGCAUACAUUAUAGAAAAAGAUAAAGUUCUCUGAAUCUGAAAGACUGAAACAUUUUGUAUAUUUUGUGAAAGGGAAAUAUCUGUAGAUACUAGUUCAUGCAUUGAGGUAACAUCAAUGUUAAAGAAAAACAGCAAUAAGUUAUUAUGUGGAACUAGGUUCACUUGCUUUAAAUGCUGGUCUGGUCAACCAUAUGAACCUGUAAGUUCUGCAGAAAUAUAUAUACGGGGAGAAACUAGCUAAAUUUUCCGUUCAUUGAUGGCUUUGGUCAUUUUUUUCCCCUUAUUUUUCAGCUGUCCUUCUCCUGAAGUAUGUUAACAACUGCAGAUAAUGAUGAAGAGGACAGCUUGCAGGCUCUUCUUAGAGCCAUGAUGGAAUAUAGGGGCACAAUGAAGGAACAUUGCAAAGCUGUAGGUUCUUUUUCUCCUGUCAUUUAUGUUUUCUCACACAUUUUUUAUAUGCUCCAAGCAUGCAAUUUUGUAUGUGUCAACUGCUUUCUAAGUUUUAAAAACCAUAAUGUAAGAAUACAGUUUCUUGUCAGGCUAUUGAUGCAUUUGCUCAGGGGGAUCAUGUUCGAGCAGGAAAACUUCUAGAACAGACAAGGUUUUCCAUCUACAGCCAUCUAUUGACAACAGAUAUAUUUUCAUUCAGCAAACACUGUUAGCAUUCAAGAUACUGGCAGAUUCACUUGAUUCUUAUUAGUAAUGUUUAGUAGCAAAGGAUAUAACCUGUAUUUCAAAGCCAAGUUGUGCUAUUGAUUAUGUUAGCUUUAUUGUUCACAUAAAGUGAUAUGGAGGAAAUAAUGUGAAGUGAUAUGGAGGAAAUAAUCAAUGUAGGAAAAUUAGGUGAAGAAAUGAUGUCAAAUCUUGAACCUCUUACAAAACUCCAAGCUCUUUACUUGAAUAAGCUACUAAAUUUGAACAGGGUCCACUGGAAGGCCUUGCCAUUCUCUGAUGCAUGCAGAAUUUUUGCAUUUAAAUGCCCAGAGCUUAAGAAGCUGCCACUGGAUCUUGAAAGGGCAGGCCAAGGUAAAAUUCUUAUCAAGGGAAAGGAAGAUUGGUGGAAACAACUUCAAUGGGAGGAUCAAGUAACUCAGAAUGCAUUGCUUCCAUUUUUAAAACAACCAGCAAGUGAUUGAAGGGGGCAUCAUCAACGUCAUCAACAUGGAUGGAGAGAUUCAGGAGCAGAUCAGCAGGAUUUAGUACGACCUGUGGUGGUUUCUUUUUUGUGACUUUUUUCCCUUUCAUUUUUUCACUUCCUGUCAUAUUAUCAUUUCUUUGUCUCUGUUUCUAUUGCUGGUGUUGCUGCAUGCUUGCUGUCCUUGACAAAGUUAGCUAGUUUUUUUUUUUUUAAUUAAAUUUUGUAUGUUCGGUCGGGACAGUCACAAAGUACUACUUGUUCUAUAUGGGGGUGAUGUGAAUCAACUUUUCAAUUAUAUAUUCUGUGGUAAUUGCGAAUUCAAUUUCAUUUGUCUCCAGCAAAUUAUGAAGAAAGUGCAGAGUUACAAUAUGGAGAAGUUCACUGGCAAAUACUUUGUAAAAGCUUCGGAGUGAAACAGGAAAUGCACUUGCAGCUAAGGACAAAUUGGUGGCCAGCUAAUGCCUUCAUUUUAUGUACAUUCAUCUUUUUAAUUAUUGAAGAUAAGUGGUUCGUUGCUUUUGUUAAGAUUAUAAGUUAGCGUCGGUGCAGGAUUUGCAGCAACAAAUCUUGACUAGCCACGUGUCAAAAGCACAAAUAAAUCAAGGGAAAGCACAUGACAUGGAUUAGGAUCUAAUAAAAUUUAAAUCCCAAGGAAAAUGACAACUGCAUUAUGAAGUUUCAAUAAGGGAUACUGACUAAUGAUAUUUUUUGGCUUUAUUAAUAAAAAAAGAAUAUUUUAUAACAAAUUAAAACAUAAUAUUAAGCUAAAUGUGAUAAUUAUAUACAUUUUAAAUAAUUUCAAUAAAAAAACAUUUUAAUGUUUUACGAUCUAUCAUACAUAUUUUAUUAAAUUAAUAUGAAUUUUUUUUUAUAAAUAGCAACAUAAUAUUACAACAAAUUUAUAAGGAUUUAAAUGUAAAAUAAUUUUAGUAUAAAUAAUACGUGGGAUAUAUUUUGUAAAUUAUAAAAUUAUUUAACACAAAGUUUUUUAAAAAAUAUUUAAAAUAAAUAAAAAUAAAUUAUUCACAUCUUGAUUUAAAUAUUUAAAAUAUUUUUAUAUAUUAGUCUACAAUUAUUUAUGUUAUAUUUUUAUUUAUUAGAAAUUUUGAAAGUCAAAUGUUUUCACCUCUAAGAGAAAGACACAUAUGCUUUAUAGCUUUAAAAUCGGUCUGUUUUAUAUCUGGAAACAAAUAUAUCAUUAUUGGUAAGGAUUAAAAAAAGGGAUAAAGAAUAUUAAUGAUUAAUGAAAUCUCUAUGGAAAUUGAAUUUAGUAGGAAAAAAUUGAGCUAAAUGAUUUAGACAUUUAGUGGUAUAGUAAUAUUUUAUAUAUAGAAAUGUAAAAGCUGCACCCGAGGUUAAGGGAAAUGUUCAAAACUCUUUUUUACUCAUAAUACCCUUUGUCCUAACUAACUUACAAAUUCGACUCUAAUAUUUUAUAAUAAAUAAAAAUGUAAUCCUAAAAUAAAUAAAAUAAGAUAUAUUUUAAAAUAAUCUCAAUAUUUAAAAUAUACUUUAAUAUUUUAUAGUCUAUCAGACAUAUUUAAUUAUAUUAAAGUAAAUUUUGUAAUAAAUACAAACAUACUAUUAAAAUAGAUAUAUAAAAAAUUUAAAGUAUUUUGGAUAUUAUAUAAAAGAACUUUAAUAUUGUUAAUACGUGAGAUAUAUUUUAUUAAUUAAAAAUUCUAUUUAACCCAAAGAUUUAUUUAAGAUAAAUUAACAAUCAUAUUUGUGAAAUUAUUUCAAAUAUUAAAAAAUAUUUUAAUAUUACUAACUAUUAGAUAGACUAAACUAUUUAUAUUAUUUUCUAUUUAUUAUAAAAUUUCAAAAUUAAUCUUUUUAACUACUAUUCAAAAGAUAUUAUGAUAAAAAUAAUUUUUUUGUGUUUUUAUUAAAAAUUUGGAAUUUGCAUAACUCUUUUUUUAAAUAUUGGGGUAUAGCUGUCUUUUCCCUUUUAUAUAUACAAACCACAGUGGUGAAAAAGCUUGAUUUAAUGUUAUUUAUUUAAACAACACCGAUAUUCACACCACAUUGAGCACCAUAGUUUUUUUUUUUUUUUUGAAAAGAAAGUACACCUUUCAUUGAAUUAAGAGAAAAGAAACAAAACAUCCUCUGGAAAUUCAUCCAGCCAAAUACAAGGGUCUGACUUUUUGAAAGCCAACUUUGCCAAAUCAUGCGCUAAAAAGUUACACAUCCUAAGGACGUGCUGAGCUUUAAAAUUCUGAAAGAUUUUCUUAGCUUCUAUAAUAUCAAAAAUCACCCAAAAGGUGUCUGUCAAAGUGCUUCUCUUGUUAUUGAUUAGCUCUAUCACCCCUUUAGAAUCAGACUCUAAGAUAACUGAAGUUGCCCCUGCCUUGGCAGCUGCCUGCAUUCCCCACAAAACAGCUUUUGCCUCACUCAACUCCACAUCUCCUGAGCUCUUAAAAGUGCUAACAGCUGCAGCAACUGUUUCUCCCUUAUGGUUUUUAACUACUGCUCCCAGCCCAGCAAGAUAAUUCACCCUAUCCAUAGCAUCAUCAACAUUUACCUUAAGCCAUCCUUCUUCGGGUGGACUCCAUUGGCUUUGCUGAACAUUGUUUUGUUCUGCUAAGAAAUCCUCUUCUGACAUUGAGCACCAUAGUUAAGUACAAAACGGUGCGUUUUGUUCACGCAUGUUAGUAAACACCCACGCAACUUACACACAUACGCGCGGCUCACAACACGCGCUCUCCUCGCCCUAAAUCUCACCUGAUUGAAGCCACAAAUUUGGCCACGUUCUCCCACAGCUCUCUCCGUUCUGACCGUUUACUCUUCCUCUAGCCCCAUCGAUUACAUCUCUCAUAGCACCUCAUUCAACCGACGUAAUUGCCAGAAAACAACCUACCUGGUAAUAAAAGUCGAUUCUCUUACAAUUUUGGCCCAAAAAAAAAAAUUGCACAACUGAAAAAUCAAAAUGCCACUCUUUAAAACCAAAAAUCAAUUUUGGGCCCCCUUCAUCACCGCCUUCACUCUAGAUUUUUUCAAUCCACUUUGUCGUCAAAACCGUGGUGUUCUUAAACCAUUAUUAUAUUCACCAUCCCCUUAAUCACAUCCAACCAUCCCCAUUAUUCGUUUGUCAAACACGCUGUUCUCUUCCCAAAUUAAUUAAUUAAUUAAUGACAGACAGGAACAAAAGUACUUUAAAUCUCUGCCAAAUCGUAUUGUUAUUACUUCUUCCGAGUCGAGGCCACGUCGUUCUCGAUGGAAACCAUUGCUUUUUAUUACCACUCUUGAGGAGUUCGAAGCAUUCUCGACGGAGACCCGCGCAAGCUGUGGAAAGAGAGAGAGUCAACGGUGAAAAGAGAGCAUGGUGAGAUGUGUGAGCGACGGGGGGAGAGAGAGAGAGAAAGAAAGCCGACGGAGAGAGCACAUAGAGCUGAGAUGCGUGAGUUGGGUGAAGAUUUGGUGAGCGUUGUGUCAGUUGCCCGUGUGUUGUGUGAGCUCUGUGCCAUGUGAUAUGCGUGCUACUUUGAGAAUUUAUAGAUAGCACAAAACUCAAUCUAUAUCCAAUUCAUACCUAGAUAGAUGCGGAUUUGACUCAAUUUAUAUCCAAUUCGUCAUUUGCGAACUAAAAAUUUUUAAUUCUCUCAAAUUCACAAACUAACUAAAUAAAUAAAAAUUUAAUAUAAAAAUAACUGUACUACCGAUCAAAUUUAAAAUUAAAUAAUAUUUAAAUAAAUUAAUUGUUUAAAUAAAGUUAGAAAAUACAUUCAAAAUUUUAAAAUAUAACACAGUAAAAAGAAAAAAUCUCAUUUGUUUAGACCUAUGUAUGAAAAUUAAUUGUUUAGGAAUCUAUAUUUAUUUAUUUUUAUAUUAUUAUCGGAUAAGAUAUAAUAUGGUGUUAAUGUAACUAUAUUUUAACUUAUUUAUUUAUAAGACCAAUGCUAUAUGUACAAGUUUAAUUUUUUAAUUAAAUAAAUAUUUUUUUUUGCGGAAUUGUGGAUUUUUGCGGAUUUACAAAAGUAAAUCUAUAUCCAAUCCACCGACUAUGGAUUUUCAAAUUUUCAAAAUUUCAAAUUUUCAAAUUUUCAAAAUUUCAAAUUUUCAAAUUUUCAAUCCAAUCCAAUCCACCAAUUCACAAAUUCGGAUUUUUACGGAUUAGAUUUCUACAGAUUAAACGAAUUGAGCAGACCAUAUUUGAUUUUGAACAUUGCUAAUUUGUAUGUUAAGUAUAACAUAAUCAAUUAUUUGGAUAAUCCCUUGUGUUUUAUCUCUAAUUAGAGCAUCAAUCUUCACAAUAUCUACAAAGCUACAAUGGCUACAAAACAAACCUGCUUGCAAAUUGUCAAGGAUACUUAUCCUUUCUCUUGACAAGUCAUUUGGAAAAAUACUGUCCCUUGGCGGCUCCAUGACUUCUCUGCUCCUCCUUUUGGUCUUAAUGUACGGUUGCAUAAUGAUAGUUUAGGCCCUUUAGGGACUACUUUCCCUGGGGUUGUUAAGUCUUAGCUUGUGCUAGGCUCGUUUUUCUUACCAAAAAAAAAGGGAAUACUUCUCCUAUAAGAAAUAAUCUCUAUAUAUAGGGUGGUUGGAUUCACUUGUUUACAUAACAGAUCAAUUAGUUCUCUGUAAAUAGAGAGUUUCUAGUAUAAGAGAAACGGUAGAUCUAUUGAGAGAUUAUGUGUUAUUAAAAUUUUAGUUGCGAAGAAAAGUACUAGAGUGAUUGUAUUAAUUUUUUACAUAGUAGAUUUUUCUAUCGUCAUCUUUAUGGCUGUGAUUUUUCUUCCAUAUAGAAGUUUCUCACGUAAAUUUUUAUGUUGUGUGAUUAGUUUUAUUCUCUAUCUAUUUUUUGUUUAAUAUUUUAUUUGUAAGAUGCUGGAUGGGAUUAAAAUUUCUUAACAAAUAACGGAUUAAAAAUCAUGAAGAAAAAGCUCAAGAGAUCUUCAAGAUUUGAAGUGUGCAAAAGUUCAUAUUACUGCUAGAUGAUAUAUGGGAGCGGGUUGAUUUAGUAAAAAUGGGUGUCCCUCUUCCUAGAUCAGAAAACAGCACAUCCAAAGUGAUAUUUACAAACCCGUUCUGAGGAAGUUUGCGGCUUAAUGGAAGUUCGUAGGAGUUUUAAAGUGGCGUGCUUAUCAAAUAAAAAUGCUUGGGAAUUGUUUCUAUACAAAGUUGGGGAAGUGAAAGAAAACAGAGAUGUACUGUUUGGUUGAAUAGAAAAUUACAGAGAAAAUUCUCAAUACUUGUAUUUGAUAAGAUUCAAUUCUUAAGAGCUUUUACAAAUCAGUACAAGUAUUUAUAUUAUUCCUUACACGUGAGAAUUGCUAGUAACUCACUAACUAACUAACUUUCUUUGAGCUGGAUCACUAACACUUGACUAAUCACACUGAGCUGUUAUUCUUCACUAACAACCUUCUGCUGACGUGGCUUCACCAAGCUACUUGAAUAAUGAGCAGCCUUGACAGCCCCCCUCAAACUCAAGGGACAAGACAUGACGUUGAGUUUGGCCCUAAGAUAGUUAAAAUGGAUGAAUGAGAGUGGCUUGGUCAUGAUGUCAGCUACCUGCUCCUCACUUGGUAUAUAUUGAAUGUUUAGUUCUCCAGCAAGAACUUUGUUUCUAACAUAAUGAAUAUCAAUCUCAAUAUGCUUUGUUCUUGAGUGGAAAACUGGAUUGUGAGCUAACUCUGUUGCACUGAGAUUGUCACACCAAAUAACAGGUUUCUCUAUGCAUUGUAAUUUCAACUCAGAAAACAGUGAUUGCAGCCAGCUUAUCUCGGCACUUGCUGAGGCUAGGGACCUAUACUCACUCUCUGCACUGGACCUAGCAAUAACAGGCUGCUUCUUAGACGACCAAGAUAUCAGAUUAUGACCAAGAUAGAUGCAAUAGGCUCCAAUCGAUUUUCUGUCAUCCAGAUCCCCUGCCCAGUCUGCAUCUGUGAAUCCUGUUAGUUUCAGAUCACCAUCCUUAAUAAUUUUGAGUCCAUAGUUCUGUGUAGCCUUUAGAUAUCUGAGCACUCUUUUGCAAGCCAUAAGGUGCUGCAGUGUUGGUGCAGAAACGUAUUGACUCAGCUUGUGAACACUAAAGGCAAUUUCUGGUCUUGUUAAUACCAAAUAUUGCAUCCCACCAACAAUGCUUCUGUAAUGUGUUACAUCUUCAACAUAACAACCAAGAUUACCUUGAGCUUCCUUCUGUAGCUUCAUUCCUGUACUCAUAGGAGUAUCAAUAUCUUUGCAAUUUAUCAUCUCAACUCUUGACAGCAGAUCCCUUAUGUAUUUCCUUUGAGAUAAGAAAAUACAAUCUUUAUCAUACAGUACUUCAAUGCCUAAGAAAUAAGAGAGAACUCCAAGAUCCUUCAAAGCAAACUUUGUACUGAAUUCUGUAAUGAAUUUUUCCAGCUCAAAGCUAUUUGGUCCUGUUAUUAAAAUGUCAUCAACAUAUAUAAGAACUAGAAUCAUAGAUGACUUAUUUAUUUUCAAGAAUAAGGAGGUAUCUGAGCUGGAAUUUGUGAAUCCCCACUGCAACAAACAGCCUUUCAACUUAUCAUACCAAGCUCUUGGAGCUUGUUUAAGUCCAUAAAGAGACUUGUGAAGCUUGCAUACAAAGUCUGGUUUCUCAAAGCUGAUAAAUCCCUCUGGUUGAUCCAUGAACACUUCCUCUGUUAAGUCUCCAUUAAGAAAGGCAUUAUUCACAUCAACUUGCCUUAUCUUCCACUGAUUCAUCACAGCUAAACUCAAGACUACUCUUACAGUUGCUGGUUUUAUGACAGGACUGAAAGUUUCAAAAUAAUUCACUCCUAUAAUUUGUUGAAAUCCCUUUGCAACUAACCUAGCUUUGUAUUUAGCUACACUUCCAUCAGUGUUGUAUUUAACCCUAUACACUCAUUUGUUUCCAACAACUCUUUGAUCAUUUGUUUUUGGCACUAAGGACCAUGUACCACUCUGCAUCAAAGCUGCAUAUUCUUCUUUCAUGGCUGUAAACCAUUUUGGGUUUUGCAUAGCCUCAUAUACAGAAUCAGGUUAUUUGUGAACAAGGGUUGCUGUAUAAAGCUUUGGUUUGAAGAUACCAGUUUUGCUUCUGGUAGUCAUUGGAUGUGUAUUAGGUUGGACUGGAAAAGAUAUAUCAGGUGUAGGUUGAGCUAAUAAGGAUAUGUCAGGUGCAGGUUGUGGUGAAUUUUGAGGCUCUGUAGAUGGUUCAAUAAAUGUGGUAUGUGUUUGUGAAUAGGAAUGUUGAUUGUCAGUAUGAAAUGGAUUAUCUGAAUGUUGUGAACUGCUGCUGGUAGAAAUUGCAGAUAGAGGAUUGCAUGAGCUAUUUCCAUCUGAUACUGGUGUUGUAGAUAAUAUGGUCAGAUGAAACACUGGUUGGGGUGUAAGGGAUUGACUCGAAUAAGAUGAUGAUUCAUUAGAAUGAAAAACUGAGUCUGUAGAAUAAGGAAAUGUUGACUCAUAAAAAACAACAUGUCUGGCUAUGUACAUCUUGCCUGAUGAAUGCAAGCAUUUGUAACCUUUGUGAACUGGACUGUAGCCAAGGAAAAUGCAUUUGCUUGAGUGAUAAUCAAAUUUGUGUUUGUUGUAAUCCCUUAGAUAAGGAUAACAUGUGCAACCGAAACACUUGAGCAUGCUGUAAUCAGGUUUAAGUUUAAAAAUUGUCUCAUAUGGGGUAAGAAGUUUCAGAGCUGUUGAGGGUAAUCUGUUUAUAUGGUAAACAGCUGUAAGAAAAGCAUCCCACCAAAAUUUAAAUGGUAGCUUAGCUUGUGCUAAUAGGGUUAGUCCUAGCUCAACAAUGUGUCUAUGUUUUCUUUCUACCACCCCAUUUUGGUGAUGUGUAUAAGGACAAGAAUGUCUGAAAAUGAUUCCACAUUGGUUUAAGAAUUGAGUAAAUGAUCUGUAUUCUCCCCCCCAAUCAGAUUGCAGGUUUUUAAUGGGGCUGUCAAAUUGGUUUUCAACCUGCAAUUUGAAUAGUUUGAAUACAUCUAAUGCCUCAGAUUUCAACUUAAGAGGAUAAAUCCAAGUGUAUCGGCUAAAAUCAUCAACAAAACUUAUGUAAUAGACAUAGCUAUCUCUAGAAGGUGUAGGUGAGGGUCCCCAUAGGUCUGUAUGUAUAAGCUCAAGGGGUUUUGUUGUUUUGGUUUCUGUGCUGGGAAAAUGCAGCCUAUGGGAUUUGCCCAUUUGACAUGCUUCACAGAUAUGCUCAAGUGUUUGUUUUAUGUUAUUUCUUGAGAGAUUAACUGAAGUAAUUCCUUUUAGCAAAUGCAUUAGAAUUUGAGAAUUAGGAUGGCCAAAACGUUUGUGAAGAAGAAGAAUUUUAUUAUUCAAUGCAUCACAAGAUGAAAUGUAGCUGGAAAAUUUAUUUAUUGAUGCAUUACAAACUGUGACACAACUGGAAUCAUUAUUCUGAGUGUUUUUAAGAACACUUGAAUCAAAAGAACAUGCAGAUAACAUUGACAAAGGUUGAGUGGAUGAAGGUUGACCCAUGUAAGAACAAGGAAGAGACUCAGAUGGUCUUAGAAGUAGCUUAUACAAUCCUUUCUCAGCAAUUCCUGUCAGAAGCACUUGCCUCUUCAGAGAAUCCUUCACAUAGCAAACAUUAUCAACAAAUUCAAUAGAGAUAUUGUUAUCAGCAGUUAAUUUUGAUAUGCUGAGCAGGUUCUUUGUGAUAUCAGGUACUAAUAACAUGUCAUUCAGUAAGAUAUGUGUUGGUUUAUAUGCAGCAUUUGAUCCUUUAUAAGUAAAACAUGGAUUACCAACAUGAGUUAUAGGCAAACCUUGGCCAUUGCCGAUGACAAGUUGAUUAGAUCCUCUGAAUUCCUCUCUGACAUUCAUGUUGGCCAUACUGUUAGUCAAGUGAUGUGUGGCACCAUUGUCAAGGUGCCAUCCUUCAUCAGCAGGCCCUUCAUAGUUGGUAAGAUAGGCUUCAGGAAUUACUGUGUCUGUUGAUGGAUAAGAGGAGAAGGAUAAAGGAUUGUAGCUUGAGUAGGGUGCAGCAUACUGUUCUUCAGUUGAAGGAGCAGCAUAGGUUAGAGAUGGAUCAAAGUUAGCUGUGUAUGCAGCCUUAGAUUCAAAAGAUCUGCCCCUUCCAAAAUGCCUAGGUAAUGGUUGAGGAUUGUCAUCAUAUCUAUGCCAGCAUUCAUCUGCUGCAUGUCCUGUUUUGUGGCAUAUCUGACAUAUGGUUGGUAAUUCAUCAGCAUGCAUGUUAGCUGAAGGAUGAAAGUUUGGCUUCAUAGGUGGCCUAAAAGGUUGCAUCAUCUGGCCCCUGCCAUAACCCCCAACAUUACCAACACCAGGUGAAAAACCUCUGGGAUGUGGAUUGUGAAACAUGCCUCUUCCAACAUUAAAUCCUCUAGUCAUAGGUCGACCAUAAUUUCCAUUUCCAACAACACCUCUUCUAAAAUUUCCUCUCAUAUAAGGAUGAUUCACAUUCAUUGUGCUAUAGUUUGCAUUAAACACAGUUUUGGCACUUUGAUUUUGUUCAAGUCUAGCUUCAUGAGUCAGUAAUAAUGCAUAAGCAUCAUCAUAGCUCAUCUUAUUAGCUGUGAUUAUGGAAGCUAGAUCUAGAUAACCUGAACCUAAGCCAUUCAAAACUCUCAUUAACAGAUCCUUUUCAGUGAUUACAUCACCAGCACAAGCAAGUUUGUUGGCGAGUAAUUUCAUUUUAGCACAAUAUUCCUCAACAUUCAUUGAAUCUUUUCUUAAGAUAUUCAUUUCAUAUCUGAGUUGCAUAAUCUUAGCCUCAGAUUGAACUCCAAACUGUUUUUCAAUAGAUCUCCACACAUCAAAUGAAGUGUCAUAGCUAAGAACAGAACUAAGAAUACCUUCACUUAUAGUUGAGAGCAGCCAGCCAAGGAGUAUUUGAUCUUGUGCUCUCCAGUUGCUGUAGGCUGGAUUUUCAAUGCUCUCACCAGAUCCUUCGAUCAUUGAAUCAACUAGAUACUGUUCUGGAAUAAUUUGCGGCUCUAGAAUGAAUCUUUCAAGGCGAUUUCCUCUGAUUGAAGUUACCACUUGUUUGCGCCAAAGCAAGAAAUUUGAUCGAUCAAGUUUCACAGUUGCAGCAAAAGUAAAUGAUGUUUGUGUAUGUUGAUUUGAGUUUAUGAUUGUUUGAUUUGAGAUUGUAUUGCUUGAGCUGGCCAUUUGUGGCUCUGAUACCAUGAAAGAAAACAGAGAUGUACUAUUUGGUUGAAUAGAAAAUUACAGAGAAAAUUCUCAAUACUUGUAUUUGAUAAGAUUCAAUUCUUAAGAGCUUUUACAAAUCAGUACAAGUAUUUAUAUUAUUCCUUACACGUGAGAAUUACUAGUAACUCACUAACUAACUAACUAACUUUCUUUGAGCUGGAUCACUAACACUUGACUAAUCACGCUGAGCUGUUAUUCUUCACUAACAACCUUCUGCUGACGUGGCUUCACCAAACUGCUUGAAUAAUGAGCAGCCUUGACAGGAAGAAACUUUGAACAAUCAUCCUGAUAUCCUUCAGAAAGCACAAUAGUUGUUAAGGAGUGUGGUGGUUUGCCACUUGCACAUUUUACCAUCGGUCGAUUUAUGGCAUGCAAGAAGACACAGCCGAAGAAUGGAGAUAUGCUAUUCAAGUGUUCAAUUCGUCCGCUUCCCGUUUCCAGGUCUGGAAGAAUGGAUAUAUACUCUUGUAAAAUUCAGUUAUGAUAGUUUACCCAAUGACACAAUUACACCUUGUCUGUUAUAUUGUAGUUUAUAUCCAGAAGAUUGUUGCAUUUCUAAAGAGAAUUUGGUAGAUUGUUAGAUCAGUGAAGGAUUUUUUAAUGAGAGUGAUUGGUUUGGAGAAAAAAUCAAGGAUACUUCAUUUUGGGCAUUCUUCUUCACGUUUUUUUUUGGAAAAGGGAGGAGAUUGUGAAAUGAAAAAUGCAUGCAUGACGUUAUUCGUGAUAUGGCUUUGUGGAUCGCAUGCGACUAUGAGAAGGAGAAGGAGAACUUUUUGGUUUACGCUGGUGUUGGUUUAACUAAGGUACCGGAUAUUAGAGAUUGGGAAAAGGUAAGGAGAUUGUCAUUGAUGAAAAAUAAAAUUGAGAAUCUAUCCGAGGCUCAUACAUGCCCUCAUCUCCUCACUUUCUUUCUUGACGAUAAUGAGUUUCGGAAGAUCCCCGGUGAUUUCUUCCAGUUUAUGCCUUCUCUCACUGUUUUAAACUUGUCAUGUAUUAAACUAAAGUCAGUUCCUUUAGGGACUUCAAGGUUGGUUCCACUACAACAACUCGAUCAUUCAUAUUCAAGCAUAAAAGAGUUGCAAGAAGAGUUAAAUGCCCUGAUUAAAGUUAAAUGCUUGAAUAUAGAUCAUGUAGAGGAGCUAAUUACAGUUCCACAACAACGGAUAUUUAAUUUUUAAGGUUAUAUGUGUUGAGAAUGUUCGAUACUAUUAGUUUAAAUUUUCAAGAAGCAUUAAAUAAAGACAGCAUUUUAUUUGGUGGGGAGGAAGUUUAAGCAGAGGAGUUGCUCGGUUUGGAAUAUUUGGAGGUAUUGAGCUUCACUUGAGAGGUGUUCGUGCUCUCCAAUUUAUUUUGAGCUCACAUAAGCUACGAAGUUGUACUCAAGCGCUGUUCCUCCAAUCCUUCAAUAAUUCGAUAUGGCUUGAUAUUUCACUUUUGGCAGAGUUAAAAGCACCACUGCAGAUUUAAGUAUUUUUGGCUGUAGAAAAUUGGAGGACUUGAAGAUGGAAUAUACAGGGGGAGCGAAAAACAAGCGGCAACCUUGUGUUUUCUAAGGCCUACAUACAGUUCACAUAGAGGUUUGUUCUAAAUUGAAGGACUUAACAUUCCUUGUUUCUGCUCCAAAUCUCAAGAACUUGGAAAUACAAAAUUGCCCUGCUGUGGAAGCAAUCAUCAGUGUGGGAGAAUUUGCGGAAGCUCUAGAGGUGGUGGAAAAUCUAAACCCAUUUGCAAAACUCCAGUAUCUUGGACUAGAAAAUCUGCCAAAUGUGGAGAGCAUCUAUUGCAAGCCUCUGCCCUUUCCAUGUUUGAAAAGAAAUGACUGUGGAUAGUUGCGGUUGUCUUAAAAAGCUUCCACUCUACUCCAACAGUGUAAAAGAGUGUACAAUUGUUAUUUCAUCAUUCGGAGAGUUAAUGGUGCAAUGAGAUUUGGCAGUUAACUCUCGUGGGAAGAGCUUGAAUGGGAAGACGAAGCCACUCGAAUUGCUUUUCAUUCAUGUUUCAAAUCUCUGAUUGGAUUGGAGAUUGCAUUUCGCCUCAGGUUCGUACUUUUCUUGAAUUUUUCUUGUUAACUUCAUUUGUUCAUUUAUCCAUUUUUUUUUAAAGGAAUCAGAAGGGUUAAUAAUUUUGGUUGUGUUAGGUCGACUUCUAAUCACGAGGCAGAAGGAGUUGAGAUGAAGUUUAAUUUUGGUGGAGAAAUUGUUUGAUUUAAAAAAUUUAAAUGAGUUGACCAUCAUUCUUUAGCAUAUUUGUAUGAACAGGAGUGUGUAAAUAUGCAAACUGUCCAGCUGUAUGUGUAUAGCGUAAUAAUUUUGAGGAGUUAAAACAUUGAAGAAUAUUGAUGUUUCCAUUGUCAAACCAAAUAUACUUAAUUACUUGAGGAUAAUGAUUACUGCUAAUACAUUUGCUAAUACAUUUGCAAAGAAAAAAACAUGCCUAUUGAAAAACUCAUCUUAUUAGCAACAGCAUUAUAAGUAGUAUCCAAUCAUAGUUUCAUGCAAGAUUUUGAGAUUUUUCAAAUGCUGAUUCCGGGAAUGGAGAUUAAUAGAUAAUGGAGACAGGUUGACUGCAAUGGCUAAUUGCAAGAGGGAAUUUUAGUCGUAAAAACAGACCAACUAGCAAAGCAAAUUCCAAAUCUUGGAAUGAAGUGGCAAAAAAACGAAACAAACAAAUGGCAAGAGGAAGUGACUAUACAAUAAUAACAUCGACUUGCAAUUCAACAUUUAUACAGUUUUACUCACCAAGAAAAGAGAAAAUUACAAUAGCAAUUUGGCUACUAGAAGAUGUUCAUUCAUGCUUAUGCCUGUCAUAUGGAUUUGAAACAAGGAGUAAAAGCAUUUAGAGUGGCUUCAUCCUUCCACUGCAGCUCAUUCCACCAGUGUUGCUCUCCCCUAAUAACAAGUUUGCGUUCCUUGGCGCUGUUGUAAUCGAGUGGAAGCUUCUUGAGGUUCGGGCAUCCAGAUACAAACAAUUCUAAGAGAUUUGGAAAGUGCACUUAAAUUCUUAUGAAUUGCUUAAGUAUGCAAGCAGCAGAGCAGAAAACAAACAACCUUUUCAUAUAUUAUAAUAACAUGAAUAAUCAGAUAUACACAUCCUUCACAUAUUUAUACUAAACGUGAAAAAUGGUAGCUUGCUCAAAGGGAAAACAGAAAUGAAUAAAACAAAAGAUUACAGCUGCACUAGCCAAUCAUUGGAAACAUUCUAGAAACUCCAGCUUGCAGUAUUCACGUGUAAAUAUUCUCCUGCAUAACAGUUUUGCCAGCUCAUUGAAUACACCUCAACUUCUUCAUCAGCUGGUUGCUGGAUAUGGCUGCUCAGGUGGCAUGCCAGCAUGGCCUUUGGGUCAAUUGUUGACUCAUCUUCAUAAUCUGAAUUCUCAACACCCUCUCUCAAACUUAAGGUCUUGUCGAAGACAUUAAGUUUGCUUCUAAAUUGACUGAACUUGUAAUAAGGCAAUGGCUUGGUUAAUAUGUCUGCAACUUGAUCUCUGCUGGCUACAAAACUGAUUUCCAGCUCUCCUUGAGUGACUUUGUCUCUAAUGAAAUGAAGGUCUAUCUCAAAAUGCUUUGUCUUUGAGUGAUACACUGGAUUUGUGGCUAUUGCUGCUGCACUUGUGCUAUCACUUAAGAUCAUUGGAACUCUUUGCAUCUUGAUUUCCAAUUCACCAAACAGAGAAUUUAUCCAAGUGAUUUCAGUAGUACACAAAGCUAUGGCCCUGUACUCGGACUCAGCUGUCGAUCUUGCUACCAUGCCUUGCUUUAUUGAGCUCCAAGCUACUAAAUUGUCUCCCAAAAACACACAAUAUCCACUUACUGAUCUUCUGUCAUCUGGAUCACUAGCCCAGUCAGCAUCAAUAUAGGCUAUCAAAUCUAGAUGUUCUGACUUCUGGAACUUUAAGCACAUGUUUGCAGUGCUCUUUAGGUACCUCAACACUCGUUUGCAAGCUGUCCAGUGAGAUUGUCUUGGGUCAGACAGGUAUUGGCUAAGCUUGUUCACAGAAUAUGCAAGCUCUGGUCUUGUUAGAACAGCAUAAUGUAGACUUCCUACAACACUCCUAUAAAAUGAAGGAUUGUCAAGUUUGGUGCCUUCACCCUUCUUUAGUUUCUCUGCUGUGCUGAAAGGUGACUCUAUUCCCUUGCAAUUCUCCAUCUCUGUUUUAGCUAAUAGGUCUUGAACAUAUUUAGCUUGAGAGAGCAAAAUGGAGUUCUGAUUUCUUAUAACAUGUAUCCCAAGGAAGUAGCUUAAAUUUCCAAGAUCUUUCCACUUAACUUUCCUAUCACUUCCUCAAUACCCUUGCUGUUAUUUCCAGUCACAAUUAUGUCAUCUACAUACACAAGCACAAUGAUUAUUUCAGCACUGCUUCUUUUGAAGAAUAGAGAAAUAUCACACUUGGAGUUGUUGAAUCCCCAAGAGCACAGAGCAUUCUUUAAUUUGUCAAACCAUGCUCUGGGUGCUUGUCUCAGUCCAUAAAGAGCUUUCUUGAGCUUGCAUAUGUGGUUUGGUCUUCUCCUAUCCUCAAAUCCCUCAGGUUGUGGCAUGUACACUGUCUCUGUCAAAUCUCCAUUCAGAAAUGCAUUAUUUAUGUCAACCUGCCUCAACAGCCAAUCAUUACUUACAGCCAAAGUUAAAAUGAUUCUGAUUGUUGCAGCUUUGACCACAGGGCUGAAAGUCUCAUUAAAGUCAAGUCCUGGUGUCUGCAGAAACCCCUUCAAGACAAGUCUAGCUUUGUAUCUAUUUAUGGUGCCAUCUGGAUUUUCCUUUACUUUGUACACCCAUUUGUUGCCAAUGAGUUUGUAGUUCUGGUCAUGUGGAAUUAAGGUCCAGGUUUGGUUUUUGACAAGAGCAUUAUAUUCAUCCUCCAUUGCUCUUCUCCAUUUAGGAUCUUUCAGUGCCACAGUGGAGUCAGGGGGUAAGGAAGUUUGAGAUUGAGUGGAUAUUUGAUAAACCUUUGGCUUGCAAAUCCCUGCUUUUGACCUUGUGAUCAUGGGAUGUAAGGAGGCUUGAGUGUUUGGUUAUGUUAUGAGAGGCAAGGUGCAAUUUUCUACUGAGGUGUUUGGUGAGAGUUCAACAGGUGAGUGGUUGUCUGAUAUAGAGUUGAAGCUCAAAUUCUAACAAGCUCCAUCUUAACUAAAACUUGGGAGCUGUUCUGAGUUUCCAGCAGUGGCCUGAGAUUAACUAUGAGCUGCAUUUUGCUGUGUUGACUCAGGGGGAACAGUAGUGGAGAAAGAUACAACUUGAAAUUUUUCUAGAACUGUGGGGGAAUCAUUUUGGUCAGUGAGCCUUUGCUUGCAGAAAUUUGAGUCAUUUUGAAAAGGGAAUGAAUGAUCAUUAAAUUGACACUGGCUGAAAUGUAGAUCCUCCCAGAAUGAUGCAUGCAAAUGUAACCUUUGUGACUGAUGCUAAUGCCUAGUAGUGUGCACUUGAAAGUGUGAAAAUCAAACUUAUGCUUGUUGUAGGGUCUUAAGUAUGGAUAGCAUUCACAACCGAAAACUUUAAUUUGGGAAUAAUCUGGUUUGGUGAGAUAUAACAGCUCAAAUGGAGUUUUAUUUUCAAGAAUAGGUGAGGUUAAUCUGUUUAUGAUGUAGGUGGCAUAGCUGAAAGCUUCUUGCCAAUAUCUCAAAGGCAUUUUUGCUUGGGCUAGUAAUGUUAGGCCAGUUUCCACAAUGUGUCUGUGCUUUCUCUCCACCUUUCCAUUUUGUUCAUGUAAAUAAGGGCAUGAGUGUCUUAAGGCUAUUCCUUCUUUCUUGAGAAAGGGUUCGAAAGUUUUAAACUCCCCACCCAUGUCUGUUUGUAAAGCCUUGAUUCUUAAAUUUAGCUGAUUUUCUACUUGGUUUUUAAACACAAUGAAUGUGUCAAGGGCCUGUGAUUUUGUUGUUAAGGGAAACAACCAUGUGUAUCUUGUCUUGUCAUCCACAAAUGAUAUGUAAUAUCUGUGUCCAUGGGUAGAUGGAAUAGGUGCUGGUCCCCAGAGAUCACUAUGUAUUUGUUCUAAGGCUGUGCUGGUCUUGGUUUCAAUGCUUUUAAAGUUUAGUUUUGAUUGCUUUCCAUACUGACAAGCAUUACAGAAUGAGGGAAAUAUAUUUUUAUUUAAGUUGAGCUGAUUACAAGAUAAUAGAGUAUUUUUCAGAACUGACUCAUUUGGAUGCCUCAGCCUAUGGUGCCAGAGAUCUAUUUCAUUUGUUCUAAGAUCCCUACUGCUUGUAUCAGCUCUACUGGACUCGACAACACUGGCACCAACACUGGCACCUAAAGACUCAUUACUACUGAAAUUGAAACAUGCCAUUGACAUUGGAUUGCUAAUGCAACUUAUUGACUUGGGUAUUGGAAAUGAAGAUAACUCAGCAGCAUAAGUAACCUUGUUGCCACUCAAAUGAGUUGGCAUGCAUAGCAGCUCAUAUAGUCCAUCUCUAGCCACUCCUUUCACCAGAAUUCUCCCUUGGCUCUUGUCCUUGAUGAAGCAAACAGAUUUUUGAAACUCAACAUCAAUAUCAUUAUCAUGAAGCAAUUUGGAAACACUAAUGAGAUUUUUGGUAAUAUCAGGUACAAACAAAAUAUGAUUUAAUUUGAUGUGUUUGUGUGGACUGUAAGUGGGCAAUAUAGAAUAACCAAUGUGAGAGAUAUGAAGUUUGUUACCAUUACCAACAGUGAGCUUGUCAUUACCUUGGUACUCUGAGUUCAGGUUCAUGUUUCCAAUAGCAUUGGUCACAUGAUUUGUGGCACCACUGUCAAGGUACCAGGCAUUGCUGUUUUGUCCUUCUGUUGUGGCCAUGUAGGCUCCUCUCCUCCUAUUUAGCUGUGGCACAUAAUUUUUCUUAAACCUAUGCCAGCAUUCAACAGCUGUGUGCCCCAUUUUGAAGCAGAUUUGGCAUGGACCCUUUGAUUCAGAACCUUCACCUUCUGCAGCAGCUUUGCCUUUGCCUUUGUCUUGAAUAUUUUGAUUUCCCUGACCAUGACCACCAUUGCCACCAUUUCCAGUGCCACCACCAGGAUUUCUGAAGACUAUCCCAGGUUGUUGCUGACUGCCAAAUCUUUCACCAUUGCCCCAGUUCCUCCUGCCAUUUCUCAUCUGUGUGAAGUUAGCCUCAAGAAUCCCUGGGCUGAGAUUUUGCUCAGUCCUGGUUUCUUGGCUGAGGAGCAUGCUGUAGACCUCUGACAAUGAAGGAGUUUCUGGCAUAGAGUUAAUGUUAGUGACAACAGAGUCAUAUUCAGAUCAUACUCCAGCUAAGACACACAUAAUAAAGUCCUCAUCACUCAUGUUAUUUCCAGCUGCUCUGAGUGUAUUUAGGAUAGUUUUCAUCAUGGAGUAAUAAUCAUGGAUUGUAAGAGAGCCCUUUUUAGUGGUUUGAAUCUGUGUCCUCAAAUAUAGGAUUCUAGCUCUUGUUCUUGCACCAUACUGAUUGGUAAGAGUUGUCCAAACUUCAUGUGAAGUAGAACAAUCCACCACAGUGCCGAGGACACCCUCACUGAGAGAUGAGAGCAACCAGCUCAAAAGAAUGUGGUCCUGUUUCUUCCAGAUUUGAUAUUCUGGAUUUUGGUGGGUAACGGUAGCUUGGUUAGGUCCAGGACUGGUGAAAUAUCUGGGGGGACAGGUAUAGCUUCCAUUUAUGAAGCCUUCAAGCUCAUUUGCUCGUAUGCUGGAGACCACUUGUGAUCUCCAGAGCAUGAAAUUGUUCUGUGUUAACUUGAUGGGAGUGGUGAACACAUAUGUGUUGCUGGUGAUAUGUUGGGUAGGAGAUGGGUUCAUUAUGGUCACAUUUCUUGUGUUAUUAUCUGGAUUCUGAUUGUCGAUAUUUUCAGGUUGGUUUUGAUUCAAAUCAUUUGGUUGAUCAUCUGGAUUUUCCAGAGUUUGAUUCAUGUUUGUUUGUGAAUUUCUGCUGCUUUCCAUAGCUCAAAAGUUGCUCUGAUACCAACUUAAAUUCUUAUGAAUUGCUUAAGUAUGCAAGCAGAAGAGCAGAAAAAAAAUAACCUUUUCAUAUAUUAUAAUAACAUGAAUAAUCAGAUAUACACAUCCUUCACAUAUUUAUACUAAACGUGAAAAAUGGUAGCUUGCUCAAAGGGAAAACAGAAAUGAAUAAAACAAAAGAUUACAGCUGCACUAGCCAAUCAUUGGAAACAUUCUAGAAACUCCAGCUUGCAGUAUUCACGUGUAAAUAUUCUCCUGCAUAACAGUUUUGCCAGCUCAUUGAAUACACCUCAACUUCUUCAUCAGCUGGCUGCUGGAUAUGGCUGCUCAGGUGGCAUGCCAACAUGGCCUUGGGGUCAAUUGUUGACUCAUCUUCAUAAUCUGAAUUCUCAACAAUGCAUUCAAACAGAUCUUCUUCAAAUUUCUUAGAACUUGCAACCGAAGAUAUUGGAGUUUCGCAAAAGGUUUUAGCCCUGUAACUUCUUCCACUUUCCAAACACUGAUUAUUUCUUCCAUCUCAUAACAACGUUCUACAUGGACCAUCUUCAGAUUUGGGGCAAAAACAAGCCAUGUCAUCUCCCUCAAUUUACUGCAAUAGUCUAUGGUAACACUUUGAAGGCUGUUGAAACCAUAAGUUCUCUUGUUGUUUGAACUUCUGCAUAGUCAACCUUUAGCUCUUCCAAACUUGUACAAUACACAAAAUCUAGUUUGUCAAGAUACUUGAGAUCUGCUAUGGACAAAAUAUUCCAUGACCUUGAAUCCUCACAGCGUCGAAGCUCUAAAGCAUAUUUACAACUCUUGUACUGUUGGCAGCUCAAAAGUCUUCGUAGAGCAUAAAAACUUCUUAACGUGACGCUUAAUACAUUUAAAUGUUCCAAAGUAAUCAACUCCUCUACCAAAAUUUCACUACCACCAAAUAGAACGCUAUCUUCUGGUACUGUAUUAGCAGAGCCACAAUCUAGCAUCCUCAACACCUUUAACCCAGAAAAAUUACAAAGCAGUUGCCGUGGAAUCGUAUGGAGAUAACGCAUGUACUCCAAGUUCAAACACUUUAGAUUUUUCAAGGCUUUUAAUUCAUGUGGUAACUCUUUGAUGAAAGUUUCUGAAAGAUUAAGAUAUUGUAGUGAAACCAAUUUUGAAAUUCCUGAAGGCAAUUGACUCAAGGAGCGAUUCUUUGAUAGGUUUAAAACUUUAAGAGAAGGCAUAAAAUCGAAGAAAUCACUAGGGAUAGUAUCUAACAUAUUAAUGCCGAGGAACAAAGUUAUAAGAUGAGGGCAUAUUGGAGUUAUUGGUAAAAUCACAAUUUUAUUUCUCAUCAACGAUAUCCUUCUCUUAUCUUCCCAUUGUUUAACCUCGGGUGGUUCAGUUAAUUCAAUACCGGCAGAAACCAAAAAGUUUUCAUUCUCCACUUCACAGGCUAUCCACAAGGUCAUAUCACGAAUCACAUCAUGCAAUUUUACAUAAUCUGAUCCUGCUUCUUCCAAUAGGCAUGCAUGAACAAGAACACCAAUAAUGUAGUAUCCUUGGUUAUGUACUCCAUUAAUUCCUUCAUAUUCCUUCAGAAAACCCUCACCAAUCCAACACCCUAUCAAUUCAAUUUUGCUAAUUUGAUAAUCCUCAGGAAAUAAACUACAGUAUAACAGACAAGAUCUAAGGACGUCACUAGACAAACUAUCAUAACUGAAUUUUAAAAGACGAAACACCUCUUUCUCCAUACCUGGAAAUUCAUAAGCUGAUCUCCUUAACAUCUGAAUUGCAUAGCUCCAUUCUUCGGGUGUCUUCUUGCUGCUCAUGGCACGACCGGUGGUAAUAAGUGCAAGUGGCAAACCACUACACUCCUUUGCCACAGUUUUGGCUAACUCCGGAAUAUCGGGAUGACUUUCAAGAGUCUCUUCUCCGACCUUCUUUAGGAACAAUUCCCAAGCAUCUUGAUCUGCCAAACACUCCACCUUGAACUUUUUUUGAGCUUCCAUGAGGCCACAGACGUCCACAAGACGAGUCGUAAAUGUUGAAAGUCAUGGCUGGCGCCGGCCAUCUAGAUGGCCGGUGCCAACCAUUCAACAUUCAACACGGCCCGCCAUUAUUGGUGGUGCCGUGUUGAAUGACUCCAUAAAAAAAAAAAAAAAAAAAAAGAGCCAAAAUUUUGGCUAUAUAAAGAGGGCUUCCCACCCUCAUUUAUAAUCCAAUCUUGAGAGAGCAAUUUAGGGAGUUGAGAGAGAGUUUAAGAGCUUGCAUUUAUAAGCUCUUAUUUUAGUGAUUUGAGAGUUUGGGUGUAUUGGGGUUUUGGGUAGUGAGCUAAAAUACUACAAUACUUGUAACUCCUUUUCACUAGUAAAAUAUUUCCUUCUGUCUUUGCCCAUGGACGUAGGCUAAAAGCCGAACCACGUAAUUUCUGGUGUCCUCUAUUGUGCUUGUUCUUUAUUUUAUUUCCAAUUUCAUUUUAGCUGCGGUCCUGCUUCACCCACCAAUUUCCUAACAGUGGUAUCAGAGCUAUUGGUUGUAUUUUUGGAGUCGGGAACUGUUCACGUAAGGGGUACUAUUCACGUAUACGACACUAUUCACGUAUACUGUACUGUUCACGUAUACGGGUUUGUUCACAUAUACGGUACUGUUCACGUAUACGAUACUAUUCACGUAUACGGUACUAUUCACGUGAAACGGGGAAGCGAUCCAAGAAUUUUCCGGUGCAAAGCAGGGAAUAGUAGUGUGAGAAAAGCAACUGUGGUUUUGUACAUGUCUAGGAAAGUUCUGUCACAAAGGCGAUAAGAGCUUAAGGAGUCUGGGUUUUAAGUGGGACCAUUGUGACCCCUCCAGUCUUUCCUGGGAACUUUCCUGGUGUGCAUUCUCACACAUACUCACAACUAUUCAAGGUGGUAUACUAGCUUGUGUGCAGUAUUUAUCAACAAAAUGGCGGCAAAGUAUGAAAUUGAGAAGUUGAACGGAAAUAAUUUUUCGUUGUGGAAAAUGAAGAUGAAAGCUGUAUUGAGGAAAAAUAAUUGUUUGGCAGCAAUUGGAGAAAGGCCCAUGGAGAUAACUGAUGACAAGUGGAACGAGGUAGACGGUAACGCCAUUUCUGAUCUACACUUGGCACUUGCGGAUGGUGUAUUAUCUAGUGUGGCAGAGAAAAAUACGGCGAAGGAAAUAUGGGAUACUCUCACAAAAUUGUACGAGGCCAAGUCACUACACAACAAAAUCUUCUUGAAGAGAAAACUAUAUACUCUUCGAAUGGCGGAAUCUACAAUGGUGACCGACCACAUCAACACUUUGAAGACUCUAUUUUCACAACUCACAACGUUGGGUCAUAAUAUAGAGGAGAAUGAACGUGCAGAGCUUCUACUUCAAAGUCUACCAGAUUCGUAUGAUCAACUCAUCAUCAACCUGAUGAACAACAAUCCAGUGGAAAGUCUAGUUUUCGACAAUGUUGCAGCCUCCGUAUUAAAUGAGGAGAGCAGACGGAAAAAUAAGGAAAACAGACAAGCAAGUUCGCAGCAAGCAGAGGCGCUAUCGGUGACGAGAGGGAGAUCAACGGAACGUGGCCCCAGUGGGAGUCAAAGUUAUGGUAGAUCAAAAUCCAGAAGUAAGAAAAAUGUUAAAUGCUACAACUGUGGCAAGAAAGGGCACGUCAAGAAAGAGUGUUGGAGUAACCAGAAGAGAAGAGAGGGUAAAGAACCUGAGUCAUCAAAUGCUCAGGGGUGUGUAGCAAGUACCUCGGAUGAUGGCGAAAUUCUCUACAGUGAGGCAACAACUGUUUCAGAAGGCAGAAAACGACUUUCUGAUGUCUGGCUUAUAGACUCAGGAGCUACCUGGCACAUGACCUCUAGGAGAGAAUGGUUCUACACAUAUGAACCUAUCUCAGGAGGAUCUGUAUAUAUGGGUAACGAUCAUGCCUUGGAGAUCGCUGGUAUUGGUACUAUCAAAAUAAAAAUGUUUGAUGGUACAAUUCGCACAAUUGGGGAGGUACGACAUGUCAACGGCCUAAAGAAAAAUCUAUUGUCUUUAGGACAAAUGGAUAGUCAUGGGUACAAAACUCAUGUGGAGAAUGGAAUUAUGAAGAUCGUUAAAGGCGCGCUUGUAUUAAUGAAGGCAGAAAAGAUCAGUGCUAAUCUAUUCAUGCUUAAAGGAGAAACACUACAGGAGGCUGAUGCGUGUGUCGCGUCAAAUGGAGAAGAAUCAACGAUGAUGUGGCAUCUCAAACUCGGCCACAUGUCAGAACAAGGCUUGAAGAUUCUCUCUGAGCGAAAAUUGCUUCCGGGGCUCAAAUCAGUAAGUUUACCAUUUUGCGAGCAUUGUGUUAUAAGUAAGCAGUAUAGAUUAAAAUUCAGUAGAUCUAUUGCUAGAAGUAAAUGCAUUCUAGACUUGAUUCAUUCUGAUGUUUGGGAAUCACCGGAUAUAUCCAUGGGAGGUGCAAAGUACAUGGUGACUUUCAUUGAUGAUUAUUCCAGAAGAUGUUGGGUGUAUCCAAUUAAGAAAAAGUCAGAUGUAUUUCCUGUGUUUAAAGAAUACAAAGCGCGGGUGGAACUUGAAUCUGGUAAAAAGAUCAAGUGCUUAAGGACAGAUAAUGGUGGAGAAUAUACAUACGACGAGUUUCUUGCUUUCUGUAAGCAAGAAGGUAUUCAGAGGCAAUUCACGGUGGCAUACACUCCUCAACAAAACGGAGUAGCAGAGCGGAUGAACAGAACUCUUACAGAAAGAAUAAGAGCUAUGUUGAGGACUGCUGGUUUACCCAAUUCAUUCUGGGCAGAAGCAGCCAAAACCGCCUGUUAUAUAGUAAAUCGGUCGCCAUCUACAGCUAUUGGGUUGAAGACAGCGAUGGAGAUGUGGACUGGAAAGCCAGCUGAUUAUUCCUACCUACAUGCAUUUGGAUGUCCUGUGUACGUGAUGUACAAUGCCCAAGAAAGAACAAAGCUGGAUGCAAAAUCUAGAAGAUGUAUCUUCUUGGGGUAUGCUGAUGGAGUAAAGGGGUAUCGUCUGUGGGACCCCACUGCCCAUAAGAUCGUCAUCAGCAGAGAUGUUAUCUUUGUAGAAGAUCAACUACAAAGAAAAGAUGGAGAUGAUGGCACUGUAAAAGAAAAGUCAGAGACUGUACCAGUAUAUGUCGAAAAUAAUCUAGAAGAUUCAGAUUCUUCUGAAGCAGCACCAGAGCACGAGGAACAAGAACCAGUCGAGUCUGAGGCUCCAGAAGUUCGUCGGUCAACUCGUGAGAGACGACCACCGGCGUGGCACUCGGAGUAUGUCACAGAGAUCAACGUUGCAUACUGUCUUCUAACAGAGGAUGGAGAGCCUUCAACUUUCCAUGAAGCUUUAAACAACUUAGAUGUUGCUUUGUGGAUGACAGCAAUGCAGGAAGAAAUUGAAGCUCUACACAAGAACAAGACAUGGGAACUUGUACCACUACCACACGGAAGAAAAGCCAUUGGAAACAAAUGGGUCUACAAGAUCAAACGUGAUGGCAAUGACCAAGUGGACCGGUAUCGUGCAAGAUUGGUGGUGAAAGGAUAUGCUCAGAAAGAAGGUAUUGACUUCAACGAGAUAUUUUCUCCGGUGGUUCGACUCACAACAGUCAGAAUAGUCUUGGAGAUGUGUGCUACAUUUGAUCUACAUCUUGAGCAGUUAGAUGUUAAAACUGCAUUUCUUCAUGGAGAACUUGAAGAAGAAAUAUAUAUGCUCCAACCAGAAGGUUUUGCAGAAACAGGAAAGGAGAACUUGGUUUGCAGGUUGAACAAAUCUCUAUACGGUCUCAAACAGGCGCCGAGGUGUUGGUAUAAGAGAUUUGAUUCCUUCAUCAUGAGCCUUGGAUACAACAGACUCAGUUCAGACCAUUGUGCAUAUUACAAGAGGUUUGAAGAUAAUGAUUUCAUCAUUUUACUGUUGUACGUGGAUGACAUGUUGGUAGCAGGCCCCAACAAAGAUCAAGUCCAAGAAUUGAAGGCACAAUUGGCUAAGGAGUUUGAAAUGAAGGACUUGGGACCAGCAAACAAGAUUCUAGGGAUGCAAAUUCACCGAGACAAAAAUAACAGGAAGAUUUGGCUUUCACAGAAGAAUUACUUGAAGAAAAUCUUGCGGCGCUUCAACAUGUAAGAUUGUAAGUCAAUUUCUACCCCACUUCCUGUUAAUUUCAAAUUAUCCUCAAGUAUGUGUCCUAGCAAUGAAGUGGAGAGGAAGGAGAUGUCUCGAGUACCGUAUGCAUCAGCAGUGGGAAGUUUAAUGUUCGCUAUGAUAUGUACUAGACCAGACAUUGCACAAGCAGUGGGAGCAGUCAGUCGAUACAUGGCGAAUCCUGGUGGAGAGCAUUGGAUAGCUGUAAAGAGGAUUCUGAGAUACAUCAGAGGAACCUCAGAUGUUGCAUUAUGUUACGGAGGAUCAGAGUUUACUAUCAGGGGCUAUGUGGAUUCAGAUUUUGCAGGAGAUCUUGAUAAAAGAAAAUCCACUACUGGUUAUGUGUUUACACUUGCAGGAGCAGCUGUAAGCUGGGUUUCGAAACUGCAGAUCGUUGUGGCUUUANNNNNNNNNNNNNNNNNNNNNNNNNNNNNNNNNNNNNNNNNNNNNNNNNNNNNNNNNNNNNNNNNNNNNNNNNNNNNNNNNNNNNNNNNNNNNNNNNNNNAUAUUCUUGAUUAAUCCAUUUUCUGAAAUUUUUUAUUUUGUAUGGUCAAUUAUACCUUCAUACUAAAAAUUUCUGAUGUUAUGGGGUUGUUGGAUGUGUUUUGGAUAUUUGCAGCUAAGUUUGAGUUUAUAUCUCAACUUAAAAUUUGUAGUUUUCACUUGAAAAAAUUCAGUUAAAAAUUGAUUGGUAGAAUUGUGAAGAAGUUUAAAUUUUUAGUUCAACCCGAUUGCAUAUUUAAGAACAUCUCAAAUGAAUUGCUUACUGCUAUCAUCAUCAUAAUUGUCAGAGAUGGUUAAUUGAUAGACUAUGUGCCUGGGUCGAGCACUGGAAGCCUGCAAUGCAGACUGAUUGAUUUAUCAGUUUAACGUGUGCCAGGAAUGAAGAACUGGAAUAUCACCGUCAAGCAAGCACCCUGUGGAGCAAUACCAAAGAAUGCACAAUCCGGCUUUGCAAGGUGACACUGGAGGCUUUUUGAAAAGUGCUUCACGCUCACUUGCACAGAUUGAGCAUCCCCUCUGGAUAUUGCCCUCUCUGAUCGAGUCUGAGCACUCAAAUUUUGGUCCUCAGAGGGAGCUACAGUUUUCUCUCCAAUAACCAACAAUUUUCUAAACUCAGCACCUAGUGUGAUCAGAGUUGUUGAUAUUUAUAAAUGGAGAUCCCCAUAUUUGCAAGUGGAGACAUUUAACAAUUCACCAACAUGCUUCAUCCGGUGUACAAAAUUCUGCAGCUGAUUCAAAUCCGGAACCUGAACCAGAGUCGGAGGUAUAUCUUGAGCCAUAUCUAAAGUAGUUUGAAGUUCAAGACCUUGAGCCCUUGACAAUGGUUUUGAAAUUGGAACAUCUUGGAUUACUGCAGACUUGUACCCCUUGGUUUCAAAGGUAAGGAAAGGCAUUGCUUGAGUACAAUUUGGAGGCAGCUUCUUCACCAAUUUUAUUUGGAGGCGAUUGGCAGCGGAUCCAGCAGCACCAAUUUCAGAGCAAAUACUGACACUACUUCGAACAGCACACUGAAGAAGUGAUAUGUCUACGGCAAAGGCAAUGCAGUCCUCAUUUUGGCUUGAGAUGCAGUAAUCAUCGAAGAGAGUUUCCUUGUGAAACUGGGCAACACAUUGAAUCCCUUCGCCACUGAGAAGGUUGUGGAGGAAGUAAGCUUUCUCUCUAGUGAGGCAGAGGUGGCAUACCUUCCCCAUUUUGUCGAGGGCAGGUAGGAAUCUUUUUUCUAAGAGAUUUACUUCAUUCUCUGUGAGAAAUGCUUUGAACUUCAUCCCUCUGUCUCUAUCCUCACUUAUCAGGAAAUAAGUUGAAAGCACUACGAAGAGAGAGAGAGAGAGAGAGAGAGAAUUAAGAUAUAUAGACAAGAAAAAUAUUAGACGUUGAUCUUACAAACUAAUACUUCAAGCAGUAUCCUGGAAAGCUAAAAACUGCAAGAUGGCUUGAAAUUUGAAAAGAGCACGUGCUUUUCCUCCUUAACUUGAGAAAAUGUUUAAUAUAGUGCACCUUAUGGAAGCAUUUAAGCAAUUAGAACUUUGCACAAAAACAUCAAGAAGACUAAACAAGUCAGAUGCAGUGUAUUUGUCCAAGCACAAAUUGCAUUUUGUCCUCAACUUUAAUAUUUAUUGAUGAGAAUCAAUACAGGUCCCUCAUUUGUUAUAGAAAGCUUUCUUUCUUGUAGUCUCACCAGUUAAUUCACAGGUCUAUAAUCAUCUUGCAAAGUUAAGGGCAUUUCUUUUGAUCUAAAGUCUUUGCAUCACCACCUCAUCACACGCCAAGCCAAUAUUCCAUUUACCUCUACAACAAAAAGUUUUAAUUAAACAAUCCUAAUGCACGCAGCCAAAUAAAAUGCAGUAAGAAUAUUCAACUUAAAAAUCUGAAAGCCAACUUGGUGAAUUGCCUCCUUAGGUGAAGUUCCAUGCUUUACUAUAGUUGACAGAACUCAGCAAAAGCUUCCAUACAACAGAUUUUGAAAAUGAUGAUGCCAACAGAUACUCAUUCAAUCCAUUGAAACUCCAAAGGUUCAUUGUUCAUAGAAGUUUACAAAGUUUUGGUCAUCAAAUAGCUCAGACCUAAUCCCAAACAAAAAAAGAGUGAAAAUUAGAUCACGAGCAGCUAAUUGUAAAUUCUAACUUAACUCUUCAUCUCCUUUGUAAACAAGAAACAAAAUGGAGACACGCAAAAUGAAUAUGGAGAAAAUUUGAACUCAAAUGAAAUGAGGGCACGAAAGCAAACAAAUGGCAUGCACAAAAAAACCAAGCCUCAAUCAAAAACUAAUUAACCAUUAAGAAAAAAAUUGGUCAGACAAUGAACUCCAAAUUCAGGAGUCAAGCAAGAAGCUUUCAUUAUUUCAGAAGCUCCUGUACAAAUUAAUAAGUUAUGCUCUUUGGAAGCAAAACCAAAUUCCAAGAGAAACAGAACCCAAAAAAUUUGCAAUUAUUCGCAAAGGAAGUGAAGCACAGGAUUCUAUCACACAUAGGAAUUUUAUAACAAGAGAUCGAUAUAUCGAAUUAGAAAACUCAAUUCGAAUUUGUGUGAAAAAUCAAAAUUAGAAGAUUUCACAUUUCGAGAGGAACAAGCAACAGAUGAGUUUAAUUUCAGCCAUAACAUGCUAAAAAUGCUACACUUAACGGUUCCUUGUCAGCUAUUGAUGCGUUCGCUCANNNNNNNNNNNNNNNNNNNNNNNNNNNNNNNNNNNNNNNNNNNNNNNNNNNNNNNNNNNNNNNNNNNNNNNNNNNNNNNNNNNNNNNNNNNNNNNNNNNNAAGGGUCAUGUUCAAGCAGGAAAACUUCUAGAACAGGUAAGGAUUCCAUCUACAGACAUCCAUUGACAGCAGAUAUAUUUCAUUAAGCAGACACUGUUAGCAUUCAAGAUGCUGGCAGAUUCACUUGAUUCUUAUUAGUUUGUUUAGUGGCAAGGCAUAUAACCUGUAUUUCAAAGCCAAGUUGUGCUAUUGAUUAUGUUAACUUUAUUGUUAACAUUAAGUGAUUUGGAGGACAUAAUCAAUGUAGGAAAAUUAGGUGAAGAGAUGAUGUCAAAUCUUGAACCUCUUACAAAGCUCCAAGUUCUUUACUUGAAGAAGCUGCCAAAUUUGAAGAGCGUCUACUGGAAGGCAUUUCCAUUCCCAGAUGUAUGCAGAAUUUUUGUAUUAAUGCCCAGUUCUUAAGAAGCUGCCACUGGAUUUUCAUGGGGCGGGCCAAGGUAAAAUUCUUAUCAAGGGAAAGGAAGAUUGGUGGAAAGAACUUCAAUGGGAGGAUCAAGCAACUCAGAAUGCAUUGCUUCCAUUUUUCAAAUCAACUGACAAGUGAUUGAAGGGGGCAUCAUCAACAGAGAUGGAGAGAUUCUGGAGCAGAUCAGCAGGGUUUGUAUAUGAUCUUUGGUGGUUGCUUUCUUUUGUGAUUUUUUUUUUCUCAUUUUUUUACCUUCCUGUCAUUUUAUCAUUUCUUUGUCUCUUUUUCUAUUGCUGAUGUUAGUGUAUGCUUACUGUUGCUUGACAAAGUUUGCUUGCUUCUUGUUUAUUAAAUUUUUUAUGGUCACAAAAUAUUACUUGUUCUAUUUGAGAGUGAUGUGAAUCAAUUUUCAAUUAUAUAUUUUUUGGUCAAUGUGAAUUCAAUUUCAUUUGUCUCCUGCAAUUAUUAAAAAAAUGCAGUCUCAUAAUAUGGAAAAGUCGACCGGCAAAAAUUUUGUGAAAGCUUCGGAGUGAAACAGGGAAUUCACUUACUACUAAGGACAAUUGGUGGCGAGCUAUUCCAUUCAUUUUAUGUCCCUACAUCUAUUUAAUUAUUAAAGAUAAGUGGUCCAUUUGUAAAUUUCAGAUUGUGUCUCUCUGAAAAUAACAAUAUUUAAAAUGUCUCUUAAAUUAUUAUAAAUUUUAAUUCACUCUCGAUUUAAAAUGGAACAUGCUGAUGAAAAUUUUUUUCUUCUCAAUAUUCAAUAAAAUUGAAAUAAAUUGUGUUUGCAGUAUUUUGAAAUAUUUUAAAGAUUAUUAUUUUAUAAGAGAGUAAUAUGAAAUGAAAUUUACUCUUCAUGCGUGAAAUGUUGAAAAGGACAAAGGAAAGUGUCACUGCUUUUAUUUUAUUUCAAAGUGGAGUCAUCUCACAUACUUUACCUCUAUCAUUACAAUUUUUCACGUUACAUUUUGAUUUAUUUAUUUCUUUUAACACAUGCAUGUGGGUUACUUUUCCGUAAGCUCCUUAAUAUAUGUUUAACACAAAUCAUGGAAGAGAUGGGAGUAUAUCAAGAUGAUCAAAGCAUGAGACAAAAAUAUUUAAGAAGUAAAACACUGAAAAUAGAGGAGAGAUGCAAGCAAAAGAUAUUCCAAAGAAAAGCAAUCUAUCCCCUUUCGAGGGCAAACUUAAUCAGGUUUAAGAAAAGUACAUGUUUUGGAUUGGUAGUUGCAGCCUUGCAGGAUAAUUGUUUUUGCCAUUAUAUUAGUUGGAGGAGUUGAACCCAGCGAAGAAUGUUAUGGAAGAGCAAAUUAAUGAUAUUUCUGAUAGAGUCUAUUUGAUUAUGUAGCCUGAAUGGAUGUCUUGUUGAAAGAUAUCUCAGUGCAUUAGUUCAUCCUUGUCUGUCAAUGUGUUUUUAAUGGUUUUUCCAAUUGUUUAUUAUUAUAGAUUGAUUGUAAAUUUAUAUGAAAAUUUGAUAUGAAUUUAAUGUUGAAAUGUUUUCUCUUUAGUGGAAUGAAUUUAAAUUGAUUGAUUGUAAAUUGAUAUGAAUUUAAUGUUGCAAUGUUUUCUCUUUAGUGAAAUGAACUUAAAAGUGUAAAAGAUUAUUGCACACAUAGAAAUAAACAUAUAUGCUUUAUAGUAUAACUUUAGCAAUCGAUUCUUUUACGGCUGGAAACAGAGAUGAUGAUUAUCAUAGGGGUGAAGAAAAGGACAAAAAAUAUUAAUAAAUGAUCUUAAUGUUCCACAAAAGCAAAUCGUAAUAUUCCACAAGAAAAAGCAAGAUCUUAAUGUUCCACAAAAGCGUUAUUUAUUUUUUUUGGUGAGCCACGUGGAGCUCAAUUAUCAUUGUCUUUACUUUAAAAACGUUAUUUUAUUUUAUUUUCUUACAAAUUAAUGCUAACAAGAAAAAGCAAGAUAUAAUAUUCCACAAAAGCAAAUCGUAAUAUUCCACAGAGGAAUAAGAUCCACAAAAGCAAACAACUAGCUGGAUUCUUUUAUUAAACUACAAAUUAAAGUGGAAUCGUUUACUAAACAACAAAUUAAAGUUCAAAUAUUUAAAUAGUAGUGCGUUAGACGAUUAGGCUCUUUUAUUAAAGUCAAGUAUAAAGUAGUCCAGAAUCGAACAUCUCUAUUGUCUAGUCUUUUUUUUUUUUAAUUCUUCUUUUAUUAUUUUUCAGAAUAUGUUUUGGUGAUUACUAUUGGGUUAUUAUUCAGAGUUAUUGUUAUCUUCCGGGGCAGUUUCUGUUCAUCGAAAUCGUUAAUUAAAAUUUUAAAACUCUUAUCGGAAGAAUGUUUUUCCGUUAUUUUUUUAUAUUCUAAUUUCAAUUGUAAGAAGUAGUCAUUUUAGAAUUUGGGUCUUGAAUCGAAUUUCAAUGCAUGAAUUAAUAUUUUAAAAAAAUUUACUACAUGCAGUUUAGGUUACAAACUAUUUUUUGCAAAGUUGACUAUGAAAUUGGAGAAAUUAAGUAAUUUAUAAUGUUUGCAAAGAAAGAGACCAACAUACUUCCAAUUACACUAUAUCUCAAUUAUCAUAAUGUUAAGAUUAAACUAACUUAAAAUAAAAUUUAUUUAAAAAGUUUAUCAAACGCAGUCUAAUUUUAUUAACUUGAAGAGAUAAUAGUUAUAGAAAUUAUUAUUCUAACUUAAUUAGUAAAAGUGGUAUAAAGGUUAAGUGUGCACUAAAUCUAUUUAAAUUUUUUUCCAGUAUAACUAACAGAGGUCAUUACUAGAAUUAUAUUACUAGUCUAUUAGAUAGAAAAAAUUAUUUAUAUUGUUUUAUAUUUAUUAAAAAAAUUUAAAGUCAAUCUUUUUAAUUACUAUUUAAAGGAUAUUAUAAUUAAAAAAAUUUUAAUGUCUUCAUUAAAAAUUUAAAAUUUUAUAUGACCGUUAUCUAAAUAUUUAAAGUGUAACUGUCAUUUUCUCAUAUAUAUAUAUAAUUUCAUCAACCCCUUAUACUUUAUGUUAUUUAUAUUUUAUUCAUGAAUAUUAUAAAUUUUUUGAAAUAUAAAAUUUCGUUUAACCCUUUAUACUCAAUUUUAUUUUAUUAAAACCCUAGAGUAUGAAUUCGUCCCUAUAAUAUUAAAUUCUCAAAAUAACUUCCAUUUAAUUAAAAAAUAUAAUUAUUAUUAAAUGAAUUAUAAUUAUUAUUAUUAUGUUAUUAUAAUCAUAAAAAGCGAGAUCAUAUUCCACAAAAGCAUAAGUGACAAAACAACCAACUGGAUUCUUUUAUUAAUCAACAAAUUGUAUAGUCUUUUUCAAAUUGUUAUAAAUUGGUGGCCCCUACAAUCCUCAAUAAUUGUACCGAAAUUCACAAGUUGGUGGGCCCUACAAUUCUGUUCCGAUAAUUUAACUGUGCAAGUGCUCAUUCACAAUCUUCCAGGUCAUGCUCUUAACAAUUGUUUUUUCUUUUCUGCACGCCCUUUCAUGCUCUUAAUAAUUGAAGAGCAUACUUUUCAAAUGUGAAGCCGCAUCUAAUGUCGCUAAUUUAAUUUGGGAUUAAAUUACGGGACUAUUAUAUUGCAGUGUGCACUAAUUUUUAUGUUUAUCUAAACUCUUCAAAUUUAAAACAUAUUAUGGCAUAAAUAAGAAUGUAACAAUAACAAAAGAGUAAGAAAGUGUAGAGAAAAUCUUGCAGAAAUAUAAAUAAUAUUUAUUUUUAAAAUAAUAUUAAUAUUUAAAAUAAUUUUUAAUAUUUUAUGGUCCAUUAGAUAUAUUUUAUUAUAUUAAAAUAAAUUUUAUAAUAAAUAAAAACAUACUAUUAAAAUGAAUAUAUAUAGAAAAUUUAGAGUAUUUUAAGUAUUAUAUAAAAUAAUUUUAAUAAAAUAUGUGAGAUAUUCAUAUUUUAUUAAUUUAAGAUACCAUUUAACCUAAAGAUUUAUUUAUGAUAAAUUAAUAAUUAUAUUUUUGAAAUUACUUCAAAUAUUAAAAAAAUUAAUAUUACUAAUAUAUUAGAUAGAUUAAAUUAUAUAUAUUAUUUUUACUUAUUAAAAAAAUUUUAAAAUUAUUUUUAAUUACUAUUCAAAAAACGUAUUCAAAAAACAUAAUGAUAAAAAAAUCUUAACAUCUUUAUUAAAAAAUUAAAAACUUAUAUGAUAAAUUCUCUAAAUAUUUACGGUAUAUGUGAACCACGGUGGAUAAGCUUUAUUUAAUAUUAUUGAUUUAAAUAAUAUGUCAAUUAAAAAUGUACAGAGAAGAAAUUUCGGUGGGUAUUUUAGUCUUUUAAGCAAUUAUCAUGAUCAGAUCAGCCUUUAGCCUUCAAACGUCGGUCAGAAAAGUUUUAAAAUUAAUGCUAAAUUGUUUUUCACUUUUAACGUUGGUGGCCUUGAAAUUGCUUGUAUUUUAUUAAAAAUUAAUGCUAACAAGAAAAAGCUAGGUCAUAUUCCACAAAAUCAAAAGUGACAAAACAACCAGCUGGUUUCUUUUACUAAACUACAAAUUAAAAUAAAUUUUUUCGAUAAAUUACAAAUUAAAGUGGAUUCUUUUGAAUACAAAUGGGACAGACGAUUAGGCUCUUUUUAUUAGAGGCAAGUAAAAACUAGUCAAGAAUCGAACAGUCUUUUUCCAAUUCUUGUUUUAUUAUUUUUCAAAACUAGUUUUUGGUAAUUACAACCGGGUCAUUAAUCAUUAUUCAGAGUUACUGUUAUCUUCGGGGGCAGUGGGUAAAAGAUAAUUACUAACUGUUUUUCCUUCAAAAGUUAGCGGCUCAUGUUUGCAAGUGUGAAUGUGCGAUGCUCUUUUCUUAAAGGCCAUUACAGUGGGGCCCGAAUCAGACGUGCCUAAAUCUUUUUAAAAUUUUUGCCGUAUAACGAACAGAGGUCAUUACUAAAAUUUCUCUUCCACAGCCUACAGCAGCUUCAGUUUAUCAAACUCCAUCAAUUUUCUUUCUUAACAAAAUUCCAAAGAUGUGUAGCAUUUUUCAGAUCACAUGCGAUGGUGCUCUUUUCAAUCGUUGCUUGGAUUGCUUUCUUGGAAAAGCAGCAUACAUACGUAACCUCCAAGAUAAUCUUGAUGCCUUGGACACUGAACUGGGAAGACUAAUCGCUAAAAAGAACGAUGUGAUGAGGAGGGUUGUCGACGCUGAACGACAACAAAUGAGAAGGCUGGACGGAGUGCAAGUGUGGGUUUCGAGGGUGGAUGCUGUUAAAACUGGAGCCGAUGAACUUAUCACAGACGGCUCUGAAGAAAUUGGCAAAUUAUGUGUUGGAGGCUACUGUUCCAAGAACUGCAGGUCAAGCUACAAGUUCGGAAAACAAGUGGCUAAAAAGCUACAAGAUGUGAAGACUUUAAUCGCCGAGGGAGUUUUUGAGGCGGUGGCUACUGAGGUGGUGCCCGAGAGAGCUCCGGAACCUGUAGCAGAUAAAAGACCCAUUGAGCCAACAAUAGUAGGCUUGCAAUCACAGCUUGAACAAGUUUGGAGAUGUCUUGUAGAAGAAUCAGUGGGAAUCAUUGGCCUAUAUGGUAUGGGCGGUGUUGGUAAAACCACACUAUUGACCCGUAUCAACAAUAAAUUUCUUGAGAGUCAAAACAACUUUGAUUGUGUGAUUUGGGUCGUAGUUUCAAAAGACCUGCGGCUUGAAAAAAUUCAAGACGAUAUUGGGAAGAAGAUAGGUCUGUCUGAUGAUUCAUGGAAGAAUAAAAGUUUUGAAGAGAAAGCUGUGGACAUCCUGCGGAGAUUAGGAGAGAAGAGAUUUGUAUUGUUGUUAGAUGAUUUAUGGGAGCGGGUUGAUUUAACAAAAGUGGGCGUUCCACUUCCCAGCGCACAAAAUACUACCUCAAAAGUCGUAUUCACAACCCGUUCCAUUGGUGUUUGUGGCAGCAUGAGAGCUAGGCCGGUUAAAGUGGCAUGCCUAUCAGAAAAGCAAGCUUGGGAACUGUUCCGCGAAAAUGUUGGGGAAGAAACUCUUGAGAGUGAUCAUGAGAUCGUUGAGCUAGCCCAAACUGUGGCCAAAGAGUGUGGUGGUUUGCCACUCGCACUUAUUACUAUUGGUCGAGCUAUGGCCUUCAAAAAGACAGCCGAGGAGUGGAGUCAUGCAAUUGAUGUGCUAAGAACAUCAGCUUCUGAGUUUGCAGGUUUGGGAGAGAAGGUGUAUCGUCUUUUAAAGUUUAGCUAUGAUAGUUUGCAGAAUGAGACCAUUAGAUCUUGUUUCUUAUAUUGUUGUUUAUAUCCCGAGGAUUAUGGCAUUCUUAAAUGGGACUUGAUUGAUUGUUGGAUUGGUGAGGGAUUCUUGGAGGAAUCUGACAGGUUUAGUGCAGAAAACCAAGGAUACUACAUUGUGGGCACUCUUGUUCAUGCGUGUUUGCUAGAAGAGAUGGAAGAUGAUAAAGUAAAAAUGCAUGACGUUGUUCGUGAUAUGGCUCUAUGGAUAGCUUGUGAAAUUGAGAAGGAGAAGAGAAACUUUUUGGUUUGUGCAGGUGCUGGAUUAAAAGAGGCACCGGAUGUUAAAGGAUGGGAAAAUGUGAGAAGAUUGUCAUUGAUGCAAAACCAAAUUAAAACUCUGUCAGAGGUUCCCACAUGCCCUCAUCUCCAUACUUUAUUUCUUGCCUCUAAUAUGGAGUUGGAGAUGAUCGCGGAUGGCUUCUUCCAAUUUAUGCCUUCUCUCAAAGUUUUGAAGAUGUCACGCUGCUGGAAUUUUCAAUUACCUGUUGGGAUGUCAGAUUUGGGUUCAUCACUAGAACUUCUUGAUAUUUCACAUACCACCAUAAGAGAGUUACCCGAAGAGUUAAAGUUGCUGGUAAAUCUGAAAUGUUUGAAUUUGAGGUGGACAGGUGCGUUAAUUAGAAUUCCACGGGGACUAAUAUCAAAAUUUUCAAGGUUACGUGUGUUGAGAAUGUUGGGUACUGGCGGGUUCAUUUUUUAUGAAGCACCAGAAGACAGCGUUUUAUUUGGUGGGGGUGAAGUUUUGAUACAGGAAUUGCUCGGUUUGAAAUAUUUAGAGGUAUUGGAGUUGACCUUGGGAAGUUAUCAUGCUCUCCAAAUUCUUUUGAGCUCAAAUAAGUUAAAAAGUUGUAUUCGAUCUCUUUACCUCUAUUUGACCGGAGAUAAAAAGUCGAUUAUUGAUGCUACGGCUUUCACAGACCUAAACCACCUCAAUGAAUUAUGGAUUGAUAAUGGAAUUGAGUUGGAAGAAUUGAAGAUUGAUUAUACGGAGAUAGUACGAAAAAGGCGGGAACCUUUUGUUUUCCACAGCCUUCACCUUGUUACGAUAUAUAGUUGCCAUAAAUUGAAAGAUUCGACAUUCCUCGCUUUUGCUCCAAACCUCAAGUCUCUUUCGCUAUUCAAAUGCCGUGCUAUGGAAGAAAUAAUCAGCGUCGGAAAAAUUGCUGAGAAUCCUGAGAUGAUGGGACAUANNNNNNNNNNNNNNNNNNNNNNNNNNNNNNNNNNNNNNNNNNNNNNNNNNNNNNNNNNNNNNNNNNNNNNNNNNNNNNNNNNNNNNNNNNNNNNNNNNNNNNNNNNNNNNNNNNNNNNNNNNNNNNNNNNNNNNNNNNNNNNNNNNNNNNNNNNNNNNNNNNNNNNNNNNNNNNNNNNNNNNNNNNNNNNNNNNNNNNNNNNNNNNNNNNNNNNNNNNNNNNNNNNNNNNNNNNNNNNNNNNNNNNNNNNNNNNNNNNNNNNNNNNNNNNNNNNNNNNNNNNNNNNNNNNNNNNNNNNNNNNNNNNNNNNNNNNNNNNNNNNNNNNNNNNNNNNNNNNNNNNNNNNNNNNNNCACUGUUUUUAUUUCAGUCUCUCUCUCUCUCUUUGUCUCUGCUAAUCACAAUUAAAUGUGAAUUAAUGGAAUUAAUGCUUCAUAAAUUUGCCGGCACUGCCAUUACUUUUUUUUUUUUAAUACAAAUUGAUACUUUAUUUAUAUCUUCUUAGCGAUUUAAUUUCCUGUCAAUUGACGAACGAGAAGAACAUAUGACUUGAACCAAUGCUCGCAUAAACUUGCUGUAAAAAGAUAUAAUCUCACUGAAAUGCACACGCCUAGAAUGAAUAGAAUUAAAACAGGGAAAAUAUUAAGUAUAUUAGCCCUCUUUACCGAAAAUCAAAUGACAAUAAAUUUUUUGAAGUUUUGAUUUUCUAUGGUCAAUUCCACCUUUUGCAAUUUCUUCUGUUCUAACAAAAACCAAUUUCUUUGUUCAAGUAUUUUCGUUUGGGUAUUAAUAAUUCUCCACCGAAAGAGUGAACUCUUGCUCAAGGGAUCUCUAAUCAAUAGCCGGAAGGGCGCCGAGACCUGAUCGGACCUAGGCCCAAGUUUGGUCUUAAAGCCUGGGCUUGAGCCUGGCAAUUAAAUUAAAACAGUAAUUGAUUUCUUGAAUGAAUUGUCGUGUAAUUGAUUUAUGGGGGAUGACACAUCAACAUACUUGAAAAUACACUAAUCUCAGCAUCAUCCGUUAAUAACUUUUAGAUUUAUGGGCAAUCAAUAGUUAAAUUAGUUGUCAUUAAUACUAAAUAAUUUUUACUUUUUUUGUCUCUUCUAGAGGAUCUUCUAGAAAAAUGCAUCCACAAUUAAAUUUAAUACUUUACAUAAUAAAGAAAGCAUAAAUGUUAAAUUUAAGAAACUGCAUUGUAUUUCAGCUGAAGUUGACUUUAAUAUUUAGGGUAGAAAAAAAUUAAAUCCUUAAUGUGUUUAAUUUAUAUCACUUGUGUCAUUAAAAUUUUCUAGUCACCCUAACCAAUUACAUCUCAACCCACUUUUUUUUGGAUGAUUUUAUUUUUAUACUAUUAUUUUCAACAUUUUUUUUUCCUUUUAACACCAACAUUAGUGUAUGUUACGUAACAUAAUCCAUAUUUGGAUAAUUUGAAAUUUGUUUGUGUUUUAUCUCAAAAUAGAGCUUCAAUCAAUUUGUACCUCAUAAAUUCACAAUAUCUGGCAGGGCUAAUAAGACCAAACUCUGGCAUAUUAUCAAAUGUGCUUAUCCUUUUGCUUGACAUGUCAUUUUAAAAUUGUCAUUCAAUGCCAAAAAAAUCACAUCAACUGAUGGCCGACUACUUUAAUUUGAAAGCAUGCAUGCGAUCGCCACCAAUAAUUAUAACUUAAUUGUUAUAUUGAAAUUUUUUUCUUUAUAAUUUUUAAGUUUAAUACUGCUACAUGUGCGGCACAUAAGUUGGAAAAUAUAACAUAAAAUUUGAAAAAUGUGUAGUUUUCGUUCCUUUUUUUUCUUAAAAAUGGGGAAAAAGAAUGUAAUUUUGUUUAAAUUACUGUUGUGAUAACAAUUAUUAUUUUAUUGAUUAAUUGGCAGAGAAUCGUUAUGGUUUCGCAUGGUUGUUAAAACAUUGGAAAAUCCACUACAUCAUCCGAUAAUAACUUUCAGAUUUAUGGUUAAUCAAUAGUUGAGAUUUGUUAUCAUUAAUGUUAAAUAUUUUUUUAAUAUUUUUUCUCUCUCCUAGAGGAUCAUCCACAGUUAAAAUUUAAUAUUAUAAAUAGUAAACAAAGUAUAAACGUUAAAUCGAAGAAACUGCAUUGCAUUUCAGCUGAAGCUAACUUUAAUAUUUAACAGAGAAAAGUAAUUAAGUCCUUAAUGUGCUUUAUUUACCCAUAUAUAUGGCUAAUUUUUUAAGAUAAAGGGGAAGGAUGAUGCUCAAAAAUAUAAAUUAUAGAAUUAAUUGAGCUCUCAAGUAAGUUUAAAGUUCAUUAUUUUUAAUUACAUGUUUAUAAUUUAUUUUUAUUUCGUAUUAAUCUAUAGAUCUAAAUCCACUUUGGAUUCAUAUACAUAUAUAGACAUAAUGUGUAUGUUAAUCUAUAGGUCUAAAUUCACUUUAGGUCUAUAUAGGUAUUUUGACAAAUGUACUCCAAUCAUAUUGGCAAGUUCUAACUACUAUAUUGGUAUGUCAAUAUUAUCUCUAAUUGCCCUAUACAUUCAGAAAUAAUCUAGAUAUACAAAUUAACAUAAAAUAAAAAUAAUUGGUAGAAAAUAUAAAUUAUAAACAUGUAAUUGAAAACGAUAAACUUUAAAUUUACUUAAGAGAGUAAUUAAUUUCAUAGUUAAAAUCUUUAAAUUUUACCCCUCAUCUUAACUUAAGAAAAUUAAUCACUUAUUUUAUUUAACAAAGAAGAGAUUUUUUUCCCCUAUAUUUCCCAAUUAUUUCUCUCCCUCUCGCUCCCGUAAGUUAUACAACUUGAAGUGAAAUAUGAGUGGUCUGAUUCUAGCUUAAAUAAUUUAUUGUGACAUGCUAUCUAAGGACAAUACAUUACCUAGCUCUACAUAUUUUAUUUAACCUCCGGCUCACCCUGUGCAAACUUGCCUUCCCCUACAAGACAAGAUUAAUCAAUCUAUCAAGUCUCAAAUUCAAUUUGGAAUAUGACCAUCGUACGUUCUUGUUCUUCCCUCUUUACGAGUGCAUUCCCCCCAACCUCAAGCUCCCUCUCUCGUCUUCAAUGUCACUGCCUAUAUCCUUGUGUUGUUCUAGUUUGAAAUAGUGGCUUCCACAAUUUCAGGGCCCCCAAAAAUCCAGAAACAUAGUAUUCAUCACGAUGACAAAUUUUUUGGCAGGCAGGUGCUUCCUGACUUUCACACGGUAAUUCUCAAAUUCUGAUUUCACCAUAUUUUAAUUACUGAUUAGCAUAUAUUCAAGUGCUCUCCAUUAUAAUAGAAGCCGCCGCCUCACUCGUGAUUCCAAACUUUAUCUUUUUUCCUUUUUUAAAUUAAUGCAAGUAGCCGCUGUCCUUUUUAUUAAUUAAUUAAUUAAUUCGGCCGCCCACAUUUCUUUUCCUAAUGUCUUCUACUGUCGAUUUUCUUUUAUUUUCUUUUUAUUCUUAAAAUAUGCUUAUAAUAAUAAAAUAUAAAAAUUAAAAUUAACAUAUCAAAAUAUAAUUUAACAGAAAAUUAAGAUAAAAAUAAAAAAAAUAAAUUAUGAGCAUAUCAAUCAAUAAAUGAAAAAUAAUAAUUUUUAUUUUUAUUAAAUAUAUAUUUUUCAGUAUUAAUCAAUUAUUUGAAUAAAUAAAAUCAUUUAAAAAUAAAUAAAUAAAUUAUUCUUAAAAAAAAAGAAACUUUUUAUAACACUCACUAUGCUGGUUGUAGGGUAGACGCUUUGGGAACUGAAGCCGGUAACUUCUACAAGUAGUCUGAAGUUGACUGGCAACAACUAUAUUGACAUUUAGACAUAAUGUACUCCAACCGUAUUGGUAUGUUUAAAUGUUCUUACUAUUGUAUUGGUGUGUCAAUAUUAUCUCUAACUGCCCUAUAGAUAAAAAAAUAAUCUAAAUUUAUAAUUUAACAUAAAAUAAAAUAAUUGGUAGAAAAAUAAUUAUGGUUCAUUUACUUAUCAGUAAUCAGAAUAGACUAAAAUCGAAAUGAGUUGUAUUACCGUUGAUGUGUUUAUGUUGUCCUGGAAUCGGAAUGAAUUAUUUUAAGUUACUAAAAUAUCCUUGGUUUGUUAUUCUAAUUAUUAUUUAAUAUUUAUUAUAAUAUUUGUCAUAUCAUUAAAAAGAAAUAAUAAUGAUGAUAAUAUUAUCAUUAUUGUUUGUUACAUUAUUAUUAUUCAAAAAAAUUAUUGUUAAUAAUAAUAAUUUUUUUAUUUCAAUAAUAAUAAUGAUAAAAUUAAUAAUAAAAAACAUGACAACAACAAUAAUUAUUUAUUAUGCCAAAAAAUAACAAUAAUAAUAAGAAUAAUAAUCAUCAUCAUUUUUUUGCCAAAGAAAUCAUCAAACCAGACAAGAAAUCAUCAAAAAUUGCUAUUUCAAUUUAGGAAGAAGUUCUUUCGGUGUGCUAGCGAUGGGAGAUGUUGUGGCUGCGAUUCGGGGAGCUAAUAGUUUAUUGCACUAAUAACGGCAGGUGCUGCUGCUUGAUGCGAGGUCCAUGGCCAGUUGUCAGCAGUUCGACUUUGGCAUGGGCGCUGCUGGUUCGAUUUUAGGUGUUGUCUAAUUUCAUUUUCAGGAUUUUAAUUUUAUUUUUUUCUUUUAUAUUUUCAUUAAUUAAUCAGGGCAAAGUUUGAUUUUAGAAUUUGGAAUGAAGGUAAUUUUGUUAAUCAUGGAAAUGAGAUUUUGAUUGUCGAGAAUGAACUUACACAAGCAACUGCAAAUUAAGUGAAAACAAAACGCUUUUUCUCUUUGUGUGAUUAAAACAUGAAAUAUACCAUAAAUAAAUAGGUAAAAAUUAAAUCAACACAAUCCAAAACAGUAAACCAAUUAUAAGAGGCACAAAUUUUUAUGUGAAAUACCGAAAACGGAAAAAACCACAACAUGUUAGUAUGAUAUAAUCUUCUACUAUAUUAAUGGGAUUAUAACACAAAUUCUUCCCUAUAUUACACUAGAGAUUAACAACAUCAAGAAUCUCAAUAAUCUUAACUUACAAUACAACCUAAUAUAUGUCUCUCUAAUAAAUAGAUAUCUAAAAUAACAAUCUCUAAUAAGUAAGUAUCUCAAAUAACAGUCUCUAAUAAGUAGGUAUCUCAAAUAAUAGUUAAUAAGAGGAUAAAACAAAAAUUAAGAUUAGUAGGAUGUGUAUAAGGCGAUGCUAUCAACUUAUCUUCUAAAUUUGAGAAAAAUAGUUAAAUUCACUUUUUUGAUUGUCCGACCAAAGAUGGAAACCUUGCCCCAAAACCAAAGGAGUCACCAUUGUGUUUCUCUCUCUCUCUCUCUCUCUCGUUCUUUUCUUCUACUUUUCUUAAUGUUAGCCGCCACUUGCUUUUAUUCUUUAUAGCAUUUAAAAAGUUACUUUUAAUGGUAAAUUUCAUCUAAGUCCAAAACUUAGUGAUAAUUGCACACUAAACAAUCCUUUUUGGACUAUAGACUUUUGGACCUCCAAAUGAGACGAAUACAACAAAUCUCCCCUUUUAGAUCAUGUAGGAGGCACCACAAGCCCACUCUCUGCAUAUAGCUUUUUAACUUCUCCUUGAAUAAUGACUUUGUCAUCAUACAUAACUCAUUCUCCGUUGUGUAAAUCUUCUCAAGCUAUAACCGUUCUUUCUCAAACACGUCUCGUAUCUAAUAAUACUUCACAUCAAUUUGCUUAGAUUUCGAAUGAUAUAUCAAAUUCUUUGAACGACACUCUGAUUUUCGCAGUACAUAAUAUAGUUGUCUCAUUUUAUACCUAGCUCUUGUAGGAAAUUCUUCGUCCACAGUAUUUUUUUGCAACCUUCAAUAAUUGUAAUAUCAUUUGCUUUAGUAGUAGAAAAGACAACUUAUUACUAAAGUUUAGAUUACGAUGAGACUGCUCCUCCUGCAAAAGUGAGCAAACAUUCUAGUAGGAAUUUUUCGGAAUCAACAUCUCCUACCAUAUCUAUACACUUGUAACACAGGUUUGUCACCACCAAAAUAUAAACAUGCUCUGGAAAUGCCUCUAAGAUAUCUGAGAAUUUUUCACUAUUGUCCAGUGCUCUUUACCGGGAUUGAAGAGAAACCACUAACUACACUAGUUGUAUAAGUAAUAUCUGGUCUUGUACAAAUUAUGGCGCACACCAAACUGCCAACUGCUGAAGCAUAAGGAACUCCUCUCAUGGAGAAAUGGGUUUUGCUCUUGAGAUUUUUGGGAACAUGAAGAAUAAAUAUGUAAUUUCUUGGACUGCCAUUGUUUCGAGGUAUAUAAACAGAGGACAAGUCUAUAUAGGUCGACAGUGGUUUGCUCAGAUGCCAGAACGAGAUUAUGUCUUAUGGACUGCCAUGAUUGAUGGGUACCUUCGAGUGAAUAGGUUCAAAGAGGCUUUGACGCUUUUUCAGGAGAUGCAAACUUCAAAUAUAAUGGGAGACGAGUUUACCAUUGUUAGCAUUCUUACAGCUCGUGCGAAUCUGGAAGCACUAGAUCUGGGAGAAUGGAUAAAGACUUAUGUUGAGUGUUAGAAAAUGCAUAUUUAUAAAGGAGAAAACCAUCAUUUUACAUUUCAAGUCUUACUAACAACCCUUACUUUUAUGUAUUUAACCUUCUUGUGAUUUAAUUACAUGUGUUUUAUUUUAAUUAAGUAUUUUAUGUAUUUUAGGGACAUUAUAGUCAUUUCACAAUAAAGGAGAGAUCAGACGGCAAAACAGACAUCACUUUUGAACUCAGGACGGUCAAAAACCUUAGGAGGAGCAUAAAAGGAAAAAUGGCACUAUUCACAUGUACGGUACUAUUCACGUGUACGGUACUGUCCACGUUACUGUUCACGAUACUGUUCACAUAGACAGAUCGAUGACGUGGCAUUGACUGAUGAGGUGUCACGAUCCUGUUGGGCUAAAAUUCUUAUGUACUGUUGAUGGUGACGUGGCAGCAUAUCAAUGGACGAAAAAUCUCGCAUACAGUACAUGCAUCACACAGGAUUAUUGUCAACCAAAUCGCGUUACUGUUCAUCCGGGUCAAACCGUGUUACUGUUCAUCCACGUAGUCAAACCGCGUACUGUUGACUGAUGACGUGGCGCAAUCCUGAGCGUCCAAACUGUUUUUAAUCCGAUGGCCAUGAUUUACUCCAUGUAUCUAUAAAAAGGGGGCCUCCCCCCCUAAUUUGACAACUCUGAAUCUAUUUUGGGAUCCAUUUUCUAUAAUUCCCUCUCCAUCUUGUAUUUUCUACGUAUUUUAAUAAAUUUCCAUUUUACCCUUAGUUCAAUUAUGAGUGGCUAAUUUCCUUUCAAGCUUGGGUUGAAGGUGAAGUCUCAACAUGUGUCAUGGGCUUUAUUUGGUAAAUUUAUUUUCUUUUCCCCUCUAGUUUUUGUGGAUGAUUUGACUUUUCGUCGACAAAUAAUAUUGAUCUUGUCUAGAUACCACCUUGGUUACACCGGCUCUCUAGUACAAGGUUAUUAUUAUUUGGCACGAUAAGCCCUUAGCACCAUAUUGAUUAGAGCGUGGUUCAUGAGGUGUGGAUUCCCCCCUCAUGAUUUAAUUGGCAUUAAUAAGGAUUAUAUAGCCCAUGAUGCAUGUUGAUACGGAUCUGGAUACCCAAGUGCUUCAUUUCAAUAGAUCUAUCUUCAAUUUCUUCUCGCCAUUUUAAUUUAAGUUUUAGAAUAUUCCAAAUCAUUUCCACCACAAAUCCAAUCCCCGAUUCACAAAAUUAAUUCUAUACACAAUUAAAAUCCACAUCCUCGUGGGAUCGACACUCGUCACCAUUAGUCUAUACUACAAUAGAUUCGUGCGCUUGCGAGUACAUUAAAAUUUACACAACAACUUAUAUUGACAAAAACAAAGUCAAGAAUGAUGUAUUUGCGGGGAAUGCUUUGAUAGACAUGUACUGUAAAUGCCGAGAUGUUGAGAAAGCUCAAAAGGUAUUCAGGAAGAUGCUUUGAAAGGACAAAUUCUCAUGGACGACCAUGAUUGUUGGCCUUGCCAUCAGUGGCAAUGGUGAUAAAGCUCUUGAUAUGUUUUCCCAAAUGCUUAGGGCUUCGAUCAAACCGGAUGAGGUAGCUUAUGUUGGUGUUCUGUCUGCCUGUACUAACAAUGGUAACGAAACUUUUGUGAUAAAUAGUUGCAACUUAAGGUGAGAAUUGGAGGAAAGGAAAUAGACUGAAGUUGUUCAAUCAUCGGUCGUCUCUAUUUGGUUUUCUCCGAUAUCUCAUCUUCAGUUUUGACUCAGAUUCUAUCUUACCACUUAGGGGUGGGCAAAAUCGGGUUCGGGUCAACCCGAUCGGGUUUCGGGUUGUUCGGGUUAGACAAGGAACAAUCCGAACAUAACCCGAAUUAAUGACCCGACCCGAACUUAGUUCGGGUCGGGUCAUUAAUUCGGGUUAUGUUCGGGUUGGAUUUAAAAUGGGUAGGAUUGAGUUCGGGUCAAUUUGGGUUAGUUCGGGUCAAUUCGGGUCAGUUCGGGUCAAUUCGGGUCAAUUCGGGUCGGUUGAAAUCGGGUCAGUUCGGGUCAAUUCAGGUCAGUUCGGGUCGGUUGAAAUCAGGUCAAUUCAAGUCAGUACGUUUUUUUUUUUUAAGAACCCGAUCGGGUAUUCGGGUCGGGUCGGGUUUGACCCGAACCGAUCACAACCCGAUCGGGUUUGUAAAUUUCAAACCGAUCGGGUUUCGAUCCCGACCCGAUCCGACCCGAACCCGAAAUUUAUCGGGUCGGGUCGGGUCGGGUAAAAUGCCCACCCCUAUUAAUACCACUAGUAAUUACAUAGACUUGCUGCCAAAGGUAAGAAUGAGAAUAAAUUAAAUAGAUUAUGUCGAAAACGAAAUAAAUUUACCAUUGUUCUGUUCAUUCUAUUUGUUUCCUACAGAAUAUUUCUCCAGCCUAAAAUUUUUUGAAUUAGUAAGUUUUUAUCUUAUGCAAGAAUUGUGCUGAGAGUAAUUCCAUUUCUCAGUCUCUUUAUGUUUCAAUGAAGACGUAAAACUUGUGUUCUAGUGCACCAAUGUUUAUGCUUCUUACAAUUUGACUUUAAUUUAGUUUGUAAAACUUUUGUCAAAAAGUACUAAAAAGUAGUGCACCAAACACAAACUUUAUUACAGAGAGGACUUCAGUUAAAUUUUAAGAAAACACUCAAAAGAACGAGUUAUAAAUUAUUAUCGAAAUAUUUCACAUAAAUAAAAGCCAUCCCAUGCUGCAAAGAUCUUGCUAUAAUCACCAAAAACUAUCGGGAGCUUUUAGGGUUUCCAUAAAAAUGUCAUUUCGUUCCAAAAGUCAAUGGUGGGUAGAAAGUGGUGCAAAUGAGACUCAUUGUUAAUGGUAUAAGUUUUUGCUUAAUUAUGUCUUCCCCAAAAUGAUGAUUUAAUUUCCAUUCUCAAUUAAUUUUCAAGUUUCAACACUUUUCUAUGUAGCAUGACAUUGGAAAGAUCUUGUACAGUUGUACUACUAAAAGCUAGCACCACACGUUAGUUAUUGUUAAGUUCUUUUUCAACGUGAAAUAAAGGAAGUAGUCCUUCGUUAAAACCAUUAUAGCCAAAUUUCACGUAAUUGGACAUUUACAGACUUUUAUUUCAAGUUGGAUUUUGGUCCAACAUUUCAAAGUUGGCCCAAUUAUUUUUGUCUGGUCAAGUCCUUCGCAGCUAAGCCCCUCAAUGAAUGAGGGUGAGAUUGCUAAAAAUUACGACAGGUGAUAUUUUAUUAUUAUUAUUUGUUUGAGGGAAAAAAUAGGAAAAGCAAUAGAGCGCCACGUGUCAACCAAUGGAAUGAUUCCUGCACAAUCUAAGGUACCCCACACAAUCCGAGGUACCCCAUAUAAUAUGAGGUACCCCACACAAAUAGGGGUACCCCGCGUAAUAGGAGGUACCCCAUGUAACUCGAGGUACUCGGCAAAGCGGAUGCAAGAGAAUCCUCCGAAAAUAUCCGCCAUGAGAAACGUCUCCGCCUCCUAAAAGAUAUUAUUCAAUUUUGUCAGAAUUAUGAAUAAAAAACGACGCCCUAAAAGGAGGGACAGUCGCCUGCGACCUCUGCCAAAAGUGAAGGACACUGUCCCAAGGACAGUGGUCCCCAACGCCUACCCGACAGCUACUGCAAAGGUACCCUGGACCACUCUCCAGCGCGCGCCACGUUUCCAAAAGAUGAGAUACGCCGCGAACGUGCAGAUAACUGCCCAAAAAUUAUAAAGAGGUAAAAGGACGUUAGUAAAAAAGGGUAUGCCAUGUGGCAGCUGAGGUACUCCAUAUAUAAAGGCGCCUAGGUUUCAUUCUCCAUCAUGUUCUCACUCACCAUUAACACUCGCACUCCAAAAAAUAGGUUUUCUUCAACCUUAAACCCUAAUUUACAGAGGGUUAGUCAGCUCUCUUUACCAUAAAAGCUUGAGUUUGCUAACUUGAGCGUCGAAGUGUGAACGCCGGGGUACCCCGGCUUCACCUCUAACCUCUAUUUCACUGUUUUGCAGGCGUGAAGCUCAUUUGGAAGGACACAUCUCUUAGUUCUAAACCUUUCACCAUUGUUACCACUCUCUCUCCCUUUCUCACCUCCCCUGGAUUUCAGAUACACCACACCGCACACAAUAAACUAGUGAGGUACCCCGUCUCCCAUAAAAAUACAAAUUCAUUGUUCUAGAUAGAUUUGGCUUUUUUUACCCCAAAAUCUGUUGAAAACACUAUUUUUAAUUUUGGGGGAUAAAUCCUCACCAAAGUGAGGAGAUUUUAUCAAAAUCAAAAUAAAAAUAUAACAAGAACUGAAAGUCGGGCAGCCUAAAAGCUAGAUGAACUAAAAGUCAGGCGCCUAAAAACAACCUUAUGCAAAAGAGAAGCAACAUGAGACCGAUCAAGUAAAAGAAUCCACCGCAACACCUAAAUUGGCCAAAUUAUCUGUUGGUAUUACAAGUUUCUUGUUAUAAAAGUGUAGAAUGAAGUAGGUGACAGUAGUUUUAAGUUACAGCUGCAUGCCUAAUCGCAAUAUCAAAUAAUGAUUAAAUAUCAAAUAAUGCUUAAAGUAGUUGCCUAGGCCCGCCACAAUUUAUAUUAACUCUUAAAUUUAUAAAUAAUUAAAUUUUUAAAAGUUUGGAUUUAUAUUAAAAAAUCUUCAUAUAAAUAAAUAAUAUAUGCACUUUUACAACACAGUCUUUAAAUUUAAAUUUUUCUAGAAAAAUCUUCUGUAUAUCUUUUCUAUUAAAAAAUUUCCAUAUAAAUAAAUAAUAUACCUAAUUUAAUUGGACCCAGCACAUCGCAUAUGCAUAGAACACAUUCCACAAAGCCAUGCUAUUCGGAAAUUGACGAAUGAAAAGUGAGGAGGCAGCAGUCAAUGCUAUUUGGGCUUGGCCCAAAAUUGAUUUAUCAGGUUGACGUUUGCCAGGAAUGAAGAACUGGAAUAUCACCGUCAAGCAAGCAACCUGUGGAGCAAUACCAUAGAAUGCACAAUCCAGCUUUGCAAGGUGACACUGGAGGCUUUUUGAAAAGUGCUUCACGCUCACUUGCACAGAUUGAGCAUCCCCUCUGGAUAUUGCCCUCUCUGAUCGAGUCUGAGCACUCAAAUUUCGGUCCUCAGAUGGAGCUACAGCUUUCUCUCCAAUAACCAACAAUUUUCUAAACUCAGCACCUAGUGUGAUCAGAGUUGUUGAUAUUUGUAAAUGGAGAUCCCUGUAUUUGCAAAUGGAGACAUUUACCAAAUCACCAACAUGCUUCAUCCAGUCUACGAAAUUCUGCAGCUGAUUCAAAUCCGGAACCUGAACCAGAGUCGGAGGUAAAUCUUGAGCCAUGUCUAAAGCAGUCUGAAGUUCAAGUACUUGAGCCCUUGACAAAGGUUUUGAAAUUGGAACAUCUUGGAUUACUGCAGACUUGUACCCCUUGGUUUCAAAGGUAAGGAAAGGCAUUGCUUGAGUACAAUUUGGAGGCAGCUUCUUCACCAAUUUUAUUUGGAGGCAAUUGGCAGCGGAUCCAGCUGCACCAAUUUCAGAGCAAAUACUGACACUACUUCAAACAGCACGCUGAAGAAGAGAUAUGUCUAUGGCAAAGGCAAUGCAGUCCUCAAUUUGACUUGAGAUGCGGUAAUCACCAAAGAGAGUUUCCUUAUGAAACUGGGCAACACAUUGAAUCCCUUCACCACUGAGAAGGUUGGGGAGGAAGUAAGCUUUCUCUCUCGUAAGGAAGAGGUGGCAUACCUUCCCCAUUUUGUCUAGGACAGGUAGGAAUCUUUUUUCUAAGAGAUUUACUCCAUUCUCUGUGAGAAAUGCUUUGAACUUCAUCCCUCUGUCUCUAGCCUCACUUAUCAGUAAAAUAGUUGAAAGCGCUACAAGGAGAGAAAAGAAGAGUAUUAAGAUAUAUAUAGACAAGAAAAACAUUAGAUGUCGAUCUUACAAGCUAAUACUUCAAACAGUAUCCUAGAAAGCUAAAAACUGCAAAAUGGCUUGAAAUUUGAAAAGAACACAUGCUUUUCCUCCUUAACUUGAGAAAAUGUUUAAUAUAGUGCACCUUACAGAAACAUUUAAACAAUUAGAACUUUGCACAAAAACAUUCAAGAAGACUAAACAAAUCAGAUGCAGUGUAUUUCUCCAAGCACAAAUGGCAUUGCAUUUUUUCCUCAACUGUAAUAUUUAUUGAUGAAAAUCAGUACAGGUCCCUCAUUUGUUAUGGAAAGCUUUCUUGUAGUCUGACCGGUUAAUUCACGGGUCUAUAAUCAUCUUGCAAAGUUACAGGCAUUUCUUUCGAUUUAAAGUCUUUGCAUCACCACCUCAUCACACACCAAGCCAAUAUUCCGUCUACCUCUACAACAAAAAGUUUUAAGUAAACGAUCCUAAUGCAUGCAGCCAAAUAAAAUGCAGUAAGAAUAUUCAACUUAAAACUCUGAAAGCCAUCUUGGUGAAUUGCCUCCUUAGGGGAAGUUCCAUGCUUUACUAUACUUGACAGGACUGAGCAAAAGCUUACAUACAACAGAUUUUGAAAAUGAUGAUGCCAAUAGAUACUCAUACAAUCCAUUGAAACUCCUAAGGUCCAUUGUUCACAGAGGUUUACAGAGUUUUGGUCAUCAAAUAGCUCAGACCUUAAUCCCAAACAAAAAACGAGUGAAAAUUAGAUCACCAGCAGCUAAUUGUAAAUUCUAACUUAACUCUUCAUCUCCUUUGUAAACAGGAGACAAAAUGGAGACACGCAAAAUGAAUAAGGAGAACAUUUGAACUCAAAUGAAAUGAGGGCACGAAAGCAAACAAAUGGCAUGCGCAAACAAACCAAGCCUCAAUCAAAAACUAAUUAACCAUUAAAAAAAAAAAAGUGGUCAGAGAAUGAACUCCAAAUUCGGGAGUGAAGCAAGAAGCUUUCAUUAUUUCAGAAGCUCCUGUACAAAUUAAUAAGUUAUGCUCUUUGGAAACAAACCUAAAUUCCAAGAGAAAGAGAACUCAAAAAAUUUGCAAUUAUACGCAAAGGAAGUGAAGCACAGCAUUCUAUCACACGUACAAAUUGUAUAACAAGAGAUCGACACAUCGAAUCAGAAGAACUCAAUUCAAAUUUGUCUCAAAAAUCAAAAUUAGAAGAUUUCACAUUUCGAGAGGAACAAGCGACAGGUCAGAUGCAAAAUUUUCAGCCACAACAUGCCACAAUUAACAGUUUAUUUCCAUGGAUUUAGAGAGCUGACUGACCUUUUGGCUUUUGGAAUUGAGAAGAUCGCGGGCCAAAAUGGAAGAGGGAAAGCGAAAGUGCGGGUUUUAAUAGGGUAUUGGAUUAGCAAAUUUAAUUAGUUUGCGAGGGUAAAAUAGGAAAGAGAUAUCACUAUUAACUUUUUUUUUUAUAAGAAAAAAGAAUAAUAAAGAAUAUUUUAUUGUCAUUUGCAGCCUGCAAAUGACAAUAAAUCAAAUACGUCAUACAGAAGCUUAAAGCUGAAUCUAAAAAAUCUAGAGCUCUCAACUACAAAAAUUACACUUGAUGAUCCUCUACAAGAUGAAGCUUGUUCAAUAUCUUAUCCAAAGUUUAUAAAGUAACCUUGUAACGAUCUUGAGAUUGCCUGCCUUCCUCGACGACCUGCACGAUGCGUUUGUACAAAUCAUCAUACCUGUGCACCGGAUUUUUAAUAUCAACGCCACUGCAGCUGUGAUCAAGAACAUAAGAGCGUUUAACAUCUUUUCUCCAUCGAGAAAGAAUGUAGUGAGAUGGGAUCUCCUGCAUGCCACUCUGGUUUAGAACACAAAGAAUGUGUCUGGAUAAAUAUCCUCUGAAAUUGAACAACCCACAAACACAAAGCACCUCCAAGUCGGAGGCAUUGUACAAAACAUCGAAAGCCCUUGAAUCUUUCUCGUUGCUACCAACCUCAAAUUCUUCCUUCACUAUGUAUGUUAUAGGUCCAUCAGCACUGACAUGUUUUGUGCUAUAGCAAGAGUACAUAGCCUCCACCUCCGUCUGAAACUUCCUUCACAUUUCAUUUGUGUACAGUUUUGAGAGUUGAAAUUCAUAGUCACAUCUUGGUUUCUGGAUACAACUUGAAUUUCUUGAAUCCAUAUCUGCCAAGGCUUCCGGUUGAUAAUUCGCCUGCAGUGCUUGAUCAUACUUGUGUAAGAAUUCUUUCAAAGGAGUACGCUUAUCAAGAUAUCCUUCAAAGUAUGAAGUAGAAACCUCAUUCUGCAGGAAUGAAAACACUCCUGAUAAAAAUGCUUCCUUCAAAUAAACAGGAGCCCACCUUUUACGAUCUUCAUAUAAAGUUUGAAUCCAUCCGUGAUCCUUUAUUCCAUGACGUUGAAUCAUGUCUUCCCAAGCUGCUUCAAAUUCCUCAGGCCUGAGAGAGUGAUAAAUUGCUCUAUGUAAUGCACCUCUAAUAGCUUCAUAUUCAAACAAUCCUUGGAGUUUCUCUGGAAUUUUUUGCAAGAUGCAUGACAAUGAAAAGCAAUGAUAAGCUCUUGGGAAAACAUCGCCAACAGCAAUUUGCAAGAUUCUACAUUGGUCAGUGAUGAUUGUUUGUGGAGAGCGUCCUAACAUACAUGUAAGCCACACCCUAAACAACCAUGUAUAUGAUUCUAUGGUCUCCCUGGCAAGUAAACCACAACCCAACAACACUGAUUGUCCAUGAUGAUUCACCCCAAUGAAUGAAACCAGUGGUACAUCAUAUCUUUCAGUCAAGCACGUAGUAUCAAUUAAGACUACAUCACCAAAGUACCUAUAUGCAACUCUUGACCUGGUAUCAGUCCAGAACAGGUUUCUCAAGCAUCCCUUUUCAUUUAGAUCCACUACAUUAAAAAAGUUUGGAUCUGUCAACUGCAAACGACAAAAGAAACUCUGGACAGCUUGUGCAUCUCCUGGUUUAAGCUUCAAUUGAUUUGAGCUAUUAACAUUAUUUCCAAAUACUCCAUUAACAUCUACAUUACCAUUUCCCUCGGUAUCGAUGAUAAGAGUUCGAAACAGUCUAAUUUUUUGAACGUCUUCAGCACUAUCUAAUUGCAAUGUUCUUUUGGUUCCAAUACCUAUGUGCUUAUGUGACUUGUAAAACUUUCCGCUUCUUGGGCUUAACAAGUGGUUAUGCUCAAGCUCGACUUCAAUGAUUCUCCACCUUUUGGUUUCCAUCAACCUAAACUUUAUCAUUGCUGGACAGCCAGUUCUUGUUUCUGGUCUUGGGCGGUUUGCCUCGCUUUUCUUCUUGAAGCCUGCACUACUACAGCUCAGCUUUCCUCUAUACUUUUCUCUACUCUUUCGGUACCAUGUAUUGCUAACUCUAACACCAAAACCCUGUUCCUUGGCAUAGCAAUUGUAAAAGUAAUAAACAUCAUCAUACGUCUCAAACUCCAUUCCAACAGCAGGAGCCAAUGGAUUUUGGAUUAUCCCAGUUUGUCCAACAUAUUCAGUCAUUGCACAAUCUCCUACGACCUCAAAAUCAUCAGCAUCAUCAUCACCUACUGGUUCAGUAUUCAGAGAAACUUCAUCCAUCUACAAUAGAUGUUUAAUGAAGUGAACUUUAAGGAGAAAAAGCAAAAUCAGUUCAAGGAAUGAUAAUAUAACCAUACAGUUACUUUCACAAAGCUGCGUAUUUCAUCAAUACCUUAACAACAUACAACUGCCUGAGAACGUAUAGACAUGUCAUAGACGCUUGAAUUAAGUAUUGGUACAAAUUCAUGUGGGACACAAUUUCAGUCACUAAACCCAAUGCCUUUUUUUUUCACAUCAUACCAAGGAACGGAUUAAACCCAAUACCUUCUUUUACGCCAUACCAAAGAACAGAUUAAAUCAUCAAUGAAAAAUUAAUCACAUAAUAAUUUAACUAGACAAAUAAAGAGCUCGAAACAGCACAAAACUUGAAUAUGAUUAUGAUAAUUGUUGAGUCAUUGUAUCUACAGCUUUCCUUCAACAAGAAGAUUAUGAACAUAAACUACACACAAAAAAUUUAUUUUAAACUGACAUAAAUUUAUUCAGUUACAUUGAAACCCAAAAAAGGAAGCAGGAGCUGGAGAAAAACAACAGCAGAGAAACUUAUUUCCAGAAGGUUUACGAAAUAAGGAAUUUAUUAAGACACAAAAUUUGAGGUCAACAAUAAGAAUUUGGUUCUCAUUCUCUUUUUCUUCAUUUUUCACUUAUUGAUGGAGUUACCAUACAAUCCUAAAUGAUAAAACCCCAUCUCCAUCUUUUUGAAAUAGAGUUAAAGCAAAGCUUUUUAAGAUGUUUUUCCCUAAAAGACUCAAUAGUACAAUGUUUUUCAAUAUUAAAUACACAACUCAAUCUUCCCCUAAUUUACUCUAAUAAUCUCUUAACUAAGGAAGAUUAAGCUCCACUUGUAAGCUAAAACAAGUUUCUUAAAUCAAGCCCCAAUGCUCUAUGCUAUUCAACAAGGCCUCAUAAAUGAUAAAACUACCUCUACAAAGAUACCCAUUUUAAUUUCGCAAACUAAAAUCGAACUCCUGAAACGUAACGAGCAUUAAAACAAACAAGUCCGAACAAGAACUGAAAAAUGAUACGUAAACCCGUUUCGACAAACAGUUUCCAAUCAAUGAGCAAAAAAGUUAAUGGAAAACAUGAAAUUCAAACGAAACAUACCUUAGGUUGAUAAAUUAGUAGCGCAAAAGAAAUUUUAGCGAGAUAUGGGAUCAGGGAUUUUGCCACGGUGAUGUUAAUUGCGACAUUCGGGUGACUCAGCAGCCUUCGAGGCUGAAACUUUGAUUGACCAAAAGCUUCCCGUUCGUUGAUUCUCUAAUUGCAGAAACGAAACUGGCAGUGUACAGAAGACGUACGCUGAUUUGAUAAUUCUGUGAAAAUCAUUGUUUUUUUUCAGAUUUUUAAUGUGUUCGAUAAAAUAUCAAAAUCUCAAAAACUUUUGUCUUUCAUUUUGGGGGGGAAAAACCCAUUGAGAUCCUUAUGUUUUUUCUUAUAUAAUCUGGCUUAAUAAUUUGCAAAGUCUAUUACUUAGCACCCAUGCAUGCUGCGUUCCAAUUUACAAAAUUGUACGUGAGUGCAUCCAGCUAAAAUUUGUAAAAAGAAAAUAGCAAUAACAUGUUAAAAAUGUGAUUAUUAUGAAGAAAUUUUAAUUUAGUUAAAUAGGUGACGAUGGAUAGGUAUAAAAUCUGAGAUCUUUUAUAAGGUUAAUAAAUAUGUUGAGUUUGGAUUAGUUCAAUUUUGAAAUAAUAAUAUUCAAAAUAUCUCUUAAAUCAUUAUAAACCUCAAAUCUAUUUUAAUUUUAUUUAAAAGAUAAAAGAAAAAUAGGUUAUGUUGGUGAUUUUUUAUUAUCUUUUUAAUAAAAAUGAAAUAAAUUGAUGUUUAUAAUUAUUUAAAGUAUUUUAAAGACUGCCAUUUUAUGAGAGAAAAAUAUUUCACUUUUUUUUAGUGUGAAAGGCCGAAAAAGGACAAAGCAAGUUUCCCUAGUUUUUAUUUAUUUGAAAUUGGUCAUCUCAUAUACUUCACCCUUCAACACUAUAAUUUUUUUGGUUAUAAUUUUAUUAUUUUUUCUCUUUUACACAUGCAUGUGAAUUACUUUUCUUUAAGCUCCUGAAUAUUUAAGAUAAAUCAUGGAAGAGAUGAGAGUAUAACAAGAUGACCAAAAUAUGUAACAAAAAAAUUUUAUAAGUGAAAAAUAUGUUAGAGACUUACAGUGGAAGUAAAACUCUGAGGUGAUGUUUGAUUUGAAGAAAAUGGAGGAAAUGAAAAGACUGGAAUGUAGAGGAAAAGAGAGAAAAGGAGAGGAGAGGAGAGUGAAAUUUUUUUCUAAUGUUUGGUUUGUCACAUAAUUAUACAAAGAAAGGAAAUCUCUAAUUUUUUAUUUAGACAAUUUUAACCUUAAUAAGUAUUAAGUUUUCAAUAUUUAUCAUGUGUAUAAUUAAAAAAAAAAGAAGUAAAUGGUAGAAAGCGGUUUCUGAUUCCGGCCACAUCGCCCGCAAUGGAAGGUACUUAUCAGAACAUCAAGAGCCAGCCAUCAUUCCCUAGCCAUCACUGCUGUCGGAACACUGCCGGAAAGCUGCCGAUUGAACCGCGAAAAGUCGUGGAAAUCGCUGCCUCAAAUCGGUGAGUUUCGCCCUUUUCUGGUCACGCCGUCGCCAUGGCUUUGUCCAUCAAGCCUGCCACUUCCAUUUUCAACCAUCCAUAGCCACUAUUAAUUGCCAAAUCACCGCCGAUCAGCGGGAUCUGUGGAAGUUAAAAAGUUUCUAAAUUUUUUUAACUGGAUUUGAACAACAUACGACCAUUUUUUUAUCUCGAUAACGACGUAGUAAUGUUGAUCGUUGGUCGGCAAGUCGUAUGGUAGUGGCAGUGAGUAACACGCGCCAAUCACAUCGGCGGCGGCGGCGGCACUAUCCGGCGACUGUUAAAAUAAUAUUUUAUAUUUUCAGAUUAAAUAAAUUUAUUUUAUUAAAAUUUUUAAAUCAUUAUUUAAAUUUAAUUAAUUUAAAAUUAUCUAUAAUGUUGAAUUGAUAAAAUAAAUUUAUAAAUAAUAAUUAUGUGAUUACAUUAAAUAAGUUAAAAAGUUGAAGGGUUAGUUUUGGAAGAUUUAGUUUCCAACACAAAGGGAAUUUGAAUUCUUCACUUCUUAGUGUGGAAUUCAAAUUCUAUAUUGUAAUAGAUAUUAAAUUUCAAUAAAAAUUAAAUUCUUAUAAGUUAUGUCAAACCAAACAACGAAAAUAAAAAAGAAAUUUAAAUUAUUUUUCUUUCCUCCACCCUCUCCUUCCAACUAAAUACAUCCUGAAAAUAGAGAUAUUGAUUAAUUUAGAAGAGAUUCAAGCAAAAAAUAUUCCAAAAAAAAAAGCAAUAUGUCCCUUUGGAGGGCAAACUUGUCAGUUUCAAAAAAGUACAUGCUUUGUAUUGAUAGUUGUAGGAUAUUUGUUUUGUCACUAUGUAUUAGUUGGAGAAGUCCAGCCUUGUGGAGAAUGUUAUGAAAGAGCAAAGGAUAUUCCUGAUAGCUGAUAGAGCUCUAUCUGAUUAUGUAUCCAGUGAAUGGAUGUGUUGUUGGAAGAUAUCUGAGUGCAUUAGUUCAUAUGUGUCUGUCAAUGUGCUUUUAAUGAUUUUUCCACCUGUUUGUUGUAAAAGAUUAUUGUAAAUUGAAAUGAACUUGAUGUUUUAAUAUUUUCUUCCGUAAAUUGAAAUGAACUUGAAUUAAAUCUCGUUGAAUUUAAUAUUAUCUCCUUAGUGGAAUUUCACCUAGUAUGUAUUCAGUUGUGUUGUCUAUAAUUUUGCAUUCGAGUAAGUUUCACCUAAAACAUUAGCAUGAGUAGUGGCCCUUGAACCUUUGGUCAAAAUUAUUGUUAUUAUUUCUGACUAGAUGUAAAUUUUGUAUUAAAUCUCGUUAACACAAUUCUUAAUUAAAAGUAUAGGUUAGUGUUGGUGCAAGAUUUGCCACACCAAAUUCUGCCUAGCUGUCAAAAGUGCAAAAUAAAUGAAGAGAAAGCACAAAUACACGACUUGAAUAAGGAUACAACGAAACUUAAAUUCAAGAGAAAAUGAUAGCUAUAUCCCAAGAUUUGAAAAAGUAGUCAUGUAGGUUUUUAAGAUUUCAAUAAGCGACUGAGAUUCAAAUAAUAUCCUUUAAUUCUAUUAAUAAAAAACAAAGACUCAAAUAUUUUAUGAUAAAUAAAAAUAUAAUAUUAAAAUAUAUGUGAUAAUAUACACAUUUUAAAUACUUUCAAUCCAAAAAAAUAGUUAUGUUUUACAAUCUAUUAGACAUAUUUUAUUAAAUUAAUAUAAAUUUUCUAUAAAAUAAGAAUAUAAUAUUAAAACAAAUUCACAGAAAUUUAAAGAAUUUUGAAUGUAAAAUAAUUUUAAUAUAUUAAUACGUGAGUUUUUUUAUUAAUAUAAAAAUUAUUUAACUUUAAGAUUUUUUAAAAUCUUUACAAUAAGUAUAACUAUAUUAUUUACAUUUAAAAAUAUUUAAAUAUUAUUAACCUACAAUUAUAUUUGCAUUUGUUAGAAAUUUUUAAAGUCAAAUAUUUUGCACUUCUAUAUUAUUAGAAUUAUUGCACACAAAGAAAGAAACAUAUACGUUUAGAAAUUGUUUUCUUUUAAAAUAGAGAUGAUGAUUAGUAUAAGGAUCAAAAAAAGGAUAAAGAAUAUUAAUGAUUAACGAAAACUCUAUACAAAUUGAUUUUAGUAGGAAAAGAGUGAGAUGAAUGAUUUCUUUUACAGUUAGAAAAAUAGAUGAUGAUUAUUAUAACGAAGAAGAAAAGAUAAAGAAUAUUAAUUAUUAAUGGAAUCUCUAUGCAAAUUGAUUUCAGUAGGAAAAAAAAUGAGUUAAAUGAUUUAGAGUGCGUUUGGAAUUGAGAUUGGACAGCCAUAGAUUUUAAGUUACAACACUGAAGUGUUUGGUAAAUACUAGCUGCUGCAGAUUGAAAGUUAUGUUGAUAUGAUUUUUCACAUGUAUCAUAGAAAAUAUAUUACAUCUUUAAUAAUUUUUUUAAAAUUUGUAUUUGCUAUAUAUUGUUUUUUUUAUAUAGUUAUAACUUUUUUUUUUUCCACAGCAGCUGUAGCUUAAAAGCUACAGCACCUCAAUCUCAAACAAGUCCUUAGACAUUCAUAGUGUGUUUAUUUUUUGGAUUGGUGAAUCAAAAUUAUUGACAACGCUAACUUCAUCUUCACCGUUCGCAAUCCAACAGCAGCAAUUGUCGCCAAUAAUGAUAUCGCCGAUGAUGAUGACAAUAAUAAUAAUAAUAAUAAUAAUAAUAAUAAUAAUAAUAAUAAUAAUAAUUAUUAUUAUUAUUAUUAAUAAUUAAUAUAUUAAUAUAUUAAUGUUAAUAUUAUUAUUAUUAAGAUUAACAAUAAUUAUUAGUAAUACAAUUUUUUGAAUAAAAAUAAUCACAAUAAUUAAAAUACAAAUUAACAAUUAUGACAAUAGUUAAUUAAUGUCUUUUUAGUAAUUUGUAAUAAUCUAACUCAUUUUAAUUCUGAUUAUUACAGUUUAAGUAAAUAAAUUAUUAUGAUUCCUAUUCUCCUUUUCUAUUUUAACUCACUUCGAUUCCAGUCUAUUCUGAUUUUUGUUUAAUAAACGCACCAUUAGUGCUAAAGUAAUAUUUCAUACAUAGAAAAGUAAAAACUACACCUAAGGUUAAGGGAAAGGACUUCAAAACUCUCUUUUGAUCAUAAUACAUUUUGUACUAAUUAACUUAAAGAUUUUGAAUCUAAUAUUUUAUAAUAAAUAAAAAUAUAUUCCUAAAAUAAAUAUAAUAUCAAUAUUUAAAAUAUGUUUUAAUAUUUUACACAUUUUAUUAUAUUAAAGUAGAUUUUAUAAUAAAUACAAACGUCCUAUUAAAAUGAAUAUAUAAAAAAUUUAGAAAAUUUAGAAUAUUAUAUAAAAUAAUUUUAAUAUAAUGCGUGAGAUAUAUUUUAUUAAUUUAAAAUGUUAUUUUACCUAAAAAAUAUGAUAAAUUAAUAAUUACAUAUUUGAAGUUAUUUCAAAUAUUAAAAAAAUUUAAUAUUAUUAGUCUUUUAGAUAGAUUAAAUUAUUUUUUUUAUAAGAGAUAGAUUAAAUUAUUUUAAAAUGCCUUAAUUAUUUUUACUUUUAACGUUACCGGCCUUUCUUUUAUUUUAUUGCAAAUUAAUGCUAACAAGAAAAAGCUAGAUCAUAUUCCACAAAAGCAAAAGUGACAAACACAACCAGCUGGAAUCUUUUAUAAAACUACAAAUUAAAAUGGAUUUUUUUUUUGAUAAAUUACACAUGAAAGUGGAUUCUUUUGAAUAUAAGUGGAGUAGGCUCUUUUAUUUUAUUUUUGAAUAUUGUAUAACGGGACUGUAGACUCUUUUAUUAAACUACAAAUUGUAUAGUCUUUUUAAAAUUGUUAUAAAUUAAUGGCCCCCACAAUCCUCAACAAUUGUACCGAUAUUCACAAGUUGGUGGCCCCUACAAUUCUGUUCCGAUAAUUUAACUGUGCAAGUGCUCAUUCACAAUCUUCCAGGUCAUGCUCUCAAUAAUUGUUUUUUUUUCCUGCAUUCCCUUUGGGAAAUUUACGAAAAUAAUCAUUAAUAUUUUAUUAUUUUUACAAUUAACCGUCUUAAUUUUUUUCUAUCAACAUUAGCCAAAUACAAGUCUUUCUUCCCAAAUUACCCUUCUUUACAGAACAAAACCAACAUUGUUUCUCCCAUAUCGCCAAACCAAAAGCAGCUUUUUAUUCUUAAAUCAUCAGCCAACGGCGACCGCAAAAGACAACGGUAAAAGUGAUAUCCGAUCAUAAUCUAUCCGGAUCCAACACAAAUCUACAUCACUCAGUGGUAUGAAUUAUUUUUUGAACUUACUGAACUCAGUCGGGUGAAUCUGAGUCUGGCGACAGGCUGCCUGUCGCAGUAAAACUUGGUGCGACAGGCAACCUGUCGUACCAAACCUUGGUGCGACGGGCACCCUUGGAGAUUUAUUAAAAAUGUAUUAUUUUAAUAGGACUCAAAUAAUUUUUUUUUAUAAUUUCAGGCUUAAUGGAUUCAGUUGUACUUGAAUUGUGUUACGAUGGUUGGUGGGAGACAUUAGAGAAUGGCUGUAUGGAGUACGUGAAUGGUAAAAAUCGAGCUUUUUUGGUUGGAAAAAAUUACUUGUUUGAUCAGUUAUUGGCAAGAGUAUACGAGGUAUUAAAAAUAAACCCUAAUGACUAUAGUAUCACAAUGAAGACAACUUUGAGGUCUAGUAACACAUUAUAUCGUAUAUGUGCAAUGCCCAUGGAUAUAUGUGAUGAUGAAAUGGUGAGGGUUGUGUUGCAUAUGGCAUCUGACGUAGCUAAUUUUGGAUGCAUUCCUAUAUUCGUGACCACAUCACCUCGACUUCCGAGCGAAGGUAUUGAGCCACAUGUCGAUAUAGAAACUUCGUUUAGAGCAAAUAUGUCUGGCCCCGAUAAUGAUGAAGAGGUGUUGCCAAGGACAAUAUCGCUGCAGCAAUAUUACUCUCCAAUCCACGACAAUUAUGAUAACAUUGAUGAUAAUAGCGUUACGUUACAGGAUGUUGGAGCAACGGUAUUUCCAAUAACAACGUCGUUGGAGCAACGAUAUUCUCCGUAUCACAACAAUGAUUUUCGGGACAAUGAUGAUUUUCAUAAUGAGACAGAGGAGGAUAAUGUUUGUGCAGAACCUUCUAAUAAUACGAGGCGGGGCACUCGUUUCAAUAAUGAUGGUGAUGAUGGAGGAGUCGGUCAUUCGAAUGUUCCGUCGUUUCAGCAUGAGGAUGAGUGUGAAGACAAUACUCCUGUGAAUAACAGAGGCAAUAGACCUAUUCCUUCUAUGGUUCGAUCGAGAAGGAGAAUUGACCCCCUUACAAGUCUUGCUCCAACUUUACCUUCGAACAUGGUUGCUCCAAGCUUUGUUAGCAGUUGUGACUCAGAUGAUAUCAGCGUGGGUAAGCUAUUUGUUGAGAAGAAUGAGCUUAUAUUACAACUACGCAAGGUGGCCUUUAGAGAUAAGUUUGAUUUCAAGAUUGCACGGUCUACUACGACACGUUUCGAGGCUCACUGUUGUUCAGAAUCAUGUAAAUGGCAUAUUCGAGCAACUAGAAGUUCGAACGAGCAAAAUGUUCCUUGGGUGGUGAAGAGAAUUGAUAAUGUACACACUUGUCAUAAUGAGGUAUUGAUUGAUGGACGUCAUCAAGUAAGGAGCCGGGUUGUCGGUCAUAUUAUCGCAGAAAAAUAUAUUCAAGAUAAGAGGAUUUAUACUCCCAAUGACAUAAGAGCAGAUAUGCAACAGGAAUACGGUGUUCAGUUAACAUACCAGCAGGCAUAUAGGGCGAGAGAAGUUGGUCUUGAAAUAGUUCACGGCAACCCUGCAGAGUCAUACAACUUGCUCCCUAAAUACUCUCACGUACUAACUACAACGAAUGAGGGUACAGUCACUCACCUCGAGCAGGAUGGAGAUGGUAAUUUCUUGUACUAUUUUGUAGCACUCGGAUAUUCCAUCAAGGGGUUUAUGCAGUACAUUCGGCCUGUCAUUGCUGUAGAUGGUACUCAUCUAAAGAGAUUAUAUCGUGGAAGCAUGUUCGUGGCAACAUGUCUUGAUGGUAACAAUCAAUUGUAUCCGUUAGCCAUUGGGAUCAUGGAUUCAGAAAAUAAUGAUGCUUGGGAAUGGUUUAUGAUGAAGUUACACGGAGUGAUUGGUGAUAGACCUGAGUUGGUAAUUAUCUCUGAUCGAUGCACUGCCAUAAGGAGAGCCGUUCUUAAAGUAUUUCACAAUGCAACUCAUGGCGUUUGUUUUUACCACGUCAAAGGUAACAUUAAGUCACAAUUUAGAAUGUCCAAAGCUCUUUGGGAUGAAUUUGAGCAUGCCUUUAUUAAUGCAGCAAAAGCAUAUGGCCACGAGGAAUUUAAGAGACAACUUGAAGGGUUGUGGAUGAUCCACUCGGGUGCGGCUGAUUACUUAGAAAAUAAUGUCGGCACGUGUAAUUGGGCAAGGUCUCAGUUUCAAGGUAGGAGGUACAACAUUCUUACCACCAACAUCGCGGAGAGUGUUAAUGCUUUCAUGAGGGAACCUCGAAAAUUUCCUGUUACUCAUCUUGUUGAUCACUUCAGGAAAACAUUGCAGCAAUUGUUUUAUGAUAGAAAAAUUGUGGCUGAAUCAAUGACUACUCGGCUAACAACAUGGGCGGAUGAAAUAGUCACUGAGAGGAGAACUAUAGCUGAAAGAAUGAUAGUUCGGCCGGUGUCUCCGCAUCGCUUUCAAGUUAUAGGCGGUGGGCUUAAGGAAGGGUUGGUUGACUUGCAAAAGAGAACUUGCUCCUGCAGAGUGUUUCAGCUUGAUCAGCAUGUGUGUGCUCAUGCAAUUGCGGCGUGUCUAACACACCGGGUGGAUUUUAUUAACCUUUGCUCGGACUUUUACACUACAGAAUCGUUGGCGAUGGCUUAUGCACAACCAGUGGAGCCAGUUGGUGAUGUGGCUGAUUGGGAAGUUCCAGAUGAAAUUCAGGAGAUGCAGGUAUACCCACCAGUUGAGGCACCACUACCUGGCCGUCGUAAAGAGCUCAGAAUACCCUCGACUGGCGAGGACGUUGACCGGCGGACUGUAAGAUGCGGCCGGUGUCAUGAACUAGGCCAUAAUCGUAAGCGAUGUAAGAAUCCUAUUGCGUCGACUCGAAGUUAGUUGUAUUUUGUGUGUUAUUCGUUGGUUAAAACUAUUAUUGUUUUUGUGUUACAUUGGUUAAAACUGUUAUUGUUUUUUGUAUUUCGUUGGUUAAAACUGUUAUUGUUUUUUGUGUAUUGUACACUUAUAUUCAUAAAACUUUAUUUUAUUUUAAAGUUCAAAAUGUGAGGCAUUAAAAUUAUAUAAACUUAAGUGCGGAAAUUAAAAAAAAUGCAAAUUUCAACAUUGAAAUUACUACAUAGGUCUACAAUAUAAUAUCGUCAUUAAAUAUAUCAACCGCAAUCUUCUUUCUAAAGUACUCGACAUGACUAGCGUUAAACUCCAAUCUAAGCCCGAACAUUAAAUACAUCGUAACCAUCAAUACAAAAACACUGCAAUCGCUAGUUCCGGGCUCUUGUUGUGGUGCGCUCUUAACUGCGAUAACUUUCCACGGGUCUUCACUCCGCAACUCAGGUCGGAUAUUGUAGAAGCCAACAUAUUCCAACCAUCGAGGGAAUAUAACUUCAAGUGGCUUGAAUUUCAACUUGUACUUUUUGUCGUCGCGAAAUGUGAGUAAUGAGUCAUAAAUCCAGACUUUAUUUUUCCGAAAGUCAACUCGUGCUAGUACCCAAUGCGCGCCGUCCAAGUUAACAGGGAUGAGUAACUGCAUAUAAAAAUUAAAAAAACAUGUUCGUUAUAUAUGAAAUUGAAAUACAACAAAGAAAAAGCAACAACUCGAAUAUUUUCAUUAUAGAGCAUGUGAAAUGUAAUAAAAUACACACCAUAUCGACAUCCGUCAUUAAUUUUGACAUUGUGUGCUGUCGCCCACAAAGAUAACUAUUCAAGCGGUCGUCGAAUACCAUUGAAUCAACUGCACAAUUCCUGUUAUUCCAUAACUGAUUCAAGAACACCUAGUACAUAGAUAACCAAGAAAUGCAUAAAUUAAUAAAACUUAAAGGCAAUAAUUAAACAAAUUAAAUAGUAUUUAUAAGUUUUGUCGGCACGUUACCCAAAAAAAUGUGUCAGUAUGUGUGACACGUUGGAGUAAGGCAUUUGGAUACUGCCGUUGUUUCUCGCUAAUCAAGCGGAGAUACUCGUGAAUAUGCUGUAGAGAAACAAAAAUAUUACGAUUUAAAAAAAAAUUAUACACAAAUCCACAACAGUAUACACCACGAGGAAAAUAUAAAUACCUCAUCGCCUAGCCAUCCCAUCGAAGCUGUCCCCAAAAUUAUUUGAAAGAAUGACCGCAGGUGCUGGACUCUCCGGCGGACUCUGCUAUCACCAGUGAACCAUCGAUCAAACUCAGCAAACAAACUAGAGUCCUCCAAUCCUCUCAGUGGAUUUACAUCCACACUCGUACUCAUGUCAAUCGCAUGCUCCAUCAUUUGGGGUCGAGGUAACCUCCGGACGUUCUGUCCACGCCUGACCGGAGGAAUCAUGUAAGGACUGUUAUAAACAUACGACGGUAUGUACGCGCGGCCGAACUUACUAACGCCCGGAGGCACCUCUGUGAACACCUGCAUGCUCUCCCCACUAACAUCCCCGUAUAAACUAUAAAAUGACGUGGGCGUAGACAAAUUUUCAUUGCCCACGUCAGUAUACACUCCAUAGUCAUCCGGGGCCUGUACAUUCGCCAAAAAGAACAUAUUAAAUAAUUAUCAAAUUAAAAGUUAAACGAACAUAAUUAUUUAAUUUAAAUUAGCUUACCGCAUACGAGCGUGCAGUGGGAGAAUCCUUAUUUGGAUGUUUAGAAAAUGUGUCGAUGAAGCCAACAACGGUUUCUUUAAAAUCUUUUAAUUCUGACUUUAUUUCAUACACAUUACGAUCAAUCUUAUCCAGCCGUCGUCGUACGUAAUCAUUAAACUGCUUUGUCCUCGACUAUUACAAAAGAAAAAAAUAAAACUUUAGAAUAACAAUAAAAAAAUAAUAAUUUAUAAAGGAAAAAUAUCGUAUAUUAUUUAUAACCUCAGAAUCCCGUGCGUCAUCAGAGUUGUCUGUUUGCUGCUGGUGGUCAUCAACAGCCACCUCAUCCUCAAAAGUGUCAAGACGCUGCUCUGGUAUUGGGUUUAGUAUGUCGUCAUGAUCAUCAUGCUCGUCCGAUUGUCUUGUAACCGACGGCAUCGCGUUGAUUGAGGGUUGGUGCUGUAUAAAGUAUCAUUUAAAAUUACUAAAUGAAAAGUCAAAAAUUUCGAUAAAAAAAUUUUUAGUACUUACAGUAUACCGACCUUAUGAAUCCAAUCUGGAAUGCUUGGCAAGUAAUCCUUCACAGAGAGUCAAUAUUUUCUGCUACUCUCUUUUGAAUUUGGCUCAAGAGUUUGUAAAAUGUCCGUCUGCCAUAAAUUCAAUUGAAAAAUUUAAGUAAGUAUACCCAACUUAAAUUUAGUAAAGUUAAAAAAUAAGUAAUACAUAUUACUUACAAGACGAGAUUCGUCGUUGAAGAACGAAUAAACCUCCGCAAAGUUGAUUCUCGAAGACGUCAUGGGCUUCCAUUGCAGAAUGCGGGGAAUCUUACUCUUCGUUUUGACGACCCAUGUUGAUGGCAACCCUCCGAUUGCUUCGUAAAUCCAAGCCUACAACAAACCAAAGUGAAAAAUCAAAUAAAACAACUAUCAAAUAUUUAAUACUAUAAAACUUAUUAAUAAACAAAAAAAAGCACCUGCACCCCAGACGUAAAGCCGUAAAGAUUAUAUUUUUCAAUAUUAUGAUCUGAAUUUUUCAACCGAGUCUUCUUAAAUUUCUCGUCUUUCUCGAACAGUGCAUUGUCAAGACUCUCGUAAAUCAUUUCCCACGACAAUAGACCCCAUGGCGCUUUCGGAAGUACUGUAUAUCAUCAACUUGGUCAAGCCAAUCGAAAUUAAUUUGACAGUGAUUUUUUCUUGCAUUUAGUACUCUGUCCGCAAAAUAAAACAGCGCAAUCUUUAAUGCGUCCAUAUCGUCCAUUUCCUCGAAAUUCAACUCCUUAAAUACUGCAUCAAAUUGCUUCACAUUAAUCUUACGAUGCACACCACCAAAAUACGUAUUCCGUAGCCUCUGCUCCAUUUCAUCAUUUUUUUCAUUGGUAUCAACACCAAAUGAAAGUCCAGUAACCAAGCACCAUUCGAUAAUUGACAAGCGAAUCAAAUGCUUACCAAUUUGAAACCAUAACUGAUCCUCACAGCUAUCUUCUUCAUGGGCCACUUGCCGCAGUAAACGAUUGUGCAAAAUUACCCCACUAAAUGGAAAACUUCGGCACUCCAAGAAAUGCCCAAAUAUAUCCUUUUUGAACAUACUCAACUGCCGCUUUGUUAAUUUUUCCUCGAUGGCUUUUACGACCGAAGAUAACAUACACAUGCUCGAAAUUCGACCAGGAAAGUGAUCAGCAUAACGAAAAUACAUCUUGCCUACUUCAAUAUCCGGUGAUUCUGAUUUCGCCAUGUAUCUGUAAUAUUUAUAAAAUUAUUACAUUACAUUUACAAAAUUAUUACCAAACUCUAAUUUUUUGGUGCGACAGGCGCCUGUCGCUCCAAAAAACUGCCUGUCGCACCACAGCUGGUGCUCCAAAAUCGAAAACAAUACUCCCAAACACUACCAACUACCACAAACAUCAUCACCACCACUAUUAAUCUCAAGCUAUAACUAUUAUUAUUCUAAAAUCUCAUUUUAAAUUAAUGAAAAUAAGAAAAAUGACUAACCUAGGUUUUGUUGAAGGUUGUAGAUCGUAGAUCGGAUGCCGGUGAGAGAUGGAGCCGCCGCCGACGAGGGUUGAUGUCGCCGCCGAUGAUGGGAGUUGGAUCGGUUUGGGAGAGAUGAGUGAAAAAGGGAGUGUUGGGGAAGAGAUGAGGGAUGGGUAUUUUGGUCUCAAAUGUUGUUUUAUGGCUAAUGUUGAUAGAAAUAUUUUUGGGGGGUUAAGAUGAAAAAAAACAAAUUUGUUUUGGUUAUUACUGUAAAUUUCCCAUUCCCUUUCAUGCUCUUAAUAAUUGAAGAGCAUACUUUUCAUUUUCAAAUGUGGAGCCGCAUCUAAUGUCGCUAAUUUAAUUUGGGAUUAAAUUAGGGGACCAUUAUAUUGCAGUGUGUACUAAUUUUUGUGUUUAUCUAAACUCCUUAAGUUUAAGACAUAUUAUGGCAUAAAUAAGAAUAUAACAAUAACAAAAGAGAUGCCGGAGCAGAUCAGCAGGGUUUGAAUAUGACCUUUGGCGGUUGCUUUUUUUUUGUGAUUUUUUUCAUUUUUUCCUUCCUGUCAUUUUAUCAUUUAUUUGGCUCUGUUUCUAUUGCGGGUGUUACUGCAUGCUUACUGUUGCUUGACAAAGUUUGCUAGCUUUUUGUUUGCAGUGCUGCUAUUCACCCCGAGUCAAGCUCCGAAAAUUUAUUAAACAACGCCGUUUCGAUAGUAACAAUUUUUUUCUUUUCCCUUUGUCUGUCUCUUUCAUCUGCUGUUUCUCUAUCACUUUUCAUUUUUUAUUUCCUUACUUCCCAGCUGCCCCUAAAUUGUUAUUCUAGCAAUAUACUUUCUCAUCUUUGAAUUUUCAUCCUUGAGUACUCCCACAGCCGUAAUUUCAUCAUUAUAGACUUCACUUGGAAUGCUGUAUUUUUUCGAUUCUUAAGCUACUUCAAUUACAUCUCCCAGUAUAGGAUCCUCAUCUUCCUUUAUUUCUUCAUCUUAUGAGGUAACAAAUGGAUUUCACAACUCAUCUACUUUUAAGCAAUUACAUAUUAUACCUUGAAUGAUUCAACUGUUCCGACAGUUAAAGAUUUUAUGCUCAACCUGCAGUGCUACGAACAUUGUCCAUGAAAGAUGAGUUUCAGCAUAUAAAAUGAAAUAUAGAUGUUUAAUCUAAAAUAACCCUUCACUGCCAAGAAACCUAGGUCACAAAAUUCACAGAUAAUGAUAAAGAGCUAAAAAAUUUGAAAAACUCUACAGAUCACACAUCAAGCAAGAUAUCAUGUUUUUUUCCCUCAUUCGGUGGUGAUUGAUUCGCUUUUUGAUGAUGGAUAUGGUAUAAAAGUUUUGACCCAAUUUCAAGCAAACACAAAUAGAAACACAAAUAGAAACACAAACACAAUCAGGACUAGAGUUGUGGGCGAUUAUCUUAGGUGUACAAGUGAAACGGUGGUGGCUGUCGAUGGUGGUAGUGGGGUGGUUGGGUAUGCGUGAUGGCUAGAUUUUAGGACAAUAAUGGUUGGAGUUGACCUCGAUCAACGAAGGAAAGUGACAACAAUUUUGACAUCAAACGGUGCAUUUUUUAGCUUAGUAAAAUGGAGCCGUUUCGAAUUUGGGGUUUAAUCCGGGGUUUGACUCGGCGCAAGUAUCAUUUUCCUUUUGUUUAUUAAAUUUUUUAUGGUCACAAAGUAUUACUCGUUCUAUUUGAGAGUGAUGUGAAUCAAUUUUUCAAUUUUAUAUUUUGUGGUCAAUGUGAAUUUAAUUUCAUUUGUCUCCUGCAAUUAUGAAAAAAUUGCAGUCAUAAUAUGGAAAAGUACACCGGCAAAAACUUUGUAAAAGCUUCGGAGUGAUACGGGGAAUUUACUUACUACUGAGGACAAUUGGUGGCAAAGCUAUUCCAUUCAUUUUAUGUCCAUCCAUCUAUUUAGCUAUUGAAGAUUAGUGGUCCAUUUGUAAAUUUCAGAUUGUCUCUCUCUCUCUCUCCCACUUGAAAUAACAAUAUUUAAUAUAUCUCUUAAAUUAUUAUAAAUUUUAAUUUACUCUCGAUUUAAAAUGGAGCAUGUCGAUAAAAAAUUUUUCUUCUUAAUAAAAUUGACGUAAGUUGUGUGUUACAGUAGUUUGAAGUUUGAAAUAUUUUAAAGAUUAUUAUUCUAUAAGGGAGUAAUAUGAAAUGAUAUUUACUUUUCAUGUGUGAAAUGAAAAAGGACGAAGCAAGUGUCCCUGCUUUUAUUUUAUUUCAAGGAGGAGUCAUCUCACAUACUUUAGCUCUUAACAUUACAUUUUUUCUGGUUACAUUUUUUAUUUAUUUAUUUUUUUUUUUUUACACAUGCGUGUGGGUUGCUUUUCUGUAAGCUCCUUAAUAUAUAUUUAAGACAAAUCAUGGAAGAGAUGGGAUUAUAUCAAGAUGAUCAAAGCAUGUAAAAAAAGAAAAAAGAAAAAAAAAAAUUAAGAAGUAAGACACUGAAAAUGGAGAAGAGAUGGAAGCAAAAGAUAUUCCAAAACAAAGCAAUCUAUCCCCUUUCGAGGGCAGACUUAUCAGGUUUAAAAAAGUACAUGCUUUGGAUUGGUAGUUGCAAUCAAGGGAAAAUAAAUAGGAUCCAAUGAAAUUUAAAUCUCGGAGAAAAUAAAUAAUCAUGCAGAUUUUCAAGAUUUUAAUAAGGGAUACUAAUAUCUUAUUUUGAUUAAUAACAUUCUUUUAUUGUGUUAACUCAAAAAAAAUAUUAUAAUGCUUUACAAUAAAUACAAAUGUCCUAUUAAAUGAAUAUAUAAAAAAUUUAGAAAAUUUAGAAUAUUAUAUAAAAUAAUUUUAAUAUAAUGCGUGAGAUAUAUUUUAUUAAUUUAAAAUGUCAUUUUACCUAAAAAAUAUGAUAAAUUAAUAAUUACAUAUUUGAAGUUAUUUCAAAUAUUACUUAAUUGUUUUUACUUUAAACAUUACCGGCCUUUCUUUUAUUUUAUUGCAAAUUAAUGCUAACAAGAAAAAGCUAGAUCAUAUUCCACAAAAGCAAAAGUGACAAACACAACCAGCUGGAAUCUUUUAUAAAACUACAAAUUAAAAUGGAGUUUUUUUAAAAAAAUUGUUAUAAAUUGGUGGCCCCUACAAUCCUCAAUAAUUGCACCGAUAUUCACAAGUUGGUGGCCCCUACAAUUCUGUUCCGAUAAUAAUUGUUUUUAUUUUUCUGCAUUCCCUUUCAUGCUCUUAAUAAUUGAAGAGCAUACUUUUCAAAUGUGGAGCCACAGCUAAUGUCGCUAAUUUAAUUUGGGAUUAAAUUAGGGGACCAUUAUAUUACAGUGUGCACUAAUUUUUGUGUUUAUCUAAACUCCUUAAAUUUAAGAUAUAUUAUGGCAUAAAUAAGAAUAUAACAAUAACAAAAGAGUAAAAAAGUGUAGAGAAGAUCUUGCAGAAAUAUAAAUAAUAUCUAUUUUAAAAUAAUUUUUAAUAUUUUAUGAUCCAUUAGAUAUAUUUAUUAUAUUAAAGUAAAUUUUAUAAUAAAUAAAAACAUACUAUUAAAAUGAAUAUAUAGAAAAUUUAGAGUAUUUUAAAUAUUAUAUAAAAAAUUUUUAAUAAAAUAUGUGAGAUAUUCAUAUUUUAUUAAUUUAAAAUACCAUUUAACCUAAAGAUUUAUUUAUGAUAAAUUAAUAAUUAUAUUUUUGAAAUUACUUCAAAUAUUAAAAAAUUAAUAUUACUAAUCUGUUAGAUAGAUUAAAUUAUAUAUAUUAUUUUCUAUUUAUUAAAAAAUUAAAAUUAUUUUUAAUUACUAUUCAAAAAAUAUAAUGAAAAAACAUAAUGAUAAAAAAAUCUUAACAUCUUUAUUAAAAAAUUAAAAACUUAUAUGAUAAAUUCUCUAAAUAUUUACGGUAUAUGUGAACCACGGUGGAUAAGCUUUAUUUAAUAUUAUUGAUUUAAAUAAUAUGUCAAUUAAAAAUGUACAGAGAAGAAAUUUCGGUGGGUAUUUUAGUCUUUUAAGCAAUUAUCAUGAUCAGAUCAGCCUUUAGCCUUCAAACGUCGGUCAGAAAAGUUUUAAAAUUAAUGCUAAAUUGUUUUUCACUUUUAACGUUGGUGGCCUUGAAAUUGCUUGUAUUUUAUUAAAAAUUAAUGCUAACAAGAAAAAGCUAGGUCAUAUUCCACAAAAUCAAAAGUGACAAAACAACCAGCUGGUUUCUUUUACUAAACUACAAAUUAAAAUAAAUUUUUUCGAUAAAUUACAAAUUAAAGUGGAUUCUUUUGAAUACAAAUGGGACAGACGAUUAGGCUCUUUUUAUUAGAGGCAAGUAAAAACUAGUCAAGAAUCGAACAGUCUUUUUCCAAUUCUUGUUUUAUUAUUUUUCAAAACUAGUUUUUGGUAAUUACAACCGGGUCAUUAAUCAUUAUUCAGAGUUACUGUUAUCUUCGGGGGCAGUGGGUAAAAGAUAAUUACUAACUGUUUUUCCUUCAAAAGUUAGCGGCUCAUGUUUGCAAGUGUGAAUGUGCGAUGCUCUUUUCUUAAAGGCCAUUACAGUGGGGCCCGAAUCAGACGUGCCUAAAUCUUUUUAAAAUUUUUGCCGUAUAACGAACAGAGGUCAUUACUAAAAUUUCUCUUCCACAGCCUACAGCAGCUUCAGUUUAUCAAACUCCAUCAAUUUUCUUUCUUAACAAAAUUCCAAAGAUGUGUAGCAUUUUUCAGAUCACAUGCGAUGGUGCUCUUUUCAAUCGUUGCUUGGAUUGCUUUCUUGGAAAAGCAGCAUACAUACGUAACCUCCAAGAUAAUCUUGUAGCCUUGGAGACUGAACUGGGAAGACUAAUCGCAGCAAAGAACGAUGUGAUGAUGAGGGUUGUCAAUGCUGAACGGCAACAAAUGAGAAGGCUGGACGGAGUGCAAGUGUGGGUUUCGAGGGUGGAUUCUGUUAAAACUGGAGCCGACGAACUUAUCACAGACGGCUCUGAAGAAAUUGGCAAAUUAUGUGUUGGAGGCUACUGUUCCAAGAACUGCAGGUCAAGCUACAAAUCGAAAACAAGUGGCUAGAAAGCUACGACAUGUGAAGACUUUAAUCGCCGAGGGAGUUUUUGAGGCGGUGGCCACUGAGGUGGUGCCCGAGAGAGCUCCGGAACCUGUAGCAGAUAAAAGACCCACUGAGCCAACAAUAGUAGGCUUGCAAUCACAGCUUGAACAAGUUUGGAGAUGUCUUGUAGAAGAAUCAGUGGGAAUCAUUGGCCUAUAUGGUAUGGGCGGUGUUGGUAAAACCACACUAUUGACCCAUAUCAACAAUAAAUUUCUUGAGAGUCCCACAAACUUUGAUUGUGUGAUUUGGGUCGUAGUUUCAAAAGACCUGCGACUUGAAAAAAUUCAAGAAGAUAUUGGGAAGAAGAUAGGUCUGUCUGAUGAUUCAUGGAAGAAUAAAAGUUUUGAAGAGAAAGCUGUGGACAUCCUGCCGAGAUUAGGAGAGAAGAGAUUUGUAUUGUUGUUAGAUGAUUUAUGGGAGCGGGUUGAUUUAACAGAAGUGGGCGUUCCACUUCCCAGCGCACAAAAUACUACCUCAAAAGUCGUAUUCACAACCCGUUCCAUUGGUGUUUGUGGCAGCAUGAGAGCUAGGCCGGUUAAAGUGGCAUGCCUAUCAGAAAAGCAAGCUUGGGAACUGUUCCGCGAAAAUGUUGGGGAAGAAACUCUUGAGAGUGAUCAUGAGAUCGUUGAGCUAGCCCAAACUGUGGCCAAAGAGUGUGAUGGUUUGCCACUCGCACUUAUUACUAUUGGUCGAGCUAUGGCCUACAGAAAGACAGCCGAGGAGUGGAGUCAUGCAAUUGAUGUGCUAAGAACAUCAGCUUCUGAGUUUGCAGGUUUGGGAGAGAAGGUGUAUCGUCUUUUAAAGUUUAGCUAUGAUAGUUUGCAGAAUGAUACGGUUAGAUCUUGUUUCUUGUACUGUUGUUUAUAUCCUGAAGAUUAUGGCAUUCUUAAAUGGGACUUGAUUGAUUGUUGGUUUGGCGAGGGAUUUUUUGGGGAAUCUGACAGGUCUGGUGCAGAAAACCAAGGAUAUGACAUUUUGGACACUCUUGUUCGUGCAUGUUUAUUAGAAGCGGUGGAAGAUGGUGAAGUAAAAAUGCAUGACGUUAUUCGUGAUAUGGCUAUAUGGAUAACUUGUGAAAUUGAGAAGGAGAAGAGAAACUUUUUGGUUCGUGCAGGUGCUGGAUUAAAAGAGGCACCGGAUGUUAAAGGAUGGGAAAAUGUGAGAAGAUUGUCAUUGAUGCAAAACCAAAUUGAAACUGUGUCAGAGGUUCCCACAUGCCCUCAUCUCCUCACUUUAUUUCUUGACUUUAAUCAGGAGUUGGAGAUGAUCGCGGAUGGCUUCUUCCAACUUAUGCCUUCUCUCAAAGUUUUGAAGAUGUCAAACUGUGGACAGAGGAGGUUGAAAUUACCUGUUGGGAUGUCAGUGUUGGGUUCAUCACUAGAACUUCUCGAUAUUUCAUGUACUGGCAUAACAGAGUUACCAGAGGAGUUAAAGAAGUUGGUAAAUCUGAAAUGUUUGAAUUUGAGGUGGACAGGUGCGUUAAUUAGAAUUCCACGGCAACUAAUAUCAAAAUUUUCAAGGUUACGUGUGUUGAGAAUGUUCGCUAUUGGCUAUGAUCGUUUUCAUGAAGCACCAGAAGACAGCGUUUUAUUUGGUGGGGGUGAAGUUUUGAUACAGGAAUUGCUCGGUUUGAAAUAUUUAGAGGUAUUGGAGUUGAGCUUGGGAAGUUAUCAUGCUCUCCAAAUUCUUUUGAGCUCAAAUAAGUUAAAAAGUUGUAUUCGAUCUCUUUGCCUCGAGUUCGCCGGAGAUACAGCGUCAAUUAUUGAUGCUACGGCUUUCGCAGAUCUAAACUACCUCAAUGAAUUAAAUAUUUAUAGUGGUUUUGAGUUGGAAGAGUUGAAGAUUGAUUAUACAGAGAUAGUACGAAAAAGGCGGGAACCUUUUGUUUUCCGCAACCUUCACCGUGUUACUAUACAUAGCUGCCAGAAGUUGAAAGAUUUGACAUUCCUCGUUUUUGCUCCAAACCUCAAGUCUGUUCAGCUACUCGAUUGCUAUGCUAUGGAAGAAAUAAUCAGCGUCGGAAAAUUUGCUGAGACUCCUGAGAUGAUGGGACAUAUAAGCCCUUUUGAAAAUCUCCAAAUGCUUGAUUUAGAAGAUUUGCCACAUUUGAAGAGCAUCUUCUGGAAGCCAUUGCCUUUCACUCAUCUGAAAGAAAUGGCGGUAAGUGGGUGUGAUCAGCUUGAAAAGCUUCCACUCGAUUCCAACAGUGCAAAGGAGCGUAAAUUUGUAAUUCGUGGAGAAGAAGACUGGUGGAACCGACUUCAAUGGGAGGAUGAAGCCACUCAAAUUGCUUUUCGUUCCUGUUUCCAACCUUAUUCCUGAGCGGUGGUCGCAAAUUUUGAUUCUCUGUUUUUAUUUCUGGUUAGUUUCUCUCUCUCUCUUUCUCUCUCGCUCUCUCUCUUUUUGUCUUCUGCAAAUCACAAUUAAAUGUUGAAUUAAUGGAAUUAAUGCUUCAUAAAUUUGCCGGCACAGCCACUACUUUUUUUUGGGGGGGGGGGGGGGGGGGGUCGAAUUGGUGCUCUGGUUUUUGACUUUUUGUUAGCGAUUUAAUUUCCUGUCAAAAGACGAGCGAGAAGAACAUAUAUAUGACGUAAACCAAUUGAUACUUUAUUUAUGUGCAUUGUAUGUAAUAAAUAUUAAGUAUACUUUAUUUUUGCCCUGUUCUCUGUUUUUAUUUCAGUCUCUCUCUCUCUCUCUCUGCUGUCUCCUGUCUCCUGCAAAUCACAAUUAAAUGUUGAAUUAUAUGGAAUUAAUCCUUCAUAAAUCUGCCUGCGCUGGCUUUUUUUUUUUUUUUGUGGGGGUCGAAUUGAUGCUCUGGUUUUCGACUACUUUUUGUUGUCAAAAUUUUCUCUGUUUUUUCAAAUUGAUGCUUUAUUGAUAUCUUCUUCGUGAAAAGUGAUUUAAUUUCCUGCCAAAAGACGAACGAGAAGAACAUUAGAGUCAAACUAAUGCUCACAUAAAUUUCCCGUAAGAAUAUAUAAUUAUUAAGAUAGAUCUGCUCUUUCAUUAAAUAUAUAUUCCUUUUUCACAUAUUAAUUGACCUUUAUUUAAUUUGUUUAAAAAGUUUAAUUAAUUGUUGUUUGCAGAGAAUCAUCUACGCCGCUCGCCGAUAAAAGUUGAGGUGUUCGAGCAGGUGCUUGCCUUUUUUUUUUUCUUUUUCUUUUUUCCCUGUUUUAAUAUUUCUUUAAAUUUUGAAAUUGUUUAAUUAUUCUUCUGGUUUGGAAUGUUGAUAAUAGUGUUGUGAAAUUAAUUUUUACAGGAUAAAAGGUUGUGGGACAUUUAUUAUCCAUGUCCUAUGUAUCUCAAGCUUAAAGGUCUCAGUGGUCCUCUAUUGGAAAAAGCAAGUUUAAUAUAUAUUAAUUGGAUAUCGUCGCCUGUAUAUAUAUGUAUAUACAUACAUACACAGCCACUCAUCGAUUAUAGACUUAAUUAUUUAAUUGAUUAUGUAAUCUCUCGUAGUUUCUUUGUGCAUUUUUAGUUAAUUUAAUGAAUAAACUCAAAUACAUUGUAAAUAAAACCAAAUUAAAUGUUCCCUAAAAUAUACGUAUAUGCCUCUCGAUGGCACACAAGGUUAAAUGUCAGCCCAUCGCGGGUAAUAUUAUUUCUAGCCGCCUUCAUUACGAGUUAAGAGUCAAUUAUUACUAAACUAAACUAGUCAAAACUCGUAAGUGCUAGAAAGUAGAAACGUUUGAUUCUAUAUAAAUGACUUCAAUUCAAUAUGUACCAAAGAGUAUCGAUAAUUGAACCCCAAAAAACUUUAAAAAAGAUUGACAAAAUUAAUUAUAUUAUUGUGUGUUUUUAGAAGAAAAAAUAAAAUAAUUAAUUAAUGUUAUAACACUAUGUUAGGUGAAAAGUCAGCUGUCUGGAAGAGAACAAACUUACUAAGAUAAGAGCCUUCUUCAGUAAUCAACCGAACGAAAAAGUCAUCUCUUUUCUUAUUUAUUUAGUAAAAAUAAGUAAAGGCCGAAAAUUUCCUAAAAUAUCUAAAUCCCUCUCUUUAAAAGAACACCAUAUGCUGCAUAACAUGCAAAUUAAUUUCCCAUAUGUGAUGCAAUUUUCUCCUCAACAUAUGCGCAAUUCUUUCCAUUCCGGCAUUUACACUCAAAUUUUCCUUCCUUUCUCUUUGUGGUUGAAUCUUACACCACAACUCAUGUGAUGCAAUCUCCUCUCGCUGCCUAAAUUGCACUCUCAGCAAAGCAGCAUAUGUAAGCAAGCUUGAAGAUAAUCUUGCUGCUCUGCGGAAGAACGGCAAAAGUUAAUCGAAGCAAGGACUGAUGUAUCAGAAAAAUUUUGGUGGAGAAUUCAGCACAAACAUAUUUCGGAUGAUCAGAAUCAAUAAAACAUGGUGGUUGCGCCAUAUAAACAUCUUCGGAAAGCUGGCCUUGAAGAAAGGCGUUUAUUGAUAUCCAAUUGACGAAGAGGCCAGCCAUGACUAACAUCAAUACUAAGAACAAGCCGUACUGUGGUGGGCUUAACAACUGGACUGAAAGUGUCAUAAUAGUCCACACCAGGCCGUUGAUUGAACCCUUUGGCAAUAAGACGAGCUUUGAACCUGUCAACAGAACCGUUGGAAUGUCUUUUAAUACAAAAAUCCAUUUGCAGCCAACAAUAUUGGAAAGGAUGGGAGGUGGAACAAGCUUCCAUGUCCCGUUAAGAACAAGAGCAUCAUACUCUUCUGACAUAGAUUGACGCCAGUGAGGAUUUUUGAUAGCUUGCGUCACAGUUGUAGGUUCACAAUCAGAAGGAGGGCUAAAAUGAGCACAGAGGUUAAGUUUUUGUAACGGCUUGUGAAUGUUAUUUUUAGCUCCGGUAGUCAUAUCAUGAUGAUUUGUGGGGCAACGAUCUAGUGGAGUUUGGGAAGAUGAUUGAACAGGAAGUGAAGAAGUGCUUUGUGUAGAGGUAGAAAUAGGUUGGGAGGAUUGCUGCGGAGAUGUUACCGGUAGAGAAGAAGGAGCAGUACACGGUGGCAACUCCAAAGGGCCCACAAUAGAUGGAGUAGGUGCCGACGAUGGAGUACUAGGAAAUGAAACAGUAAGAAUUGGUGGAACACUUGCGUAAUUAGGAGUUGUAGAUGAGCUUGUAAUGAUUUGUAUGGAAAAACAAACUCUACAAAUUUAACGUGACGUGAAAUAAAAAUUUGAAAGGUGGAUGGGUCAAAACAUAAAUAAGCACUUUGAGAUAAAGGAAUAUCCUAGAAAAACACAAGGCUUAGAGGGUGGUUCGAGUUUAUGUGAUGAAACACAAACAUUCAAAAUUUUUUAAGUUUAUAUUAAUUAGGAGUGGUACCAAAAAUUAAUUGGCUAUCGGGUUGUUGGAUGUGUUUUGGAUAUUUACAGCUAAGUUUGAGUAUCUCAACUUAAAAUUUGUAGCUUUCACUUGAAAAAAUUCAGUUAAAAUUUGCAAUGCAGACUGAUUGAUUUAUCAGUUUAACGUGUGCCAGGAAUGAAGAACUGGAAUAUCACCGUCAAGCAAGCACCCUGUGGAGCAAUACCAAACAAUGUACAAUCCGGCUUUGCUAGGUGACACUGGAGGCUUUUUGAAAAGUGCUUCACGCUCACUUGCACAGAUUGAGCAUCCCCUCUGGAUAUUGCCCUCUCUGAUCGAGUCUGAGCACUCAAAUUUUGGUCCUCAGAGGGAGCUACAGUUUUCUCUCCACUAACCAACAAUUUUCUAAACUCAGCACCUAGUGUGAUCUUGAGCCAUAUCUAAAGCAGUUUGAAGUUCAAGUACUUGAGCCCUUGACAAUGGUUUUAAAAUUGGAACAUCUUGGAUUACUGCAGACUUGUACCCCUUGGUUUCAAAGUAAGGAAAGGUAUUGCUUGAGUACAAUUUGGAGGCAGCUUCUUCACCAAUUUUAUUUGGAGGCGAUUGGCAGCGGAUCCAGCUGCACGAAGACUAAACAAGUCAGAUGCAGUUUAUUUGUCCAAGCACAAAUUGCAUUUUGUCCUCAACUUUAAUAUUUAUUGAUGAGAAUCAAUACAGGUCCCUCAUUUGUUAUAGAAAGCUUUAUUGUAGUCUCACCAGUUAAUUCACAGGUCUAUAAUCAUCUUGCAAAGUUAAGGGCAUUUCUUUCGAUCUAAAGUCUUUGCAUCACCACCUCAUCACACGCCAAGCCAAUAUUCCAUUUACCUCUGCAACAAAAAGUUUUAAGUAAACAAUCCUAAUGCACGCAGCCAAAUAAAAUGCAGUAAGAAUAUUCAACUUAAAAAUCUGAAAGCCAACUUGGUGAAUUGCCUCCUUAGGUGAAGUUCCAUGCUUUACUAUAGUUGACAGAACUCAGCAAAAGCUUCCAUACAACAGAUUUUGAAAAUGAUGAUGCCAAUAGAUACUCAUUCAAUCCAUUGAAAAUCCAAAGGUUCAUUGUUAAUAGAAGUUUACAGAGUUUUGGUCAUCAAAUAGCUCAGACCUAAUCCCAAACAAAAAACGAGUGAAAAUUAGAUCACGAGCAGCUAAUUGUAAAUUCUAACUUAACUCUUCAUCUCCUUUGUAAACAAGAAACAAAAUGGAGACACGCAAAAUGAAUAUGGAGAAAAUUUGAACUCAAAUGAAAUGAGGGCACGAAAGCAAACAAAUGGCAUGCACAAAAAAACCAAGCCUCAAUCAAAAACUAAUUAACCAUUAAGAAAAAAAUUGGUCAGAGAAUGAACUCCAAAUUCAGGAGUCAAGCAAGAAGCUUUCAUCAUUUCAGAAGCUCCUGUACAAAAAAACCAAGCCUCAAUCAAAAGCUUUCAUUAAUAAGUUAUGCUCUUUGGAAGCAAACCUAAAUUCCAAGAGAAACAGAAGCCAAAAAAUUUGCAAUUAUACGCAAAGGAAGUGAAGCACAGGAUUCUAUCACACAUAGGAAUUGUAUAACAAGAGAUCGAUAUAUCGAAUUAGAAAACUCAAUUCGAAUUUGUGUGAAAAAUCAAAAUUAGAAGAUUUCACAUUUCGAGAGGAACAAGCAACAGAUGACGUUCAAAAUUUCAGCCAUAACAUGCUAAAAAUGCUACACUUAACGGUUCAUUUUCAUGGAUUUUCUCGGGAAACAAACAGAAAAUUACGGUUCAGAGAGUUGACUGACCUUUUGGCUUUUGAAAUUGAGAAGAUCGCGCGCCAAAUUGGAAGAGGGAAAGUGAAAGUGCGAGUUUUAAUAUGGGUAGAUAAGGAAAUUUUAUUAGGUUGCGAGGGUAAAAAAGGAAAGAGAUAUCAUUAUUUUAUCAUCGAUAAUUAUUAAAUUUUUUUCCAAAAAAAAGAACAAGCAAGGAUAUUUUAUUGUCAUUACUAAGUUAAAAAAAAUUGUUUCAAAAUUACUUGAGUCAUAUCCAAUGGACCAACAAAGUAAUCGUUUUUAUUUUUAUUGAUUUUUGCAGGAAAUUAAUAACUUAAAAAUACUGAAAGCUAUUGUAAAAAUUUUUAUUAUCAACCUCAUAGUUUUUUUUUUUUGGGGGAAGAGAAUUCAAACAUUUUUUUUUUAAAUUUCCAAGAAUUCUUGACACCCGUCUUAAUUAAAAGCUAUAUUUUUAUUCAAGAGUCAUGCUAUUCAUUCACUCACAGACCAAAGGCUUUCCGCAGCAAUAUUAUUAUUUAAAUUACAACAAAGGGGAAAUCAAAUACGUCAUACAGAAGCUUAAAGCUGAAUCAACAAAAUCUAGAGCUCUCAACUACAAAAAUUACACUUGAUGAUCCUCUACAAGAUGAAGCUUGUUCAAUAUCUUAUCCAAAGCUUGUAAAGUAACCUUGUAACGAUCUUGAGAUUGCCUGCCUUCCUCGACGACCUGCACGAUGCGUUUGUACAAAUCAUCAUACCUGUGCACCGGAUUUUUAAUAUCAACGCCACUGCAGCUGUGAUUAAGAAAAUAAGAGCGUUUAACAUCUUUUCUCCAUCGAGAAAGAAUGUACUGAGAUGGGAUCUCCUGCACGCCACUCUGGUUUAGAACACAAAGAAUGUGUCUGCAUAAAUAUCCUCUGAAAUUGAACAACCCACAAACGCAAAGCACCUCCAAGUUGGAGGCAUUGUACAAAACAUCGAAAGCCCUUGAGUCUUUCUCAUUGCUACCAACCUCGAAUUCUUCCUUCACUAUGUAUGUUAUAGGUCCAUCAGCACUAACAUGUUUUGUGCUAUAGCAAGAGUACAUAGCCUCCACCUCCGUCUGAAACUUCCUUAACAUUUCAUUUGUGUACAGUUUUGAGAGUUGAAAUUCAUAGUAACAUCUUGGUUUCUGGAUACAACUUGAAUUUCUUGAAUCCAUAUCUGCCAAGGCUUCCAGUUGAUAAUUCGCCCGCAGUGCUUGAUCAUACUUGUCUAAGAAUUCUUUCAAAGGAGUAUUCUUAUCAAGAUAUCCUUCAAAGUAUGAAGUAGAAACCUCAUUCUGCGGGAACGAAAACACUCCUGAUAAAAAAGCUUCCUUCAAAUAAAUAGGAGCCCACCUUUUACGAUCUUCAUAUAAAGUUUGAAUCCAUCCGUGAUCCUUUAUUCCAUGACGUUGAAUCAUGUCUUUCCAAGCUGCUUCAAAUUUCUCAGGCCUGAGAGAGUGAUAAAUUGCUCUAUGUAAUGCAGCUUUAAUAGCUUCAUAUUCAAACAAUCCUUGGAGUUUCACUGGAAUUUUUUGCAUGAUGCAUGACAAUGAAAAGCAACGAUAAGCUCUUGGGAAAACAUCGCCAACAGCAAUUUGCAAGAUUCUACAUUGGUCAGUGAUGAUUGUUUGUGGAGAGCGCCCUAACAUACAUGUAAGCCACGCCCUAAACAACCAUGUAUAUGAUUCUAUGGUCUCACUGGCAAGUAAACCACAACCCAACAACACUGAUUGUCCAUAAUGAUUCACCCCAAUGAAUGAAACCAGUGGUACAUCAUAUCUUUCAAUCAAGCACGUAGUAUCAAUUAAGACUACAUCACCAAAGUACCUAUAUGCAACUCUUGACCUGGUAUCAGUCCAGAACAGGUUUCUCAAGCAUCCCUUUUCAUUUAGAUCCACUACAUUAAAAAAGUUUGGAUCUGUCAACUGCAAACGACAAAAGAAACUCUGGACAGCUUGUGCAUCACCUGGUUUAAGCUUCAAUUGAUUUGAGCUAUUAACAUUAUUUCCAAAUACUCCAUUAACAUCUACAUUACCAUUUCCCUAGGCAUCAAUGAUAAGAGUUCGAAACAGUUUAAUUUUUUGAACUUCUUCAGCACUAUCUAAAUGCAAUGUUCUUUUGGUUCCAAUACCUAUGUGCUUAUGUGACUUGCAAAACUUUCCACUUCUUGGGCUUAACAAGUGGUUAUGCUCAAGCUCGACUUCAAUGAUUCUCCACCUUUUGGUUUCCAUCAACCUAAACUUUAUCAUUGCUGGACAGCCAGCUCUUGUUUCUGGUCUUGGACGGUUUGCCUCACUUUUCUUCUUGAAGCUUGCACUACUACAGCUCAGCUUUCCUCUAUACUUUUCUCUACUCUUUCAGUACCAGGUAUUGCUAACUCUAACACCAAAACCCUGUUCCUUGGCAUAGCAAUUGUAAAAGUAAUAUACAUCAUCGUACAUCUCAAACUCCAUUCCAACAGCAGGAGGCAAGGGAUUUUGGAUUAUCCCAGUUUGUCCAACAUAUUCAGUCAUCGCACAAUCUCCUACGACCUCAAAAUCAUCAGUGUCAUCAUCACCUAUUGGUUCGGUGUUGAGAGAAACUUCAUCCAUCUACAAUGGAUGUUCAAUGAAGUGAGCUUUAAGGAGAAAAAGCAAAAUCAGUUCAAGGAAUCAUAGUAUAAUCAUACAGUUACUUUCACAAAGCUUCAUAUUUCAUCACUGCUUUACCAACAUGCAACUGCCAGAGAACAAACAGACAUGUCAUAGACGCUUGAAUUAAGUAUUGGUACAAAUGAGCACACAUCAUGUGGGACAAAAUUUCAGUCACUAAACCCAAUACCACUUUUUACAUCAUACCAAGGAACAGAUUAAACCCGACACCUUCUUUUAAACCAUACCAAGGAACAGAUUAAAUCAUCAAUGAAAAAUUAAUCACAUAAUAACUUAACCAGACAAAUGAAGAGCCUGAAACAGCACAAAACUUGAAUCUGAUUAUGAUAAUUGUUGAGUCCUUGUAUCUACAGCUUUCCUUCAAUGAUAAGACAAUGAACAUAAACGAGACACAAAAAAUUUAUUUUAAACUGACAGCCCAUGAUAUAAAUCAAACAAAAUCAACUCCUUUUUUUACACAUCACAUCUCAUAUUCAUUUACAUUGAAACACAAAAAGGAAGCGGGAGUGGGAAAAAAACAACAGCAGAGGAACUUAUUUCCAUAAGGUUUACGAAAUAAGGAAUCUAUUAAAACCCAAAACUUGAGGUCACCACAAAGAAUUUGGUUCUCAUUAUUUUUUUCUUCAUUUUUCACCAAUUGAUGAACUUAAAAUACAAUCAUAAAUGAUAAAACCCCAUCUCAAUCUUUUUGAACUAGAGCUAAAGCAAAGCAUUUUAAGAUGUUUCAUCAUUUUUUUUUUAAAAAAAACCUCAAUAGUACAAUGUUUUUACUCUAAUAAUCUCUUAAUUAAGGAAGAUUAAGCUUCAGUUGUAAGCUAAAACAAAUUUCUUAAAUCAAGCCCCAAUGCUUUAUGCUAUUCAACAAGGGCUCAUAAAUGAUAAAACUACUUCUACAAAGAUACCCAUUUUCUAAAUUAAUUUCAAAAACUGAAAUCAAACUCCUGAAACGUAACGAGCAUUAAUAUAAUCAAACCCGAACAAGAAUUGAAAAAUGACACAUAAACUCGUUUACACAUUUCGACAGACACUUUGCAAUCAAUGAGCAAAAAAUUAAUGGAGAAGAUAAAAUUCAAACGAAACAUGCCUUACAUUGAUCAAUUAGAAGGGCAAAAGAAAUUUUAGUACGAUAUGGGAUCAGGGUCUUGCCACGGUGAUGUUAUUUGUGAUGUUCGAGCGACUCAGCGGCCUUCGAGGUUGAAAAUUUGAUUGACCAAAAGCUUCCCGUUUGUUGAUUCUCUAAUAGCAGAAACGAGACUGGCAGUAAACACAACAACUUCGCUGAUUUUAAAUUCCGUUGUUUGAGAUGGAAAACUUUUUGAAAAAAUUAAUGUGUUCGAUGAAUAUCAAAAUCUAAAAAACUUUUUGUUUUUCAUUUUUUUGGAAAAAACCAUUGAGAUCCUUACUAUUUUUUCUUAUAUCAUCUUGCUUAAUAAUUUGCAAAGUCUAUCGCAUAGCACCCAUGCAUGAUGUAUGCUGCGUAACUGCGUUGUAAUUUACAAAAUUGUAAAUUUGUUAAAAGAAAAUAAUAAUAACAAGUUAAAACUUUAAAAUUUUUAUCAUUCGAAGAAAUUUUAAUUUAGUUAAGUAGGUGACAUGAUAAUAAAUAGAUACGUAUAAUGUCCGAGAUUUUUUAUAAGAUUAAUAAAUAUGAUAAAUUUGGAUUAGUUCAAUUUUGACGUAAUUCAGAAUAAACACAUCUUCCUAAUCUAAAAAUAAUUACAAACAAUUUAAUUUGUGUUGUUUCUCUAAAAGUUUGAGACACAAAUGUUAUUGCAAAUUGAAACGCCAUGCACUAGUAGAAGGUAAGAGAAACCAAGGUUGAAGUUACUGUUCAUUUAUUUUUAUUUAUGAUUUUUUGUAAAAUGUAAGAAAUAUGUAGAAAUGUUGCCAGCAAUGAUUUUGGAACUUUGCAUAAAAUUUUUAUCAUUAUUGUUUUUGGUAUUAAGAAAUCCGAGGCGGUGAUUAGUCGUAUGUUGCAACAAUUAAGAAAUUUCUUAUUGGAGAUAAUUUGGUAGGUUGCAACAAUUAGAGAAUAAUUUUCCUGUCAGUUAAUCAAUCAAUAAUAAAUUUCAAAUUGCAGAAAAUAAAAUAAUACUGUCGCACUUAGAAUCAUCUUUUCUAUUUCUUUCAAUUGUGACAAUCAUUUGUAACAAAUAAAUCAAUUUGAUGCACAUCAUUUCCCCAAUUCAAAGUUCAAGUCACUGCUCAAUUGCAGGGUAGUUAGUAGACAUGCAUGCAUGUUUAAUUAAGUACUGCAUUGUAAUAUAGAAAAUCAUAACAUCUCACCAAGCCCGGAAGCAUAGCUCUUUAUCUUGUAAAUGUUGAAAUCUUAUGCAAACUAUGGGAAACAUGAUCUCACUCUCAGUGCCACUUGAUUCCAUUUUCUUUGUUGGGAAUGCUACGAAGUCUAAGCUUGAAGAUAAUCUCGAUGCCUUGCGGACUGCAAUGGAAAAAUAAGCGGAAACGAGAAAUGAUGUGAUAAAUUGUGAGCCAACAAUAGUGGGCAUGGUGUCGACUUUUGAGAAAGCCUGGAGAUGCCUUGAAGAAGAAUCAGUUGGAAUUAUUGGCCUGUAUGUUAAUGGGGGAGUUGGAAAAUAUUUACUCAAAUCAACAACAAGUUCCUUGAUGGUCCAAAUAAUUUUGAUGUUGCGAUCUGGGUAGUGGUCUGCCAAGAUUUACAACCCCAGAAGUUUCGGGAAAAGAUUGGGAAAAAGAAAGGCUUGUUCGAUGAGUCAUGGAAGAACUGAAGUUUUGAAGAGAAAGCACUCGACAUAUUCAAGAAUUUAAGCAAGACGAAGUUUGUAUUACUGCUGGAUGAUAUAUGGGAGCAGGUUGAUUUAAUUAAAAUUGGUGUCCCUCUUCCAAGCACAAAAAUUACAUUCAAGAUAGUCUUCACAACUCGUUUUAUUGACAUUUGUGGCCUCAUGGAAGCUCACAACAAGAUUAAAGUGGAGUGUUUAAAUGACGAAGAAGCAUGGGAAUUAUUCUGCAAGAAGGUUGGAGAAGAUGUGGCGACUCUGUCCAAGUGCUAAGGAGAUCAGCCUCAGAAUUUCUAGGUAUGUAAAAAUGAGUAUAUAUAUCCACUUUUGAAAUUCAGUUAUGAUAAUUUACCUAGCGAUAAAAUUAGAUCGAGUCUGUUAUACUGUAGUUUGUUUCUGGAAGACUUUCCAAUUAGCAAAACGGAAUUGAUACAUUGUUGGAUAAGCGAGGGCCUUUUGGAUGAAACUAAUAGUUCUGAGAUAUGAAAUCAAGGAUACUACAUUAUUGGUGUUCUUGUUCCUUUAUGUUUAUUGGAAGAAGAGGCUCCACUAUAUGUAAAAGUGCAUGAUGUGAUACGCGAUAUGCUUCUGUGGAUCGCAUGUGAAGUUUUUUUUUUCUUUUUGAUAGGGAUAGCAUGUGAAGUUGAGAAGGAGAAAGAGAAUUUUUUGGUUCGUGCAGGUGCAAGGAUUAACUGAAGUGCCAGACAUUUGGAAAUGGGAAGGGUUGAGAAGGGUGUCUUUCAUGAGCAACAAAACUGAGAAGUUAUCAGAAAUUCCUUCAGAUCCCCAUCUACCGACUUUGUUGCUUCAACGUAAUUAUUUAGAGAUGAUCAAUAAUGACUUCUUCCAAUCUAUGAAUUCCCUUAGAGUUUUGAACUUAUCAUGUAAUCAUUCUCUAAUUGAUAAUUUCAAAGUUAGUUUCCCUACAACAUCUUAAUUUAUCAAUGACUAACAUACGAGAGUUGCCGAAUGAGUUAAAGUUUGUAGUGAAUCUAAAGUUUUUGAAUGUGGAGUAUGCACGGUUUCUUCAUUCAAUUCCAGGGCAAGUGAUAUCCAGUUUUACGAUGUUACACGGUUUGAAGAUGUUUGGUUGUGGGAGGUCAUCUUCUGAUCAUGAGCCACACUAGAAGAUAGAGUUUUAUUUGAAGGCUGUAAACUUUUGAUUGUGGAGUUGUUUGGUUUGAGAGACAUCUAGAUGUGUUGACCAUCAUCCUAACAAGUUCCCUUGCUCUGAAAAGAUUUUUGAGCUACAACAAACUUCAAAGUCGUACUCAAUCUCUCUAUCUUAAAUGCUUUGAUUCAAAUCUUCUUGUUUUUUCCAUAAAACAUUGCCAUGAUAUGGAGGAAAUACUCAGUGUCGGAAAAUUAGGUGAAGAGAUGAUGUCAAAUCUGGAACCUCUUACAAAACUCCAAGUUCGUUGCUUGAAGAAGCUACCAAAUUUGAAGAGCGUCUACUGGAAGGCCUUGCCCUUGCCCAAUGUAUGCAUAAUUUUUGUAUCUAAAUGCCCAGAACUUAAGAAGCUGCCGCUGGAUUUUGAAAGGGCGGGCGAAGGUAAAAUUCUUAUCAAGUGAAAGGAAAAUCGAUGGAAACGACUUCAAUGGGAGGAUCAAGCAACUCAGAAUGCAUUGCUUCUGUUUUUCAAAUCUAGUGAUUGAAGGGGGCAACAUCAACAUCAUCAGCCUGGAUGGGGAGAUUCUGGAGCAGAUCAGUAGGGUUUGAAUCUACAUCAUUAACAUCAUCAGGGUCUGUAUUUCUAUUGCUGGUCUUAAUGCUUGCUUACUGUUGCUUGACAAAGUGAGCCAGUUUUUUGUUUAUUAAAUUUUGUCUUGUAGAGACAGUCACAAAGUAUGGGUUGUUCUAUGUGAGAGUGAUGUGAAUCAAUUUUUCAAUUAUAUAUUCUGUGGUCAUUGUGAAUUUUGUUUAGAGAUGCAAACUUAGAAUAUGGAAAAGUUCAUCGGCAAACAUUUUGUAAAAGCUUCCAACUGAAGUUUUCAUAAUUAAAUAAUAAAAAAAUAGGAAGUGACGAAAAAAUUAUCCUAGGUGUUACGAAAAAACAUGAGCUCCGAAAAUAUUGGAAGUGACGAAAACUUAGGGCUAGGGUUUGAGAACUCUAACCCGCCACCACUGCAAGAGGACAGGACGACUAAGAAGGCCCGGUUUCGGGCUGAGGGAAUUGAUGCUGAUAAUCCUCAUAAACCCUCUUGGAGAGAUAAGGCUAUGGAGGCAGUCACGGUGAUGGCAGGUCAGACAGGAAGGAUUGGAGAGUUGGGUUACGGCAGUGUAUGCUAGCCCUAUUCCAACAGUCCUGCGUGAAUUAUGGUAUCACCUUGCAAGUAUUGCUUCUCAAAUGUUGGAUCCGUGGUUGGUGGGCGGAGAUUUCAAUGCUAUCUUAUACGCACAUGAGAAGAAAGGGGGCUCGAACCGAAUAAGUGGCACUUGCAAUUUAUUUAAUCAUUGGUUUCAUUCUUGCAGGAUGCUUGAUCUAAAGUUCUCCGGCCCUCGCUUCACUUGGUCUAGGGGAAACCUUUCUAAACGAUUGGAUAGAGCGGUUUGCAAUAAUGGAUGGCUAAUAAAACAUGCAAAUAGUAGUGUCAUGCAUCUUCCAAAAAUUGAUUCCGAUCAUCGGCCUAUUCUAGUCAAGUUCCAGAACAUGGAUUCCAAGCAUGGGGGCCCGAGGCCAUUUCGAUUUUUGGCUGCAUGGCUCACAGAUGAGAGAUUUGGGAGUUUUAUGAAUGAUAGCUGGAAUAAGGGAGAGAAUUUUCUUGAGGCAGUGGCUGAUUUUACUCAACAAACUAGGUGGUGGAAUAAGGAAAUUUUUGAAAAUAUUAUUUAUCGGAAGCGGAAAUUGUUGGCUAGAAUAGGUGGGAUCCAAUGAAUUUUGGAAGCCAAGCCUAACCAUAGCCUUACUAGACUUGAAGUUAAGCUUCAGAAGGAGCUCGAAGAGGUUCUCACUCAGGAAGAAUUAUUGUGGCUUCAGAAAUCCAGGAGAGAUUGGACUUUGUAUGGUGACCGCAACACUGCUUAUUUCCAUAAAAAAAUGCUAACCAGGCAUCGCCAGAAUCGGAUUACUGCAAUUCAAAAUGAUACUGGGCAGUGGAUACACGACGUCGAGAUCAUUAAGCAACGUGCAGUCAAUUUCUUUUUGGAAUUAUACACGCCUGAACAAGGGGUGCAUAGAACAUAUAAUGUCAGGGGGUGUUUCCCUGAGACGUCAGAUGAUAUUUGUUUAAGUUUGAUGUCUGCGGUAACAGAUGAGGAAAUCAGACAUACUAUUUUCAGUAUGAGUCCUUUUAAAGCUCCUGGAGUUGAUGGCUUUCAUGCUAGUUUUUACCAAGCGCAAUGGAAUACAGUUGGUAUGUCUUUGAGCUCUUUAAUCAAAAAUAUUUUUAAUUCUAAUCAUAUCCCUGCAGAGAUCAACAGAACCUUGCUGGUGCUCAUUCCUAAAGUGUAUCAUCCAACAAGCCUCAAGAUGUUUCGGCCGAUCAGCCUUUGCACAAUUCCGUAUAAAACGGUGACGAAAAUUAUUGCAAAUAGGUUACAGGUUUUUCUUCCAGAUCUCAUUGGACCCCAACAAACCAGUUUUGUACCGGGUCGGCAUAUUACAGAGAAUAUUGUUAUUGCUCAAGAGGUAAUCCAUACAAUGAAGAAAAAUGUGGGGGGUAAAAGAAUGAUGGCGGUUAAAGUGGACUUGGAAAAGGCUUAUAACCGGUUGAGUUGGCGAUUUGUUCAGGAAACUUUACAGGAAGUUGGGCUACCGGAGCGAUUUAUUCACCUCAUAAUGGAGUGUUUGUCCACAGCCCAAAUGAAUGUUUUGUGGAAUGGAGAAAUGACUGAAGAUUUUCGGCCAGGGAGAGAAAUUCGACAAGGAGACCCUCUUUCGCCUUAUAUUUUUGUGCUUUGUAUUGAAAGAUUAAGUCAUGGGAUUAUCCAGGCGGUUAAUCAAGGUAGAUGGAAACACAUUUGACUGACUCGAACUGGCACUCCUCUAAGUCAUUUAUUUUUUGCGGAUGAUCUGCUUCUCUUUUUGGAAGCAAGUUACGGCCAAGUUGAUGUAUUGAAUGAUGUGGUGGAGAAUUUCUGUAGGAGCUCGGGCGCUAGAGUUAGUAAUCAAAAGACCCAAGUCUUCUUCUCCAAAAAUGUCCCGGUCACUUUAGCCAAUGGAAUUGGCAAGGCUUUAGGCUUCUCGGUUACAAAUAAUUUGGGAAGAUAUCUUGGCAUGCCUCUUCUUCACGAUCGGGUUUCUAAGAAAACGUAUCAGAGUAUCAUUGACAAAAUUGAUCAGCGGCUAUCAGGAUGGGCAGCAAAGCAAUUGUCUCUGGCAGGGAGAGUUACUCUCACUCAAUCGGUGCUUCAGGCAAUCCCGAUUUACGCUAUGCAAACCACGUACCUCCCAUCUAGUGUCAGAGUUAAAAUUGAUCAAUUAUGUAGAAGAUUCAUUUGGAGUGGGGCUGGUUCUCAACGCAAGUUAAGUUUGGUUAGCUGGGACAACAUUUGUAGGCCUAAGAGCAAUGGAGGGCUCGGUUUCAAGGACAUGGAACUUAUGAACAAAGCCUUACUAAUGAAAGUGGCUUGGGAUUUAUUCAUAAAUCCUAGCAAGCUGUGCUCCCAGGUUUUAAUUUCUAAUUAUGUUGCGCCUUGUGAUAUGAUUACUACUGAUGCUUCAUUUAAAAAUGGUUCCUAUUUAUGGCGCUCUAUGGGUAAGAUUUGGAAAGACUUCCAGAAGGGUUUGCGUUGGAGUAUUGGAAAUGGCCAACGGGUGAAGUUUUGGGAUGAUAUUUGGGCUACAAAUGGUGAUCCCUUAAUCAACUAUACGGUGGCUUCAAUUCCGGAUAGCAUGCGAAAUAUGUUGGUGGCGGAUUGUGUGGAUCAAAAUGGGAAUUGGUUGUGGAACAUAUUCAACUCUUUUUUGAAUAACCAUGCUGUUUUAAGGAUUGCUUCCAUGGCUCCUCCGUCGUCAAUGAGAGGCGAGGAUAGGAUGUAUUGAGGUGCAUCAAAUACUGGCAAUUUUACAGUCCAAUCAGCUUACCAAGUGCUUACGAAUUUUUGCCCCGCUGAAGACUGUCAAGACUGGCAACAUUUGUGGAAAUGGAAGAGGCCUCAAAGCGUAAGAAUUUUUCUAUGGUUAUUAUGCCAUGAUCAAUUGAAGACGGGAUGUGAGCUUGCUAGAAGGCAUCUGGACGUCGAGGCUUUAUGUGGGAGGUGCCAUGCAGACGUUUAGAAUUCUUUGCAUGCAAUUCGAGAUUGUGAUUAUUCGAGAGGUGUUUGGCGGAAGCUUGUUCCCGCGCUUAGACAACAUGACUUUUUUAGUUAUCCUCUUUGGCAAUGGAUCAUGACAAAUCUUAGGAGAAGAGUCUGUGAUAUGGGGAGCUUAUUUUGGCCGAUUAUGUUUGGUAUUGCGGCUUGGAGAAUUUGGUAUUGGAGGAACCAGGUGAUGUUCAACAACAAGAGCUGGAAUGGUGAUUUGAUCGUUCGAGAUAUUAAGGCAAGGACUGAGAGUAUUUGUUCUACUCUUUCAAGCAUAGGCUAUCGAAGAAAUGAAAGGAUUCAGAAAUGGAUUCGUUGGGCUCCUCCACCAUGGCCUUUCUUGUGCUUAAAUACGGAUGGUGCAAGGAAAGGAAAUGGAGAGGCGAGUGCAGGUGGGCUGCUGCGGGACUGUCAUGGUAAUUUUAUUCAUGGUUUCAGCGCACAUCUCGGAGUUUGUUCAGUUCUAAAGGCUGAACUUUGGGGUGUCUUGCAUGGGUUAAGAAUGGCAUGGGAUCUUGGCUAUAGACGUAUCCAAGUUGGAGUAGACAACUGUAGUGUGGUGCAAAUUAUAAGGGAAAAUAAUGCUCAUGUCAACGAAAUUUCGAAUAUAAUCGAGAUGAUUAGAGAACUCAUGAGGAGGGAUUGGAGGAUUCAAAUUGAUCACAUCUACCGCGAAGCAAACUCGGCAGCUGAUUUCCUUUCUACGCAUGCUUUGAGUUUACUUGUUGGAGUACAUUUUCUUCAUUCUGCACCUUUAGGUUUGAGAUCUAUUUUAUAUUUGGAUAUGUAUGGGGUGGCACACUCCCGGUUUGUGCCCCUUUAGCUCUUCUCUUUUAGAGCCUUUUGUUUAUCAAAAAAAAAAAAAAAGCUUCCAACUGAAAUAGGGAAUGCACUUACUACUAAGGACAGUUGGUGGCCACCUAAUGCAUUCAUUUUAUAUCAAUUCAUCAUUUUAAUUAUUGAAAACAAGUGGCUCAUCGCUUUUACUUUAGGUAAAAUUCGGAUAAUCUCUAUUAUGAAAUGAUAAUAUUCUCUUAAAUUAUUAUAAACCUCAGCCAAUCUUAAUUUUAUUUAAAAGAUAAAAGAAAAAUAGGUUAUGUUGGUGACUUUUUUCUUAUCUUUUUAAUAAAAAUAAAAUAAAUUGAUGUUUAUAAUUGUUUAAAAUACUUUAAAGAUUGUUAUUUUAUGAGAGAGUAAUAUUUUACUUUUUUAUUGUGAAAUGCUAAAAAGGACAAAGCAAGUGUCCCUGGUUUUUAUUUUAUUUGAAAUUGGUCAUCUCAUAUACUUUACGUUUCAACACUACAAUUUUUUUGGUUAUAUUUUUAUUAUUUUUUUCUUUCUUACACAUGCACGUAAAUUUUCUUUCUUUAAGCUCCUGAAUAUUUAAGACAAAUCAUGGAAGAGAUGAAAGUAUAACAAGAUGAUCAAAAUACGUAACAAAAAAUUUACAAGUGAAACAUACGUUAGAGUCGAAGUAAAACUCUGAAAAUAGAGAUAUUGAUUAAUUUAGAAGAGAUGCAAGCAAAAGAUUUUCUUAAAAAAAAGAAAAGCAAUUUGUCCCUUUCCAGGGCAAACUUGUUAGUCUCAAAAAGGUACAUUCUUUGAAUUGAUAGUUGCAGGAUUUUUGUCUUGUUUUUGUUGUUGUGCAUUAGUUGGAGAAGUCAAGCCUAGUGAAAAAUGUUAUGAAAGAGCAAAGGAUAUUUCUGACAGCUUUAUUUAAUUAUGUAUUCAUUUAAUGGAUGUAUUGUUAGAAGAUAUUUAAGUGCAUUAGUUCAUCCGUGUCUGUUGAUGUGCUUUUAGUGAUUUUUCCAGCUGUUUGUUGUAAAAGAUGAUUGUAAAUUGAAAUGAACUUGAUGUUGUAAUAUUUUCUCUUUUGUGGAAUCUCAGUUGUGUUGUCUAUAAUUUUAGUCAAAAUUAUUGUUAUUAUUUCUUACUAGAGGUAAAUUUUUUAUUAAACCUCAUUAACACAAUUCUUAAUUAAAAGUAUAGGUUAGUGUCGGUGCAGGAUUUGCAGCACCAGAUCCUGCCUAGCUACGUGUCAAAAAUACAAAAUAAAUGAAGAGAAAGCACAAAUACAUGACUUGGAUUAGGAUAGAAGGAAACUUAAAUCUUAAAGAAAAUGAUAGCUAUAUCCCACUAUUUGAAAAAAUGGUCAUGUAGAUUUUUAAGAUUUAAAUAAGGGACGGAGAUCUUCUUUUGACAAAUAAUAUCUUUUAGCUCUCUCAAGUAAAAAAAAAAUUAAAUAUUUUAUAAUAAAUAAAAAUAUAAUAUUAAAAUAUACGUGAUAAUAUAUACAUUUUAAAUAAUUUCAAUCCAAAAAAAUAGUUAUGUUUUAUCGAAUCUACCUAUGUUACAAUAGUAGUAUGGUACCACAAUAUUUGUUCUUAUCCAAUGUAAUCAUUGGAUGAUUUAGAGCUUAAUCUAACGGCUUAAAUUAUUUUUCUGAAUAUUUGAAGCAACAACUUGCAACCGUUGGAGCCGGUUGCAUAUUAAUUUAAUAUCAUUUGGGGAAGCGUACGGUCAGGAAGUUUCUUAGUAUGCCACCAAUGGAAUUUGAUUUCAUCUCAAAUCGAUCUGCAGGCAGCAAUUGGGAAAUUACACUCACGGUCUUCCUCUUCUUCACUUCCUCUCUACUCUUCACUUUUCUCACUCUCGCGAUGUUUACAGCAUGAUAAGUACAAUUACAAACCAGGAAAUGCCAUUAACAAUUUUCAUUUGUCUUAGUCGUUUUUUUUUUUUUUAGUAGAAAGCCAAAAAAGAAAACGGGUGGGAGGUUGGGGCGUCGUGAUGAAAUGGUUUUGAGUUUUUGACGGAAUGUUUGUUUUUGUGAUUCAUUUAGGGUUUGAAUUCAGGCUUGUACGAACUCGGAUCUAUUCGAGAUCCGUAUUGGCGCUGAAAUCAGAUCCUUUGAAGCCUUGGUUUGAAUUCAACCUUGAGAACUCCAAGCUUGUUAGAAUCUUCAUUGAUCUCUCCAGAAAUUACACGGAUCUUAUUACUAAACCCUACAUAUAGGGCUGCAAUGGAGUCCGAUUCUCUCACAAUUGAUGAAUCAAUAUUGAGACAGUUCGAAAAGGAAGUAAAAAAGAGAAUCAACUUGACUGGCUAAAUAAUUGCGGAGGCCAAAGAGUCUUUUGAUAAUCAAUUGAAGAUUUAGAAGUUAAAAGACACUAUUUUUACUAUGAACGAACAAUUGACUAAGGCGAAAAAGCAAGGAGCUUUUUUGAGUUUGAUUGCUGCGAAAUCGAUGCCUUAGAGUUUGCAUUGUUUGGCCAUGAGGUUGAUGAAAGAGCGAGUUGUUCAUCCGGAGAACUAUAAUGAAGAAGGGAAGCCCACACAUGCAGAAUUCGAGGAUCCCAAACUUUAUCAUAAUGCUAUUUUUUCUGGGUAAUAUGCUUGCAGCUUCGGUGGUGGUGAUUGGUGAAUUUAGCUGUUAAGAACUCGAAGGAGCCUUGGAAACAUGUGUUUCAUGUUGUGAUGGAUCAAAUGUUUAAAUUGAAGGAUUAUAAUGGAGCACAUUUAGGCACGAAGGCUGUUGAGGAUUAUAAGUUUUUGAAUUCUCACAUGUCCCUGUGUUAAGGCAGCCGGGGUUUGCUAAUUUGCAAAGGUUUUACUUCGGGAAGUAGCUUGAGAAUGCUACGAAAGAUGCUACUAACAUGAAGUUUAGGAAUCCCAAUUACUUGUUGAUACUGUAUCAUUUGAGGUUCUGGAUAAGAUUUCAAUGAUGGCCGCUUAAAACAAAUAAUAAAAAAAAAGAACUUGUACUGUAUUUGGAUCUUUACUUAUUUGAUAUAGUUUUCUGCAAUCUCUCCAUGCAACCGGUUACUUUAAUUAUCCACUAACUCAUCUCAACCGUUUGAUGGACUCACUUUAUAUCCAACGGCAGUUUUAAAUGAAGACAAAAAGUGUGGUAUGUUGCAAUUGUUGCAACAUAUGUGAGUCUUGUUUUACAAUCUAUUUAACAUAUUUUAUUAAAUUAAUAUAUUUCUAUGAUAUAGGAACAUAAUAUUAAAAUAAAUUUACAAAAAUUUAAAGAAUUUUGAAUGUAAAACAAUUUCAAUAUAUUAAUAAUGAGAUUUUUUUAUUAUUAUAAAAAUUAUUUAACCCAUAGAUUUUUUUAAAUCUUUACAAUAAGUAUAAAUAUAUUAUCUUCACUUAAAAAUAUUUAAAUAUUAUUAACCUAUAAUUAGGUUUGCAUUUAUUAGAAAAUUUUAAAGUCAAAUAUAUUGCACUUUUGCAUUAUUAGAAUCAUCACAGAGAAAGGAGCAUAUAUACUUUAUAACUUUAAAAAUUGGUUUCUUCUGGAAACAGAGAUGAUGAUUAUUAUAAGGAUGAAAAAAAAAAGAUAAAGAAUAUUAAUGAUUAACGAAAUCUCUAUGCAAAUUGAUUUUAGUAGGGAAAGAGUGAGAUGAAUAACUUCUUUUACAGCUAAAAACAGAGAUGAUGAUUAUUAUAAGGUUGAAAAAAAAAGAUAAAGAAUAUUAAUUAUUAAUGGAAUCUCUAUGCAAAUUGAUUUUAUAGGAAAAAAGCGAGCUAAAUGAUUUAGACAUUCAUAGUGUAUUUAUUUUUGAAUUGGUGAAUAAGAAUUAUUGACAACGCUAACUUCAUCUUCACCGUUGGCUAUCCAAUAGCGGCAAUUGUCGCCGAUUAUGAUAUCUCCAAUGAUGAUGACGGUUUUUUUAUUAUUAUUAUUGGUGACCCCUUGGAAAGUUAACUGCAACUGCCAAUCAGAGAAAAGUCGUCAUGCACAAUCCUCAAUCGAACCAAUCAUCUACGUUACAGAAUCUGAAACGUACACACUGUUAACAUAUAUGUUUCCAUAAUGUUGAUUUUGAUGAUAACAAACAAGAUUAAGAAUGAUUAAUCUUUUAAGCUCAAAUUAUUUUUAUGCAUUUUAAAUAAAUCAUUAUUUUUACAUUAUAAAGGUUCUAUAUUUAAUGGAAAAAUGAUUUUAUGAAAUUGAUUGUUUUUUAUUCUUUUUAAAUAAAUCAUUAUUUUCACAUUAUAAAUGUUUCAUAUUCAAUGGAAAAAUGAUUUUAUGAAAUUGGUUGUUUUUCAAAGUUUAUGGUUUAAUUGAAAGAAUUUUGAAAACUUUGAAAUAAACAAGUAUUGCUUGAAAUUUCAGAUUUGGACUUAUUUGAAACUAUUUAAAUGUUUUUAGGCUAUUCUAUAAUUUCACAAAGUUUGGGCGAAAUUAUAAUUUCAGAACGUUGUGGGAUUGACAAAGUAUUAUUCUAAAAUUCUGAAAUUGGACUUAUUUGUAAAUUUUCAUAACGUUUUGGGUUAUAGUAUAGUUUUAUAAAGUUUUGGGGUCAAAUUAUAAUUUCAGAAAAUAGUGCACUGUGCAGGUUACUGUGGCAUCCGGCUUACCGGAUAUAAAAAUCGGAAAACCGGAUACGGGGCAGAAUGUAUCCAGAAUGUAAACGGCUUACCGGAUUUCGUAACCAGCAAGCCGGAUAGGCAAAAUUCAAAUUUUUGCCUUAACGGUAACAUAAAUCCAGCUUAUCGGAUUCCAUAAAUGGCAAACCGGAUACGCCCAGAAUGUGAGUAACGGCUAGUUUUUGAGUUCAAACUAUAUAAACUCAAAACCAAUUCAUUUUUGGUAAUCCAAGCAAGAAAGAACAAGUGCACAUAACAUAUAUUGAGCUUCAAUUUCGUAACUCAUCAUUUAUUAAAUCAUCUUUGUUUUUCAAUUUGUAUAUCCACUCUUAAAGAGAGAUUCAUUGUUGUAUUUUUCAUUUCUCAUCAAAUUGUGAGUGUACAAGUGUGAGAAACACUUGGGGUGAAGAGAUUGGAGAGAUAAUCUCUUGUUGUAAAGGUUCAUUAACACAUUGAAGUCAAUUGUAAACGUUUGAAGCCUUGGAAAUGCUUGGAUAGUGAAAUCCUCAAGCCCGGUGUGCUUGGAAGCGUGGACGUAGGCGGAGAUUACCGAACCACGUAAAAAUCCUUGAGUUUGCUUUCUCUUCCCUUACUCUUUAAUUAUUGUGCUUUGAUUGAACUUAUUGCUUUCAAUUUUUAUUAAGACAUUAGAUUAAAUUGUUGUGUGGUUUGCCUAGGAUAAUUUUUAAAAUCUCAAUUCACCCCCCUCUUGAGUUGCCUAGUUAGUAUUUCACACACCCAAUGGGAAGCAGCACACGUGUUCUGAGGAGAGAGAGAAAAAACCGUGCAAAUGCAAGCAAUAGGUAUUGGCUACAGUUGGAUCUGUAAGUUACAGAAUCUGUAACUUAGCCAACUCCCUCAAUGAUCAAUAUUGUUUCCGAUAUUUAUAAAUUGGUGGCCCCUUGGAAAUUUAACUGGAAGUUUGCAAGUGUCAAUCAGAAAAAAAUCGUCAUCCAUUGUUUUUUUUUUUCUGCAUUCCCUUUCAUGUUCUUAAUAAUUGAGGACAGGUUGUUCAUAACAUUUAUACUUUUCAAAUGUGGAGCUGCAUUUAAUGUCGCUAUUUUAAUUUGGGAUUAAAUUAGGGGAACACUAACUUUUAUAUUUAUCUAAACUCCUUAAAUUUAAGACAGAUUAUGGCGUAAAUAAGAAUAUAAUAAUAACAAAGGAAUUAAAAAGUAUAAUGACGAUCUUGCAGAAAUAUAAAUAUUAGCGUUGAAUUAAAUAACAUAGAACACAUGAAUUGAAUAGUGAUUAUCAAGACGGUGUUACUUGCACUCCUAUUUAUAAAAAAUCUUGGUUCUGUUCCAUUAGAUUUUUUAUCUUCAAAAUCUUGCAAAGUUUUGACAACCCAAAGGCUCAGUUUGGUUGUUCUAUAUUUGUAUGAUAUGAAUUCAAAUUUUUGUGUUCUGUUUUUCUUAAUUCUGAACACGGAUUCUUCUCUUCUCGUGCAAACCAGAAAGAAAUGUUGUCUUACAAAAAAAAAAGGGGAAUAACUUCAUGAGAACAAAAAUUCAGAAAAAUAAUAUAAAGUUUAUAUUUAGACUUUUGUGGUAUAUUUUAAUUUUCAACAAUGAGUUAAAGAAAAUAAUAAAUAAAGUAAAUAAAAGUUUAGAGAUUCAAAUUUUUAGUAUUGGAUUCUUUAAUUCAAAUACCUCUCAUUAAUUAACACUUAAAAGAGAGUUCACUAUUAUAAUUUUAAGUUUUUUGAUUUAUUAUUGAUAUAUAAAUUAGGAGUUUAAGCUUACUUUUUUAUUUUUCCAUUUUUUUUCAAAUUUGAAAUUAUUAUUUAAAUUUAUAAUUUUUUUUAAAAAAAUAGAGGGCUUGAGCCUGGCUUGGGUAUUGUUUCCUAAACCCUUAUCCGGCCCUGGCUUUUUUGCCAGCCCCAAUGAUGAUGAUGAUGAUUAUUUUAUUAUUAUUAUUAAUGAUGAAAAGUAUUAUAAUUAAUUAAUAUAUUAUUGUAUUGUUAUUAAGAUUAACAAUAAUUAUUAAUGAUAACAAUUUUUUGAAUAAAAAUAAUCACAAUAAUUAAAAUAUAAAUUAAUAAUUAUAACAAUAGUUAAUUAAUGUAUUUUUAACAAUUUGUAAUAAUUUAACUCAUUCUAAUUUCGAUUAUUAUAGUUAAGUAAACAACUUAUUAUAAUUUUCAUUCUCCAUUUUAAUUUCAGCUCAUUUCGAUUUCAGUCUAUUCCAAUUUUCAUUUAAUAAACGUUCCAUUAAUGCUAUAGUAAUAUUUCAUAUAGAAAAAAAUAAAAGCUACAACUAAGGUUAAGGGAAAGGACUUCAAAACUCUCUUUUUGUCAUAAUACAUUUUUUCCUAAUUAACUUAAAGAGUUUGAAUCUAAUAUUUUAUAAUAAAUAAAAAUAUAUUCCAAAAGUAAAUAUAAUAUAUCUAUUUUAAACUAAUCUCAAUAUUUAAAAUAUAUUUAAUAUUUUACAAUCUAUUAGACAUAUUUUAUUAUAUUAAAAUAAAUUUUAUAAUAAAUAUGAACAUACUGUUAAAAUGAAUAUAUAAAAAACUUAGAGUAUUUUGAAUAUUAUAUAAAAUAAUUUUAGUAGAAUACGUGAGAUAUAUUUUAUUAAUGUAAAAUGCUAUUUAAUCUAAAGAUUCAUUUAUGAUAAAUUAAUAAUUAUAUUUUUAAAAUUAUUUUAAAAAUUAAAUUUUUUUAAUAUUAUUAAUCUAUUAGACAGAUAAAAUUAUUUAUAUUAUUUUGUAUUUAUUAAAAAAAUUUAAAGUCAAUUUUUUUAAUUACUAUUCAAAGGAUAUAAUAAUUAAAAAAAUCUUAGCGUUUUCAUUAAAAAUUUAAAAAUUUACAUGACUAUUUCUGUAAAUAUUUAAGGUAUAUAUGAACUACGGUAGAGAAGCUUCAUUUAAUAUUAUUGAUUUAAAUAAUAUCUCAAUUAAAAAUGUACAGAGAAUAUAUUUCGGUGGGUAUUUUAAUCUUUUUAGCAAUUAUCAUGGUUAGCCCUUGGCCUUGAAACGUCUGUCAGAAAGGUUUUCAAAUGCUUUAAUUGUUCUUAUUAAAAAAAAAAUCUUUAAUUGUUUUUUCACUUUUAACGUCAGCGGCCUUGAAAGUGCUUUUACUUUAUAACAAAUUAAUUAAUGCUGACGAGAAAAUAUCUCUUCCACAGCCCACAGCAGCUUCUGUUAAUCAAACUCAACCAAUUUUCUCUCUUAACAAAAUUCCAAAGAUGGGUAGCAUUUUUCAGAUCACAUGCGACGGCGCUUUUUUCAAUCGUUGCUUUGGAUUGCUUUCUUGGAAAAGCAGCAUACAUAAGCAACAUCCAAGAUAAUCUUGUAGCCUUGGAGACUGAACUGGGAAGACUAAUCGCAGCAAAGAACGAUGUGAUGAUGAGGGUUGUCAAUGCUGAACGACAACAAAUGAAAAGGCUGGGCCAAGUGGAAUGGUGCGUUUCGAGGGUGGAUGCUGUUAAAAUUGAAGCUGAUGAACUUAUCAGAGACGGCUCUCAAGAAAUUGACAAAUUAUGUGUUGGAGGCUACUGUUCUAAGAACUGCACGUCAAGCUACAAGUUCGGGAAACAAGUGGCUAAAAAGCUACGAGAUGUGGAGACUUUAAUCGCCGAAGGAGUUUUUGAGGCGGUGGCUACCGAGGUGGUGCCUGAGAGAGCUCCAGAGCCUGUAGCAGAUGAAAGACCUACCGAGCGAACAGUAGUAGGCUUGCAAUCACAACUUGAACAAGUCUGGAGAUGUCUUGCAGAAGAAUCAGUGGGAAUCAUUGGCCUAUAUGGUAUGGGCGGUGUUGGUAAAACUACAUUACUGACCCAUAUCAACAAUAAAUUUCUCGAGAGUCCAACCAACUUUGAUUGUGUGAUUUGGGUAGUAGUUUCAAAAGACCUGCGACUUGAAAAAAUUCAAGAAGAUAUUGGAAAAAAGAUAGGUUUGGUUGGUGAUUCGUGGAAGAGUAAAAGUGUAGAGGAGAAAGCUGUCGACAUCUUCCGGAGUUUAAGAGAGAAGAGAUUUGUAUUGUUGUUAGAUGAUAUAUGGGAGCGGGUUGAUUUAACAAAGGUGGGCGUUCCACUUCCCGGACCAAAAAAUACUACCUCAAAAGUUGUAUUCACAACCCGUUUCAUCGAUGUUUGUGGUAGCAUGGAAGCUGACAGGAAGUUCCAAGUGGCGUGCUUAUCAGAAAAGGAUGCUUGGGAACUGUUUCGAGAAAAAGUUGGGGAAGAAACUCUUCAGAGUCAUCAUGAUAUCGUUGAGCUAGCCCAAAUUGUGGCCAAAGAGUGUGGUGGUUUGCCACUCGCACUUAUUACUAUUGGUCGAGCUAUGGCCUGCAAAAGGACAGCCGAGGAGUGGAGACAAGCAGUUGAAGUGCUAAGAAGAUCAGCUUCUGAGUUUGCAGGUUUGGGAAAAGAGGUGUAUCCUCUUUUAAAGUUUAGCUAUGAUAGUUUGCAGAAUGAGACGAUUAGAUCUUGUUUCUUAUAUUGUUGUUUAUAUCCCGAAGAUUAUGGAAUUCUUAAAUGGGACUUGAUUGAUUGUUGGAUUGGUGAGGGAUUCUUAGAGGAAUCUGACAGGUUUAGUGCAGAAAACCAAGGAUACUACAUUGUGGGCACUCUUGUUCAAGCAUGUUUAUUAGAAGAGUUAGAAGAUGAUAAAGUAAAAAUGCAUGACGUUAUUCGUGAUAUGGCUCUAUGGAUAACCAUUGAAAUUGAGAAGCAGAAGAGAAACUUUUUGGUUCGUGCAGGUGCUGGAUUAAAAGAGGCACCGGCUGUUAAAGAAUGGGAAAAUGUGAGAAGAUUGUCAUUGAUGCAAAACCAAAUUAAAACUCUGUCAGAGGUUCCUUCAUGCCCUCAUCUCCAUACUCUAUUUCUUGCCUCUAAUGAUAAUUUGAGGAUGAUCACGGAUGGCUUCUUUCAAUUUAUGCCUUCUCUCAAAGUUUUGAAGAUGUCAAACUGUGUGGAUUGGCCAGUUUCGAAAUUACCUUUGGCGAUGUCAAAGUUGGGUUCACUACAACUUCUUGAUAUUUCACAUACCGGCAUAGAANNNNNNNNNNNNNNNNNNNNNNNNNNNNNNNNNNNNNNNNNNNNNNNNNNNNNNNNNNNNNNNNNNNNNNNNNNNNNNNNNNNNNNNNNNNNNNNNNNNNGAAGAGUUGAAGUUGUUGGUAAAUCUGAAAUGUUUGAAUUUGAGGUGGACAUUUGAGUUAAAUAAAAUUCCAUGGCAACUAAUAUCAAAAUUUUCAAGGUUACGUGUGUUGAGAAUGUUCGCUACUGGCUUUGCACGUUUUGAUGAAGCAUCAGAAGACAGCGUUUUAUUUGGUGGGGGUGAAGUUUUAGUACAGGAAUUGGUCGGUCUGAAAUAUUUAGAGGUAUUGGAGUUGACCUUGGGAUGUCAUCAUGCUCUCCAAAUUUUUUUGAGCUCAAAUAAGUUAAAAAGUUGUAUUCGAUCUCUUCUCCUCCAGUUGGCCGGAGAUACAACGUCGAUUAUUGAUGCUACGGCUUUCGCAGAUCUAAACCACCUCAAUGAAUUAUGCAUUGAUAGGGCUAAGGAGUUGGAAGAAUUGAAGAUUGAUUGUAAAGAAAUAGUACAAAAAAGGCGGGAACCUUUUGUUUUCCGCAGCCCUCACCGUGUUACUAUACAUAGCUGCCAGAAGUUGAAAGAUUUGACAUUCCUCGUUUUUGCUCCAAACCUCAAGUCUCUCGAUCUAGACCGUUGCGAUGCUAUGGAAGAAAUAAUCAGCGUCGGAAAAUUUGCUGAGACUCCUGAGAUGAUGGGACAUAUAAGCCCUUUUGAAAAUCUCCAAAUGCUUGAUUUAGAAGAUUUGCCUCAUUUGAAGAGCAUCUUCUGGAAGCCAUUGCCUUUCACUCAUCUGAAAGAAAUAUCUGUGGGUUAUUGCCGUAAUCUUAAAAUGCUUCCACUCGAUUCCAACAGUGCAAAGGAGCGUAAAUUUAUUAUUCGUGGAGAAGAAGACUGGUGGAACCGACUUCAAUGGGAGGAUGAAGCCACUCAAAUUGCUUUUCGUUCCUGUUUCCAAUCUCUUUUUGAUUAACUCUUAUACAUUUUCUCGUCGUUUGCUUCAUGCAAAAGACUACGUCUUUUGUUCUCUGUUUUUAUUUCAGUUUCGUUUUGUCUCCUGCAAAUCACAAUUAAAUGUUGAAUUAUAUGGAAGUAAUGCUUUAUAAAUUUGCCGGCACUGCCAUUUAUUUUUCCUCUUUUUUUUUUUGGGUCGAAUUGAUGCUCUGGCUUUUUUAUUUUUUGUCAUCGAAUUUUGCUCUGUUUUUCAAAUUGAUGCUUGAAUAUGUGAAUUCAAUUAAUGCUCACAUAAUUUUGUUUAGUUGCCGUAAAAGAAUAUAAUUAGACUGAAAUUCGCACUCCCAGAAUGAAUAGAAUCACAACAGAGAAAAUAUUAAGUAUGCUAGCCCUCUUUACAGAAAAUCAAAUGAAAAUAAAAUUUUUUGGAUAUUUGAUUUUCUAUGGUCUACUAUAUACACUUUAUAAAUUCUUCUGUUCUAAGGAUAACCAAGUAGGGGAUUGAUGAAGGCUCCUUUUUGGGAUUCUUCUUUUUCUAGGCUGCAAUUAGGAUAUGUACAUGAUAGACAAUCUUUUGUUGGUUUAGCAUAUCUUCGCUGAUUUUGUCUUUUAUUCCCCAAUUUUAUAAUUACACACCAUGAAUGUUGGGUGAUUGUAUAGAAAAUUUGUGUUAUAACAAAAACAUUGUGAAGGAGUUUCCGUGCUAAUAGUUAGUGGCUUCUGUUUUAUUGGUAUUGAUUGGGUAGAUUUCGUGUUACAGUGAUUCAAUUUGUGUUCCAAACUUUGCUUUAAUUUUCUGUUUUCCCCAACUAUUUAUGUCAAAUUUAAAUCCAGAAGCAUGUACUGAUUUUUUCUUUUUGUAUUAAUCUGUGAAGUUUACUUGGAAUGGAAGUAACUGGGUCGGGUCUAAUGGAUUAAAUUAUGACAUUGAGGGGAAGGCACUAAAAGGGUUUGCUUGACACAUUUGGUUCUGUAUUUACUCUGCAAGAAAUAGCUUUUGCUUAUUGCAAUGCAGGGGGAAAUCCCGAUUUGGCUGGUGAAUUUCUCUGCAACAAACAGGCAAACGCCUCAACCUCUUCUGUCCAUACUUCUGCUGGGGAGGCAAGGGGUAAAGAGUCUUCAAAAUCAUCAAAUAGUAACAUCUCUGAGAAUUCAUUUUAUGGAAAUGGAAAAUCUAGAGCUUCUAAUACAAAAUGGCAUCUGGUAUCAGGACGUACCGUUUCAAGUUUUCUUGGUAAAGAUUAUGUUAAACCUGCACAGCCAGCUAAUGGCACUGUUCUGGCAUCAAAGCCAUUGAAGUUGGAUCCAAGGGAGUUUCGCAUUUCUGCACUUUCAGAGUAGAAACUAAACCAAAACAAUCAAAGGAUGACCAUUUGCAGAAGGAUAUGGAAGAUUUUCUGUUUAAAUUGCUAGGAGAAGGGUUCCAGCUGUACAGGGAUGUGAUUCAGGAGGUUCAUGGAAACGUCUUAAAUAUAUUGAUGCCAAUUUAAUACAUAUUGUCCUUUUCAAUGUUCUUUCUUUCUUUCUCCUCUUUUUAUUCUUCUUCUUCUUCUUUUUUCUUUUCGUGUGCAUGUGAUCACUAAUUUGGUAUUAUUCUUAACUUGCAGAUAGUUGUGGAUAUGAUAUGCAAAAUAUCUUCUUGAUGCUGGCAGAUUCACUUGAUUCUUAUUAGUUUGUUUAGUGGCAAGGCAUAUAACCUGUAUUUCAAAGCCAAGUUGUGCUAUUGAUUAUGUUAACUUUAUUGUUAACAUAAAGUGAUAUGGAGGACAUAAUCAAUGUAGGAAAAUUAGGUGAAGAGAUGAUGUCAAAUCUUGAACCUCUUACAAAGCUCCAAGUUCUUUACUUGAAGAAGCUGCCAAAUUUGAAGAGCGUCUACUGGAAGGCAUUUCCAUUCCCAGAUGUAUGCAGAAUUUUUGUAUUAAUGCCCAGUUCUUAAGAAGCUGCCACUGGAUUUUCAAAGGGCGGGCCAAGGUGAAAUUCUUAUCAAGGGAAAGGAAGAUUGGUGGAAAGAACUUCAAUGGGAGGAUCAAGCAACUCAGAAUGCAUUGCUUCCAUUUUUCAAAUCAACUGACAAGUGAUUGAAGGGGGCAUCAUCAACAGAGAUGGAGAGAUUCUGGAGCAGAUCAACAGGGUUUGUAUAUGAUCUUUGGUGGUUGCUUUCUUUUGUGAUUUUUUUUUCUCAUUUUUUUUCCUUCCUGUCAUUUUAUCAUUUCUUUGUCUCUUUUUCUAUUGCUGAUGUUAGUGUAUGCUUACUGUUGCUUGACAAAGUUUGCUUGCUUCUUGUUUAUUAAAUUUUUUAUGGUCACAAAAUAUUACUUGUUCUAUUUGAGAGUGAUGUGAAUCAAUUUUCAAUUAUAUAUUUUGUGGUCAAUGUGAAUUCAAUUUCAUUUGUCUCCUGCAAUUAUGAAAAAAAUGCAGAGUCAUAAUAUGGAAAAGUCGACCGGCAAAAACUUUGUGAAAGCUUCGGAGUGAAACAGGGAAUUCACUUACUACUAAGGACAAUUGGUGGCGAGCUAUUCCAUUCAUUUUAUGUCCAUACAUCUAUUUAAUUAUUGAAGAUAAGUGGUCCAUUUGUAAAUUUCAGAUUGUCCCUCUCUCUUGAAAUAACGAUAUUUAAAAUAUUUCUUAAAUUAUUAUAAAUUUUAAUUUACUCUGGAUUUAAAAUGGAACAUGAUGAAAAUUUUUUUUUCUUCUUAAUAAAAUUGAAAUAAAUUGUGUUUGCAGUAGUUUGAAAUAUUUUAAAGAUUAUUAUUUUAUAAGGGAGUAAUAUGAAAUGAAAUUUACUUUUCAUGCGUGAAAUGUUGAAAAAGGACAAAGCAAGUGUCCCUGUUUUUAUUUUAUUUCAAAGUGGAGUCAUCUCACGUACUUUAGCUCUUAACAUUAUAAUUUUUCUGGUUACAUUUUUAUUAUUAUUUUUUUUUUUUACACAUGCAUGUGGGUUACUUUUCCGUAAGCUCCUUAAUAUAUAUUUAACACAAAUCAUGGAAGAGAUGGGAGUAUAUCAAGAUGAUCAAAGCAUGAAACAAAAAUAUUUAAGAAGUAAAACACUGAAAAUGGAGAAGAGAUGCAAGCAAAAGAUAUUCCAAAGAAAAGCAAUCUAUCCCCCUUUCGAGGGCAAACUUAUCAGGUUUAAGAAAAGUACAUGCUUUGGAUUGGUAGUUGCAGCCUUGCAGGAUAAUUGUUUUUGCCACUAUAUUAGUUGGAGGAGUUGAACCCAGCGAAGAAUGUUAUGGAAGAGCAAAGGAUUAUGUAGCCUGAAUGGAUGUCUUGUUGAAAGAUAUCUCAGUGCAUUAGUUCAUCCUUGUCUGUCAAUGUGUUUUUAAUGGUUUUUCCAAUUGUUUAUUAUUAUAGAUUGAUUGUAAAUUGAUAUGAAUUUAAUGUUGAAAUAUUUUCUCUUUAGUGGAAUGAAUUUAAAAGUGCAAAAGCUUAUUGCACACAGAGAAAUAAACAUAUAUGCUUUAUAGUAUAACUUUAGCAAUCGAUUCUUUUACAGCUGGAAACAGAGAUGGUGAUUAUCAUAGGGGUGAAGAAAAGGACAAAAAAUGUUAAUGAUUAACGAAAUUUCUAUGCAAAUUGAUUUUAGCAGGAAAAAAAGUGAGCUAAAUGAUCUUAAUGUUCCACAAAAGCAAAUCGUAAUAUUCCACAAGAAAAAGCAAGAUCUUAAUGUUCCACAAAAGCGUUAUUUUUUUUUUGGUGAGCCACGUGGAGCUCAAUUAUCAUUGUCUUUACUUUAAAAACGUUAUUUUAUUUUAUUUUAUUACAAAUUAAUGCUAAACAAGAAAAAGCAAGAUAUAAUAUUCCACAAAAGCAAAUCGUAAUAUUCCACAGAGGAAUAAGAUCCACAAAAGCAAACAACUAGCUGGAUUCUUUUACUGAAUUACAAAUUAAAGUGGAAUCUUUUAUUAAACAAUAAAUUAAAGUUCGAAUAUUUAAGUAGUAGUGCGUUAGAUGAUUAGGCUCUCUUAUUAAAGGCAAGUAUAAGGUAGUCCAGAAUCGAACAUCUCUAUUGUCUAGUCAUUUUUUUCAAUUCUUCUUUUAUUAUUUUUCAGAAUAGGUUUUGGUGAUUACUAUUGGGUUAUUAGUCAGAGUUAUUCUUAUCUUCCGGGGCAGUUUCUGUUCAUCGGAAUUGUUAAUUAAAAGAGUAAUGAUAUAGUCACAAACUCUUGUAUAAACUUAUUUUGUACAAACUGAUGUGGCAUGAUAAGAUUAGUUGAAUUAAAUAUCACUUAGGCCACAUGAUUUAUUUUUAUUAUUUUAUAUUUUCAUUCAACCAAUGAAUUAAUGCCACGUCAGUUUGUACAAGAGUUUGUGGCUGUAUCAUUACUCUAAUUAAAAUUUUAGAACUCUUGUGGGAAGAAUGUUUUUCUGUUAUCUUUUUUACAUUCUAAUUUCAACAAUAAGAAGGAGUCAUUUUAGAAUUCGGGUCUUGAAUCGAAUUUCAAUGCAUGAAUUAAUAUUUUAAAAAAAAAUUACUACACGCAGUUUAGGUUACAAACUAUUUUUUGCAAAGUUGACUAUGAAAUUGGAGAAAUUAAGUAAUUUAUAAUGUUUGCAAAGGAAGAGACUAACAUACUUCCAAUUACACUAUAUCUCUAUUAUCAUAAUGUUAAGACUAAACUAACUUAAAAUAAAUUUUAUUUGAAAAGUUAUAUCAAACACAGUCUAAUUUUAUUAACUUGAAGAGAUAAUAGUUAUAGAAAUGAUUGUUCUAACUUAAUUAGUACAAGUGGUAUAAAGGUUAAGUGUGCACUAAAUUUGUUUAAAUUUUUUCCAGAAUAACUAACAGAGGUCAUUAUUAGAAUUAUAAUUACUAGUCUAUUAGAUAGAAAAAAUUAUAUAUAUUGUUUUAUAUUUAUUAAAAAAAUUUAAAGUCAAUCUUUUUAAUUAUUAUUUAAAGGAUAUUAUAAUUUAAAAAAAUUUAAUGUCUUUAUUAAAAAUUUAAAAAUUUACAUGACCGUUCUAUAAAUAUUUAAAGUGUAACUGUCAUUUUCUCAUGUAUAUAUAUAUAAACCACGGUGGUGAAGCUUUAUUUAAUAUUAUUGAUUUAAAUAACAAUAUCGCAAUUAAAAAUGUAGAGAGAAGAAAUUUUGGUGGGUAUAUUAGUCUUUUACAAUUAUCAUGAUUAGCCCUUCCUCUUGUAACGUUGGUCAGAAAAGUUUUAAAAUGCCUUGAUUUCUUUUACUUUUAACGUUAGCGGCCUUCCUUAUAUUUUAUUACAAAUUAGUCCUAACAAGAAAAAGCGAGAUCAUAUUCCAAAAAAGCAAAAGUGACAAAAAAACCAGCUGUAUUCUUUUAUUAAACUACAAUUUAAAAUGAUUUUAAAGUGGAUUCUUUUGAAUACAGGUGGGGUAGUCGAAUAGUCUUUUUCAAAUUCUUGUUUUAUUAUUUUUCAAAACUAGUUUUUGGUAAUUACAAUCGGGUCAUUCAUUAGUCAUUAUUCAGAGUUAUUGUUAUCUUCGGGGGCAGUGGGUAAAAGGCUAAAUGAUAAUUACUAAGUGUUUUUCCUUCAAAAGUUAGUGGCUCGUGUUUUGCAAGUGUGUACGUGCGAUGCUCUUUGUCUAAAGGCAAUUACAGUGGGUCCCGAAUCGGACGUGCCUAAUAAAUCUUUUAAAAUUUUUUCUAAUAAAUAUUCCUAAAAUUUCUCUUCCACAGGCAAUUACAGCAGCUUCAGUUAAUCAAACUCAAUCAAUUUUCUUUCUUAACAAAAUUCCAAAGAUGUUUGGCUGUUUUCAGAUCACAUGCGAUGGUGCUCUUUUCAAUCGUUGCUUGGAUUGCUUUCUGGGAAAAACAGUAUACAUACGUAACCUCCCAGAUAAUCUUGUUGCCUUGGAGACUGAAUUGGGAAAUCUAAUCGCAGCAAAGAACGAUGUGACGAGGAGGGUUGACAAUGCUGAACGGCAACAAAUGAGAAGGCUGGACCGAGUGCAACGAUGGAUUUCGAGAGUGGAAGUUGUUGAAACUGAAGCCGAUGAAUUGAUAAGACAUGGCUCUCGAGAAAUUGAAAAAUUAUGUGUUGGAGGCUACUGUUCCAAGAACUGCAUGUCAAGCUACAAGUUCGGAAAACAAGUGGCUAAAAAGCUACGGGAUGUGCGGACUUUAAUCAGUGAAGGAGUUUUUGAGGUGGUGGCUGACAGAGCUCCAGAGCCUGUAGCAGAUGAAAGACCUACUGAGCCAACAAUAGUAGGCUUGCAAUCACAACUUGAACAAGUUUGGAGAUGUCUUGUAGUAGAAGAAUCAGUGGGAAUCAUUGGCCUAUAUGGUAUGGGCGGUGUUGGUAAAACCACACUAUUGACCCAUAUCAACAAUAAAUUUCUUGAGAAUCCAAUCAACUUUGAUUGUGUGAUUUGGGUUGUAGUUUCAAAAGACCUGCGACUUGAAAAAAUUCAAGAAGAUAUUGGGAAAAAGAUAGGUCUGUUUGAUGAUUCAUGGAAGAGUAAAAGUGUAGAGGAGAAAGCUGUCGACAUCUUCCGGAGUUUAAGAGAGAAGAGAUUUGUAUUGUUGUUAGAUGAUAUAUGGGAGCGGGUUGAUUUAACAAAGGUGGGCGUUCCACUUCCCGGACCACAAAAUACUACCUCAAAAGUCGUAUUCACAACCCGUUCCAUCGAUGUUUGUGGCAGCAUGGAAAGUCACAGGAAGUUCCCAGUAGCAUGCUUAUCAGAAGAGGAUGCUUGGGAGCUGUUUCGAGAAAAAGUAGGGCAAGAAACUCUUGAGAGUCAUCAUGAUAUCGUUGAGCUAGCCCAAACUGUGGCCAGAGAGUGUGAUGGUUUGCCACUCGCACUUCUUACUAUUGGUCGAGCUAUGGCCUGCAAAAGGACAGCAGAGGAGUGGAGACACGCAGUUGAAGUGCUAAGAAGAUCAGCUUCUGAGUUUGCAGGUUUGGGAGAAAAGGUGUACUCUCUUUUAAAAUUCAGCUAUGAUAGUUUGCAGAAUGAGACGAUUAAAUCUUGUUUCUUAUAUUGUUGUUUAUAUCCCGAAGAUUAUGGAAUUCUUAAAUGGGACUUGAUUGAUUGUUGGAUUGGUGAGGGAUUCUUAGAGCAAUCUGACAGGCUUAGUGCAGAAUACCAAGGAUACUACAUUGUGGGCACUCUUGUUCAAGCAUGUUUAUUAGAAGAGUUAGAAGAUGAUAAAGUAAAAAUGCAUGACGUUAUUCGUGAUAUGGCUCUAUGGAUAACCAGUGAAAUUGAGAAGGAGAAGAGAAACUUUUUGGUUCGUGCAGGUGCUGGAUUAAAAGAGGCACCGGCUGUUAAAGGAUGGGAAAAUGUGAGAAGAUUGUCACUGAUGCAAAACCAAAUUGAAACUCUGUCAGAGGUUCCUACAUGCCCUCAUCUCCUCACUUUAUUUCUUGACUUUAAUCAGGAGUUGGAGAUGAUCGCGGAUGGUUUCUUCCAAUUUAUGCCUUCUCUCAAAGUUUUGAAGAUAUCAAACUGUGGAAACAUUUUUCAAUUACCUGUUGGGAUGUCAAAGUUGGGUUCACUAGAACUUCUUGAUAUUUCACAUACCUUCAUAAAAGAGUUACCAGAAGAGUUAAAGAAGUUGGUAAAUCUGAAAUGUUUGAAUUUGAGGUGGACAAGGGAGUUAAAUAAAAUUCCACGGCAACUAAUAUCAAAUUCUUCAAGGUUACGUGUGUUGAGAAUGUUCGCUACUGGCUACAUACGAUUCGAUGAUGCACCAGAAGACGGCGUUUUAUUUGGUGGGGGUGAAGUUUUGAUACAGGAAUUGCUCGGUUUGAAAUAUUUAGAGGUAUUGGAGUUGACCUUGGGAAGUUAUCAUGCUCUCCAAAUUCUUUUGAGCUCAAAUAAGUUAAAAAGUUGUAUUCGAUCUCUUUACCUCGAGUUGACCGGAGAUACAACGUCAAUUAUUGAUGCUACGGCUUUCGCAGAUCUAAACCACCUCAAUGAAUUAUAUAUUAAUAAUGGUAUUGAGUUGGAAGAAUUGAAGAUUGAUUAUACGCAGAUAGUACGAAAAAGGCGGGAACCUUUUGUUUUCCGCAGCCUUCACCGUGUUACUGUUAUGGAUUGCCAUAAAUUGAAAGAUGUGACAUUCCUCGUUUUUGCUCCAAACCUCAAGUCUCUUACGCUAUUCGAUUGCGGUGCUAUGGAAGAAAUAAUCAGCGUCGGAAAAUUUGCUGAGACUCCUGAGAUGAUGGGACAUAUAAGCCCUUUUGAAAAUCUCCAAUUGCUUGAUUUAGAUAAUUUGCCACAUUUGAAGAGCAUCUUCUGGAAGCCAUUGCCUUUCACUC